rnacentral:lncRNA from 1 species
AUAAGGGAAACAAUAACACACAACCAUCGAUCAUUCUUAACAACCCGUACGAUCGAUGCACUAAACGUAAGCAACUAUUGUGCGCACGCAAAUUUAAAAACUCUACCGGCAAGCCGGCAUCGGUCAAGCCGUCGGGUAGAAGGGCGAGGUGGCGAGGGCACAUGUGCCCGUCGGCCCGACAACGUCCUUGGCGAGGUAGAUGUAUCCCUGGUCGCCCCAAUCGUUGCUCCACGAGUUCUUGGCUAUCCAAAACUUCUCACCGAACUCCUCGCAGUAGCCGACAAUGGUGACGGCGUGGUUGACCCUCGCGGCGUCGGAGGAGCAGGGGCCCCGGAAGAUGCCGCCGGAGUAGAACUGGAACUCCCACGUGCUGGCGUCGAUGUACACCGUCACGGGCUGCCGCGCCACUGCCAGCGCCAGCUGCCGCUCGUUGUUGGGCGGCACGGCCUUGAAUCCCUUGACGGACGCCUGGUGGUCGAACAACAGCUUGUCCACGUCGCAGGUGCCCUUGAAGCCGCUGUACGGGUACCUCUCCUCUGACGUGAUGCCGCCGCGGGCAGCCACGAGGCCCAGGGCAGUGUCUGUGCGGCCGCCGCUGCAGCCACUGCUACCGGUGUCGCAGUCCACAAGCUGCUGCUCCGACAGAGACACCAGUUCGCCGGUCCUGAUCUUGUUCAUGCCCUCGAUGGCCGCCACGGCCGCGAAUGCCCAGCAUGACACUGCCAUAUACAUGUUCGUUAGUCGUUACUCUACGAGAACUGACCAAAAUAUGUAAAGUUAUAAACCUGAGCAGGAGUUUGCUAGCUUGACUUACAGCAAGAACCCUGAAACUUGACGCCGGUGACGGCGCCGCUCGAGCGCCAGUCAACGCAGCACGGUUUCCAUGAGUCGUAGGGGAGCGGGGUUGGAGGCUCUGGGGUGAAGACGGAGUUGUUGAACCCGGUGAACUGCUCGGCGACCUCGCUGGGGUUGAGAUCGCCGAAUCUGUUCAUGCCGACCCUGACCGUCGUGACGGUCUGGGGGCCGAACGAGCCGACGCCGCCGUUGACCGUUGUCUGGCUGGCGAAAGCGCCGAUGGAGUUGGUGUUCGUCUUGAAGAUUCCGAACCGCUUCUCCUGCUCCUCGUGGCUCGGGUAGCGCUUCGAGUACUUGGUUUGCCACCUCGUCCACCUGGACCUCACCUCGGAUUCCGGCAGCUCCCAUGAUGGCCGCUGCGGCGGGUCUGCCGCGGUCAGCGAUGCCUGCAGCAGGCAGGCGAUGCCCAAGAGUAGGACUAGGCAAGGCAUUGAAGAAGCCAUUUUGAUUGAUUAACUUAGGCUGUGUGGAAAUGCAUGCACCGGGUUAAUGUUUAUAUAGGCGCUUUGGUGAUGCGUGGGUUAGCACGUCGCUGUGGCUGCAGGCUGAGUCAUUAGGUGUGGCCAGCGGAGCUAAUCCUUGAAGACGACUAUGGGUCAUGGAGGUGUGUCAGAUGAGUACCCAGUAGGAUGGUUCAAUUAGCUAGUGAAGGGAAAUGCCUUACAUCUGUAAUCUGAUCCCACGUUUUGUUAGGACUCGUUUCUACUCCCUCCGUUCCUAAAUAUAAGUCUUUAAAGAUGUUUCAUUAGUGAACUACAUACGGAUGUAUAUAAACAUACUUUAGAGUGUAGAUUCAUUCAUUUUACUCCGUAUGUAGACUUCUAAUGAAAUAUCUUAAAAGACUUAUAUUUAGGAACGGAGNNNNNNNNNNNNNNNNNNNNNNNNNNNNNNNNNNNNNNNNNNNNNNNNNNNNNNNNNNNNNNNNNNNNNNNNNNNNNNNNNNNNNNNNNNNNNNNNNNNNNNNNNNNNNNNNNNNNNNNNNNNNNNNNNNNNNNNNNNNNNNNNNNNNNNNNNNNNNNNNNNNNNNNNNNNNNNNNNNNNNNNNNNNNNNNNNNNNNNNNNNNNNNNNNNNNNNNNNNNNNNNNNNNNNNNNNNNNCUUAUAUUUAGGAACGGAGUGAGUACUGAACAAGCGAAACGUUUUCGUUUAUAAAAACAAUAAUUCAUUACACUAAGUUUGUUACGCAAACAUAUGCAAACAUAUAGGGGGCUGCUACACAUCCACCUGCGAAUGUUUAGUAAACAUCCGCCACCUCAACGGCCGUUGGAUGUAUCGGUGCAGCCGUCCGAUCUACGUCCCCGUACCCAAUAGUUCCUGAAACACAUGUCGAGUUGCAGAAACAAUAGUCGCGUUGCGAAAACAGUGAUCGUGCUUCAAAAAAAAUAAAAUCCUGAAACAACGAUCGCGUUGCAGAAAAUAAUUUAUGUAACUCGUGAAACAAUGGCUGAGUUGCAGAAACCACGACCCUAUUGCAUAAAUGUUGUAGGCCAGUUGCGGAGCUGCCCGACGGCGGAGGGCGACGGCCAGGCCAGCGGCAGAGGGCCGUGGGGCAGGCCGACGGGGCGGGGCCGUGGCGCGGGGCGGGGCGGCNNNNNNNNNNNNNNNNNNNNNNNNNNNNNNNNNNNNNNNNNNNNNNNNNNNNNNNNNNNNNNNNNNNNNNNNNNNNNNNNNNNNNNNNNNNNNNNNNNNNAUAAUAACCAUUUUAUUAUCGCCUCUAGGGCAUAUUUCCAACAGCGCGUGGCAAAGUUGUGUCUCAAAAACCCUAAAACCUCUAGUACAUAUAGGAGGAGGGGAGGGGCUAGCCUCGGGGCUCAAGGGAGCCCCUAGGCUGCCGGCCGAGAGAGGAGGAGGAGACCCCAACUCCAAUUCGGUUUGGGAAGGAGGAGCCCCCUCCUUCCUUCACACCUCCCUCUCCUUUUUUUUCUUUUCUCUUUGGUUUUUUUCCUUAGCCGACAUAGCCCACUUGGCCUGGCCUCACCAGCCCACUAAAGGCUGGUGCGCCACCCUUGGGCUAUUAGGCUCACUCCCGGGUGGGUGGGCCUCUCCCGGUAAAAACUCGGAACCCAUUCGUCACUUGUGUUACACUGCCGGUAAUGUCUGAAAUCCUUCCGAGACCAAAUGAAACAAUCCUAUAUAUCAAUCUUCGUUUCCGGACCAUUCCGUAAACCCUCAUGACGUCCGUGAUCUCAUCCGGGACUCCGAACAACCUUCGGUUACCAACACCUAUAACUCAACUAUACCGAAACGUCACCGAACCUUAAGUGUGCAGACCCUGCGGGUUCGAGAACUAUGCAGACAUGACCUGAGACACUCCCCGGUCAAUAUCCAACAGCGGGACCUGGAUGUCCAUAUUGGAUCCUACAUAUUCUACGAAGAUCUUAUCGGUUGAACCUCUGUGCCAAGGAUUCAUAUAAUCCCGUAUACCAUUCCCUUUGUCCUUCGGUAUGUUACUUGCCCGAGAUUUGAUCGUCGGUAUCUCUAUACCUAUUUCAAUCUCGUUACCGGCAAGUCUCUUUACUCAUUCCGUAAUAAAAGAUCUCGUGACUAACACAUUAGCCACAUUGCUUGCAAGGCUUAUAUGUGAUGUUGUAUUACCGAGUGGGCCCCGAGAUACCUCUCUGUCACACGGUGUGACAAAUCCCAGUAUUAAUCCAUGCUAACUCAACGGACACCUUCGGAGAUACCUGUAGAGCACCUUUAUAGUCACCCAGUAAAGUUGCCCUUUGGAGAUACCUGUAGAGCACCUUUACAUGAUCUCAUGGUCAUAGGAAUGAAUACUUGACACUCAGAAAACAAUAGCAACAAAAUGACACGAUCACAUGCUACGUUCAUAGUUUGGGUCUUGUCCAUCACAUGAUUUUCCUAAUGACGUGAUCGAGUCAUCAAGUGACGACACUUGCCUAUGGUCAGAAAACCUUAACCAUCCUUGAUCAACUGGCUAGUCAACUAGAGGCUUACUAGGGACAUUGUUUUGUCUAUAUAUCCACACAUGUAUCUAUGCUUUCAUUCAAUGCAAUUUUAGCAUGGAUAAUAAACGAUUAUAUUGAAACAGGAAACAUAAUAAUAACUAUUUUAUCAUUGCCUCUAGGGCAUAUUUCGUACAGUCUCGCACUUGCACUAGAGUCAAUAAUCUAGUCUCACAUCGCUAUGUGAUUUACAUUGGAAUGAAUCUAACACACAUACAGUUCUGGUGUUGAUCAUGCUUAGCUCGUGGAAGAGGUUUAGUUAGCGGAUCUGCAACAUUCAGAUCUGUAUGCACUUUGCAAAUAUUUACGUCCUCUCCUUUGACAUAGUAGCGGAUGAGGUUGAAGCGUCGUUUGAUGUGUCUGGUCUUCUUGUGAAACCGUGGUUCCUUUGCUAGAGCAAUGGCAACAAUGUUGUCACAGAACAGAGUUAUUGGAUUUAGUGCACUCGGCACAACUCCAAGAUCUGUCAUGAACUGCUUCAUCCAGACACCCUGCUUAGCUGCCUUCGAGGCAGCCAUGUACUCCGCUUCACAUGUAGAAUCUUCUACGACGCUUUGCUUGGAACUGCACAAGCUUACCGCACCCCCAUUGAGAAUAAACACGUAUCCGGUUUGAGAAUUAGAGUCAUCCGGAUCAGUGUUAAAGCUUGCAUCAACGUAACCCUUUACGACGAGCUCUUCGUCACCUCCAUAUACGAAAAACAUUUCCUUAGUCCUUUUCAGGUACUUCAGAAUAUUCUUCACCGCCGCCCAGUGUUCCACUCCUGGAUCACUUUGAAACCUGCGUGCCAUACUUAUGGCCAGGCCGAUGUCCGGUCUUGUGCACAACAUUGCAUACAUGAUACACCCUAUGGCUGAAGCACAGGGGAUGGUACUCAUCUUUUCUCUAUCUUCCGCAGUUCCUGGACACUGAGUCUUACUCAACUUUAUACCUUGUAACACUGGUAAGAACCCCUUCUUGGACUGCUCCAUUUUGAAAUUCUUAAAAACUUUAUCAAGGUAUAUGCUUUGUGAAAGUCCUAUUUGGCGCCUCGAUCUAUCCCUAUAGAUCUUAAUGCCUAAUAUGUAAGCAACUUCUCCUAGGUCUUUCAUUGAAAAACAUUUGUUCAAGUAAUGCUUUACGCUCUCUAAAAACUCCACAUUGUUUCCAAUCAGCAAUAUGUCAUCCACAUAUAAUAUUAGAAACACUAAAGAGCUCCCAAUCACUUUCUUGUAAAUACAAGAUUCUCCAACAACUUGUAUAAACCCAAAUGCCUUGAUCACCUCAUCAAAGCGCUUAUUCCAACUCCGAGAUGCUUGCACCAGUCCAUAAAUGGAUCGCUGGAGCUUGCAUACUUUGUUAGAAUUAUUUGGAUUGACAAAACCUUCAGGUUGCAUCAUAUACAACUCUUCCUUAAGAAAACUAUUAAGUAACGCCAUUUUGACAUCCAUCUGCCAGAUUUCAUAAUCGAAAAAUGCAGCUAUUGCUAACAUGAUUCGGACGGACUUAAUCAUCGCUACCGGUGAGAAUGUCUCAUCGUAGUCAACUCCUUGAACUUGUGAAAAAUUCUUUGCCACAAGUUGAGCCUUAUAAACAGUCACAUUAUCGUCCGGGUCCGUCUUCUUCUUAAAGAUCCAUUUGUUCUGAAUAUCCUUGCGACCUUCAGGUAAUACUUCUGAAGUCCACACUUUGUUUUCAUACAUAGAUCCUAUCUCGGACUUCAUGGCCUCUAACCAUUUGUUGGAAUCCGGACCCACCAUUGCUUCUUCAUAAUUCAGAGGCUCAAUGUUGUCUAACAACAUGAUAGAUAAGACAGGAUUCCCGUACCACUCGGGAUCAGUAUGUGAUCUUGUCGACCUCCGAGGUCCGACAGUAACUUGAUCCAAAGCUUCAUGAUCAUCAUCAUUAGCUUCCUCCUCAACAGGUGUUGCCUCGACAGAGAUUUCUCUCUGCCCUGCGCCAUCAUCUAGAGGGAGCAGAGGUUCCACAACCUCAUCAAGUUCUAUCUUCCUCCCACUCAAUUCUUUCGAGAGAAACUUCUUCUCAAGAAAAGCUACGUUCUUAGCAACAAACACUUUGCCCUCGGAUCUGAGAUAGAAGGUGUACCCAACUGUCUCUUUUGGGUAACCUAUGAAGACGCUUUUUUCCGCUUUGGGUUCCAGCUUUUCAGGCUGAAGCUUUUUGACAUAAGCAUCGCAUCCCCAAACUUUAAGAAAUGACAACUUUGGCCUCUUGCCAUGCCAUAGCUCAUAUGGUGUCCUCUUAACGGAUUUUGAUGGUGCCCUAUUUAAAGUGAAUGCAGCUGUCUCUAAUGCAUAACCCCAAAACGAUAAUGGCAAAUCGCUAAGAGACAUCAUAGAUCGCACCAUAUCUAACAAAGUACGAUUACGAUAUUCGGACACACCAUUAUGCUGUGGUGUUCCAGGCGGUGUCAACUGUGAAACGAUUCCACAUUGUCUUAAGUGAGCACCAAACUCGAAACUCAGAUAUUCACCCCCUCAGUCAGAUCGUAGGAACUUGAUCUUCUUGUUACGAUGAUUUUCAACUUCACUCUGAAAUUGCUUGAUAUUUUCAAAUAUUUCAGACUUGUUCUUCAUCAAGUAGAUAUAUCCAUACCUACUCAAAUCAUCAGUGAAGGUGAGAAAAUAACGAUAUCCGCUGCGCACCUCCACACUCAUUGGACCGCACACAUCAGUAUGUAUGAUCUCCAAUAAGUCACUUGCACGCUCCAUUGUUUCGGAGAACGGAGUCUUAGUCAUCUUGCCCAUGAGGCAUGGUUUGCAUGUGUCAAGUGAUUCUAAAUCAAGUGACUCCAAAAGCCCAUCAGCAUGGAGUAUCUUCAUGCACUUUACACCAAUAUGACCUAAGCGGUAGUGCCACAAGAAGGUGGUGCUAUCAUUGUUAACUCUACAUCUUUUGGUCUCAAUGUUAUGUAUAUGUGUGUCAUCACAAUCAAGAUUCAAUAUGAACAAACCCCUCACAUUGGGUGCAUGACCAUAAAAGAUAUUACUCAUAAAAAUAGAACAACCAUUAUUCUCUGACUUAAAUGAGUAACCGUCUCGCAAUAAACAAGAUCCAGAUAUAAUGUUCAUGCUUAACGCAUGCACUAAAUAACAAUUAUUUAAGUUCAUAACUAAUCGUGAUGGUAACUAAAGUGAGACUGUGCCGACGGCGAUUGCAUCAUCCUUGGAACCAUUUCCUACGCGCAUCGUCACUUCAUCCUUCGCCAACCUUCGUUUAUUCUGCAGUUCCUGCUUCGAGUUGCAAAUAUGAGCAACAGAACCGGUAUCAAAUACCCAGGCACUACUACGAGAGUUGGUUAGGUACACAUGAAUAACAUGUAUAUCACAUAUACCUGGUUUGGCGUUGGUGGCCUUCUUAUCAGCCAAAUACUUGGGGCAGUUGCGCUUCCAGUGACCCAUCCCCUUGCAAUAAUAUCACUCUGUUUCUGGCUUAGGUCCAGCCUUGGUUUCUUCGUCGGAUUGGCAACAAUUUUGCUGCUCUUCUUAGAGUUACCCUUCUUGCGUUUGUCGUUUCUCUUAAAACCAGUGGUCUUAUUGACCAUCAACACUUGAUGUUCUUUCCGGAGUUCUAACUCUACAACUUUCAGCAUCGCGAAUAACUCGCCCGGUGACUUGUUCAUCCCUUGGAUGUUAUAGUUCAACACAAAGAUCUUAUAGCUAGGUGGGAGUGAUUGCAAAAUUCUGUCAGUGAUAGCCUCUUGCAGGAGUUCAAUCCCCAGCUCAGCUAGACAGUUUGAGUACCCAGACAUUUUUAGCACAUGUUCACUAACAAACAAAUUCUCCUUCAUUUUGCAAGCAUAGAAUUUAUCGGAGGUCUCAUACCUCUGGAUCCGGGCGUUCUUCUAAAGGAUAAACUUCAACUCCUGGAACAUCUCAUAUGCUCCAUGAAAUUCAAAGCGUCGUUGAAGUCCCGGUUCCAAGCCAUACAAGACUGCACAUUGAACUACUGAGCAGUCCUCCUUACGUGAUUGCCUAGCGUUCAAAACAUCUUGGUCAAACGUAGCGGGUGGUUCAUCUCCUAGCGCUGCAUCAAGGACAUAAGUCUUUUUCCUAGCUUGUAGGAUGAACCUUAGAUUAUGAGCCCAGUCUACAAAGUUGCUACCAUCAUCUUUCAGCUUAGCUUUCUCUAGGAACGUAUUGAAAUUCAGGGUUGCUACUGCGUGAGCCAUUGAUCUACAACAUAAAAUAUUGCAAAGUGGACUUAGACUAUGUUCAAGAUAAUUUAGAGUUUAACUAAUCAAAUUACUAAUAAAAUCCCACUCAAAUAGACAUCCCUCUAGUUAAUUGAGUGUUAUGUGAUCCAAAUUCACUAACUCAAGUCCGAUCAUCACGUGAGUUGAGUAUAGUUUCAAUGGUAAAAAUCUCUAUGCUAAUCAUAUCAACUAUACAAUUCAUGCUCGACCUUUCGGUAUCUUGUGUUCGAGGCCAUGCCUGUACAUGCUAGGCUCUUCAAGUUUAACCCGAGUGUUCCACGUGUGCAACUGUUUUGCACCCGUUGUAUGUCUACCUUGAGUCUAUCACACCCGAUCAUCACGUGGUGUCUCGAAACGACGAACUAUCGCAACGGUGCACAGUCGGGGAGAACUCAAUUUUAUCUUGAAAUUUAGCGAGGGAUCACCUUAUAAUGCUACCGUCGUUCUGAGAAAGAUAAGGUGCAUAAAAGGAUUAACAUCACAUGCAAUUCAUAAGUGACAUGAUAUGGCCAUGAUCUUGUGCUUCUUGAUCUCCAUCACCAAAGCACCGGCAUGAUCUUCAUCGUCACCGGCGCCACACCAUGAUAUCCAUCAUCGUGCUGCCAUCGAGAUUGUCGUGAUAUCUAUGGUAUUACUACUAAAGCUGCAACCUAGCAAUAUAGUAAACGCAUCUGCAAACACAAACGUUAGUUUAAAGACAACCCUAUGGCUCCUGCCGGUUUCCGUAGCAUCGGCGUGCAAGUCGAUAUUUAACUAUUACAACAUGAUCAUCUCAUACAUCCAAUAUAUCACAUCAUGUCUUUGGCCAUAUCACAUCACAUGCAUACCCUGCAAAAACAAGUUAGACGUCCUCUGAUUGUUUGUUGCAUUUUUAAGUGGCUGCUAUGGGUAUCUAGUAUGAUCGCAUCUUACUUACGCAAAACCACAACGGAGAUGUGCAAAUUGCUAUUUAACCUCUCUCCAAGGAACGCCUCGGUCAAAUCCAAUUCAACUAAAGUUGAAGAAAAAGGCACCCGCCAGUCAUCUUUAUGCAACGAGUUGCAUGUUAGUCAAUGAAACUGGUCUCUCGUAAGCGUACGAGUAAUAUUGGUCCGGGCCGCUUCAAUCCAACAAUACCGUCGAAUCGAGAAAAGACUAAGGAGGGAAGCAAAUCGAACAUCAACGCCCACAAAAACUUUUGUGUUCUACUCGAGAUUACAUCUACGCAUGAACCUAGCUCUAAUACCACUCUUUGGGAACGUUGCAUGGGAAACAAAAAUUUUCCUACGCACACGAAGACCUAUCAUGGUGAUGUUCAUAUACGAGAGGGAGAUCGAAUCCACAUACCAUUGUAGAUCGCUAAGCGGGAAGCGUUAAGAAACACGAUUGAUGUAGUGGAACAGCUUCGUGAUUCAAAUCACCGUCGUCCCACGAUCCGUUCCGAUCUAGCGCCAAACGGACGGCACAUCCACGUUCUGCAUAUGUACAACUCGAUGACGAUCUCCACCUUCUUGAUACAGCAAGAGAGACGGGGAAGUAGAUGAGUUCCCUGGCAGCGUGACGACGCGCUGGUGAUGGUGAUGAUAUGUCCCUGCAGGGCUCCGCCCGAGCUCCGUAGAAAACCGAUCUAGAGGUAGAACUACGAAGUAGAGGUUCAGGGUUGCACGUGGCAAAGUUGUGUCUCAAAACCCCUAAAACCUAUAGUAUAUAUAGGAGGAGGGGAGGGGCUAGCCUUGGUGCUCAAGGGAUCCCCUAGAGCGCCGGACGAGAGAGGAGAAGGAGACAACAACUCCAAUUCGGUAUGGGAAGAAGGAGUCCCCUCCUUCCUUCCCACCUCCCUCUCCUUUUUUUCUCCUCUUUGGUUUUUUUCCUUAGCCGACAUAGCCCACUUGGGCUGGCCUCAUGAGUCCACUAAGGGCUGGUGCGCCACCCUUGGGCUAUUAGGCUCACUCCCGGGUGGGUGGGCCCCUCCCAGAAAAACUUGAAACCCAUUCGUUACUCCCGGUAAUGUCCGAAAUCUUUCCGGAGACCAAAUUAAACAAUCCUAUAUAUAAAUAUUCGUUUCCGGACCAUUUCGGAAACCCUCGUGACGUCUGUGAUCUCAUCCGGGACUCCGAACAACCUUCGGUUACCAACACCUAUAAAUCAACUAUACCGAAAUGUUACCGAACCUUAAGUGUGCAGACCUUGCGGGUUCGAGAACUAUGAAGACAUGGCCUGAGACACUCCCCGGUCAAUAUCCAACAACGGGACCUAGAUGUCCAUAGUGGAUCCUACAAUAUUCUGCGAAGAUCUUAUCGGUUGAACCUCUGUGCCAAGGAUUCAUAUAAUCCCGUAUACCAUUCCCAUUGUCCUUCGGUAUGUUACUUGCCCGAGAUUUGAUCGUCGGUAUCUCUAUACCUAUUUCAGUCUCGUUACCAGCAAGUCUCUUUACUCGUUCUAUAAUACAAGAUCCCGUGACUAACACAUUAGCCACAUUACUUGCAAGGCUUAUAUGUGAUGUUGUAUUACCGAGUGGGCCCCGAGAUACCUCUCCGUCACACGGAGUGAGAAAUCCCAGUAUUUAUCCAUUCUAACUCAACGGACACCUUCAGAGAUACCUAUAGAGCACCUUUAUAGUGACCCUGUAACGUUGCCACGUUUGAUACACACAAGGUAUUCCUCCGGUGUCAGUGAGUUACAUGAUCUCAUGGUCACAGUAAUGAAUACUUGACACGCAGAAAACAAUAGCCACAAAAUGACACGAUCACAUGCUACGUUCAUAGUUUGGGUCUUGUCCAUCACAUCGUUCUCCUAAUGAUGUGAUCCAGUCAUCAAUUGACAACACUUGCAUAUGGUCAGAAAACCUUAACCAUCCUUGAUCAACUGGCUAGUCAACUAAAGUCUUACUAGGGACAUUGUUUUGUCUAUAUAUCCACACAUGUAUCUAUGCUUUCAUUCAAUACAAUUAUAGCAUGGAUAAUAAAUAAUUAUCUUGAAACAAGAAAUAUAAUAAUAACUAUUUUAUCAUUGCCUCUAGGGCAUAUUUCCAACACGCGAGCCUUGGUCUUUGGCUUCCUCCUGGGAUGAACCGGAUGGCCUGGGCUGCUGGUCUUUGCUGGGUUCCCUCAUGUGUGUUUUCGUGACAUUCCCUCCUCCUUGAGUCUUGGAUUGCCCCCAAGCCAGUGCUUGGGGAAAUCUUGAUCGGAGGGCCACUUCAUCUUCCCAUGUAGCAAGUGACAUAGGGAACCCCGACCAUUGAGUCAGCACUUGAUCAAUCUGCUUAGCUCAUCAAAGAACCUAGCGACAUUGCGGGAUUGAAGCGGGCACUUGAAAUGCCAAGAGAUCUUCAUCCACCACCGGUAGUUCGGGCAUCACUUGGGUGGUUGGUGGUAACCCAGCGCUCAGCUGAGACACAUGGAUACUGGGUGCAUCGGGGCUUAUUGUGGCGACACCAUCUUGUAUGCAACCUCCCAAACAUGGCCAGUAACCCAAAAGGGACCAAAGAAACGAAAAGCUAACUUGUGAUUACCUUGCGCAGCCACUGAUGACUGAGAAUAGGGCUGCAACUUGAGGUACACCCAAUCCCCAACCGAGAAUGCUCAAUCCGAGUGAUGCACAUAAGCUUUUCUCUUCAUCAUUUGCUUCCCUCGAUGGAGGUCAUGCUUAAGGAGUGACAGCAUGGUUGCCCGCUCGCAAGUCCACACCACCAAAUCUAUGACAAUUUUGUCAACAAUGUUGGAGAUGCCAAAGAAUCGAGGCUUGUGCCCGUACAAGACCUCAAAUGGGGAUGUCUUCAGUGUGGAAUGAUACGAAGUAUUAUACCAAAACUCAGCUAACGCUAGCCAUUCCACCCAUUUGCUCGGGCAAUUGUGAACAAAGCACCUUAGAGAGAGCUCCAUGGAUUGAUUGACUCUAUCUGUAGUUUCAAUAGUGUGUGGGUGUCGAGCCGAGGAAAUGUUGAGGGUGGUACGAGACAACCUACACAACUCAUGCUACACUUUGCUAGUGAAUACUCGAUCGGUCUGACACCAGCUUGUCCAGAGGCCCAUUCAACUUGAAGACAUUCUCCAUGUAUGCUUUUGCUACUUGUAGAGGACAGAAGGGAUGCCGGAGUGGGAUGAAAUGAGCAUACCACGUCAAUUUGUUCACCACGACGAGAAUUGAAGUAAGUCCCUUGGAUGUUGGCAAUUCUUCGACAAAGUCCAAGGUGACCAUCUUCGAGGCUUGCUAGGGGUACUCAAAGCGGUUGAAGCAGCCCUGGGUACUUUACAUGUUCUAGUUUGGCUUGUUUGCACACCUCACACUCAGAGAUGAACUUCUUCACAAACUGCUUCAAUUUAGGCUAAGCGAAUAGACGUAUCACACGGCUAUAUGUGACUUGGACACCGGAAUGCCCUCUAAUGGCUCUGGCAUGGAGUUCCGUAAGAAAUUGCUACUAUGCCUCCACAUUAGUACCCAACCAAACUCUGCCCUUGUAGUGAAUCACACCAUCCUUGACCAAAAAAGUCCCUUCUAGAGGAGCUCUGACCGCUUCUAAAGCCAGAAGGCGAGAACUGUAAGGGUCGUUCUUGUAGCCUUGCUUGACCAUGUUUAGAUAGUGUGGCACACACACCGAGACAACCUAUAGACUAGCCGCUACUCGUGGUUGAUGAGGAAGAGCAUCAUCCGCUAGAUUUGUUGCACCUUGUCGAUAUUCGAUCUUGUACUGCAGGCCCAACAGCUUUGUCAAAACCUUGUGUUGCCAUAGGGUGGUAAGCCGCUACUCGUCCAUGCAUCAGAGGCUCUGGUGGUCCGUGCAAAUAGUAAACUCAGAAAGCAACGGAUACGAAUGCCACCUAUCCACGGCCAUGAGAAUGGUCAUGCUCUCCUUUUUGUAAAUAGACAACACACAAUGCCGCGGACCAAGCGCUUGGAUGAGGAAGGCAAUAGGAUGGUGUUGUUGCAUUAACACCGCAAUAAUCCCCGUGUCCGAGGCGUCCAUUUCGACCACGAACGGUUUGGAGAAAUCAGGCAGAGCCAACACUGAUGCCGUGGAGAGACCUGUCUUCAAGCAGUGGAAGGCCUCUUGAUGCACAUUCAUCCAAAUGUAUGGGAUCCCUUUCUUUAGGAGCUUUGUGAGGGUCUUGCUAGUCACUCCAUAGUGUUUGAAGAACUUCCGGUAGUACCCUGCUAGCCCGAGGAACUACCUCAAUUCUUUGACUGAGGCUGGGGGUGCCCAUGCUUGUAUCUUCUUGAUAUUCGUGGAUCGUUAUGCACUCCUGCGGCGCUAAUGACAUGCCCGAGGUAACGCAACUGAGGUUGAGCAAACACACACUUUGACAUCUUCACGUUCAAUGAGUGUUGAUCCAGCAGUUGAAAAGCUGACUAUAGCAACAACACGUGCUUCUCCAAAGUUCCGCUAUACACAAGGACGUCGUCUCUGAAGACCAAGACGCCCUCCCAAAGGAGUGGUCUUAGCACCACCUGCAUGCCUUUCUGCAAGGUUGAAGUACACCCCCCGUGACCCCAUAUGGCAUCACCUUGAACUCAAAGUGCCCAUGAUGUGUUUGGAAGGCAGUUUUUGCUUCAUCCUCGAGAUGCAUGCGGAUCUGGUGAUAUCCAGCCCGAAGAUCUAGGCUGGUAUACACAGUUGCCCCUUGCAACUCUUCGAGCAAUUCAUCAAUAAUUGGAAUUGGAAAACAGCUCUUGAUGGUGAUCGCAUUGAGGAAGCGAUAAUCGAUGCAAAACCUCCAUUCGCCAUCUUUCUUGUGCACCAACAACAUGUGUGACAAAAAUGGGCUACGACUGGGCUGCAUGAUUCCUUGUCUUAGCAUCUCAAGCACCUGAGCUUUGAUUUCAUCCUUCUGUGCCGGGUUAUAUCAAUGCGGUUGUCGGUUCCUCAAAUUCCCUUGGUAGCAGGACUGACGGUUCCUCAAAUAAUUCCACAAACUUGCCCAGAAGUUCUUCAAGUACUACCGGAAUUGGAGCCCCCUCGAGAUCAGGUUUGCCAACAGACAACAACAAUACAUGGGCUACAUCGGUACGGGCUUGUAACAAGUGGAAUUCAGCUGCUGAAAUUGCUUGACAAUGGUGGAUGCCCUGCGAAUUCCCAGUCAAUUGGAUGACCUCCCCUUUGUGUUUAAAUGUCAUGUGGUUGUUACUCCAAUUAACCGUCAUCACUCCUCUUGACACGAGACAGUCCAUAUCCAACACAAUGUCAUAAUAUCCCAAUGGAAAAAGGUUGAAAGUAGAUCGGAACUGAAAGCCUUGAAUGAUGUACUCACAUAGCGGCAGCUCACGAUUACAACUCGUUACUACCCCAUCUGCGACCUUUACCCUGAGGGAGUUUUGCAUUGGUUGAAUUCCAGGCCAGGACUAAACUAUCUUAAUGUUGAUGAAACUAUGUGAGCUUCAAGAAUAAACGAGCAUCAGGAGAACCUUGUCACCAAUCUGCCCAGAUAACCUGAACGCCAUCGGGGCCUCUGUACCACUGACCGUUGUAGUAGAUAGUAAGCACAUGUCGUCUUUGGAAAACUUUCCACAGCAAGUUGUGCUGCAUCUCAUGAGGAUGGGGUGAGAACAUGCCCACUAGUUCUUCCUCAACAUGGAGCUGCACUGUGGCUGCACAAGUGUGUCCAGGAUUCCAGCUCUCCCCACAAGUGAAGCACAACCCUCUGGCCUUGCGGAAGUCUUGUAGGGCCUUAAGUUUUUCGUUUGUUGGCAAUGUCAACAACUCUCUGCAUCUCCAAGCGUGUGGGGGUUGGCAAAGAGUUGGCAGUUCGACAACCCCCUGUUAUUGAUGGUAGGCUCACCGCAACUGGCGGUCAUGGGAAGGCACACCUAGGUCGAGCCUGAGAGGACUCAGCUCGUUGCGAUGCCACGCUCUCCUGCUCCUCGCGCACCAACACCACCAGCUCUUCCUGCAAUUCAGCAAGAGACACAUCCUGACAACCACUUUGAUCAUAAUUCUAAUAGUAGGUUCCCAUCCAUCAUACAACUUUGUAGGAAUACAGACUUCUAACUCAAGUUUCUCAUCAUAGGCUUUUACCAUAGCUUCUACUAUAUGUUGAGUAAAAGAUUUAUUUUUUUCUUAAGCAUUGGGUGAGAUAAUGAUGGAUUGCAACAAGGACAUAAGUUCUACUAAAGAACAAUUAUCAUAAUUAAAAUCCUCGACAUCCAAGAUAGUGGGCACAUCACUAGUUAAAGUUUUAACCUUUCCAAAGCCACUUUUUCAGUUUUAUCAUUAUAGUCAUCACCCUCCAAGAAAUUGGGACACUCUCUAACUAGAGUUGACUCAUCUCUAGUCCCAUUAUCAUUUAUUUUUAGAGAAGUAAACAAAGAUUCAAUAGAAUAAGUACCAAGCAUUUUAUGAUAUUCAUCAUGAUUCCGGUAAAAACUGCGUGGAAAGGCUUUUUCUAGGAAUUCCUGCUUAGCUUUCAACUUGGCGGUCCUCUCCCUACUUUCAUUGAUAGACAUUUGGAUAGAUUUAAUAGUCUAAUUAAAGACAUGCUUUGGUGGCAAAGUUUUACUUUUUAGAGUUUCUAGCCAAAUCAUCAAUUUAUGCAACUUUUCCUCUACCAUAGUAUUGAAAACCUUUUAUGAAUUAAUGGAUUAUUCAAUGGUGCUUUUAAGAUCAUAGGAUACCUUAUUAUUAUUUGUAGAAGGAUUUGCAUAAGAAUUUCCAUAUGAGUUCCCAUAACCUUUUGAGGAGUUACCGGGAUAUGGCCUAGUAUUGAAAUUACCUCUAUAGGCAUUGUUACUAAAUUUAUUUCAUGAGAUAAAAUUCACAUCCAUGGAAUUAUAAUUUUGCUCAAUAAAAGUAAACAAGGCCAUGUCAUUAGGAUCAAGGUGAGAAUUUUUAUCACCAACCAAAUUCAUAAGAGCAUAAACGUUUUCACUCAAAGUAGCGAUUUCCUCAACAAAGUUUACCUUCUUACUAGUUGGAGCUCUUUUAUUAUGCCACUCAGAGUGGCUUGUCAUGAUGUUGUCCAGAAGUUUGGUGGCCUCUCCUAAGGUCACCUCAAUGAAAGUACCCCCUGCGGCAAAAUCUAGAAGAUUUCUAGAUAGAAAGUUUGGUCCAGCAUAGAAAUAUUGGAUAAUCAUCCACAAGUUUAAACCAUGAGUAGGGAAAUUUCUAAUCAUCAAUUUCAUCCACUCCCAAGCUUGUGCAACAUGUUCAUGAUCAUGCUGUUUAAAAUUCAUUAUAUGAUUUCUAAGGGAGUUGAUCUUAGCAGGAGGAAAAUACUUGGUAAUAAAAGUAUCUUAACACUUAUCCCAUGUUCCAAUACUAUUACGUGGUAAAGAUGAUAAGCUAGAUUUACCUUUAUCUCUUAGUGAAAAAGGAAAUAACUUUAACUUCACAACAUAAUUAUCCAUGUGCUUUCAAUUUGCACAUCACGGAGUUCAACAAAGUUAUCAAGACGAGUAGCGGGAUACUCAUUAGGACUUCCCAAAAAUUGUUCUUUCAUGACAAGAUUCAACAAUGCAACAUUUGUAUCACAAGCCUCCUUACUAGUGGCGUGUGUGAUAGGAGUACUAUUAAAAUCAUGUUUAUUAGUAUUUGAAAAGUCACACAACUUAGUAGUAUCUUGAGACAUGGUGAUCGAGCAAGCAAAGUAACUAGUAGGACAAGUAAACUAUCAAGCAAAGCGAGCAAAGAAGUAAACUAGCAACUAGCAAAGAUAAAUAUUUUUGUAUUUUUGAUUUUUAUCAAGUAAGAAAAAUAUAACAAAAAAUAAAAAGUAGAACAAGUGAAUGAUAAUUUGUCUGAAGUUACUUGAUAGUGUUGGGGAACGUUGCAUGGGAAACAAAAAAUUCCUACACACACCAAGAUUAGUCUAUGAAGAUCACCAUCUACGAGUGGAGAGAUUGGAUCUACAUACCUUUGUAGAUCUCUAAGCGGAAGCGUUUACGAAAACAGUUGAUGUAGUGGUAUGUGUUUGCGAUCCAAUCAUGAACCGUCUCGCAAUCUCUCGAUCAAGGGCCGAACAGACGACACCUCCACGUUCAACACACGUACAACUUGGUGACGCAUUCACCUCCUCAAUCUAGCGAGUGAUGGUGAAGUAGAAGCCUGAGUCCUCCGAGAACAUGCCGGCAUGGUGAGGUGUUGGUGGUGACAACUCGACAUGGCUUUGCCGUGGGGUUAUGGAGGAGAGAAACUGCGAGGGAGAGGAGGGGGCAGCGCCACGGCAAGAUUGUUGUGUGGCUGCCCCCUCGCUACCUCUCUAUAUAUAGGAGGAAGGGAGAGAGGAGGGCGCCCUAGGGUUACCCACUAGUGCCCGACGGCCAAGGGAGGGGGAAGCGGCGGCUAGGGUUAGGGUGCCCCCCUCCCCCACUUGGGUGCCUUGCCACCCAAGUUGGGUUGGCGGCACCCCAAGGAGGCCCACCCUGUUGGAAAUAUGCCUUAGAGGCAAUAAUACAUUAGUUAUUAUUAUAUUUCCUUGUUCAUGAUAAUCGUUUAUUAUCCGUGCUAGAAUUGUAUUGAUUGGAAACUCAAAUACAUGUGUGGAUACAUAGACAACACACUGUCCUAGUGAGCCUCUAGUUGACUAGCUCGUUGAUCAAAGAUGGUCAAUGAUGAGAACAUCAACACCAUUGUUACACCCACAACCCCAGCUGUUAUACAUAUUGGACUAGUUACUAGAGCUCAUGCACGCCAAUUGAAUUACCAGGUACUUUCGUUUCUUGGGAAUACUUCUAAUGUUCAUGAACAUAUGAUGUUGCCUAAGUUAGAUACUUUUGUUGUGCUCAUGAAUGAAGGAGCUAGCAUGGACAAGAAGGAUAUCCGUUGGAGCGGGAUCAAACAUGGACAAGAAGGUGCACGCGCGCGAGAGAACAAUGGAGCUUCCACUGGUGGUUUUCGCACUCUAAAGCCACCAUAAGGAGAGCAUGAAGGCUUUGGACGAAAUAUUCAAGACACCACUUUAUAAAUUUCGUCCAUAGGCUAUUACAGGUGUUGCACCACCUUAUUUUCGGGCCAGUCCCAUGUAAUUUCGAAAUACCAUAAUAUAGGGUAAUUUUAGAGUCCGUAUGUGUGUGGAAACCGAGUUUAGGGCUGUUUUCAGACCCCUCCUCCAAGGGUCAUGGAAUUGCCUCUCUAGUCACUCAUAUAUACAGCCCUUAGGGCACCGUUUAGAUUUGGGUUUUGUUUAAAUUACAAGUUCCCAAAGCUGCAACUUCGCGUUCUUCGUUUGUGUUCUACGACCAGACAAAGGCGUCACAGAACCCUACCUUCAUCAAUAAAGCUUUCCUCUUAUAUUCGCAAUAUCUUGAUUGCAUCUUGGUUUCUUGCUUGAUCUUCGUUUGCGUGCAGGAAACAUACCUUUGUGGUCAGGUUGAUCGUGCUCCGGCAUGGUCAAUAGCCUCUCGGAGUUGGUUUAGCAAUUGCUAAGGAGCGACGUCCUCACACGUUCCUAGUCGGAUCGUCAAAGUCUACUCCACCAAAAUGAUACCCACGAUCUCAUCGAAAGACAGGGACAACUUCGCCUCUAUCAAGUGGUAUGAAAUUUCCAGGUUGCUUGGUGAGAUUUUACCAGUUUUCGUAGUUAGAUCCCAUUUGUUCUUCAUACCUAUAGUCCACGAAAAAUCCAUAAAAAGUUAGGGUUAGAUCAUCAUAUCCGAACAAAUCUGAGCCUUUGCAUAGUCUUUUCAGUAGUUCGCUUUGUUGAAAUUGCGGUUACAUCGUCGUGUCGAGUUGCUGGUCUUAGUGUCUAGUUCUUUAGGGUUUCGAGUUCUGUUCACAGGUUGUCACGCUGCCACCGCACUAUCUUUCAUCGCUGCCAUAUAACACCUCCACACUACCAUCAUCGCUGCUGCCAUAUACCACCACCACGCCACCAUUAUCCUUGCUGCCAUAUACCACCACCAUAUAUCCACCACAAUCCUUCUCGCCUUAGGUUAAUUUUGAGAUCCUUUUGCUUUAGGUUUCGCGUUUCCGUACCUGAGUAGGUUUCGGAAAAAACGAGUCUGGCACGCUUUCCACAUCACUUUUUAGGCCAAAAUUUUGAGUGGUGAAUUUUUCCCCCUAUCGUUUUGUUAGGCUUUUUAGAGAGUUUUGAGAUACUCGCCAUCAUAGUGAUUUUUGGCGCAAUUUUUGGUCCUCGCAGCCCCGAAUUGCUCCAAAAAUAAUAAUAAUAAUUGUCAAUUUUUUUCAUGCCUAUCCUGUUUUUGGUCCUUGGGAAGAGUUUUGAGACACUCGCCAUUAUAGUGAUUUUCUGGAAAAAAAGCGCAGAAAAAAAGAGUGCAAAAAAGAGAAAAAAAGAUCAGAGUGGCUCUUCCCUUGAUUAGUACGUGUCGUCGUGACUUCAUUCGUGUUCUAGGCUCGCGUCUCUAGUAGGUCUAGCAUAGGACCAACACGGUACCAUCGUUGAGCGUCUUUUCAAUUUUGCAUCUCUGAACUGAUUAUUGCUGACCCUUCUUGCUACCGUAUUAUAAGCCUUUCCAGCUCCACAUACAUCGACAUCGUGUGUUUGAAACCACCUGGCAAUCGCUCUAUCCAAGCUUUGAGAGUUUUGACUACACCGGUUGCCGAUCGCCACCUACUGCUAGGUAAGAAUUGGUAAGAAAUUGAGAUUUGCUUGACGGAUUUGUGACACACCACCACCACCACUUCCUAGUAGUCUGUAGGUUCAUAUUCUUCUGUGUUCCUAUUGCUGCUAACCAUGCCAGGAUCAUACGACGAGGAGAUCGACUGGGAGAACCUGACCAACCGGGAGCUCCAUUAUAAAUUUCAGCAAAUGAUGUCUGACCAGGUACAUGAUUUCGUGGCCACCUUUGGAGAGGCCAUGGACAAGCUCGAAUGUAUGGAGAAGAAAUUCGACACCAAGAUGAGUGCCAAGUUAAAUGAGGUGCUUGCCCGUUUACCACCACCAGCUGCAGCUUAUGUCCCUCUUCAACCACAACCACAACGACUACGAGCGCGACGUGUGCUUGUCGGAUUCUAUGGCUGAGAAGAAUGAGGAUUAUGAUGAUGAUUAUGAUGGUGAUUACGGUGAUGAGGGAUAGGUUGCUCCAGUUCCGCACCUGGAACAACAACCACCACGAUAAGCCGCUGGUCGUCCACAUGGAUACAAUCGCAAUGGUAGGGAUGCACCACACCCUCAGGUACGGGAUCAUGACCAUCUCCCUAAACUUAAAUUGAAUAUUCCUACUUUUGAUGGUCAAUAUGUUCCUCAUAUAUAUCUUACUUGGGAGUUAGAAACAGAGCAACGUUUUACAUGCUUGCAAUUUCCUGAAGAUAGGCAUGUUGCUGCUGUUGUUUGUUCUUUCACUAGUUUUGCUUGUGUUUGGUGGUCUGAAUAUUGUCGAAUACAUCAUGCUAAUAUUCAAACUAGUUGGGCUGCUUUGAAAACUGCUAUGCGUNNNNNNNNNNNNNNNNNNNNNNNNNNNNNNNNNNNNNNNNNNNNNNNNNNNNNNNNNNNNNNNNNNNNNNNNNNNNNNNNNNNNNNNNNNNNNNNNNNNNGAAUUCAAUCUUUAUGGAGUAUUUGGAUAAAUUCGUCGUAGUAUACCUCGAUGAUAUUCUCAUCUACUCCAAGAAUGAACAAGAGCAUGCCGAGCAUCUAAGGCUGGUAUUGAUGAAACUUCGAGAGCAUCGCCUUUAUGCCAAAUUUUCAAAAUGUGAAUUUUGGUUACCAGAAGUGACCUAUCUAGGCCACGUAAUCUCUUGUAAGGGUAUUGCUGUCAAUCCCAAGAGAGUUCAAGCUGUCCUUGAUUGGACUCAACCUGAAUCGGUUAAGCAAGUUAGGAGUUUUCUUGGUCUAGCGAGCUAUUGUCGCCGCUUCGUCGAGAAUUUCUCCAAGGUUGCAAAGCCUCUGACUGAACUCCUCAAGAAGGAUAAAAAGUUCGAGUGGACACCACAGUGUGAGCAUAGUUUUCAGGAACUGAAAAGAUGCCUCACCUCCGCACCUGUGUUGCUACCACCAGAUUUUUCUAAGGACUUUGUUCUCUAUUGCGACGCCUCGCGACAAGGAUUAGGUUGCAUUCUCAUGCAAGAUCGUCAUCUGAUCGCAUACGCAUCUCGACAGUUGCGUCCACAUGAGGAUAAUUAUCCCACACAUGACCUUGAGCUUGCAGCUGUGGUCCAUGCACUAAAACCCUGGCGACAUUACCUUCUGGGUAAUCGUUGCGAAAUAUUCACUGAUCACCAAAGUCUGAAAUAUAUCUUCACCCAGCCAGAUUUGAAUCUCAGGCAAAGACGGUGGGUUGAGUUGAUCUCGGAUUACGACUUAGGGAUAACUUACACCCCGGGGAAGGCCAAUGUUAUGGCCGAUGCACUAAGUCGUAAAUCUUAUUGUAACAAUCUGAUGCUACAACAAGGUCAACCACUUCUCCAUGAGGACUUUCGGAAGUUGAAUCUUCAUAUUGUUCCUCAAGGAUUCCUUUCUACCCUGGUGGCGAAGCCUACUCUUAAGGAUCAAAUUAUAGCUGGCCAAAAGCGUGACAAGGGUAUAUCACGGAUCAAGGAGAAUAUUUUUAGCGGAAACGCUAAAGAAUUUUCCAUGAAUGAUCAAGGUGUGGUAUUCUUCCAGAAUCGUUUAGUGGUUCCUAAGGACCCACAUCUAAGGCAGUUAAUUCUUAAGGAGGCUCAUGAUUCCCCUCUCACCAUUCAUCCCGGUAGUACUAAGAUGUAUCAGGACCUACGCCAGAGGUUCUGGUGGACUAGGAUGAAGAGAGAAAUUGCUGAGUUCGUUGCUAACUGCGACGUUUGUCAUCGAGUUAAGGCAGAACAUCAAAAGCCUGCUGGCACCCUUCAACCUUUAGCUAUUCCUGAAUGGAAAUGGGAUAAAGUUAGCAUGGAUUUCAUUACUGGAUUUCCCAAGACCAAGAAAGGAAAUAAUGCUAUCUUUGUGGUCAUUGACCGUCUUUCCAAAGUGGCUCAUUUUCUUCCUGUUCGUGAGAGUAUAACAGCUAGCCAGCUAGCAGAGUUAUAUAUCUCUCGAAUAGUGUCUCUUCAUGGUGUUCCCCUGGAAAUUAACUCGGACCGUGGAAGUAUCUUUACUUCUCGAUUCUGGGAAAGUUUUCAGAAUGCCAUGGGGACUCACUUAUCUUUUAGCACUGCUUUCCAUCCCCAGUCAAGUGGUCAAGUAGAAAGAGUUAAUCAAAUCCUAGAAGAUAUGCUCCGAGCUUGUGUUAUUUCGUUCGGUAUGAAUUGGGAGAAGUGCCUUCCAUUCGCCGAAUUCGCUUAUAACAAUAGUUAUCAAUCCAGCCUGGGCAAAGCCCCUUUUGAAGUUCUCUAUGAACGAAGAUGUCGAACACAUCUUAAUUGGUCAGAAACCGGAGAGAGGCAACUUUUUGGCCCGGACAUGAUCCAGGAUGCAGAAGAGCAGGUUCGCAUUAUUCAUGAAAAGUUGAAAACAGCCCAGUCUCGUCAAAAGAGCCAAUAUGAUCGUCAUCAUAAGGCUGUGACCUUUGAAGUUGACGAGAAGGCUUACCUUCGGGUUACACCUUUGAAGGGUACCCAUCGUUUCGGUAUCAAGGGCAAGUUGGCUCCUCGUUACAUUGGACCUUUCCGCAUUCUUGCCAAACGAGGAGAAGUUUCCUACCAGUUGGAACUUCCUCCGCAUCUUUCCAGGGUUCAUGAUGUUUUCCACGUCUCGCAACUCAGGCGUUGCUUUUCGGAUCCCAUCCGUGAAGUGGACCACGAAACGCUUGAUCUCCAAGAUAACCUUUCUUACCGAGAAUACCCCGUGCGUAUUCUUGAUCAAGCUGAGCGUACCACUCGACGUCGAAACCUCAAGUUUCUUAAAGUUCAAUGGUCAAAUCAUUCUGAAAAGGAGGCAACUUGGGAAAGAGAGGAUCGUCUCCGACUUGAAUAUCCUGCGUUAUUUCCGACGACUUCUAAAUCUCGGGACGAGAUUCUUUUGAGUGGUGGUGAGUUGUCACAUCCCUAAAACAUUAAGCUAGAUAGCAUUGUGCUCCUGUCUUCUUUGCAUUUGCAUCUAAGAAGUUUUAACAAAAACAACAAAGUGGCAAAGGAAAAACUCUAAACUCUAGCCACCAUUUCAAUUAAAGGAAAUUUCAAACUAGUUCAAAAUCAAUGAACCCAAAAUGGCCUCAAGAAAUGUUCAAACUUUCUGAUAAAUCAUGAAAGUAAAUGAGCAUUGGAGAAAACUAAUUCCUUGGCACUUCAAGCAUUUUAAAUAAAUGCAAAAGCCACUGGUUUCAAAUCUAAAAAUUUGAAAACAGAAGCUAUAAUUUUCCAAAAAUGUUGAAAGUCUUGGAAAUGAGUGGGGACAUUAUAACAAAUAUUUCAGGAGGUUUAAAAUAGUUUUUACUUUUUGUUUUGGAGCUGAAAUAAUUAGCAAAGCAAUAAAUAGCAAAACAGAAAAACAAAAACAGAAGAAAAAGGAAAAGUCUUACCUGACGCCCACGCCAGGCCCAGCCCACCUCGCCGCUCGUCCCCUUCCCCGCGCCAGUAGGCAGCAGGAGGUGGCCGCCGCCUCCUCCGGCGCGGCCACGCACCUGCGUGCCUGCCUGGCCGCCGGUUCACGCUGGCGACGGCGGGGAUAAGCUCCCCAGAGCCUCCCCUAUCCAUUCCNNNNNNNNNNNNNNNNNNNNNNNNNNNNNNNNNNNNNNNNNNNNNNNNNNNNNNNNNNNNNNNNNNNNNNNNNNNNNNNNNNNNNNNNNNNNNNNNNNNNNNNNNNNNNNNNNNNNNNNNNNNNNNNNNNNNNNNNNNNNNNNNNNNNNNNNNNNNNNNNNNNNNNNNNNNNNNNNNNNNNNNNNNNNNNNNNNNNNNNNNNNNNNNNNNNNNNNNNNNNNNNNNNNNNNNNNNNNNNNNNNNNNNNNNNNNNNNNNNNNNNNNNNNNNNNNNNNNNNNNNNNNNNNNNNNNNNNNNNNNNNNNNNNNNNNNNNNNNNNNNNNNNNNNNNNNNNNNNNNNNNNNNNNNNNNNNNNNNNNNNNNNNNNNNNNNNNNNNNNNNNNNNNNNNNNNNNNNNNNNNNNNNNNNNNNNNNNNNNNNNNNNNNNNNNNNNNNNNNNNNNNNNNNNNNNNNNNNNNNNNNNNNNNNNNNNNNNNNNNNNNNNNNNNNNNNNNNNNNNNNNNNNNNNNNNNNNNNNNNNNNNNNNNNNNNNNNNNNNNNNNNNNNNNNNNNNNNNNNNNNNNNNNNNNNNNNNNNNNNNNNNNNNNNNNNNNNNNNNNNNNNNNNNNNNNNNNNNNNNNNNNNNNNNNNNNNNNNNNNNNNNNNNNNNNNNNNNNNNNNNNNNNNNNNNNNNNNNNNNNNNNNNNNNNNNNNNNNNNNNNNNNNNNNNNNNNNNNNNNNNNNNNNNNNNNNNNNNNNNNNNNNNNNNNNNNNNNNNNNNNNNNNNNNNNNNNNNNNNNNNNNNNNNNNNNNNNNNNNNNNNNNNNNNNNNNNNNNNNNNNNNNNNNNNNNNNNNNNNNNNNNNNNNNNNNNNNNNNNNNNNNNNNNNNNNNNNNNNNNNNNNNNNNNNNNNNNNNNNNNNNNNNNNNNNNNNNNNNNNNNNNNNNNNNNNNNNNNNNNNNNNNNNNNNNNNNNNNNNNNNNNNNNNNNNNNNNNNNNNNNNNNNNNNNNNNNNNNNNNNNNNNNNNNNNNNNNNNNNNNNNNNNNNNNNNNNNNNNNNNNNNNNNNNNNNNNNNNNNNNNNNNNNNNNNNNNNNNNNNNNNNNNNNNNNNNNNNNNNNNNNNNNNNNNNNNNNNNNNNNNNNNNNNNNNNNNNNNNNNNNNNNNNNNNNNNNNNNNNNNNNNNNNNNNNNNNNNNNNNNNNNNNNNNNNNNNNNNNNNNNNNNNNNNNNNNNNNNNNNNNNNNNNNNNNNNNNNNNNNNNNNNNNNNNNNNNNNNNNNNNNNNNNNNNNNNNNNNNNNNNNNNNNNNNNNNNNNNNNNGUACGGGUUACUCUCAGAUAGGCGAUAAACCUGGACUAGGUACUAGUGUGGUUAACGGUCGUGGCCGACUCCCUCGCUGGGCUUCCGCUUGAAGGUUGCCGAGGUGCAUGACGUGCACAUGGCGAUAAGUGGCGGGAGCGUGUGUGACGAAGUACACCCCUGCAGGGUUAUGAUCUAUUCGAAUAGCCGCGUCCGCGGAUAUGGACUACUUGGAGACAUAUGUUGUUCAUAGAUAACUUAAAUGGCUACUCCUAAAAUUGUCAAGAUAAGCGUGAGUGUCGUGGACGGCAUUUCCGUAUGGAGACGGAAUGAUUCCAUGAUAGUGUAUUGUUGUGGUGUUAGUGGACUCGUGUGCGAGAAAACAAGUUGUCAAAACUAAUUUCAAAAAGCAAAUGGUCUAGCCAUGAGUCAAAUGCUGGCUUUCCGCAUGAAACCCCACAACACCUUCUUGAUACCUUGCAUGAGUAGUUAGCCAUCCUAAAGUCUUGUUGAGUACCUUCGUACUCAUGUUUGUUUAAUAAAUGUUGCAGAGGUUGCUAAUGACCCUAAUGGAGGGUUCUUCGUAGACAUCGACGACGACGAGUAGCUGGUGUCCCAGCUACGACCUGGCCCUACGUCGGCUCUGUAGUAUAGUCAGGCCAUGUGCCUUCUAGUUGCUUUGUCUGUACCCAGACAGUUUAUAACUCUUCCGCUGGUUUGUAUUUGUAUGACUGCUAUUAUGGGUCGAGAGACCCUUAAUGUGUAAUAUUAUGUGUGUGGCUCUUCCGAGCCUCUUAAAUAAAGCUUGUAUGUUUAUGGUUAUGUUGUGAUGCCAUCGAUGUAUCUAUACAUAUCGGUAUGCCAUGCGUACGUGUGUCUUACUUGAUAUGUAUGGGGUUCGAAUACCUAGUCGUGAACUUUAGUAGUACUCCUUACAAGGAAAUGCCCCUUUGUGAUCCAACGAGCCUUGGUAGUUCGCUACUGCUACGGACACAUUGGUUGACCGGCAUGUGUCCUUCUUAGCUGCUGUGUCUGUCCCCUUUGGGGAAAUGUCACGCGACGUAAUGGAGUCCUUGUAGCUUGCUACGACUCGCCUACGUUCGUUGAUGACCGACACCUGCUUUGUUGGGUCAUGUAUGCCUGUCCUUGUGCGGAACUGCCACUUUGGUUUAUGACUAGACAUGUCGAUCCGGGUUCUUUGACAUUGGAUUGCUAGCGACACUAUCGCAUACGUGAGUCAAAAGACGCAAACGGUCCCGGCUAAGGUAAGGCUGCAGCCGUGGAGUUAACCGUGCGUGAGACCACAAAGGGAUGCGAUGUGUUACAGGCUGGAUUCCUAUGGCUUACAAUAAGAUUGAGCCCUGAUAGUCUGAGCCCUGAGCUCCGUCGAGACCUGCGCCUCCAUGAGUGUGCAAGCUUUCAAGCCCUGGUCAACAAAGCGAUCAGUGCAGAGACUGGUCAUACUGACUUCGAAGCCACAAGGAAGCACUCCCGUGACUUUGGCUCGUCCUCUGGUUCCGCGUUUCCAAAAAGCAGGCUGUGGGUUCCAAACAGUUCUCUGCCGCCAAGAUACACUCCAAGGCCAUCCUACGUGGCGCCUCAGACGAAUCAGGCAAAUCCUCCAGCAAAAGCUUAUGGUGGUCCAGCUAGCAAUGCUGCACCACGUGCCAACCAGGUGAUUUGCUACAAGUGUGGAGAACCAGGGCAUUAUUCCCGUGAGUGUCCUCAGAAUGUGGGUGCCAAGCAACCCGGAUAGUCCGUCGGGCAGGCCAAGUCGGGCAAAGCGUUUUAUGUGAAGCCAACUCCUGCACGUGGCCGUGUGAACUAUGUGUUAGCAGAAGAAGCUGCAGAGGAUCCCGACGUCAUGCUGGGUACGCUUCUUGUUAAUCAUCACCCAGCGUCCGUUCUCUUUGACACUGGGUCUUCUCAUUCCUUCAUUUCAGAAAGUUAUGCACAGUUGCAUAACAUGUCAUUUUGUGAUAUGCCAAUCCCAUUGGUUGUCCAAACCCCUGGUAGUAAAUGGCAAACCUUUAGGAUAACCUAUGAUAAUGAGAUUCUAGUAGACAGGCUAGUUUUUCUAGCCUCAUUUAUAGCAUUGAAAUCUUCGGAUAUUAAUAUCAUCUUGGGCAUGGACUGGUUAUCAGCUCACUAUGCCAAGAUUGAUACUCACUCUAGAAAUGUCCAGCUUACCCAUCCCUCGGGUGAGAUAGUUAAUGUCUCUACUCGAGUUGCCAAAUGCCAGCUCUAUUCCCUAAAUGCCAACCCUCUUCCGGAACUUGAAGACAUUCCGGUAGUCCGUGACUUCCCGGAUGUUUUUCCAGAGGAACUGCCAGGAAUUCCACCUGACAGAGAUGUAGAGUUUGUGAUAGAUCUCGUUCCGGGAACUGUCCCAAUAGCCAAAAGACCUUAUAAGAUGGCACCCCUGGAGCUAGCCGAACUUAAGAAGCAAUUAGAUGAGGCCUUGAACAAGGGUUUCAUUCGUCCUAGCUCUUCUCCUUGGGCUUGUCCCGUCCUCUUCGUCAAGAAGAAAGACGGAACGGAUCGGAUGGUUGUAGAUUACCGACCAGUUAACCUGGUCACCAUAAAGAACAAGUAUCCGCUCCCCAGGAUCAACGAUCUGUACGAUCAGCUCGCUGGAUCCUCAGUCUUCUCCAAAAUGGAUUUGAGGUUGGGAUACCAUCAAAUCAAGAUUAAGAACGGGGACAUUCCAAAAACGGCCUUUGUUACCCGUUAUGGCCAAUAUGAGUACACCGUUAUGUCCUUCGGGUUAACCAAUGCCCCAGCCACCUUCUCUCGGCUGAUGAAUUCAAUCUUUAUGGAGUAUUUGGAUAAAUUCGUCGUAGUAUACCUCGAUGAUAUUCUCAUCUACUCCAAGAAUGAACAAGAACAUGCCGAGCAUCUAAGGCUGGUAUUGAUGAAACUUCGAGAGCAUCGCCUUUAUGCCAAAUUUUCAAAAUGUGAAUUUUGGUUACCAGAAGUGACCUAUCUAGGCCACGUAAUCUCUGGUAAGGGUAUUGCUGUCAAUCCCAAGAGAGUUCAAGCUGUCCUUGAUUGGACUCAACCUGAAUCGGUUAAGCAAGUUAGGAGUUUUCAUGGUCUAGCGAGCUAUUGUCGCCGCUUCGUCGAGAAUUUCUCCAAGGUUGCAAAGCCUCUGACUGAACUCCUCAAGAAAGAUAAACAGUUCGAGUGGACACCACAGUGGGAGCAUAGUUUUCAGGAACUGAAAAGACGCCUGACUUCCGCACCUGUGUUGCUACCACCAGAUUUUUCUAAGGACUUUGUUAUCUAUUGCGACGCCUCGCGACAAGGAUUAGGUUGCAUUCUCAUGCAAGAUCGUCAUGUGAUCGCAUACGCAUCUCGACAGUGUCGGGACCCCGAUCCUAAGCCAUAGGAAUCCAGCCUGUGACACAUCGCAUCCCUUUGUGGUCUCACGCACGGUUAACUCCACGGCUGCAGUCUUACCUUAGCCGGGACCGUUUGCAUCUUUUGACUCACGUAUGCNNNNNNNNNNNNNNNNNNNNNNNNNNNNNNNNNNNNNNNNNNNNNNNNNNNNNNNNNNNNNNNNNNNNNNNNNNNNNNNNNNNNNNNNNNNNNNNNNNNNAGCCUCCCCUAUCCAUUCCCCGCCUCGGUUCUCCUCCUCCGCCCGGAUCCCCUCCUUCUCCCUGCUGCCGCCAUUAGAGCCGAGCUCGAGCUCGAGCUGGCCGUUGCCCUGGCCACAGGAACCCCUCCCCGAGCACGCCUUUAAAUCCGCCUCGUCGCCUUGGUCGUCUCUGCAGAAGCCAAAGUCCCCUCGAGCCCUGCAACGCCCGCAACGCCGUCGUCUUCUUCCUCCGGCCGCCGGACAUCUCCCGUCGAUUCAUCGCCCCCAGGCCUUCCCCGAGCCGUCUGAGCUCUUCUCUGCACUCCCUGUGAGCAUGCGGUGGUUUCCCCUAAGCUUUCCCCGUCGAUCCCCUUCUCUAGCCCUAGUUUCACCGGAGGCCGACGAGCACCGCCGCUGCCGCUCGUCGCCGGUAGCCCUCCGAUGUCCAGCUCGUCCUCCCGUGAGCACCAGAAGCUCCAGGAUGACGUGUAGAUGCCGUAGCAGCUAAGAUCUAAGCGUGGAUCCCCCUGAUUCGAAGCCCCGACGACGGCCGAGCUUCGUCCGCCGCUCCGGCUCGUCGCCGACGCCUCUUCCGGCGACCCUAGCCUCCCCAGUUGGUCCUGGCAGAUCGGCCGCUUCGCGAGCUUGCUGUAGCUGCUAUCCGCGUGCGAUUUGGUGCUGUGUAGCGCCAUCUAGGCCGCCUCCGGCGAGCCCUCCGCCGCGGGUUUGGUCGCCGGCGACCACCCUCCGGUGGCCGUCGACGUGGCCGGCCAUUAGGGCCUAAUCGCCCUCCUCUGAGUCGCUGCCAGAGGGCCCCACGCCUGGUCAAACCCCAAUUAGGGGCUGGUCAGCGCGGGAUUAGUCCCAGAGAGGCUGACCAGUGGGUCCCCCCUGUCAGGUUUGACCUGCACAGGUCGGCUGACCUGCUGACGUCAGCCUGAUGCAAUAAAUAGAAUUUCCAGUUUAAAACUAAUUUAGGAAAUUGCUAAAAAUUGCAAAAAUCAUAGAAAUUAAUCUGUAACUCCAAUGAAAAUAAUUUAUAUAUGAAAAAGUAUCAGAAAAAUUCAAGGAUUCUGAUUAUGCUAUUUUCAUCUAUGUUUGAAAAAGUUACNNNUCAGCGCGGGAUUAGUCCCCGAGAGGCUGACCAGUGGGGCCCCCCAGUCAGGUUUGACCUGCACAGGUCGGCUGACCUGCUGACGUCAGCCUGAUGCAAUAAAUGGAAUUUCCAGUAUAACAAUAAUUCAGGAAAUUGCUAAAAAUUGCAAAAAUCAUAGAAAUUAAUCUGUAACUCCAAUGAAAAUAAUUUAUAUAUGAAGAAGUAUCAGAAAAAUUCAAGGAUUCUGAUUAUGCUAUUUUCAGCUAUGUUUGAAAAAGUUACAGAACCCUAAAUUGUGAAAUAAGGAAUACUUCAAUUCUUUUAAUCACUUUAUAAAUGGAAUUUGCAAAAAUAUCCAAAUUUCAUUAUAAAUACAAUAAUCACACACUGCCCUAGAGGUAAAUCAGUACCAUAACAUGACAUUCAUGCAUGUUAACAUUAGGUUGAUCUGAGGAUCAGGUCGAAUCAAUUAAACCAGUAUCCGAGAAUACCCGUUUGAAUUGCUAUUCGAAUGUGAUUCAAAUCAACUCUAAACUUAAAACAUCUUUUUGAAUUGCUAUUGGAAUGUGAUUAUAAUAACUUAUCACUUGCAUUCUCAUGCCAUGCUCAUGCAUCAUUUUGAUUGCAUAUGAUUGUUAUUGAAUGUUGCCGUUCAUUUCGGUAGGCUCCGCACCCCAGGAUUCCACCGAAUAUCCGUCUGACGGAUAUCGUUCCUCCUCUGAGCAACAAGGCAAGCACCCCUUUUGAUCAUCCCGAUAAAUCCCAUGUUCUUGCUUGUGCACCUAAUUAUUGCACCAGGAUCAAAUGCUUCAACUGCUUUUGCCACGAUAGUUGAACCCACUUCCUUUGCAUGACUUAACCUUGUCACAGUAAAUAGCCGAACCUUGCAACCUAGCAUACCUGGUAGUUGCUUGAGCUAUGAUGUGCCUUUUCCUGCUAUGCAUGCUAUGCUUAGAGUUGUGUAUGGUCUGUCAUCUGGGAGAUGAACAGAAAUGUGGAAUGUGUUCGGUGAGCAAAGGUCGUGUGUUGAACUUGAUUUGGUAAAGGUACCGGUGAAAGGCUGUGUAGGAGUACAUGGCGGGUUGUUUCAUNNNNNNNNNNNNNNNNNNNNNNNNNNNNNNNNNNNNNNNNNNNNNNNNNNNNNNNNNNNNNNNNNNNNNNNNNNNNNNNNNNNNNNNNNNNNNNNNNNNNAUCAAUUUCCACUUCAAUUGGCGUAGGCGCCUGAUAUGUCCAUUUUGCAUCAUGCUUUCAUGUUGAUAUUUAUUGCUUUUUGGGCUGUUAUAUUACUUGUGGUACCAUAUUUAUGCCUUUUCUCUCUUAUUUUGAAAGGAUUAUUUGAAGAGGGAGAAAUCAGGCAGCUGGAAUUCUGGACUGGAAAAGGAGCAAAUCCUAGUCCACUAUUCUGCACAUCUCUAAAUGCCCUGAAAAUUUACGUGGAUUUUUUCUGGAAUAUAUGAAAAAUACUGGGCGAAAGAACGACCGGAGGGGGGCCACCAGGGCCCCACAACCUUGGCCACCGCCACCACCCCACUCGUGGCGCAGGGCAGGCUUGUGGGCUGCCUGAAGGCCCACUAGCCACCCUAUUUUUCUAUAUGAAGCGUCCUGGUAUGAAAAAACUCAAUCAGGAGCUUUUUCGUGGUUUCGCCGCCACCACGAGGCGGAACUUGAGCAGAUCCAAUCUAGAGCUCCGGCAGGACGAUCGUGCCGGGGAAACUUCCCUCCUGGAGGGGGAAAUCGUCGCCAUCGUCAUCACCAACACUCCUCUCAUCGGAGGGGAGGCAUCUUCAUCAGCACCAUCUCCUCUCCAAUCCCUAGUUCAUCUCUUGUAACCAAUCUUCGUCUCGCGACUCCGGUUGGUACUUGUAAGGUUGCUAGUAGUGUUGAUUACUCUUUGUAGUUGAUGCUAGUUGGAUUGCUUGGUGGAAGAGUUUAUGUUCAGAUCCUUGAUGCUAUUCAUUAAACCUCUGAUCAUGAUUAUGAUUAUGUUUUGUGAGUAGUUACUUUUGUUCCUGAGGACAUGGGAUAAGUCAUGUUAAUAAUAGUCAUGUGAAUUUGAUAUUCGUUCGGUAUUUUGAUAUGUUGUAUGUUGUCUUUUCCUCUAGUGGUGUUAUGUGAACGUCGACUACAUAAAACUUCACCAUAUUUGGGCCUAGAGGAAGGCAUUGGGAAGUAGUAAGUAGAUGAUGGGUUGCUGGAGUGACGGAAGCUUAAACCCCAUUCUAUGCGUUGCUUCGUGAGGGGCUGAUUUGGAUCCACUAGUUUAAUGCUAUGGUUAGACUUUGUGUUAAUUCUUAUUUUGUAGUUGCGAAUGCUUGCGAGAGAGGUUAAUCAUAAGUGGGAUGCUUGUCCAAGUAAGGGCAGUACCCAAGCACCGGUCCACCCACAUAUCAAACUAUCAAAGUAACGAACGUGAAUCAUAUGAACAUGAUGAACCUAGCAUGACAGAAAUUCCCGUGUGUCCUCCGGAGCGUUUUUCCUCCUAUAAGACUUUGUUCAGGCUUGUCCCCUGCUACAAAAGGGAUUGGGCCACUUGCGGCACCAUUUCUACUACUUGUUACUUGUUACUUUUUGCUCGCUACGUUUCACCUCACUACACCAUCACUUGUUACCGCUACUUUCAGUGCUUGCAGUUAUUACCUUGCUGAAAUCCGUUUAUCAGAGCCUUCUGCUCCUCGUUGGGUUCGACACUCUUACUUAUCAAAAGGACUACGAUUGAUCCCCUAUACUUGUGGGUCAUCAGCGCCACAGGAACAACUUCAUGCGCCCUGGUACACACUGGUUGAAGUGACGGUUCAAUAACGUCAUCAAGUUCCACCACCCUCCCACUCAAUUCUUUCGAGAGAAACUUUUCCUCGAGAAAGGACCCAUUUUUAGAAACAAACACUUUGCUUCCAGAUCUGAGAUACGAGGUAUACCCAACUGUUUUGGGUGUCCUAUGAAGAUGCAUUUAUCCGCUUUGGGUUCGAGUUUAUCAUGCUUAGGUUUCUCCAAACCAUAGUGCGAAAUCCGAGUCUUGAUCCAUGCCAACCCAACAGACACCUUUGGAAAUACCUGUAGAGCACCUUUAUAGUCACCCAGUAAUGUUGCGCUGUUUGAUACACACAAGGAAUUCCUCCGGUGUCCGGGAGUUGCAUGAGCUCAUGGUCAUAGGAACAGAUACAUUGACAUGCAGAAAAACAGUAGCAAUAAACUGACACGGUCAUAUGCUACGGUUAUAGUUUGGGUCUUGUCCAUCACAUCAUUCUCCUAAUGAUGUGAUCCCACUAUAAAGUGACAACACUUGCCUAUGGCCAGGAAACCUUGAAUGAUAGAGGCGAAGUUGUCCGUGUCUUUCGAUGAGAUCGUGGGUAUCGUUUUGGUGGAGUAGACUUUGACGAUCCGACAACGAACGUGUGAGGACGUCACGCCUUAGCAAUAGCUAAACCAACUCCGAGAGGUUAUUGACCAUGCCGGAGCACGAUCAACCUAACCACGAAGGUUUGUUUCCUGCACGCAAACGAAGAAUAAGCCAGAAACCAAGAUGCAAUCAAGAUAUUGCGAAUAUAAGAGGAAAGCUUUAUUGAUGAAGGUGGGGUUCUGUGACGCCUUUGUCUGGUCGUAGAACACAAAGGAAGAACGCGAUGUUGCAGCUAUGGAGAACUUCUAAUCGAAACAAAUCCCAAGUCUAAACGGUGCCCUAAGGGUUGUAUAUAUGAGGGAAUAGAACGACAAUUUCGUGACCCUUGGAGGAGGGGUCCGAAAACAGCCCUAAACUCAGUUUCCCCACACAUACGGACUCCAAAAAUUGCCUAUAAUAUGGUAUUUCGACAUUACAUGGGCCUGGCCCAAAAAUAAGGUGGUGCAACACCUAUAAUAGCCUAUGAAUAAAAUUUAUAAAGUGGCGUCUUGGAUAUUUCGUCCAAAGCCUUCAUGCUCUCCUUACGGUGGCUUUGGAGUGCGAAAAUCACAAGUGGAAGCUCCAUUGUUCUCUCACGCGCGUGCACCUUCUUCUCCAUGCUUGAUCCCUCCCCAACGGAUAUCUUUCUAGUCCAUGCUAGGUCCUUCAUUCAUGAGCACAACAAAAGUAUCUAACUUCGGCAUCAUCGUAUGUUCAUGAACAUUAGAAGUAUUCCCAAGAAACGAAAGUACCUGGUAAUUCAAUUGGCGUGCAAGAGCUCUAGUAAUUGUUCCAGUAUGUACAGGAGCUGGGGAUGUGGGUGUAACAAUGGUGUUGAUGUUCUCAUCAUCCUCCCCUUCUUGAACUGAAGUCGUCCUCGACGGAAGCUCAUCUUCCUCACCCAAAUACGGCUUCAAAUCUGCAAUGCUAAAAGUGGGACUAACCCCAAAAUCUGCACGAAGCUCAAGUCUAUAUGCAUUAUCAUUUAUUUCUCUAAAACUUUGAAAGGACCAUCAACACGCGGCAUUAGUUUUGACUUGCACAAAUCAGGAAACCUAUACUUACGCAAAUGCAACCAAACAAGAUCUCCAAGUGCAAAGACAACAUGUUUGCUACCCUUAUCUCCAGCAAGUUUAUAUUUAGCAUUCAUGGACUCAAUAUUUUCCUUAGUUAAUUCAUGCAUCUUUAAUAUCAAAUCAGCACGUUCUUUAGCAUCAAAAUUAACCUUCUCCGAAGAUGGAAGAGGUAACAAAUCAAUAGGUGCACGAGGUAGGAAACCAUACACAACUUCAAAAGGACACAUCUUUGUAGUAGCAUGCAACGAACGAUUAUAAGAAAAUUCAAUAUGGGGCAAGCAUUCUUCCCACAGUUUUAGAUUGUUCUUCAAAACAGCCCUAAGUAUAGUAGACAAAGAUCUAUUGACUACUUCAGUUUGUCCAUCAGUUUGGGGGUGACAUGUAGUACUAAAAAGCAAUUUUGUCCCCAACUUAGCCCAUAAACAUCGCCAAAAGUGGCUAAGAAAGUUAGCAUCACGAUGUGAAACAAUCGUAUUUGGCACACCAUGCAAGCGAAUAAUUUCACGAAAGAACAAAUCAGCCACAUUAGCGGCAUCAUCACUUUUAUGACAUGGUACAACGUGUGCCAUUUUUGAAAAUUUGUCCAAGAGAACAAAUAUGCUAUCCCUCCCCUUCUUUGUUCGACGUAAACCUAAAAUAAAGUCCAUAGAUAUAUCCUCCCAAGGAACACUAGGUACAGGCAAAGGCAUAUAUAAACCACGAGAAUUGAGUCGUGACUUAGCUUUUUGACAUGUCGUGCAGCGAGCAACAAAACGCUCAACAUCCCGUCGCAUCUUUGGCCAAAAGAAAUGUGUAGCAAGUACGCCCUCCGUCUUCUUUAUGCCAAAGUGUCCCAUCAAUCCUCCUCCAUGCGCCUCCUGUAACAACAAUAGACGAAGAGAGCUAGCAGGAAUGCAUAGCUUGUUAGCACAAAACAGAAAUCCAUUAUUAAUGAUGAACUUGUUCCAUGUUCUCCCUUCUUUACGAUUCUCCAACACAUCUUUGAAAUUAUAAUCAUGCACAUAUUGAUCUUUGAUGGUCUUCAAACCAAAUAUUUUAAAGUCAAGUUGUGAAAGCAUAGUAUAAUGGCGAGACAAAGCAUCAGCAAUAACAUUUUCUUUACCCUUCUUGUGUUUAAUGACGUACGGGGAAGUCUCAAUGAAUCAACCCAUUUAGCAUGUCUACGAUUCCGUUUUGCUUGACUUUUAAAAUGUUUCAAAGAUUCAUGAUCAGAAUGUAUGACAAAUUCUUUGGGCCAUAAAUAAUGUUGCCAUGUUUGCAAAGUCCGAACAAGAGCAUAUAAUUCCUUAUCAUAAGUAGAAUAAUUCAGACUAGGCCCACUUAAUUUUUUAGAAAAGUAUGCAAUAGGUUUACCAUCUUGUAAUAACACACCUCCUAAUCCAAUUCCACUAGCAUCACAUUCAAGCUCGAAAGUCUUAUUAAAAUGAGGAAGUUGGAGUAAAGGAGCAUGUGUUAACUUAUCUUUCAAAACCGUGAGGGCUUCUUCCUGUGCGGUACCCCAAGAAUAAGGCACAUCCUUCUUUGUAAGCUCAAUGAGAUGUGCAGAAAUGGUGCUGAAAUCUCAAUAGAACCCGGUGAGUCCAAGGAAACUCCUCAUUUGUGUGACCAUUUUGGCUGCGGCCAACUCUCAAUAGAUUCAAUCUUGGCUUUAUCAACUUCAAUUCCUUGUGGAGUAACAACAUAGCCAAGAAAAGAUACUCGGUCUGUGGAAAAGGUGCACUUCCCAAGGUUACCAAACAAACGCGCAUCACGUAGAGCAAGAAAAACAGCGCGCAAAUGAUCCAAGUGUUCCUCCAAAGUUAUACUAUAAAUCAGUAUAUCAUCUAAGUAGACUACAACAAAUCAUCCAAUGAAAGCACGUAAAACCUCAUUCAUUAAUCUCAUGAAAGUGCUAGGUGCAUUAGUCAAUCCAAAAGGCAUAACUAACCACUCAUAUAAUCCAAACUUAGUUUUAAAUGCUGUUUUACAUUCAUCUCCCAAUUUCAUGCGAAUUUGAUGGUAUCCACUACGCAAAUCAACUUUGGAGAAAAUUGAAGAGCCACUUAAUUCAUCAAGCAUAUCAUCUAGCCUAGGAAUAGGAUGACGAUAACGAAUAGUAAUAUUAUUAAUUCCUCUACAAUCAACACACAAACGUGAUGUACCAUCCUAUUUUGGCACUAGAAUAAUUGGAACAACACAAGGACUAAGAGAUUCACGUAUAUAACCUUUGUCAAGCAACUCCUGUACUUGACGCAUAAUCUCCUUUGUGUCCUCUCGAUUGGUACGGUAUGGUGCACGGUUGUCGGGACCCCGAUCUUAAGCCAUAGGAAUCCAGCCUGUAACACAUCGCAUCCCUUUGUGGUCUCACGCACGGUUAACUCCACGGCUGCAGCCUUACCUUAGCCAGGACCGUUUGCGUCUUUUGACUCACGUAUGCGAUAGUGUCGCUAGCAAUCCAAUGUCAAAGAACCCGGAUCGACAUGUCUAGUCAUAAACCAAAGUGGCAGUUCCGCACAAGGACAGGCAUACAUGACCCAACAAAGCAGGUGUCGGUCAUCAACGAACGUAGGCGAGUCGUAGCAAGCUACAAGGACUCCAUUACGUCGCGUGACAUUUCCCCAAAGGGGACAAACACAGCAGCUAAGAAGGACACAUGCCGGUCAACCAAUGUGUUCGGAGCAGUAGCGAACUACCAAGGCUCGUUGGAUCACAAAGGGGCAUUUCCUUGUAAGGAGUACUACUAAAGUUCACGACUAGGUAUUCGAACCCCAUACAUAUCAAGUAAGACACACGUACGCAUGGCAUACCGAUAUGUAUAGAUACAUCGAUGGCAUCACAACAUAACCAUAAACAUACAAGCUUUAUUUAAGAGGCUCGGAAGAGCCACACACAUAAUAUUACACAUUAAGGGUCUCUCGACCCAUAAUAGCAGUCAUACAAAUACAAACCAGCGGAAGAGUUAUAAACUGUCCGGGUACAGACAGAGCAACUAGAAGGCACAUGGCCUGACUAUACUACAGAGCCGACGUAGGGCCAGAUCGUAGCUGGGACACCAGUUACUCGUCGUCGUCGAUGUCUACGAAGAACCCUCCAUUAGGGUCAUUAGCAACCUCUGCAACAUUUAUUAAGCAAACAUGAGUACGAAGGUACUCAGCAAGACUUUAGGAUGACUAACUACUCAUGCAAGGUAUCAAGAAGGUGUUGUGGGGUUUCAUGCGGAAAUCCAGCAUUUGACUCGUGGCUAGACCAUUUGCUUUUUGAAAUUAGUUUUGACAACUUGUUUUCUCGCACACGAGUCCACUAACACCACAACAAUACACUAUCGUGGAAUCAUUCCGUCUCCAUACGGAAAUGCCGUCCACGACACUCACGCUUAUCUUGACAAUUUUAUGAGUAGCCACUGAAGUUAUCUAUGAACAACAUAUGUCUCCAAGUAGUCCAUAUCCGCGGACGCGGCUAUUCGAAUAGAUCAUAACCCUGCAGGGGUGUACUUCGUCACACACGCUCCCGCCACUUAUCGCCAUGUGCACGUCAUGCACCUCGGCAACCUUCAAGCGGAAGCCCAGUGAGGGAGUCGGCCACGACCAUUAACCACACUAGUACCUAGUCCAGGUUUAUCGCCUAUCUGAGAGUAACCCGUACGGAAGUCCGGCCGAGGUUUCUGCCACGGCCUCAAACGAUGUGCGCAGGGUUCCCAAGCCCACCAUCCGGGUGCCACUUGGUACACCGUGCCACUGCCUACCGCAUCACGGUCCACCUCUCAGGUCAGCACCAUGCACGGCCUCCAGCAUUACUAUAAACACCAGAAACUACUUGCAACUCCUGGACCGAGUACUACGCGAUUAAUAGGCCGAGCGGGGUCAUAUUUCAGGGCCCAGCAUGUGGUAGUAUCUAGUCUUGGAUUACAUACACGAAACUCAGUUCCUAAGGACGGUUCCAAUGAAACAACCCGCCAUGUACUCCUACACAGCCUUUCACCGGUACCUUUACCAAAUCAAGUUCAACACACGACCUUUGCUCACCGAACACAUUCCACAUUUCUGUUCAUCUCCCAGAUGACAGACCAUACACAACUCUAAGCAUAGCAUGCAUAGCAGGAAAAGGCACAUCAUAGCUCAAGCAACUACCAGGUAUGCUAGGUUGCAAGGUUCGGCUAUUUACUAUGACAAGCUUAAGUCAUGCAAAGGAAGUGCGUUCAACUAUCGUGGCAAAAGCAGUUGAAGCAUUUGAUCCUGAUGCAAUAAUUAGGUGCGGAAGCAAGAACAUGGGAUUUAUCGGGAUGAUCAAAAGGGGUGCUUGCCUUGUUGCUCAGAGGAGGAACAAUAUCCGUCAGACGGAUAUUCGGUGGAAUCCGGGGGUGCGGAGCCUACCGAAAUGAAUGGCAACAUUCAAUAACAAUCAUAUGCAAUCAAAAUGAUGCAUGAGCAUGGCAUGAGAAUGCAAGUGAUAAGUUAUUAUAAUCAAGAUGUUUUAAGUUUAGAGUUGAUUUGAAUCACAUUCGAAUAGCAAUUCAAACGGGUAUUCUCGGAUACCGGUUUAAUUGAUUCGACCUGAUGCUGAGAUCAACGUAAUGUUAACAUGCAUGAAUGUCAUGUUAUGGUACUGAUUUACCUCUAGGGCAGUGUGUGAUUAUUGUAUUUAUAACGAAAUUUGGAUAUUUUUGCAAAUUCCAUUUAUAAAGUGAUUAAAAGAAUUGAAGUAUUCCUUAUUUCACAAUUUAGGGUUCUGUAACUUUUUCAAACAUAGCUGAAAAUAGCAUAAUCAGAAUCCUUGAAUUUUUCAGAUACUUUUUCAUAUAUAAAUUAUUUUCAUUGGAGUUACAGAUUAAUUUCUAUGAUUUUUGCAAUUUUUAGCAAUUUCCUGAAUUAUUGUUAUACUGGAAAUUCCAUUUAUUGCAUCAGGCUGACGUCAGUAGGUCAGCCGACCUGUGCAGGUCAAACCUGACAGGGGAGCCCCACUGGUCAGCCUCUCGGGGACUAAUCCCGCGCUGACCAGCCCCUAAUUGGGGUUUGACCAGGCGUGGGGCCCUCUGGCAGCGACUCAGAGGAGGGCGAUUAGGCCCUAAUGGCCGGCCACGUCGACGGCCAUCGGAGGGUGGUCGCCGGCGACCAAACCCGCGGCGGAGGGCUCGCCGGAGGCGACCUAGACGGCGCUGCACAGCACCAAAUCGCACGCAGUUGGCAGCUAUAGCAAGCUCGCGAAGUGGCCGAUCUGGCAGGACCAACUGGGGAGGCUAGGGUCGCCGGAAGAGGCGUCGGCGACGAGCCGGAGCGGCGGCCGAAGCUCGUGCGUCGUCGGGGGCUUUGAAUCAGAGGGAUCCACGCUUAGAUCUUAGCUGCUACGGCAUCUACGCGUCGUCCUGGAGCUGCUGAUGCUCUCGGGACGACGAGCUGGACAUCGGAGGGCUACCGGCGACGAGCGGCAGCGGCGGUGCUCGUCGGGCUGCGGUGAAACUAGGGCUAGAGGAGGGGACCGACAGGGAAAGCUUAGGGAAAACCACUGCAUGCUCACAGGGGGUGCAGAGAAGAGCUCAAACGGCUCGGGGAAGGCCUGGGGGCGACGAAUCGACGGGAGAGGUCCAGCGGCCGGAGGAGGAAGACGACGGCGUUGCGGGCGUUGCAGGGCGCGAGGAAGCUUCGGCUUCUGCAGGAAUGACCAGGGCGAUGAGGCGGAGCUAAUGGCGUGCUCGCGGAGGGGUUCCUAUGGCCASGGCAACGGCCAGCUCGAGCUCGAGCUCGGCUCUAAUGGCGGCAGCAGGGAGAAGGAGGGGAUCCGGGCGGAGGAGGAGAACCGAGGCGGGGAAUGGAUAGGGGAGGCUUUGGGGAGCUUAUCCCCGUCGUCGCCAGUGCGAACCGGCGGCCAGGCAGGCACGCAUGUGCGUGGCCGCGUCGGAGGAGGCGGCGGCCACCUCCUGCUGCCUACUUGCGCGGGGAAGGGGACGAGCGGCGAGAUGGGCUGGGCCUGGCUUGGGCGUGAGGUAAGACUUUUCCUUUUUCUUCUGUUUUUGUUUUUCUGUUUUGCUAUUUGUUGCUUUGCUAAUUAUUUCAGCUCCAGAACAAAAAGUAAAAACUAAUUUUGACCUCCUGAAAUGUUUGUUAUAAUAUCCCCACUCAUUUCCAAGACUUUCAACAUUUUUGGAAAAUUAUAGUUUCUGUUUUCAAAUUUUUAAAUUUGAAACCAGUGGCUUUUGCAUUUAUUUAAAAUGCUUGAAGUGUCAAGGAAAUAGUUUUCUCCAAUGCUCAUUUACUUUCAUGAUUUAUCAGAAAGUUUGAACAUUUCUUGAGGCCAUUUUGGGUUCAUUGUUUUUGAACUAGUUGAAUUUUCCUUUAUUUGAAAUGGUGGCUAGGGUUUAGAGUUUUUCCUUUGCCACUUUGUUGUUUUUGUUGAAACUUCUUAGAUGCAAAUGCAAAGAAGACAUGAGCACAAUGCUAUCUAGCUUAAGGGUUAGGGAUGUGACAACGGUUGGGUAGCGGUGCACCGGGAAUUAAGUUCAUCUGAUGCUCAAUCCCUCUAAUAGGUGGUAAUCCCAAUGGCACGUCUUGUGGAAAGACGUGAGCGAACUCGUGCAAAAUGUUAAUGACAGCAGGAGGCAAAGAGGGUGGCAUGUCCUCAAAUGAAAAUAAUACCUCUUUGCAUACGAAAUUAUAGCAAACGGAUGUAGUAAUAUCCAAAUCAGUAAUAUCAGAUUUAGUGGCAAGUAAACAACCAACCUUCAAUUUUAUUUCAGAGGCAACACUAGAUGAUGAUUUUGUAGGCUUAUUGUGUUGCUCAAAUUCCUUCGCUAGAAUCUGAUUUUCACUCUUAUGUAGGUCCUGUUUUGCUUUACUAGCUCUAGCAACGUCAUCUUUCAGAAUAUGUUUAGGAGACAUAGGAAGCAAGGUUUUAUUUUGAUCCUUAUGAACAAGAGUAUAUUGAUUUGUUCUACCAUCGUGUACAGAAUUUGUAUCAAAUUGGCAUGGUCUACCAUGUAAAACGGAGCAUGCUUGCAUGGGUACCACAUCACAAUCAACAAAAUCCGAAUAUGCAGCAAUGCUAAAAUGCACACGGACAAUACGUGUUACCUUAACCUUGCCAUUGUUGUUGAACCACUGGAUAUAAUAAGGAUGAGGAUGUGGUCUGGUGGUGAGAGAUAGCUUCUCCACCAUCUCCAUGCUAGCUAAGUUGUUGCAACUCCCUCCAUCGAGGAUUACGCGAAUAGAACGUUCCUUUACCACUCCCUUAGUAUCGAACAAGUUGUGCCUCCGAUUUUGCUCAUCCUGUGUUACCUGCACACUUAACACACGUUGAGAAACUAAGCUUUCAUACCUGUCACCAUAGCUAGAAGCCAUGUAUUGUGUCUCUUGUUCAGUAUCAUCUACACCCCAUUCUUCACUUGCAAUAAGAGAUAGAGUCUCCUCGUCGUAAUCACUAGCGGAGUCAUAUCCACCAUCCUCCGUAAUAGUCAUCACGCGCUUGGAUGGGCAGUCUCUCGCAUAAUGACCUCCACCCUUGCAACGACGACAAAUAACCUCAUGUGUUUGCCAUGUGGAUGCCAUGGAUGAAGAAGAGCUAUGUGCAGGCCUGGAAGGUGUGCUAUUGGCUAAGCUUGUGGCAGGGGCCUGUUUCCUGGUAUCUCUGGUGGAAUGGCUGAAGUAGGCGGUGCUGAUGUAGAAGGACGUGUGGAAGUAGAUGUGGUUCAUGGCGUCCAUGAGGAAGUGCGACCUGUAGAAAAAAUUAGUUCUCGCCAAUGUGUGUCUAUCAUGCACUUCACGUCCAGCUUUCCAAGCAAGAUGAAAUAAACGAGUGAUAGUGUUAUAAUCCUUAUAUUCGAGAAUAGUCUGAAUAUCUCUAUUUAAUCCACCUAUGAAACGUGCAAGCAUAGAUUCAUUAUCCUCAACAAUACCACAUCUAAACAUUCCAGCUUGUAAUUCAUGAUAAUAUUCUUCUACAGACUUUUUGCCUUGUCUUAAACGAUGUAUGUUUUGAAGUAAUCCAUGUUGAUAAUAUGGUGGAACCCAACGAGUNNNNNNNNNNNNNNNNNNNNNNNNNNNNNNNNNNNNNNNNNNNNNNNNNNNNNNNNNNNNNNNNNNNNNNNNNNNNNNNNNNNNNNNNNNNNNNNNNNNNNNNNNNNNNNNNNNNNNNNNNNNNNNNNNNNNNNNNNNNNNNNNNNNNNNNNNNNNNNNNNNNNNNNNNNNNNNNNNNNNNNNNNNNNNNNNNNNNNNNNNNNNNNNNNNNNNNNNNNNNNNNNNNNNNNNNNNNNNNNNNNNNNNNNNNNNNNNNNNNNNNNNNNNNNNNNNNNNNNNNNNNNNNNNNNNNNCUAACUCCCAAGUAAGAUAUAUAUGAGGAACAUAUUGACCAUCAAAAGUAGGAAUAUUCAAUUUAAGUUUAGGGAGAUGGUCAUGAUCCCGUACCUGAGGGUGUGGUGCAUCCCUACCAUUGCGAUUGUAUCCAUGUGGACGACCAGCGGCUUAUCGUGGUGGUUGUUGUUCCAGGUGCGGAACUGGAGCAACCUAUCCCUCAUCACCGUAAUCACCAUCAUAAUCAUCAUCAUAAUCCUCAUUCUUCUCAGCCAUAGAAUCCGACAAGCACACGUCGCGCUCGUAGUCGUUGUGGUUGUGGUUGAAGAGGGACAUAAGCUGCAGCUGGUGGUGGUAAACGGGCAAGCACCUCAUUUAACUUGGCACUCAUCUUGGUGUCGAAUUUCUUCUCCAUACAUUCGAGCUUGUCCAUGGCCUCUCCAAAGGUGGCCACGAAAUCAUGUACCUGGUCAGACAUCAUUUGCUGAAAUUUAUAAUGGAGCUCCCGGUUGGUCAGGUUCUCCCAGUCGAUCUCCUCGUCGUAUGAUCCUGGCAUGGUUAGCAGCAAUAGGAACACAGAAGAAUAUGAACCUACAGACUACUAGGAAGUGGUGGUGGUGGUGUGUCACAAAUCCGUCAAGCAAAUCUCAAUUUCUUACCAAUUCUUACCUAGCAGUAGGUGGCGAUCGGCAACCGGUGUAGUCAAAACUCUCAAAGCUUGGAUAGAGCGAUUGCCAGGUGGUUUCAAACACACGAUGUCGAUGUAUGUGGAGCUGGAAAGGCUUAUAAUACGGUAGCAAGAAGGGUCAGCAAUAAUCAGUUCAGAGAUGCAAAAUUGAAAAGACGCUCAACGAUGGUACCGUGUUGGUCCUAUGCUAGACCUACUAGAGACGCGAGCCUAGAACACGAAUGAAGUCACGACGACACGUACUAAUCAAGGGAAGAGCCACUCUGAUCUUUUUUUCUCUUUUUUUGCACUCUUUUUUUCUGCGCUUUUUUUCCAGAAAAUCACUAUAAUGGCGAGUGUCUCAAAACUCUUCCCAAGGACCAAAAACAGGAUAGGCAUGAAAAAAAUUGACAAUUAUUAUUAUUAUUUUUGGAGCAAUUCGGGGCUGCGAGGACCAAAAAUUGCGCCAAAAAUCACUAUGAUGGCGAGUAUCUCAAAACUCUCUAAAAAGCCUAACAAAACGAUAGGGGGAAAAAUUCACCACUCAAAAUUUUGGCCUAAAAAGUGAUGUGGAAAGCGUGCCAGACUCGUUUUUUCCGAAACCUACUCAGGUACGGAAACGCGAAACCUAAAGCAAAAGGAUCUCAAAAUUAACCUAAGGCGAGAAGGAUUGUGGUGGAUAUAUGGUGGUGGUAUAUGGCAGCAAGGAUAAUGGUGGCGUGGUGGUGGUAUAUGGCAGCAGCGAUGAUGGUAGUGUGGAGGUGUUAUAUGGCAGCGAUGAAAGAUAGUGCGGUGGCAGCGUGACAACCUGUGAACAGAACUCGAAACCCUAAAGAACUAGACACUAAGACCAGCAACUCGACACGACGAUGUAACCGCAAUUUCAACAAAGCGAACUACUGAAAAGACUAUGCAAAGGCUCAGAUUUGUUCGGAUAUGAUGAUCUAACCCUAACUUUUUAUGGAUUUUUCGUGGACUAUAGGUAUGAAGAACAAAUGGGAUCUAACUACGAAAACUGGUAAAAUCUCACCAAGCAACCUGGAAAUUUCAUACCACUUGAUAGAGGCGAAGUUGUCCCUGUCUUUCGAUGAGAUCGUGGGUAUCAUUUUGGUGGAGUAGACUUUGACGAUCCGACUAGGAACGUGUGAGGACGUCGCUCCUUAGCAAUUGCUAAACCAACUCCGAGAGGCUAUUGACCAUGCCGGAGCACGAUCAACCUGACCACAAAGGUAUGUUUCCUGCACGCAAACGAAGAUCAAGCAAGAAACCAAGAUGCAAUCAAGAUAUUGCGAAUAUAAGAGGAAAGCUUUAUUGAUGAAGGUAGGGUUCUGUGACGCCUUUGUCUGGUCGUAGAACACAAACGAAGAACGCGAAGUUGCAGCUUUGGGAACUUGUAAUUUAAACAAAACCCAAAUCUAAACGGUGCCCUAAGGGCUGUAUAUAUGAGUGACUAGAGAGGCAAUUCCAUGACCCUUGGAGGAGGGGUCUGAAAACAGCCCUAAACUCGGUUUCCACACACAUACGGACUCUAAAAUUACCCUAUAUUAUGGUAUUUCGAAAUUACAUGGGACUGGCCCGAAAAUAAGGUGGUGCAACACCUGUAAUAGCCUAUGGACGAAAUUUAUAAAGUGGUGUCUUGAAUAUUUCGUCCAAAGCCUUCAUGCUCUCCUUAUGGUGGCUUUAGAGUGCGAAAACCACCAGUGGAAGCUCCAUUGUUCUCUCGCGCGCGUGCACCUUCUUGUCCAUGUUUGAUCCCGCUCCAACGGAUAUCCUUCUUGUCCAUGCUAGCUCCUUCAUUCAUGAGCACAACAAAAGUAUCUAACUUAGGCAACAUCAUAUGUUCAUGAACAUUAGAAGUAUUCCCAAGAAACGAAAGUACCUGGUAAUUCAAUUGGCGUGCAUGAGCUCUAGUAACUAGUCCAAUAUGUAUAACAGCUGGGGUUGUGGGUGUAACAAUGGUGUUGAUGUUCUCAUCAUUGACCAUCUUUGAUCAACGAGCUAGUCAACUAGAGGCUCACUAGGACAGUGUGUUGUCUAUGUAUCCACACAUGUAUUUGAGUUUCCAAUCAAUACAAUUCUAGCACGGAUAAUAAACGAUUAUCAUGAACAAGGAAAUAUAAUAAUAACUAAUGUAUUAUUGCCUCUAAGGCAUAUUUCCAACAGGGUGGGCCUCCUUGGGGUGCCGCCAACCCAACUUGGGUGGCAAGGCACCCAAGUGGGGGAGGGGGGCGACCCUAACCCUAGCCGCCGCUUCCCCCUCCCUUGGCCGUCGGGCACUAGUGGGUAACCCUAGGGCGCCCUCCUCUCUCCCUUCCUCCUAUAUAUAGAGAGGUAGCGAGGGGGCAGCCACACAACAAUCUUGCCGUGGCGCUGCCCCCUCCUCUCCCUCGCAGUUUCUCUCCUCCAUAACCCCACGGCAAAGCCAUGUCGAGUUGUCACCACCAACACCUCACCAUGCCGGCAUGUUCUCGGAGGACUCAGGCUUCUACUUCACCAUCACUCGCUAGAUUGAGGAGGUGAAUGCGUCACCAAGUUGUACGUGUGUUGAACGUGGAGGUGUCGUCUGUUCGGCCCUUGAUCGAGAGAUUGCGAGACGGUUCAUGAUUGGAUCGCAAACACAUACCACUACAUCAACUGUUUUCGUAAACGCUUCCGCUUAGAGAUCUACAAAGGUAUGUAGAUCCAAUCUCUCCACUCGUAGAUGGUGAUCUUCAUAGACUAAUCUUGGUGUGUGUAGGAAUUUUUUGUUUCCCAUGCAACGUUCCCCAACACUAUCAAGUAACUUCAGACAAAUUAUCAUUCACUUGUUCUACUUUUUAUUUUUUGUUAUAUUUUUCUUACUUGAUAAAAAUCAAAAAUAAAAAAAUAUUUAUCUUUGCUAGUUGCUAGUUUACUUCUUUGCUCGCUUUGCUUGAUAGUUUACUUGUCCUACUAGUUACUUUGCUUGCUCGAUCACCAUGUCUCAAGAUACUACUAAGUUGUGUGACUUUUCAAAUACUAAUAAACAUGAUUUUAAUAGUACUCCUAUCACACACGCCACUAGUAAGGAGGCUUGUGAUACAAAUGUUGCAUUGUUGAAUCUUGUCAUGAAAGAACAAUUUUUGGGAAGUCCUAAUGAGUAUCCCGCUACUCGUCUUGAUAACUUUGUUGAACUCCGUGAUGUGCAAAUUGAAAGCACAUGGAUAAUUAUGUUGUGAAGUUAAAGUUAUUUCCUUUUUCACUAAGAGAUAAAGGUAAAUCUAGCUUAUCAUCUUUACCACGUAAUAGUAUUGGAACAUGGGAUAAGUGUUAAGAUACUUUUAUUACCAAGUAUUUUCCUCCUGCUAAGAUCAACUCCCUUAGAAAUCAUAUAAUGAAUUUUAAACAGCAUGAUCAUGAACAUGUUGCACAAGCUUGGGAGUGGAUGAAAUUGAUGAUUAGAAAUUUCCCUACUCAUGGUUUAAACUUGUGGAUGAUUAUCCAAUAUUUCUAUGCUGGACCAAACUUUCUAUCUAGAAAUCUUCUAGAUUUUGCCGCAGGGGGUACUUUCAUUGAGGUGACCUUAGGAGAGGCCACCAAACUUCUGGACAACAUCAUGACAAGCCACUCUGAGUGGCAUAAUAAAAGAGCUCCAACUAGUAAGAAGGUAAACUUUGUUGAGGAAAUCGCUACUUUGAGUGAAAACGUUUAUGCUCUUAUGAAUUUGGUUGGUGAUAAAAAUUCUCACCUUGAUCCUAAUGACAUGGCCUUGUUUACUUUUAUUGAGCAAAAUUAUAAUUCCAUGGAUGUGAAUUUUAUCUCAUGAAAUAAAUUUAGUAACAAUGCCUAUAGAGGUAAUUUCAAUACUAGGCCAUAUCCCGGUAACUCCUCAAAAGGUUAUGGGAACUCAUAUGGAAAUUCUUAUGCAAAUCCUUCUACAAAUAAUAAUAAGGUAUCCUAUGAUCUUAAAAGCACCAUUGAAUAAUCCAUUAAUUCAUAAAAGGUUUUCAAUACUAUGGUAGAGGAAAAGUUGCAUAAAUUGAUGAUUUGGCUAGAAACUCUAAAAAGUAAAACUUUGCCACCAAAGCAUGUCUUUAAUUAGACUAUUAAAUCUAUCCAAAUGUCUAUCAAUGAAAGUAGGGAGAGGACCGCCAAGUUGAAAGCUAAGCAGGAAUUCCUAGAAAAAGCCUUUCCACGCAGUUUUUACCGGAAUCAUGAUGAAUAUCAUAAAAUGCUUGGUACUUAUUCUAUUGAAUCUUUGUUUACUUCUCUAAAAAUAAAUGAUAAUGGGACUAGAGAUGAGUCAACUCUAGUUAGAGAGUGUCCCAAUUUCUUGGAGGGUGAUGACUAUAAUGAUAAAACUGAAAAAGUGGCUUUGGAAAGGUUAAAACUUUAACUAGUGAUGUGCCCACUAUCUUGGAUGUCGAGGAUUUUAAUUAUGAUAAUUGUUCUUUAGUAGAACUUAUGUCCUUGUUGCAAUCCAUCAUUAUCUCACCCAAUGCUUAAGAAAAAAAUAAAUCUUUUACUCAACAUAUAGUAGAAGCUAUGGUAAAAGCCUAUGAUGAGAAACUUGAGUUAGAAGUCUGUAUUCCUACAAAGUUGUAUGAUGGAUGGGAACCUACUAUUAGAAUUAUGAUCAAAGUGGUUGUCAGGAUGUGUCUCUUGCUGAAUUGCAGGAAGAGCUGGUGGUGUUGGUGCGCGAGGAGCAGGAGAGCGUGGCAUCGCAACGAGCUGAGUCCUCUCAGGCUCGACCUAGGUGUGCCUUCCCAUGACCGCCAGUUGCGGUGAGCCUACCAUCAAUAACAGGGGGUUGUCGAACUGCCAACUCUUUGCCAACCCCCACACGCUUGGAGAUGCAGAGAGUUGUUGACAUUGCCAACAAACGAAAAACUUAAGGCCCUACAAGACUUCCGCAAGGCCAGAGGGUUGUGCUUCACUUGUGGGGAGAGCUGGAAUCCUGGACACACUUGUGCAGCCACAGUGCAGCUCCAUGUUGAGGAAGAACUAGUGGGCAUGUUCUCACCCCAUCCUCAUGAGAUGCAGCACAACUUGCUGUGGAAAGUUUUCCAAAGACGACAUGUGCUUACUAUCUACUACAACGGUCAGUGGUACAGAGGCCCCGAUGGCGUUCAGGUUAUCUGGGCAGAUUGGUGACAAGGUUCUCCUGAUGCUCGUUUAUUCUUGAAGCUCACAUAGUUUCAUCAACAUUAAGAUAGUUUAGUCCUGGCCUGGAAUUCAACCAAUGCAAAACUCCCUCAGGGUAAAGGUCGCAGAUGGGGUAGUAACGAGUUGUAAUCGUGAGCUGCCGCUAUGUGAGUACAUCAUUCAAGGCUUUCAGUUCCGAUCUACUUUCAACCUUUUUCCAUUGGGAUAUUAUGACAUUGUGUUGGAUAUGGACUGUCUCGUGUCAAGAGGAGUGAUGACGGUUAAUUGGAGUAACAACCACAUGACAUUUAAACACAAAGGGGAGGUCAUCCAAUUGACUGGGAAUUCGCAGGGCAUCCACCAUUGUCAAGCAAUUUCAGCAGCUGAAUUCCACUUGUUACAAGCCCGUACCGAUGUAGCCCAUGUAUUGUUGUUGUCUGUUGGCAAACCUGAUCUCGAGGGGGCUCCAAUUCCGGUAGUACUUGAAGAACUUCUGGGCAAGUUUGUGGAAUUAUUUGAGGAACCGUCAGUCCUGCUACCAAGGGAAUUUGAGGAACCGACAACCGCAUUGAUAUAACCCGGCACAGAAGGAUGAAAUCAAAGCUCAGGUGCUUGAGAUGCUAAGACAAGGAAUCAUGCAGCCCAGUCGUAGCCCAUUUUUGUCACACAUGUUGUUGGUGCACAAGAAAGAUGGCGAAUGGAGGUUUUGCAUCGAUUAUCGCUUCCUCAAUGCGAUCACCAUCAAGAGCUGUUUUCCAAUUCCAAUUAUUGAUGAAUUGCUCGAAGAGUUGCAAGGGGCAACUGUGUAUACCAGCCUAGAUCUUCGGGCUGGAUAUCACCAGAUCCGCAUGCAUCUCGAGGAUGAAGCAAAAACUGCCUUCCAAACACAUCAUGGGCACUUUGAGUUCAAGGUGAUGCCAUAUGGGGUCACGGGGGGUGUACUUCAACCUUGCAGAAAGGCAUGCAGGUGGUGCUAAGACCACUCCUUUGGGAGGGCGUCUUGGUCUUCAGAGACGACGUCCUUGUGUAUAGCGGAACUUUGGAGAAGCACGUGUUGUUGCUAUAGUCAGCUUUUCAACUGCUGGAUCAACACUCAUUGAACGUGAAGAUGUCAAAGUGUGUGUUUGCUCAACCUCAGUUGCGUUACCUCGGGCAUGUCAUUAGCGCCGCAGGAGUGCAUAACGAUCCACGAAUAUCAAGAAGAUACAAGCAUGGGCACCCCCAGCCUCAGUCAAAGAAUUGAGGUAGUUCCUCGGGCUAGCAGGGUACUACCGGAAGUUCUUCAAACACUAUGGAGUGACUAGCAAGACCCUCACAAAGCUCCUAAAGAAAGGGAUCCCAUACAUUUGGAUGAAUGUGCAUCAAGAGGCCUUCCACUGCUUGAAGACAGGUCUCUCCACGGCAUCAGUGUUGGCUCUGCCUGAUUUCUCCAAACCGUUCGUGGUCGAAAUGGACGCCUCGGACACGGGGAUUAUUGCGGUGUUAAUGCAACAACACCAUCCUAUUGCCUUCCUCAUCCAAGCGCUUGGUCCGCGGCAUUGUGUGUUGUCUAUUUACAAAAAGGAGAGCAUGACCAUUCUCAUGGCCGUGGAUAGGUGGCAUUCGUAUCCGUUGCUUUCUGAGUUUACUAUUUGCACGGACCACCAGAGCCUCUGAUGCAUGGACGAGUAGCGGCUUACCACCCUAUGGCAACACAAGGUUUUGACAAAGCUGUUGGGCCUGCAGUACAAGAUCGAAUAUCGACAAGGUGCAACAAAUCUAGCGGAUGAUGCUCUUCCUCAUCAACCACGAGUAGCGGCUAGUCUAUAGGUUGUCUCGGUGUGUGUGCCACACUAUCUAAACAUGGUCAAGCAAGGCUACAAGAACGACCCUUACAGUUCUCGCCUUCUGGCUUUAGAAGCGGUCAGAGCUCCUCUAGAAGGGACUUUUUUGGUCAAGGAUGGUGUGAUUCACUACAAGGGCAGAGUUUGGUUGGGUACUAAUGUGGAGGCAUAGUAGCAAUUUCUUACGGAACUCCAUGCCAGAGCCAUUAGAGGGCAUUCCGGUGUCCAAGUCACAUAUAGCCGUGUGAUACGUCUAUUCGCUUAGCCUAAAUUGAAGCAGUUUGUGAAGAAGUUCAUCUCUGAGUGUGAGGUGUGCAAACAAGCCAAACUAGAACAUGUAAAGUACCCAGGGCUGCUUCAACCGCUUUGAGUACCCCUAGCAAGCCUCGAAGAUGGUCACCUUGGACUUUGUCGAAGAAUUGCCAACAUCCAAGGGACUUACUUCAAUUCUCGUCGUGGUGAACAAAUUGACGUGGUAUGCUCAUUUCAUCCCACUCCGGCAUCCCUUCUGUCCUCUACAAGUAGCAAAAGCAUACAUGGAGAAUGUCUUCAAGUUGAAUGGGCCUCUGGACAAGCUGGUGUCAGACCGAUCGAGUAUUCACUAGCAAAGUGUAGCAUGAGUUGUGUAGGUUGUCUCGUACCACCCUCAACAUUUCCUCGGCUCGACACCCACACACUAUUGAAACUACAGAUAGAGUCAAUCAAUCCAUGGAGCUCUCUCUAAGGUGCUUUGUUCACAAUUGCCCGAGCAAAUGGGUGGAAUGGCUAGCGUUAGCUGAGUUUUGGUAUAAUACUUCGUAUCAUUCCACACUGAAGACAUCCCCAUUUGAGGUCUUGUACGGGCACAAGCCUCGAUUCUUUGGCAUCUCCAACAUUGUUGACAAAAUUGUCAUAGAUUUGGUGGUGUGGACUUGCGAGCGGGCAACCAUGCUGUCACUCCUUAAGCAUGACCUCCAUCGAGGGAAGCAAAUGAUGAAGAGAAAAGCUUAUGUGCAUCACUCGGAUUGAGCAUUCUCGGUUGGGGAUUGGGUGUACCUCAAGUUGCAGCCCUAUUCUCAGUCAUCAGUGGCUGCGCAAGGUAAUCACAAGUUAGCUUUUCGUUUCUUUGGUCCCUUUUGGGUUACUGGCCAUGUUUGGGAGGUUGCAUACAAGAUGGUGUCGCCACAAUAAGCCCCGAUGCACCCAGUAUCCAUGUGUCUCAGCUGAGCGCUGGGUUACCACCAACCACCCAAGUGAUGCCCGAACUACCGGUGGUGGAUGAAGAUCUCUUGGCAUUUCAAGUGCCCGCUUCAAUCCCGCAAUGUCGCUAGGUUCUUUGAUGAGCUAAGCAGAUUGAUCAAGUGCUGACUCAAUGGUCGGGGUUCCCUAUGUCACUUGCUACAUGGGAAGAUGAAGUGGCCCUCCGAUCAAGAUUUCCCCAAGCACUGGCUUGGGGGCAAUCCAAGACUCAAGGAGGAGGGAAUGUCACGAAAACACACAUGAGGGAACCCAGCAAAGACCAGCAGCCCAGGCCAUCCGGUUCAUCCCAGGAGGAAGCCAAAGACCAAGGCUCGCGUGUUGGAAAUAUGCCCUAGAGGCAAUGAUAAAAUAGUUAUUAUUAUAUUUCUUGUUUCAAGAUAAUUAUUUAUUAUCCAUGCUAUAAUUGUAUUGAAUGAAAGCAUAGAUACAUGUGUGGAUAUAUAGACAAAACAAUGUCCCUAGUAAGACUUUAGUUGACUAGCCAGUUGAUCAAGGAUGGUUAAGGUUUUCUGACCAUAUGCAAGUGUUGUCAAUUGAUGACUGGAUCACAUCAUUAGGAGAACGAUGUGAUGGACAAGACCCAAACUAUGAACGUAGCAUGUGAUCGUGUCAUUUUGUGGCUAUUGUUUUCUGCGUGUCAAGUAUUCAUUACUGUGACCAUGAGAUCAUGUAACUCACUGACACCGGAGGAAUACCUUGUGUGUAUCAAACGUGGCAACGUUACAGGGUCACUAUAAAGGUGCUCUAUAGGUAUCUCUGAAGGUGUCCGUUGAGUUAGAAUGGAUAAAUACUGGGAUUUCUCACUCCGUGUGACGGAGAGGUAUCUCGGGGCCCACUCGGUAAUACAACAUCACAUAUAAGCCUUGCAAGUAAUGUGGCUAAUGUGUUAGUCACGGGAUCUUGUAUUAUAGAACGAGUAAAGAGACUUGCUGGUAACGAGACUGAAAUAGGUAUAGAGAUACCGACGAUCAAAUCUCGGGCAAGUAACAUACCGAAGGACAAUGGGAAUGGUAUACGGGAUUAUAUGAAUCCUUGGCACAGAGGUUCAACCGAUAAGAUCUUCGCAGAAUAUUGUAGGAUCCACUAUGGACAUCUAGGUCCCGUUGUUGGAUAUUGACCGGGGAGUGUCUCAGGCCAUGUCUUCAUAGUUCUCGAACCCGCAAGGUCUGCACACUUAAGGUUCGGUAACAUUUCGGUAUAGUUGAUUUAUAGGUGUUGGUAACCGAAGGUUGUUCGGAGUCCCGGAUGAGAUCACAGACGUCACGAGGGUUUCCGAAAUGGUCCGGAAACGAAUAUUUAUAUAUAGGAUUGUUUAAUUUGGUCUCCGGAAAGAUUUCGGACAUUACCGGGAGUAACGAAUGGGUUUCAAGUUUUUCUGGGAGGGGCCCACCCACCCGGGAGUGAGCCUAAUAGCCCAAGGGUGGCGCACCAGCCCUUAGUGGACUCAUGAGGCCAGCCCAAGUGGGCUAUGUCGGCUAAGGAAAAAAACCAAAGAGGAGAAAAAAAGGAGAGGGAGGUGGGAAGGAAGGAGGGGACUCCUUCUUCCCAUACCGAAUUGGAGUUGUUGUCUCCUUCUCCUCUCUCGUCCGGCGCUCUAGGGGAUCCCUUGAGCACCAAGGCUAGCCCCUCCCCUCCUCCUAUAUAUACUAUAGGUUUUAGGGGUUUUGAGACACAACUUUGCCACGUGCAACCCUGAACCUCUACUUCGUAGUUCUACCUCUAGAUCGGUUUUCUACGGAGCUCGGGCGGAGCCCUGCAGGGACAUAUCAUCACCAUCACCAGCGCGUCGUCACGCUGCCAGGGAACUCAUCUACUUCCCCGUCUCUCUUGCUGUAUCAAGAAGGUGGAGAUCGUCAUCGAGUUGUACAUAUGCAGAACGUGGAUGUGCCGUCCGUUUGGCGCUAGAUCGGAACGGAUCGUGGGACGACGGUGAUUUGAAUCACGAAGCUGUUCCACUACAUCAAUCGUGUUUCUUAACGCUUCCCGCUUAGCGAUCUACAAUGGUAUGUGGAUUCGAUCUCCCUCUCGUAUAUGAACAUCACCAUGAUAGGUCUUCGUGUGCGUAGGAAAAUUUUUGUUUCCCAUGCAACGUUCCCAAAGAGUGGUAUUAGAGCUAGGUUCAUGCGUAGAUGUAAUCUCGAGUAGAACACAAAAGUUUUUGUGGGCGUUGAUGUUCGAUUUGCUUCCCUCCUUAGUCUUUUCUCGAUUCGACGGUAUUGUUGGAUUGAAGCGGCCCGGACCAAUAUUACUCGUACGCUUACGAGAGACCAGUUUCAUUGACUAACAUGCAACUCGUUGCAUAAAGAUGACUGGCGGGUGCCUUUUUCUUCAACUUUAGUUGAAUUGGAUUUGACCGAGGCGUUCCUUGGAGAGAGGUUAAAUAGCAAUUUGCACAUCUCCGUUGUGGUUUUGCGUAAGUAAGAUGCGAUCAUACUAGAUACCCAUAGCAGCCACUUAAAAAUGCAACAAACAAUCAGAGGACGUCUAACUUGUUUUUGCAGGGUAUGCAUGUGAUGUGAUAUGGCCAAAGACAUGAUGUGAUAUAUUGGAUGUAUGAGAUGAUCAUGUUGUAAUAGUUAAAUAUCGACUUGCACGUCGAUGCUACGACAACCGGCAGGAGCCAUAGGGUUGUCCUUGAACUAACGUUUGUGCUUGCAGAUGCGGUUACUAUAUUGCUAGGUUGUAGCUUUAGUACUAAUAGCAUAGAUAGCACGACAACCUCGAUGGCGGCACGAUGAUAGAGAUCAUGAUGAUGGAGAUCAUGGGGUGCCGCUGGUGACGAUGAAGAUCAUGCCGGUGCUUGGUGCUAGAGAUCCAGAAGCACAGGAUCAUGGCCAUAUCAUGUCACUUAUGAAUUGCAUGUGAUGUUAAUACUUUUAUGCACCUUAUCUUCCUUAGAAUGACGGUAGCAUUAUAAGGUGAUCCCUUACUAAAAUUUCAAGAUAAAAUUCUGUUCUCCCCGAAUGUGCACCGUUUCGACAGUUCGUUGUUUCGAGACACCACGUGAUGAUCGGGUGUGAUAGCCUCAACGUUUACAUACAACGGGUGCAAAACAGUUGCACACGCGGAACACUCGAGUUAAACUUGACGAGCCUAGCAUGUACAUACAUGGCCUCGGAACACAAGAGAACGAAAGGUCGAGCAUGAAUCAUAUAGUUGAUAUUAUCAACAUGGAGAUGUUCACCACUGAAACUAUACUCAACUCACGUGAUGAUCGGACUUGAGUUAGUGGAUUUGGAUCAUGUGCCACUCGAAUAACUAGAGGGAUGUCUAUUUGAGUGGGACUUCUUAAGUAAUAUGAUUAAUUGAACUAAUUAUCAUGGACAUAGUCAAAAGGUCUUUGCAAAUUAUGGUGUAGCUUGUGUUGUAGCUCUACUAUUUUUUUAAAUGUUCCUAGAGAAAAUUUAGUUGAAAGAUGAUAAUAGCAGUUUUAUCGGACUGAGUACGUAAACUGAGGAUUGUCCUCAUUGCUGCGCAGAAGGCUUAUGUCCUUAAUGCACCGCUCGGUGUGCUGCACCUCGAGCGUCGUCUGUGGAUGUUGCGAAGAUCUGACAUACACAUUUUUAUGACUAUGUGAUAGUUCAGUGCGUAAUGCUUAACGACUUAGAAUUGGGGCGCCGAAGACGUUUUGAAACGUCACGGAACAUAUGAGAUGUUCCAAGAGAUGAAAUUGGGAUUUCAUGGUCGUGCCCGCGUUGGGAGGUAUGAGAUCUCCGACAAGAUUCUUUGUCUACAAAGUUAAGGAGAAAAGCUCAAUCGUUGAGCAUGUGCUCAGAUUGUGUGAGUGCAACAGUCGCUUGAAUCAAGUGGGAGUUAAUCUUCCACAUGAUAUAGUGAUGGUUCUCCAAAGUCAGUGCCACCAAGCUAUCAGAACUUCGUGAUGAACUAUAACAUAUCAAGGAUAGGUAUGAUGAUCCUUGAGCGAUUCGCAAUGUUUGACACUGCGAAAGUAGAAAUAAAGUAGGAGCAUCAAUUGUUAAUGGUUAGUAAAACCACUAGUUUCAAGAAGGGCAAGGGCUAGAAGGGAUGCUUCAUGAAAGGGCAAACCAGUUGCUGCUCUAAUGAAGAAACCCAAGGUUGAACUCAAACCCAAGACUAAGUGCUUCUACUAUGAGGGGAACGGCCACGGAGGCGGAACUACCCUAGAUACUUGGUAGAUGAGAAGGUUGGCGAAGUCGACAAAGUAUAUUUGAUAUACAUGAUAUUGAUGUAUACCUUACUAGUAUUCCUAGUAGCGCCAGGGUAUUAGAUACUGGUUCAGUUGCUAAGUGUUAGUAACUCGAAGUUAUAGCUACGUAUUAAAAGGAUACUAGCAAGGGUGAGGUGACGAUGUGUGUUGGAAGUAAUUCUAAGGUUGAUGUGAUCAAACAUCGCACACUCCCUCUACCAUCGGGAUUGGUGUUAAACCUAAAUAAUUGUUAUUUGGUGUUUGCGUUGAGCAUGAACAUGAUUGGAUCGUGUUUACUGCAAUAUAACUGUUCAUUUAAAGAGAAUAAUUGUUAUUCUAUUUGCGUGAAUAAUUACCUUCAAUGGUUUAUUGAAUCUCGAUCGUAGUGCUACACAUUUUCAUAAUAUUGAUGCCAAAAGGUACAAGGUAGUAAUGAUAGUACCACUUACUUAUGGCACUGCCACUUGAGUCAUAUUGGUGUAAAAUGCAUGAAGAAGCUCCAUGCUGAUGGAUCUUUGUACUCACUAAUUUUUGAAACGUUUGAGACAUGCAAACCAUACAUAUUGGUAUAAAUGCAUGAAGAAACUCCAUGCAGAUGGAUCGUUUGGACUCACUUGAUUUUGAAUCACUUGAGACAUGCAAAUCAUACCACAUGGGCAAGAUGACUGAAGGCCUCGUUUUCGAGUGAGAUGGAACUAGAAAGUAACUUAUUGGAAGUAAUACAUUUGGUUGUAUGCAGUCCAAUGAGUGCUCAGGCACGUAGUGGAUAUCGUUAUGUUCUUACUUCACAGAUGAUUUGAGUAGAUACUAGUGUAUUUUCUUAAUGAAACACACGUCUGAAUUAUUGAAAGGUUCAAGAAGUUUCAGAGUGAAGUUGAAGAUCGUUGUGACAAGAGGGUAACAUGUCUACGAUAUGAUCAUAGAGAUGAAUAUCUGAGUUGUGAGUUUGGUACACAAUUAAGACAAAUGUGAAAAUUGUUUCACAUCUCAUGCCACCUAGAACACCGUAGUAUGAUGGUGUGUCCGAACGUCAUAGUCGUGCCCUAUUUGAUAUGGUGCAUACUAUGAUGUCUCUUAUCAAAUUACCACUAUCGUUUAUGGGUUAUGCAUUAGAGACAACCGCAUUCACUUUAAAUAGGGCACCAUGUAUUUCCGUCGAGAUGACACUGUAUGAGCUAUGGUUUGGAGAAACCUAAGCUAUCGUUUCUUGAAAGUUUGGGGCUACGACGCUUAUGUGAAAAAAAAUUCAGUCUGAUAAGCUCGAACCUAAAGCGGAUAAAUGCAUCUUCAUAGGAUAUCCAAAACAGUUGGGUAUACCUCCUAUCUCAGAUCCGAAAGCAAAGUGUUUGUUUCUAGAAACGGGUCCUUUCUCGAGGAAAAGUUUCUCUCGAAAGAACUGAGUGGGAGGGUGGUGGAACUUGAUGAGGUUAUUGAACCGUCACUUCAACCAGUGUGUAGCAGGGCGCACGAAGUUGUUCCGGUGGCGCGUACUCCAAUUGAAGUGGAAACUGAUGAUAGUGACCAUUAAGCUUCGGAUCAAAUUACUACAAACCUCGUAGGUCGACUAGGUCGCGUACUACUAUAGAGUGGUACGUUAACCCUGUCUUGGAGGUCAUUUUGUUGAACAACAAUAAACCUACGAGCUAUGGAGAAGCGAUGGUGGGCCCGAAUUCCGGCAAAUGGCUGGAGACCAUGAAAUCCGAGAGAGGAUCCGUCUAUAAAAACAAAGUAUAGACUUUGGAAGAACUACUUGAUGGUCGUAAGACUAUUAAGUACAUAUGGAUCUUUAAAAGGAAGACAGACAAUGAUGGUGAAAAGUCACCAUUAAGAAAAGCUCGACUCAUUGCAAAGAUGUUUCCCACAAGUUCACGGAGUUGACGAUGAUGAGACUUUCUCACUCAUAGCGAUGCUAAAAGUCUGUUGGAAUUAUGUUACCAGUUGCUGCAUUAUUUAUGAAAUAUUGCACAUAGGAUGUCAAAACAUUGUUUCCUCGAGAGUUUCCUUGAGGAAAGGUUGUAUGUGAUACAACCAGAAGGUUUUGUCAAUCCUAAGGAUGAUAACAAGUUAGCAAGCUCUAGCAAUCCUUAUGUGAACUGGAGCAAGCAUCUCGGAGUUGGAAUAUACGCUUUGAUGAGAUGAUCAAAGUUUUGGGUUUUAUACAAGGUUUGUGAGAAACUUGCAUUUCCAAAGAAGUGAGUGGGAGCACUAUAGAAUUUCUGAUAAGUAUAUGUGGUUGACAUAUUGUUGAUCGGAAGUAAUGUAGAAUUUCUAUAAAGCAUAAAGGGUUGUUUGAAAGGAGUUUUUCAAAGGAAAACCUAGAUAGAGCUACUUGAACAUUGGGCAUCAAGAUCUAUAGAGAUAGAUCAAAACGCUUAAAUAGAACUUUCAAUGAAAUGCAUGCCUUAACAAGUUUUUGAAGGAGUUCAAAAUAGAUCAACAAAGAAGAAGUUCUUGGUUGUAUUGUAAGGUGUGAAUUUGAGUAAGACUCAAAGCCCGACCAUGACAGAAGAAAGAGAAAGGACGAAGGUCGUCCCCUAUGCCUUAGUCGCAGGCUCUAAAGUAUGACAUGUUGUGUACCGCACCUGAUGUGUGCCUUGCCAUGAGUCUGUCAAGGGGUACAAAGAGUGAUCCAGGAUUGAAUCACUAAAACAGCGGUCAAAGUUAUCCUUAGUAACUAGUGGACUAAGGAUUUUUUUUCUCGAUUAUGGAGGUGAUUAAGGAGUUUGUUGUAAAGGGUUACGUUGAUGCAAGCUUUAACACUAAUCCGAAUAACUCUAAGGAGUAAAGAGGAUUCGUAUAGUGGAACGGUCAUUUGGAAUAAUUCCAAAUGGCCCGUAGUAGCAGCAUCUACAGGAUAACAUAGAGAUUUCUAAAGCACACACAGAUCUGAAAGGUUCGGACUUGUUGACUAAAACUUCUCUCACAAGCAAGACGUAAUCAAACCACAGAACUGCAUGGGUGUUGGAUUCGUUAAAACCACAUAGUGAUGUGAACUAGAUUAUUGAUUCUAGUGCAAGUGGGAGACUGUUAGAAGUAUGCCAUAGUGGCAAUAAUAAAUUAGUUAUUAUUAUAUUUCUUUGUUCAUGAAAAUCGUUUAUUAUCCAUGCCAUGAUUAUAUUGAUUGGAAACACAAAUAUAUGUGUGGAUACAUAGACAAAACACUGUCCCUAGUAAGCAUCUAGUUGACUAGCUCGUUGAUCAAAGAUGGCUAAGAUUUCCUAACCAUAGACAAGUGUUGUCACUUGAUAACGGGAUCACAUCAUUAGGAGAAUAAUGUGAUGGACAAGACCCAAACUCUAAACGUAGCGUAUCAUCGUGUCAGUUUAUUGCAACUGUUUUCUCCAUCUCAAUGUAUCUGUUCCUAUGACCAUGAGAUCAUGCAACUCCCAGACACCGGAGGAAUACCUUGUGGGUUAUCAAACGUCGCAAUGUAACUGGGUGAAUAUAAAGGUGCUCUAUAGGUAUCUCCAAAGGUGUAUGUUGGGUUGGCAUGGAUCAAGACUGGGAUUUGUCACUCCGUGUGAUGGAGAGGUAUCUCGGGGCCCACUCGGUAAUACAAUAUCACAAUAAGCCUUGCAAGCAAUGUGACUAAGGAGUUAGUUACGGGAUCUUGUAUUAUGGAACAAGUAAAAGACUUGCCGGUAACGAGAUUGAACUAGGUGUAGAGAUACCGACGAUCGAAUCUCGGGCAAGUAACAUACCGAAGGACAAAGGGAGUAGUAUACAUGAUUAUAUGAAUCCUUGACAUAGAGGUUCAACCGAUAGAGAUCUUCAUAGAAAUAUGUAGGAGACAAUAUGGUCAUCCAGGGCCCGCUAUUGGUUAUUGACCAGAGAGUGUCUCAGGUCAUGUCUGCAAAGUUCUCGAACCCACAAGGUCUGCACACUUAAGGUUCGGUGACGUUUUGGUAUAGUUGAUGUUGGAAAUAUGCCCUAGAGGCAAUAAUAAAAUGGUUAUUAUCAUAUUUCCUUGUUCAUGAUAAUCGUCUAUUGUUCAUGCUAUAAUUGUAUUAACAGGAAACAAUAAUACAUGUGUGAAUAAAUAGAUCACAAUGUGUCCCUAGCAAGCCUCUAGUUGGCUAGCUCUUUAGUCAAUAGAUGAUCAUGGUUUCCUGGUCAUGGGCAUUAGAUGUCAUUGAUAACAGGAUCACAUCAUUGGGAGAAUGAUGUGAUGGACAAGACCCAAUCCUAAGCAUAGCACUAGAUCGUAUUGUUCAUAUGCUAAAGCUUUUCUAAUGCCAAGUGUCUUUUCCUUCGACCAUGAGAUUGUGCAACUCCCGGAUACCAUAGGAGUGCUUUGGGUGUAUCAAACGUCACAAUGUAACUGGGUGACUAUAAAGGUGCACUACAAGUACCUCUGAAAGUGUCUGUUGGGUUGGUACGAAUCGAGAUCGAGAAUUGUCACUCCGCGUGACGGAGAGGUAUCUCUGGGCCCACUCGGUAGAACAUCAUCAUGAGCUCAAUGUGACUAAGGAGUUAAUCACACGAUGACAUGCUAUGGAACGAGUAAAUAGACUUACCGGUAACGAGAUUGAACAAGGUAUAGGUAUACCGACGAUCAAAUCUCAGGCAAGUUCUAUACCGACAGACAAAGGGAAUUAUAUACGGGAUUGAUUGAAUCCUUGACAUCGUGGUUCAUCCGAUGAGAUCAUCGUGGAGCAAGUGGGAGCCACCAUCGGUAUCCAAACCCCGCUGAUGGUUAUUGGCCGGAGAGGUGUCUCGGUCAUGUCUGCCUGUCUCCCGAACCCGUAGGGUCUACACACUUAAGGUUCGAUGACGCUAGGGUUAUAGGGAAUUGUUAUACGAGGUUACCCAAAGAUGUUCGGAGUCCCGGAUGAGAUCCCGGACGUCACGAGGAGGUCCAGAAUGGUCCGAAGGUAAAGAUUGAUCCAUAGGAUGGAUGGUUUUGGACAUCGGAAAUGUUUCGGGUGUCACCGGUAAUGUACCGGGACCACCGGGACCACCGGAAAUGGUCCCGGGGGUACACCGGGAGGGGCCACCAGCCCCAAGAGGUAGCAUCACUACAGGAAUCGGCUUCUUUGCCGUCUCCCAUCACAGACGACAAAGACAAUAUCCUGGACGGCAAAGACAAUAUCACAGACGGCAAAGAUUCUCACGGCCGGCAAAAUUUCUGCGUCAGCCUACGACGGCAUAGGACCUUCUUUGCCGUCUGCCCCCCCAAAGCGGACGGCAAAGCUCUUUGCCGUCAGCUUUCCUUAGGAGCAGUCGGCAAAGUGCUCGAGACGGAAGCCGGCAGGCGUUGCCUCCGUUAGGGGUUAACGGAGGCUUUGCCGUCUGCCUCCCCGUCCAUCUUUGCCGUCUGCCUUCUCUUCCCCUCCCCUCCCCCUCCAUCUUUGCCGUCUGCCUCCCCGUCCAUCUUUGCCGUCUGCCAGCUCCUCCCCUCCCCCCUCUCUCCACUCUUUGCCGUCUGCCUCCUCCUCACCCCUCCCCUGUUCCCUCUUCUUUGCCGUCUGCCCACCCUGGAGGCUGACGGCAAAGAGACCCUGGAGGCUGACGGCACAUUAAUAUAAUUCACCACACAUAUAUGAUAUAUAGUUCACCACACAUAUACUUGCCAACACAUAUAUAUAAUUCACCACACAUAUAUGAUUCACCAAUGUACAUCCCCAUAUAUCCAAAGAACCAACAUACCAGGUAUUGCACUGUUUAUCCAUAUAUACAUAUACAUAUAGUUCGACAUUGUUCAUCAACUCAAAUGAAAACUAGAUGAUAUACAUAUAAAGUUCAUCCAUCGACAUUGUUCAACUCCAUGAAUGCCAGCUUCCAUGCAUGUAGUAUAUCCAAUCUGCAAAAAUGUGAAUAAGAAAGUUAGAAGAAGAACAAAAUAUGAUGUUUUUCAGCUAAUUAUGUCAUUUUUAGUGGAAAACCAGCUAAGUAUAUGUGUCGUGAACUAUAUAUCAUUUGUUGGAGCUAAAUUACCUAAUUAUGUCUUUUUGAGCUAAAUGGGCUAAUUAUCRCAUUUUAGAGGAAAACAAGCUAAGUAUAUAAUAUUCAUGAGCUAACCAAGGUUCUUAUGCCAUUUUGAGCUUAUUAUGGUAUUUUGGAGCUAAAUGGGCUAAUUAUGUCAUUGUUGGGUUAAUUAAAGCAAGGAUAAUAUGAAAGAGGAGAAGAAAGAGGAGGAGGAGGAGAAGAAGAAGAAAUCAAGAAGAAGGAGGAGGAGGNNNNNNNNNNNNNNNNNNNNNNNNNNNNNNNNNNNNNNNNNNNNNNNNNNNNNNNNNNNNNNNNNNNNNNNNNNNNNNNNNNNNNNNNNNNNNNNNNNNNAGGAUCAUGUUCAUCAUUUGCGAGUAGUUACUUUUGUUCUUGAUGUCAUCGGAGAAAUCAUGUUACAAGUAAUCAUGUGAACUUGAUACGUGUUCAAUAUUUUGAUGGUAUGUAUGUUGUGAUUCCCUUAGUGGUGUCAUCUGAAUCUCGAUGACAUGACACUUUACCAUAUUUUGGGCUAAGGGAAUGCAUUUUGGAGUAGCUAUUAGAUGAUGGGUUGCUGGAGUGAUAGAAGCUUAAAUCCUAGUUUAUGCUCUACUUCGUAAGGGGCCGAUUUGGAUCCAAACGUUUAAUGCUAUUGUUAGAUAUUUAUCUUAAUACCUUUCUCAUAGUUGUGGAUGCUUGCGAGGGAGUUAAUAAUAAGUAGGAGGUUUGUUCAAGUAAGAAUAUCACCUAAGAACCGGUCCACCCACAUAUCAAACUAUCAAAGUAUAGAACACGAAUUAAGCUAUCAUGGUGAAAGUGACUAGAUGAAAUUCCCAUGUGCCCUCAAGAAUGCUUUGCCCAUUAUAAGAAACCACUUUGUCCUUCCUUUGCCACAAAAGGAUUGGUAUACCUUGCGGCACUUAUUUUUAAUCUAGCUACUCGUUACUUGUUAUAUCUAUCUUGCUAUCAAACAACUUGUUACCGCUAUUUCAGUGCUUGCAGAAAUUACCUUGCUGAAAACCACUUGCCAUUUCCAUCUGCUCCUCAUUGGGUUCGACACUCUUACGUAUCGAAAGGACUACAAUUGAUCCCCUAUACUUGUGGGUUUUAACAGGCUCCAAGAUCUUCAGGCUCAACACUUUGAUCUUCAAAACCAAAAUUGUGAGUAUGAAUCUCGUUUCAAGAGGAUGGGUAUAGUUGUAGAUUUCAGUAUUCCAGAGAUGAGCUCUUUAUUCUUGAUUGGGUAACCUAUGCCAUGGAAGACGAAGGACAAGCUUACCGUAUAAUCACCACCAUCACCCAAGAAUUACUCUUGACUACAUGGGUAUGGGCACCACCCUUAGCUUGUUCCAAGCUCAGGGGAGGUGCCUCGAUGUCGUAUGACCAUCAUUUCUACUAUUACGAUCUAUCUCAGUUCGAUCCUUAGUUAUUUCAUGAUUCAGAGAAAUAAAAUUUCAGAUUUGUUUUGCAUAGAAUGUUUGCUUUGAGUUCUACCUACCCUUGGAGUCGAAUGUGAGAGUUAUAUAAUAAAGAUUAGUUGAGUUUGUGUGCUCUACUUGUGUGCACCCAUCAUCAUAGCAUGGCAGUAAAAGAAAUAGAAAAGAACAUAUGCUUAUCUCGUGGGGAGUAAUGACUUCACAUAAAAAAGGGUGUAAGUGAUAAAAGUAGCUGGAAAUAAACAAACAUAGUAUUAGUCAUUAUUACAAUGUAAUCAUGAUUAUGAUAGAGGAGUGGAGAUUCUCAUACAAAUAAAGUAUCUUGGAUAUGUUUUAUGAUUGUGAGCCAUCACCAAAUAUUAUAUAAUGAUCAAGUGUUGACAUUGGACAUGGAAGAUAAUGUAAUGAUCAUGGUAAUUUAUAUCCAAAUAGAAUUUAUAUGGUUAUGGAUCCUUUAACAUGUGGUGCUUUCUUUAGAUCUUUUGCUAGCCAAAAAAUUCCGCACUAAGUAGAGAUACUACUUGUGCAUCCGUAACCCUGAAAUCUAGUUCCUUGCCAUGAGAGUCCAUCCUGCCUACCUAUGGAUUAAAUAAGAUCCUUCAAGUAAGUUUUCAUCGGUGCAUCAAGCAGUAACAAUUCCUCUUAAAUAUGUAUGAUCUUUUGUUGCAAAGUAAAAUAAUCUUUUUACAAUCUUGUGAUGGCAAAGAAAUAAAAGAGACAAAGUGCAUAAUAAAGUUUGCUAUCAUAAGGGGAAUACAAAGUGACGUUCCUUUGCAAUAAGAGUUUGCACAUCCAAAAACUUAAAAGUGCAUGACAAACUGUCCUUUCCUCUGCGAAGGGCCUAUCUUUUACUUUUAUGUUUUCACUCCUACGUGAGAGUUAACAAAGUUUAUUCCUCUUCCUACCUAUUAAUUCUAUAGAGCCAAGCAUCCAGUGUUGAGGAAACAUUUAAACUUAUAUCUUCAAGUGGGUGUAGAUGAUCAUGAUUUAUUAUUGUUGACAUUAUCCUUGAGGUAAGUUGAGUGGCAAAUUAGUUAAGCCCAUAUCUUCCUAUGUGUCCCAUGGAAACAUGAGCUCCAAAAACAUGUCUUGAACAUGAGCAAUCAUAGAAGACUAAAUGAUAGUUGAGUAUGUGAACUUGCAAAUAAGAAAGAUCUUACAUAGACUCUCCUGUGAAAUUUGAUGAAUUAUGAUUGUCCCCAUGAUUGAGAACAUAGUUUGUUGAUUGUCAAUAAGGUGUAUGCUUCGUACUCCAAUAAUCGUGAAUGGAUUGUUACUUGUUUAUGAGGAAAUAUGUGAUAAAAUACUUGCUUCUAUGCUAAUAUUCAUGAUGAUCUCAUGUUCGUAUUUUGUUUUUAUCAAAUUUCCCCUCUCAAAUCAUGUGGCCAUUACUUCGAAGCUCGAGUUUCACUUGAGGACAAGUGAGGUCUAAGCUUGGGGGAGUUGAUACGUCCAUUUUGCAUCAUGAUUAUUUAUUUAUAUUUGUGUUAUUCUUGUCCAUUAUUACCUAUUAUCAUACAAUUCUUAUGACCUCUCUCUUUGAAUAUGCAAGGUAUAUCACAAAGAGGGAAAUAUCUGGAAACUAGAAUUCUGGACCAGGAAUCCAAGAAAAAGGUAGAAAAAUCAGCGGGCUUCAAUUGAACUGAAACACCAAGGAGAAUUUUUAUCGAACAUGUAAGAAUUAUUGGGACAAAAAUAUACCAAAGGGGGCCCACCUCCUGUCCACAAGCCAACAGGGCGCUCCCACCCCCUAGGCGCGUCCUGAUGGCUUGUGAGGGCCCUCUAGACCUCCCGACCCCCUCGUCUCCUAUAUGGUGUGUUUUACCAAAGAAAAAAAAUCACAAGCUACCUUUCGGGAUGAAGCGCCACCAUCUUGAGGCAAAAACCUAGGCAGAUGCCCUUUUGCUCUCUGGCACACAGAUUCUGCCGGGGAAUUCCCCUCUGGGAGGGGGCUAUCGAAGCUAUCAUCAUCACCAACACAUCCUCCUUCCUUCGAGGACCAAUCUUCAUCGACAUAUUCACCAACACCAUCUCAUAUCCAACCCUAGUUCACCUCUUCUAUUCAAUAUUUAUCUCAAAACCUCAUAUUUGUACAUGUAGGUUACUAGUUGUGCUGAUUACAUCUUGCACUUAAUGCUUGUUGGAUUAGUUGGUGGAAGACAUUAUGUUUAGAUACUUAAUCAUUAUUAUUAUACCUCUGAUCUUGAAUAUGUUGACAAAGUGUGAGUAGUUACUAUUGUUCCUAAGGACAUGGGAUAACUCUUGUUGUAAGUAAUCAUGUAAAGUUGGUACUCGUUCGAUAUUUUGAUGAUAUGUAUGUUGUUACUUCUCUUAGUGGUGUCAUGUGAACGUCGACUAGGUGACACUUGACAAUGUUAUGGGCCUAAGGUAAAUCAUUAUGGAAUUACAAGUACAUGAUGGGUUGCGAGAGUGACAGAAGCUUAAACCCCAGUUUAUGUGUUGCUUCAUGAGGGGUUGAUUGGGAUCCACACGUUUAAUGCGAUGGUUUGAUUUAUCUUAAUUUUGCUUUCGUAAUUGCAGAUGCUUGUGAUAGAGGGUAAUCAUAAGUUCGUUGUUUAUUCAAGUAAGAUCAGCACCUUAGCACCAGUCCACCCACAUAUCUAAUUAUGAAAGUAGUGAACGUGAAUCAACUCAACAUGAUGAACAUGACUAGAUAGAAAUUCCCAUGUGUGCUCGGGAGUGCUUAUAAGAGUACUUUCAGGCAUGUCCUUUGCUACAAAAAGGAUUGGGCUACCUUGCUGCACCUUUGUUACUAUUGUUACUUAUCACUUGUUACGAAUUAUCUUUCUACAAAACUAUCUACCAUUGUUACUUACAUCACUUGUAGAGAAUACCUUUCUAAAAACCGCUUAUCAUUUCCUUCUGAUCCUUGUUGGGUUCGACACCCUUACUUAUUGAAAGAACUACGAUUGAUCCCCUAUACUUGUGAAUCAUCAGUAACCUACUUUCUUGAAAAAUGUGUGAGCAAAGAUACUCAAGGUUGCGAUAGCAGAAACACCCACAAGAAAUGAACCACUACACAAAUUAUAUUAUCAUGGUGGUGUUCGACAUCGCGAUCGCCACUUUAGGGCCUGACUACAUCAGAAAAAAUUACUUGCAUCAAGUUGGCAACUCAUGGCUCCUGCUAGUUGAUCCCUUACUACUACGUAGAUGUCGUAUACCAUGUCGACGAAAAUAGGUAGUCACCACUGGCGGAACCAGCAUCAUUUGAGAUCCAAGCACUCACUUUUAGUACAUCUUAUACGACACGAUCCUUUCUAUUUUGCAUAUGCUUUCAUUCAAGCACAGAGUAUUCGCUACUAAUUUGGCAUCAAAAUUAGGAACAUGAGCUUCACCGAGGUCCAUCCGACCUCCACUUAUGAACCUCAGACCUGGAUCUAUAGACAAGUUAUUUUGGAACCUCAUUUCUGACAUGGAUGACCACCCGAACAACAUGUUUCUCCUGAUUACUGGCGGUUUUGUAAUAGCACAACUGUGAGAGUUUCAUCAUGAAGAUUGAACCGACUGUUCGUACCCGACACUACAUUUUCGGGUGCUCCGUGUCAAAGGAUUGGAUGGAGAUCUCGAAGGUUUAGAGUAGAAGCACUUUUGGAACAUGGGCCCAUGGACCAUGUUCGUUGGACAUAGCUACCAGCUAAUACUAGAGAUGCCUCCUUCUGAUCACGAUGAAUAGGGACUCCCAUUCAUGAACAAAGGUUGUGUUUUCACAGCUCGCAUACGUAGUAGGACUGAGCUCGGCCGCCUGCUUGAGUUAUGACGGUACGCCGUUGAUGAUGGUCCUAUGUUGGAUGUGCACCUUAAGAGUUGUGGAGAAGAACGACACGAACACCGAGUCUGGUUCAUGCCAUCCCUACUAAGGACAGGGGACUGUCAUUACGUACUCAUAGUGUUGGUUUGUGCUGAUAGUUAAGUUAUGUAACACUUUGAAUAAGUCUUGUGAACCAUGUAAUUGGCCUAACAAGUAUGCACUGACUGCUUUUGAACUAUGUGAGUCAUGUGAACCAGUCAUGUGAACCAUGUACAACUUUCUGUAAGUCAUGUUUUGAAAGGACCUAAUUAGGCGUGUGUGUCAUCGUAUUUACGCUAAGUACCCACAUGUGUCAACACGAGGUGAACCGUAGUAGCCAAUAGAUUUGGCGCCUACUACCUAGUGAGACCAUCUGUGUAAAUGAAUCCGCCUGUAGGCCAUAAGUGUUGAUAGAAUGGUGUGCUAUUCACACCACAACUGCUCCUUUCAACGCAUGAAUCUAUCAAAUCAGAAACACUAUCUCCCUUGGCAAUUCUCGUACAGGUAAGAACUUCCAAGUUUUAAUCACGUCACACUAGACAACGAGCUGCCCCGUGAAGUCUCAUCGUCGCAGCCCAAAUAACACACAAAUUCCCCAGGCGCCGCAAGGGGUUCACGUGGGACGCGCGUUCACACUGGCGCUUCAGGAAACCCACACCACCCAGUCUCUCGUGUAGGGUCCGAAACACGGCGCCAUCAAACCUUGGCACAUCUAAUCAAUUGUAUUCGUUUACUGCAUGUUUGCCACGCCUAAGCAACUUGCUCUACCCGAGGCGACGAAUCGAUUGCAUACUUUAAACCGCACUACCCUGGCAGUCCAAUCAAGUUCAUUGUGUCCCAAGGGAAACUCCUCCAAGUUUGAGUAAGUGGAACCGCCCGCCCGCACGGCAGAUGCCAGAGCUACUUCUUCCCCUGCCUCCCAUAGAUCCUCUCUCAUACAAACCACAAUCCUAUCAUUUCGUCUCCAACUUUCACUCAGUCCCUAAGCCAUGGCCAUGUCGGAGCUCCAUGAUGAACCAUUGAGAGGCUUUCCGGCUAUGUUGUACGACACCGUGUGCUCUACGAUGGAGCACAUCGACCUUCUCAACCACAUUCGAGUCGCAUGAACCAACUUCUGCCUUAACCGGGAUGUUCCUCGCGUAAACCAGGAGGUGGCCAACAUGAUGGAGAAGACCACCGUGCUCGACUGUGACAUGACCUAGAUGGUCGCCCCCCCCCCCCAAGCUGGGACAGACACGCUUGUGAGACUUGUGAUCUACAUUGGGUUUUCCAUCAAGAGGAAUGGGUUAUCACAACACAACGUGGGUAAGUAUCUCCCUCUGUUAUGAAACCAAGGUUUAACUAACCAAUAGGAAUAUCAAUCACCAUCGUCUUCAGCGACCGCACACAAAAGAACAAACAACUUGAACCCAACGAGGGCAAGAGGGUUGUCAAUCCCCUUGAUCUCGUUAUUUGCAAGCAAAGGAUGUGUCUAGAUGAUUGUUUAUGAAAGUAAAAUGCAAACUAAAAUAAAAGCAAGUAAAUGGCAGCAAGGUAUUGGAGGUUUUGUAAAUAUAUAGUGAAUAUACCCGACGGGCAUAAUUUUCCCUAAUGGCAUCUCUCAUGAAAAAAUAGCAUACGUUGGGUAAACAAAUUACUGUUGGGAAAUUGAUAGAAAAGCAGCUAGUUAUGCGAUUUUCACGACAAUGAUCAUGUGUAUAUAGCAUCACAUCCAUGAACAAAUAGGCCGACUCCUGCGUGCACCUUUUACUAUUACUUCACUUCAAGAGCGCUUCUAUGCCUUCCACUCUACAUAUUAAGUUCCUGACAAACGAAGUAAUGCAUGGAGAACAAUGACAUGAUGUAGACAAAGUAAACUGAACCAAUAUGAAUAAACCCCAUCGUUUUACCCUUAUUAGCAGCAAUAUAAAGAUGCAUCUUGUCCCCUUCUAUCACUAUGAUAUAGAAAUCCACCAGGUUGAACCUACUGCAACGCACCUCUCUCACCGAAGAAAUAUCAAUCUAGUUGGCUAAACUAUUUCAAUAGAUUGGAGAGAAUUAUGAACCUAUCAUAAUCAUGCACAUAAGAAUCAUAUAAUAUUUCAGACGAGACUCAAAUAUUUAUCAUGAAUAAUCUGAAUAGAACACCAGAAUUCAUCGGAUCCCAACAAACGCACCGCACGAAAUGAUUACAUCAUAUGGAUUAAAGCGAAAAUGCGAUGAUCAUUGUAUUGAAGAUCAAAAGAGAGAGAGAUUGCCACAUAGGUACUGGCCAUGGACACGUACGUCUGUGGUGAAAUACUCACACAUCAUCGUGAGGGCAACAAGGUUGAUGAAGAGGCCCUCCAUGAUCGACCCCCCUCCAACAGAGUGACGGAACGAAGCUCCAGAUGGCCUCCCGUUAGAAUAGAGACUUGCAACGGCUUAAAAAGUGAUUCAGGACCUCCUCUAGGGUUUUUGGAAUAUACCAGAAUUUAUAGGCUAGAGAACGGAGUCGGAGAGGCUACAAGGCGGCCAGAAGCCAUUAGGGUGCACCCCUAGGGCGUGCCCUGUUGUCUUGUGGGCCUCUCAUGUGGCCUCCUGUCUCCUUUCAAUGCUCCUAGGUUUUGUUUUGGUCCAAAAAAUCACCAAAAAGUUUCCGGUCAAUUGGACUGGGUUUGGUAUUGGAAACCUAAAAAGUGAAAAACACGAAAACAAGAACUCGCAUUGCACUAGGUCAAUAGGUUAGUGCUCAAGAAUAAUGUAAAUUGGUAAAUAAAGCUCGCAAAAGUAUUCUAAAAUGAUAAUAUAUCAGCAUGGAACAAUAAAAAAUUUAUAGAUACGUUGGAGACGUAUCACCUUGCUCGUGCUGAUGGACUCGCCGACCAUUACAACAAGGAUAUUGUACGAGCCACCUCCUGAGAAGCCUUGGAGCACGCAGGUAAGCGACCACCCAAAGUAAUCAUAUUCUCCCUCGUCAUACUUCAGGAUGCAUCUGCCGACAACAAGUUCAUGUUUGUGUUGCCAUCUCUGAAAUUUUAAUAUUGUAUGGGAGCAAACAAAGAUUGGUCGACUUCGUUGAUGCAUAUGGCGAUAUGAACCUACACAGUGUGUACACUGGUCGGAAUGUACACCUUCCGCUGAUCUCUGCUCUAGGUUUCUCCGCAGUGGGCCUUUCAAGCACAACAGAUUUCUUGUACAACCGUACCAGGGCGAACCUAAUGAAGGUUGCCAUCUCCCAUCCACCAAAAAUAACAUUCAGCUACACAUAUGUCGUCAUCAUUGUGGUGAUCGACAUAGCGUUCGCCGUGAACAUAGGUUAUAACCAUGCUAGUGUGGAUGAGUGGAUACUAAUGUCUAUGACUGUUAUUGCACCGCACCACUAGGAGGAUGCGGUCUACAUUCAUGGCCGGAUUUGCUGUUAUAGCCAGAGCAUCUAAAUUACAUGUCUUUUUAUCAUUUUGGUUGAACGCUUGGUGAAUCUCAUUGGUUUAAACACCACGAUCCUUCGCUCCACCAAGGUGCCUAGAGGACCUACCCUUGUCGUACCAUGUUGGCAAGCCCAUGUUCUAGAACCUAGUGCUAGACACGGCUCAUCACUCGAACAACAUGUAUCUUGUGCGCUCGGGCGGCAAUGUGACACGUCACGAGCAGGGGGUCAACCAUGAAGGUCAAACGAUGUGUUCCUACCCAAAGCUAAAUUGCCACGUGUUCUGGUUCGACGGACAACAUCGGCAUUUCACAGGAGCACAGUGGAUGCCUGAUACGUCUCAAACGUAUCUAUAAUUUUUGAUGGUUUCACGCUGUUAUCUUGUCAUCUUUGGAUGUUUUGUUUACCUUUUAUAUCUUUUUUGGGACUGACUUAUUAAUUCAGUGCCAAGCGCAAGUUCCUGUUUUUCUGUGUUUAUGACUUUUUCAGAUCUGAUUUUGGAACGGAGUCCAAACAGAAUAAAAUCCCGGAAAUAAAUUUUUCCAGAGCGGAAGAAGAUCAGGAGGCUUGAGGGCCAAGGCAGUGGGCUCUCAGGGGGCCCACAAGCCCUGUUGCCGUGCCCAGGGGGGAGGCCGCGGCAACCAAGCUUGUGGCCCCCCUGGUGCUCCCCUACCCUAGGUCUUUCGCCUAUAAAUUUCCAAAAAAUCCAGAAAAAAUUAGGGCAUCCACGAAAACACUUUUCCGCAACCGCAAGCUUCCGUUUACGCGAGAUCUCAUCUGGAGACACUUCCCGGUGCCCUGCCGGAGGGGACUUUGGAGUUGGAGGGCUUCUACAUCAACAUCAUCGCCUCUCCAAUGACUCGUGAGUAGUCCACUUCAGACCUACGGGUCCGUAGUUAGUAGGUAGAUGGUUUCUUCUCUCUCUUGGAUCUUGAAUACAAAGUUCUCGAUGAUCUUCAUGGAGAUCUAUCCGAUGUAAUCCUCUUUGGCGAUGUGUUUGUGGAGAUCCGAUGAAUUGUGGAUUUGUGAUCAGAUUAUCUAUGAAUUAUAUUUGAGUCUUUGCUUAUUUCUUAUAUGCAUGAUUUGAUAUCCUUGUAAGUCCCUUCGAGUCUUGGGGUUUGUUUGGCCAACUAGAUCUAUGAUUCUUGCAAUGGGAGAAGUGCUUGGUUUUGGGUUCAUACCGUGUGGUGACCUUUCCCAGUGACAGAAGGGGCAGCAAGGCACGCAUCAUGUUGUUGCCAUCAAGGGUAACAAGAUGGGCUUUUAUCGUAGAUAUGAGAUUGUCCAUCUACAUCAUGUCAUCUUGCUUAAGGCGUUACUCCGUUCUUUUGGACUUAAUACACUAGAUGCAUGCUGGAUAGCGGUCGACGUGUGGAGUAAUAGUAGUACAUGCAAAAAGUAUCGGUCUACUUGUUUCGGAUGUGAUGCCUAUAGAUAUAAUCAUUGCCUUAGAUAAUGUCACAACUUUGCGCGGUUCUAUCAAUUGCUCGACAGUAAUUCGUUCACCCACCGUCUACUUGCUUUCAUGAGAGAAGCCACUAGUGAACACUAUGGCCCUCGGGUCUAUUCACAACUAUCAUUUCAACUUUCACUUUUACUUUGCUUGUGUACUUUGUUGCUUUCAGUUCUCACUUUGCAAACAAUCUAUAAGGGAUUGACAACCCCUUCAUAGCGUUUGGUGCAAGCUCUUUGUGCUUUUGUAGGUACUUGUGUCUUGACGAGAUCUUCCAUUGGUUCGAUACCUUGGUUCUCAAAACUGAGGGAAAUACUUACCACCGCUGUGCUACAUCACCCUUUCCUCUUCAAGGGAACACCAACGCAAGGCUGCAAGGCCGCGGGGAAAUCCUUUGCAUAUUUGCCAAGGAAGUCACUAAAGGCGUAGCCGUAGCAGCAGGAUUCCUGGCGCCUUACCAGGGAAGGUCUGUUGUCGUAGUAGCAAUACCCUAUGUCGACCUUGGUUCAUGCUCUCUCUCUCUCUUUGUAGGAGAAACCUAUCCCCUCGUGAUGGACAUACCACCUACACAUCAAGAUGCCAACAGGAUACCAUUCCUCACCCGAGGAUACGUUUUCAUAGCUCGACGGGGGAUUUCUUGCUCGAAUGGUCCACUCCCUCAGCUGUGCCAUUUUAGCCUAGGAAGAAGACUCACGUUGGGCUUCUCCAUCAAGAACUCAGGCUUGCAGGAAAGAGCCAACCACCCGGUGUGGCUUGUGACAUCGCUGUGUAACGCCAAGGAAUGGGUUGAGAAUGACGCAGAGUGAAGAAGAGACUACUGUAGUUGUAUGGACAAUCUAGUGUUUCAUAUAAGAACCUAUGACGAAUGUAUACCUUUUUAUGAGACUAUGUUUUUAUAUGUAAUGUGUUUGGAGAACAACGUUUGCAAAGUGUGUUUUACUAUGUAAUGUUUGUGAACAACUACUUGGCAUUCAUAUGUAUUGUGUUGCACAAAGUUAUUGCAGGCGUCAAGCUUUUACAUGUUAAAAAUAUGUCUUCACGUGAGCACAAAAUACAAGUACGCAUAUGUCACAUGGCAAGUUUGACCUAGUCAAUCAUCUUUACACAAGCGGGGCAUAGAAUGAAUACGAUCAUAUAUGCGACAUGGGGCAUCAAAUUGGCGUCAUUAACUCAAAAUACUAGCUUAGGUUCACAUGACCGGAGUUCACGACCUAACAUCGCUUAUGGUAUUCUGCACCUGAUCGACGAUAUGCUUGAACUCCUGGUUCUCCCUCUCCAACUUCACCGAGGACCUAGUGACAUACUCCAGGGAACGAGGGACAGACUCCAGCUUUUUCACUGCGUUUAUAAUAAGUACGAGCAUGGUGUUGUUUGACGAUCGGUUCAUCAUUGGCUCGCGUGACAUGGUUGCCGGAGGAGUGUAAGAGUUACCUUCCAUUUCCAUGAAAUCCCUCGCAGUGAAACUCUCUUCAAGUAUAACCAAUUCAAACUGGUACUGCUUGUGCUUCGUUGUACACAAAAUCUUCAUGACGGGUGAACAAACAUCAUCGAGCUAAGCCUAGAUAUUGGUGCGGAAGUAAGGCUCCAACUUUUAUCCGCGGUUGCGCUUGUCAUCUUAGUUAAAAUGAAGUGCAUCACCUGGAAGUCCUCCUUGUGGAAUAGCAUUAGCAGGUUGGCAGCCCAUUGGUGGACACUCCCUUUGUCUCCAUGCUUCGGGACGAGUGUGUGAUGUAGCACACGAGAGAGAAUGACAAGGCUAGGCUUCUUGUACUUCAGAUUACCGGCCUUUGAAUCUUUAUGUGAUGCCACUACGUCAACAAAGAAUGACAACACCUGGUCGGGCUCUAGGGGCUCGCCGACUUCGUGUAUCCUUUUCUUCAACUUUUCCCAUUCAUCAUCGAGUGUUAGUAGGCCAAGCACUUUGGCGAAUUGGUCCUACGUCGUCUCAAACUUUUUAUAAUGGGUCAUUGAUACAUCUCCAACAUAUCUAUAAUUUUUUAUUAUUCCAUGUUGAUAUAUUAUCAUUCUAGAAUACGUUUGGGAUAUUUAUUUAUCAAUUUAUAUUACUUUUGAGCAUUAACCUGUUGACCAUGUGCGUAGUACCAGUUAUUGUUUUCCGCAUGUUUUUUACUUUUCAAGGUUUUCCAUACCAAACAAAGUUCAAUUGACCUGAAACCCUCUCGAGAUUCUUUUCGGACCAAAAGAAAGCCAACAAGUGACGUAGGAAGGCCGGGGGCCAACGAGGGCUCCACAAGCUAACCCGGCUUGCCUUGGGGGUGCGUCUUGUUGGCUUGUGGAUCCCUCGAGGCCCUUCCGACUCCGUUCUUUGGCUUAUAAAUUCUCUCUUACCCUAAAACACCUUGAGGAGUCCCGAAACAUGUUUUACGCCACCGCAAGUCCCUGUUCAUACGGGAGGCCAUCUGGAGCUCCGUUCUGGCACUUGACCGUAGGGGAUAAUUCAUGGAGAGCCUCUUUAUGAACCUUGCUGCCCUCACGAUAAUGUGUGAGUAGUUCACCACACACCUACAAGUCCAUAGCUAGUACCUAGAUGGCAGUCUCUCUCUCUUUAUCUUCAAUACAAUGAUCAUCGCAUCUUCGCUUUGAUCCGCAUUAUGUAAUUCCUUUUGUGCGGUGCGUUUGUUGGGAUCCGAUGAAUUGUGAGUUUAUGCAUAUUUUUUAUGCUAAAUAUUUGAGUCUUCUCUCAAUACUUAUAUGGUUCUUAUGUGCAUGAUUAUUAUAGAUUCGUAAUUACCUUCGAUCUAUGGAAAUAGUUUGGCCAACUAGAUUGAUAUUUCUUCAGUGAGAGAGGUGCGUUGUAGUAGGUUCAACCUGGCGAAUUUCCAUAUCCCAGAAAUAGAAGGGGACCAGAUGCGUCUUUGUGUUGCUUCUACUAAGGAUACAAUGACGGGGUUUAUUUAUAUUGCUUGAGUUUACUUUGUAUACAUCAUGUCUUUUUUCUCCAUGCAUUACUCUCUUUUACUUAAUACUUUAGAUGCAUGCUCGAUAAUGGUCGAUGAGUGGAGUAAUAGUAAUAGAUGCAGGCAGGAGCCGACCUAUUUGUUUAUGGACGUGAUGACUAUAUACACAUGAUCAUUGAUGUGAAUAUUGCAUAACUAUUAGCUUUUUUGUCAAUUGGCCAACAGUAAUUUUUUUACCCACCAUACACAAGUAGGAGAAAUGCUAGGCGCUAGUUUUGCCCUUACCAGUACCGCUUGUGCUAGCGCUACUACAAUCGCGCUACAACUAAUCUAUUAGCAGUAGCGCUGAAAAUAAAAGCGCUACUAGUAUGCACAUUAGCAGUAGCGCUGGAAUAAAUAAAGCGCUACUGCUAAUAUUCCAGCUCUACUGCUAAUAUUCCUGUUUUUAAUAUUUAAUUCGCGUCGUAUUUAUGUCCGUCCUACGGAUUUGUGCAUGCUCUAUACAGUGGUUUCAUCAUAUCAUAAUAAUCAUGCAUAAUUUGCAUCACAUCAUACCCAUAAAGUAGUCUCUUCAUUUAUACCAUCAUCACCAUCAUCAUCAUUAUCCAACACAAAUAUCAUCAAAUCUCGCAAAUAGCGAUGCACACAAGUCAUGGCACACCCACAAGUUUCAUCAUCCCUAUCUAAUCCAUCACGUAGAAGAGAAGGGCGAUCAUCAUGAGCAAGAGCGUGACUAUGUAGUACUUCUUGAGGCACCGGUUUCACUCCGUCUCUUGUCAUAGCAUCAUCCACCUCAAGUAACUCAUUUCCGCUUUGGCUCUACUGUUGAACUCUGUGUGGCAAGCCCCCGGGUACCUGUCCACCUGGGCCUGAGCGUCUGGCCAGUGGUCGUACACUCCUGGAACCUCCCAAUGAAUAUGACGUAGCAGCCCUUCGCCAUCUCUGAUCUAUGUACCUGCAUCGUAUGUUGAUUAAUUCAAUGAUAUAUAAUAUGCAACAUAAUGUACUUGAGAAACACAAGCGGUAAACAUAUAUAAAUAAGAAAGUUCCUCAUACACAAACGAAUUAACUAGAGCGAUGUACGGUAGUUCAUAUAAAGACUAGUAGUAUUAGUUAUAACUGAACACACACAUUGUCAUCGUCAAUCACUAUUCCUCAUCGAAGUUCCAAUCUUCAUAUUCAGGGAUGAAGCACCCGAGCUUCUUGAAAGGAUUCAUGUCCAAACCCUGAGCGACUAGCACAUCUCGGACAAUCUCCCGCCUCAUUGUCCCAUCGUAGAACAUCCCUCCUUGUUCGAUGACCUACUUCAUGAUCACCUGGGCAUGUUCACACUGGAUGUGAUAAAACUCAGCUCAGAUUUGAUGAUCCAGUGUGCUUCCUAUGCUUGUGGCCCAGCUGCGAUUCUUAGCAUCACUGGAAUUAGAUGACAUGCCAAGGCGUUAUCUAUCCCUUACGAACUCGAUCAUGUGACGCAUGAGGUAGAAUCCAUCAGCCCUACUACCGUUUGGUUGCUGGAUGCACCAGAAGUUGGUCUUAUGGCCGAAAGUCGACGCUUUGUUCCUGUACUUUUUCACCUUGAUAUAUCCACCAGUAAGGCUAUAGGUGAAAAUGGCACUAUCGAGAACAUUAUUUAUGUGCGUGUAAUCCUUCUUCUUGAUGUUCAUCGAUGAGUCCGAGUAUAGAGCAUAGGAGUAUUGAGGGCACAAACAGAUGAGGAACCCCCCCCCCCCGUUGUGCAAAAUAAGCAGAGCUCAAACUAUCAUGCAUGCUUGCAAAGGAAUCAUCAAAACUUACUAAAGGAUAUUUGUGGAUAACUUACGUGGGAUGAUAAGGCAGGAAAAUCAUUUCCUUGUCCUUAUUAGCGAGCAUGAAGUCGCUGAUGUACUUGCACGCAGAGUCCCGAUGCUCUUGGCACUCUGCCAACAAGCCCUUGUGCAUAUAGUAUGGGUCUGCGACGCUCAUAUAUUAUAUGUUCUCGCGCCUGAUGAUGUAGUUGAGAUACAUCGCAUACAGGCGGAUGAACUGAAAAUCCAGCUUGGUUAGGUGGAACAUGUCGUAGAUGUAGUCAAAUCGCAGGAUGAACUUGACCGUGGGCCAUGUGUCGACGUAUCCACUCGCACCCGGAACCUGAUUUGGGUAAAGCUGAUAUCCUGGCUUUUUCGAGCUGAGAAGUUUCUUCUUUGUGGCCAACACAUCAUCAUGAAGUCUCCUUAGAUCAUUGUUCUUUAUGCUCUCUACCGCUUUCUGAGGUAGGAUCGGGUGGCCGGCGACAUGGAAAUGCUCUGGACCUUCGAAAGGUAUCCUGUCUACCUCCCGGGGCGCGGCUGGUUACAACAUUUCUUUUCCGGUCUCCUCCUUUGCUUCAUGGCGGGUGGCGGUAGUGAUCCCGCCAUACCUUCCCUAACCAUAUCCCCCAGCGUCAUCGGACUAAUUAUCAGUGGACGGCUCCUGUGUUGUUCUUGCUGGGUAAAGGCAGCAUCUAGAGGCGUCUCCUGCGAGGAUCGCACGAAGAGAGACUUUUUGCAAUCAGCCGUCAGACGUUCCGGCUCCGGCAAAUCAGGCAUCAUCAAGUCAUCUGCACGCUCAUAGUGUGAGUCAUAUUGCAGAGCAUCGUGACAGUCGGUAUUGAUAUACUGGUUAGGGUCCUCAUCAUAAUCCUCCUCCAUGACAUCAUCAACAUUUGCUAAUUCGACGGGGGGCGACGUCAUCUUGCACUAAUGGAGGCUCUCCCUCACUGCUUCGUCCGCUAUCUCCCCCCCCACGCAGGUGCAGGUAGUUGGGUAGGUGGGAUGGUGUUCAUACCUUGUUGAUGAGUUGCCAUUGGUGUGCUAUCGGGAACCUCAACAUGAAGGUGAGUCUUCGGCCAAGGCAAGAACCAGUUCUUGCAUGCGCCAAUCAGUUGAGGGGUCUCGUCAUCACCGGAUGUUGUUGGAAGAGCCAAAUACUGGACGCCCGUUUUGACACUAGCCACGCAAACUUUGAAGACGCCAUGGGGCAUCUGCUUGUUGUGGAGCAUGUGGUCCUUCAGCUUGAUUAUCGUUGCCUUUCCCACGUCCACCUUCUGACCGUUGAUAUCGUACAGUAGGGUGUACGGGGUUUCGUCAGCCUGCGAAGACAUGACUACGACGCCAGACAUCCGAAAGGCAACUGAAAUGGAAGACUAUAUAGAUAUGUUGUGACUAGUGUAUGACGCGUAAUUACCGUGAUGGUGUCGAGCUCAGCCAAAGGCGAAGCCCCGCCGAGCACGCCAGAGGGGGAGGGCGGGCUGCUAUGAACCGAAGCGAGACCAGGUACGGGAGGUGUUGGUGGUGCGAUGUUCGCGAAAUUGCUCCCGACAAACCUGAGUAGUGGAAUGCUUGUGACUAGUGCUUCCGUAUUCCUCCUCACAUACUCAAAAACUGCCGGAACCAAUUGGCCCAAAGACGCUGCCACAGCUGCAUUGACCUUAUUGUCGACUACCUUGGUCAUCUCUUCUUUGCUCUGAUCGACCGCCCGCAUGACCUUCUCGUUGAUGGUCAGUUUAGUAUGCUCUUGUCUCUACUUUAUUUCCUACGGCCACUUGUGGUAGAAUUUAUUCCAUGAGGCACCAUCUCUGACGUCGUGCACACGUCCACCUAAUGGAGGUUUGUACACCGAGACAUUUUUCAGUAUGUUUAGGGCCCGGUUGAACGGUUGUCCCACUUGGGCCUCGCUGACGACUGAGACGACUCGUCUCUUUCGGCUGCCUUUUCGUGCUGCUCUUUCUACAAAAGGAACAUAGAUCGUUUACAAAUUAAUUAAAAGCUAAUUAAUAUAAUUAAGGUGGUAAUACAACAAUUACCAGUAGUCUCAUGAACUCCCUCGUGUACGGGUCCGUGUAAAAGAUCUUCUUGACGGUGUCCCACUUGUGCCUGACCCUGAUCCAGUCGUGCUCCAGCGGGUCGGUGAACUCCGCCAAGGGGUCUGGAAUUCUGUGACUUUCACGUUCGGCAUCCUCCUUGGCCCAAGUGCUCCUCUUCCCCUCGUAACCACGGCUUCCGAGGUGGUGGGCAGGCGUGUUCUUGGCUUGGAGCCGCUUCAUUUUCUCGACUUUUCCUAGGCUUCUUCUGUAGAACAAGCCUCUUUGAAAUUUUCGAAGUCCUCAUCCGUUAUUGAUGGAUUGUGAGCAUGAAUCUUGGACCACGGUUCAUUCUUCAGAAUGACUUUUUUCACCCGUACUUUCCAGGCAGACAAGCCAUUGGUGAACGUCACCAUUGCCUUGUUGUUUAUCUUUGUCAUGUUUCUAUCCUUCCACGGAUGUUCUACCUCUUCAUCCCACCCGGGGAACAGGAACCUGUUGUGCAACUUCAUUAGGAGCGUUUGCUCCGUAUGUGGUAUCUUCUUCAACUUUUCGUCGUUGAUGUUGGCGGUUUCCCUGAGGAUGCAUCCUAGUUGAUUGACGUAGCACUUCCACCCUUUCUUCGGCUCCACUGGCUCUAAUUUCAUGGGGUGCAUCGCCGUGACCAUGAUUUGUCUGGUGUCGAGCUCACUUGGUUUUCUUGCCCUCUUCGUUUUCGGUCCUUCACCGACUAAAUCAGCAUCGUUGCCGGACUUAGGGGCAAUGUUGGUGUCGGUGCCGGUGCCACUGUCGGUGGCGGUGCCAGCGUCGGUGUCGGGGUUGGUCCCACUGCCACCCUGCGUGCCCGGCUUGCAUUGGUCCACGUAUUUUGAAUAUCCAUCUGCUUCCUGAAAAUGGCCAUCUCCGGCGCGACCUGAACCCCUGGCUUUGUCGUGGCUGGACAUAUUAAUUUCCUACGAGUGUUUAAUUAUAAUAGUUCAUAUCUAGCCCGCAUAACAUGAAUGAUAAAAGGGACCUAUUAUAAUAGUUCAUGUCAUUUAUGAACAGAAUUAACCUAAAUAAUUCUAAAACAAAAUUAACCUAAAUAAUUCUAAAAACAUGAUUAACCUCAAACAACACUAUUAGUCUCUUCUUCUUCUCUUCCUCCUCUUCUUCCCCUCCUCCUCUUCCUCUAACAAUUCUAAAAUAGAAUUAUCCUAUAUAAUUCUAAAACAGAAUUAACCUAAAUAAUGCUAAAAACAGAAUCAACCUAAAAAUAUAAUCCCCUCUCCUUCCUCCUCUUCUUCCUCUCCUCCUGUCCUUCCUCUCCUUCCUCUUCUACUUCUCCGCUUUUUCUUCUACUUCUCCUCAUCUUUUAUUUUUCCUCUACUUUUCCUCUUCAUUCCCAUUUCCGGCAAUUCCAGGGCACUUCAUAUGUCCACGUUUCUAGCACUAGUAAUACCUAAAUUCACGAAAAAUUUCGGCAUGACCUUUGCUAAAAGUGGACAUAUGGAGCGCCUGAAAUUUGCCGGAACGAAAAUGAAUCAACAUUCCGGCAAAACAGAGGCCACUCGAUCAUUUCAACAAUACUUUCCACAAACUUAGCACAAGUGGAGCACAUUGUAUUACCUAAUAACAAUACUCCUCCUCUUCUUUUCUUAUCCUCUUCUACUUCUCCUCUUUUUCUUCUACUUCUCCUCUUCUUCUAGUUUUCCUCUUCUUCCCAUCUCCUCCUCUUCUUAUUCUUCUUAUCUUCUUUUCUUCCUUUUCUUCCUUUCCUCCUCUUCCCCUAUAUUUCUAAAACAUAAUUAACCUAAAACCUAAUUCUAAAUAUUACUAACCCUAAUAAUUCUAACAAAAAACAAAAUUAAUCUAAAACAAAAUUUCCUCUCCUUCCUCCUCCUCUUCUUCCUCUUCUUCUUCUCCUUCUUCCUCUUCUUUUCCUCCUCUUCUUCCUCUCUUUCCUCUUCUUCCCCUCCUUCCUAUUAUUCCUCUCCUUCCUCUUCUUCCUUUCCUCGUUUUCUUCUUCUCCUCCUCCUCUUCUUCCUCUCCUCCUCCUCUUCUUCCUCUCCUCCUCCUCUUCUUCUCCUCAUCUACUUCAACAGAAGUAGGUUACCAUUGGGAGAGAGGGGCAGGGGUUACCUGGAGCGGGAGAGAGGGGCGUCGGCAUUCAGCCGUGGUGGUGAUGACUACAGGAGGGGUGGCGGUGGCAGAGACUGCAGGAGGGGGAGGCGGCGUCCGGCGGUGACGGCGGCGGCGACUGUAGGAGCGGGAGGAAGUUGUAGAUGGGAGUGGAGGGAGAGGAAAAUUUUGGGCCGGUUAAGUAACAAUAGCAGUUGCGCUGCAUUUAGGCCAUCGCUACUACUAACUUAGUAGUAGCGCUGGUUCUGGUCCAACGCUACUGCUAAAUUCCCUAGGACAGUUAGCAGUGGCAUUGUGGGGUUUCGAGCGCUACUUCUAACUUAGUAGUAGCGCUAUAUUGGUUCCAACACUAGUGAUAACAUUAUUUUCUUUAUUAUUAUUAUUAUUUUAUUAUUAUUAUUUGCCUUUCCUUUUAUGUUUACUUUUGUUUUUAUUUUGUAUUGUUUUCUCCUUUUUGUUUUUAUCCCGACGGCCUGACACGUAGUUGACGCCGAGAACGUCUCCCUCCCGGCCACACUGUGCGACUAUUACCGGAACCAUGUACACAAAAUACAUACAUAUAUAUAUAAAUGAUUAUUUUGAACACAAAAUAGAUACAUAUAUAUAUAAAUGAUUGUUUCUCAGCUGCGUCGAAGACGUUUCAGAUGGAGCUUCUUUCCUUUCUUGUUCGUUGUGUUGAUUCUUCUUUUCCGGCACCAUGGAGUACGAUCUUUCUUAGGUAAUGUAGUCUUGAUUCUUCUUUUCACGUAUGCUUCAUCGUCAUCAUCAUCUUCCCUCAUCGGGUUACUGUAUUGGUUGUAGUCUUCCUCGUUGGCGAUUCCAUCCAUUCCGACGAUGUUUCUUUUGCAUCUCCUCACGACAGCACGACUGGCAUUGGUCGGGUUGGUUAUGAAGAAGCAUUGUGUCACGUGCUUUGUGUGUAUCCAUGGCUCAGUUUUGGCAAUGAUGUUAACGUUGACGGUAGAGCUCUUUGCGUCGGGUAUAGACAUGGUAGUGAAAUACUUGUUUUCUCUUACGACGGCCUUAGCCCACCUGACACGGAACAUUGUCGCAUCAUGCUUUCGAACAAAGUUAAGCUCCCAGAUCACUUCGACCUUUCCAAAGAAUCUUUUAGUUGUGUCGUUGGAGUCGGUCACGCAUUCAGUGGUCACCCCUGAGUUCUGGUAAUCACUGUCCACGUCUCUGGCCUCCAUGAAGAACGUGUACCCAUUGAUAUUGUAUGCCUCGUAGGACACGUGUACGAGAAACCCGUCCGCACUGCCCUCUUCGGGGGGAUUAGCACGAACCUGUUCUUUGAACCAACGCAAGGAAGUGGCGUUGUGCUCUACUGUAACUUCGUCGUCCGUCUUGCGCUUCCCUUGAUCACGGUACUUCCUUGUGAUGAUUUCUUUGUGCAGUGUUACAUAAUCAUCUACCACAUCUCGGUGUUGUAGCACUACUAAGUUAGCCGUGUCAAAGUCGUCCAAUCGAUCCGAGUAGUCCACGUCCAAUUCCCUCCGGCUGUUGUUGUGACCUUCUCCUCCGAGCCUCCCAUGGUGCUUGUUGACGGGAAAACCAACAACAGGAUCUUCUGUACGUAUAUAAUUCUUGCAAAAGGAGAUGCACUCUUGGGUCAGAUAGCCCUGGACGAUGCUCCCCUCGGGACGGACCAUGUUACGAACGAAUCCUUUGAUGACCCCAUUCAUCCUCUCCAAUGGCAUCAUGCUGUGAAGGAAUGUCGGCCCGGGGUCGAUGAUGUCGUCCACAAUGUGGACACACAGAUGCACCAUGAUGUCAAAGAAUGCGGGCGCGAAGUACAUCUCAAGCUCACAUAGUAUGACAACGAUCUCUUCCUGUAGCCUUCGCAGCUGCUUCACACUGAUGGACUUUCGAGAGAUAACGUCGAAGAAGUUGCAGAGACGAUUAAGUGUCUCACAGACGUGCUUGUCCAUUAUUCCUCUAAUGGCAACCGGGAGUAUCUGCGUCAUCAUCACGUGACAGUCAUGAGACUUCAUCCCGCUGAACCUGUUCUUCUUGGUGUCUAGAAAUCUGCUUAUCUUCCCAUAGUUAUUGGAACUAAAUUUGAUUCUCGUAAGGAACAUGACGAAUUCAUCGAUCUCCUUUGGACUUAAGGUGAAGAAAGAAGGGGGCAACAACUCUACUCCUUCUUGUUGACUUUUAUUCCCCUUGGCCCUCUCGCCGUCUCUGUCUCCGUCUCCUCCGUCGACUUUUUACGGGGCAUGUGGAGACCCCUCCUGAUCUCCAAAUCCUCCAAGUCUUUCCUUGCCUUCGGCCCAUCCUUGGUCUUCUCCGGCAUGUUCAUUAGGGUGCCAAUCAAGCUCUCGAGGACAGUCUUAGUUAUAUGAAUUUCAUCAAGGCAAUGAGGUGUGCCAGGAUUGGGCCAGUACUCCAAGUGCCAGAAAACAAACCUCGUUUUCCAUACCUUCAGCAGCAGAUCCGACACCUUUUCCAUCUUUCCCGGCGCGGGGCAUUGUUGCCAGUUAUUCAAUAGCUCGUUGAUUUUGGCGCCGCUCCUCUUACGUGGAGGACCUCGAUACUCAUCCAAACCAUUGAAUAGAUCUCCACGUUUUCUCCACUGGUCAUCCUUUUCGAGCCAUUAACGAUGUCAAUUGUACACGAUUUUCCCAGACCCGUCAUUUUCAUUGACGUAUGUUGCAUCCAUGCACCUCGUGCAUCCGCUGUAUCCGUGGCACACCUGGCCUGAGGUGUAUCCAUAACCGAGAUAGUCAUGAACAGUCAUCAUUAGCGCAGCUCUCAUAUAGAAAUAAUCUCUUGUGCUGAAGUCCCAAGUCUUGACCAGCGAUUUCUAUAACGUGUCUAGCUCCUCUUUCAGAAGCCCCAUAUACAGGUUAAUAUUAUUUCCCGGUUGUUUCGUCCCUUGAAUUAGUAUGCUCAUGUGUAUGUACUUUGUCUUCAUGCACUUCCAUGGGGGGAGGUUGUACAUCUAUACAAAGACAGGCCAUGUGAUGUGGUUGGUGCUCUGGUUUCCAAACGGAUUCAUACCAUCGGUACAUGCACCAAGCACGAUGUUCCUUCCAUCUUCUCCAAAAAAAGGAUAUUCGGCAUUGAGUGAUCUCCACUGGCUACCAUCUGCGAGGUGUCUCAGCUUUGGAUCAUCUCCAUCAUCGGGCUUCUUCCUCUCCACGUGCCAGUGCAUGAGCUUUGCUUCCUUAGGAUCUACGAAAUACUUCUGCACACGGGGAGUGAUCGGAAAGUACCAUACAACUUUCUGAGGAGCUUUCUUUCCUGCCUCCUUUUAUCGAGAAGCAUUGCACACUGGACACCUGGUCUUUUCCCCGUGCUCACCCCGAUAAAUGAUGCAAUCGUUGGUGCAUGCGUGGUAUCUAAUGUGCGGCAGAUCCAGAGGGCAACGAUUUUCUUGGCCUCAUUGACACUAGUAGGACAGAGGUUCCCUGCGGGAAGAACUUUAUUUUGUGGAUACUUCAAGUGCUCAUCGGGGCUUUUGUUUGUCCAUUUGUUUUUGGCCUUCGUCUUUAGAAGUUUGAGCAUGAAGUAUCCACCGAGUAUAGCCAUCAUUGAAACCAUUGAUCAGCAAGUGGGCCUUUAAACUUCCACGAUCAAAAGGGUCCAAAAUUACUCCUUAUUUGCAUCUUGUACACAGACAUCUAAUCCGAGUCCGUUUAUUUUCGUACAUGUCAAUAAUCGCGGAAUGCAAGUAUCGCUCCACCUUGCUACCACUCACCUUCUACAAGGUGUAUAUAACAAGCAAAAGGGUCAUAAACAAAAUGCAUGCAUAUAAAAAAUUUGCAUGACCUUGCCUAAAAAUAGGACAUAUCGAGUUUGCUUGUAAUUCUCCGAAGCAGAAAUAAAUCGACAUUUCGGCAAAACAUAAGCAAAUAAAGGAGAGGUGACAAUGGUGGAGAAAUUAGAGAGAGGAAAGGGAAAAGGAGGGGAUAGGGAAAAGGGGGAGGAAGGUGGAGAGGGGUGUGUGUGGGUGAAAUGAGGGCAACAAUGGUGGAGUAAAGGAGAAAGGAGGGGAUAGGGCCAAGUGGGGGUGGAAGGGGGAGAGGGGUGUGUGUAUGGGUGAAAGGGCAACAAUGGUGGAGGAAAGGAGAAAGGAGGGGAUACGACAAAUGGGGGAGGAAGGGUGAGAGGGUGUGUAUGGGGGUGAUAGGUAGAAGAAAGAGAGAAUAAGGACAAGAAUGGUGGAGAAGUAACAAUGGAGGAGGAAAGGUGAAAGGAGGGCAAAGGGGGAGGAAGGGGAGGGGGUGUGUGUGGGUGUGGGUGUAAAUGAAGCUGCCCACAUGUAGCAGUAGGGCCGGUUCCAGGGGAGCGCUACUACUAUUGCACUUAGCAGUAGCCCUUUUUACAAUCCAGCGCUACUACUACAGAUACUGUUGGUGGCCUCGUUGGGCCCCAUUUAGCAAUAGCGUUGUUCCAAUGAAGCGCUACUGCUAUGCAGUAUCGCUUUUUACAGUCCCGCGCUACUAUUACAGAUACUAUGGGUGGCCUCAUUGGGCCCUGUUUAGCAGUAGUGCUGGAAAUGCAUCCCGCGCUACUACUACGGUAGUUAGCAGUAGCGCGUCCAAUUUCCAACGCUACUGCUAAGUAGCAGCAGUGCGUGCUAUUUUCCAGCGCUACUACUAGGCUCCUACCUAUAAGGUUUUUCCUACUAGUGAUAUGCUAUUUUUCAUGAGAGAUGCCAUUAGGGAAACUAUGCCCCCGGGUCUAUUCACAACAUAUUUACAAAACCUCAAUACCUUGCCGCCAUUUACUGUUUUUUUAUUUUUGUAAUUUACAAUCAUCUACAGUUAUCUACACACCUCACUCGCUUCCAAAUAACAAGUACGAGCGGAUUGACAACCCUCUUGCCCACGUUGGGUGCAAGUUGUUUCUUCUUUUGUGUGCAGCCGCUAAAGACGGUUGUGGUUGAUAUUACUUACCCACACUGUGUUGUGAUAAACCGUUCCUCUUCAAGGAAAACCCAACGGAGAUCACAAGUAUCACGAAGGAUUUGUGGCACCGUUGCCGGGGAAUAUCAUCACGAUCUACCAAGUAACUCCACACAAAAUUUCAUUCACUUGUUCUCCAUUUUAUUGCUGGUAUAUUUAGUAUGUCUCAUUACAAAAUACAUAAAUAUUUACCUUUGCGUGCUUAGCAUGUCACUAGAUUGCAUCUUCGCUCUCUAGUUUGCUUGUCUUACUUGUUACUUUGCUUUCUCGGUCACCAUAUCUCAAGAUACUACUAAGUUGUGUGACUUAUCAAUAGUAAUAACAAAUACUUUAUUAGUACUCCUAUACCACCCGCCACUAGUGUGUACGCUUUUUAUUAAUGUUGCAUUACUGAAUCUUGUCACAAAAGAGCAAUUUUUGGGAAGUCCUAAUUAGGAUCCCGGUUCACAUCUCAAUACCUUUGUUGAACUUUGUAAUAUGCAAACGAAAAAGGAUAUGGAUAAUGAUAUUUUGAAAUUAAAGUUGUUUCCUUUUUCACUAAAAGAGAAAUCUAAAGCUUCGUUUUCAUCUUUACCACGUAAUAGUAUUGGAACAUGGGAUAAGUGUAAAUAUGCUUUUAUUGCCAAGUAUUUUUCCUCCUGCUAAGAUCAUCUCCCUUAGAAAUCAAAUAACGAAUUUUAAACAACAUGAUCAAGAACAUGUUGCACACGCAUGGGAGAAAAUGAAAUUGAUGAUAAGAAGUUGCCCCCUGAUGGUUUAAACUUGUGGAUGAUUAUCCAAAAUUUAUAUGCUAGACUAAACUUCGUGUCUAGAAAUCUUCUAGAUUCUGCUGCACGUGGUACCAUUAUCGAUGUGACUUUGGGAUAAGCCACACAAAUUCUACACAACAUCAUGACUAAUUAAUAUCAAUGGCAUACAGAGAGAGCUCCAAUCGGUGAGAAGGUAUAUUAUGUUGAGGAAAUUGCUACUAUGAGUGAAAAACUGGAUGCUCUUAUGAAUUUGGUUGCUAAUAAAAAUACUUAUGUUGAUCCCAAUUGUAUGCCCUUGUCAACCUUGAUUGAUAAAAAUAAUGAUGCUAUUGAUGUGAACUUUGUUUUGCGAAAUAAUUUCAACAACAAUGCAUAUAGUGGUAAUUUCUAUGCUUAUGGUAAUUCUUCUGCAAAUCCUAAUAGGAUACCCGAUGAUCCUGAGAACACAAUGAAGGAAUUCAUUAAUUCCCAAAAAGCUUUCGAUAGUAUGGUAGAAGAAAAAGUGCAUGUUGUUGAUACUUUGGCUAUAAACAUGGAUAAAAUUGCUCUUGCUAUAGAAACUCUUAUAAAAACUUUUAUCUGCUAAGCAUGAAAGUUUCUAUUAAUGAAAUUAAGGAGAGGACUGUUAAUGUGAAAGCUAAGGGGGCAUUCCUAGAAAAAAGCUCUUACACCCGUUUUUACCGAAAUCAUGAUGAAGAUCUUAAAACUAUUGGUGCUUCCCCUAUUGAAUCUUUUUUUACAUCUCUGAAUAUUAAUGAUAAAGGGACUAGAUAUGAGUCAACUCUAGUGAAGGUGUGUCUCGUUUGCUUGGUCUAUUAAAUCAAGACAUUAACUAGUGACGUGUCCACUAUCUUGGGUUACACGGACUUUAAUUAUGAUAAUUUAUAUUUAGUAGAAUUUAUUUACUUUCCUCAAUACAUUAUUAGCUCACCCAAUGCUUAUGAAGAAAACAAAGCUUUUACUCAACAUAUAAUAGAAGCUAUGGCAAAAGCUUAUGCUGAGAAACUUGAUCUUGAAGCUAUUAUUCCUAGAAAGUUGCAUGAUGAGUGGGAAACUACUAUAAAAUUAAUAUCAAUAAAUAUAAAUGCAAUGCUUUGUGUGACCUUGGUUCUAGUGUUUCAACUAUACCUAAAUCUUUAUGUGAUGUGCUUGGUCUCACUAAUAUUGAAGAAUGUUCCCUAAACUUGCAUCUUGUGGAUUCUACCAUUAAGAAACUUGUAGGUAGAAUUAAUGAUGUGAUGAUAAUUGCAAAUAAAAAAUUAUGUGCGUGUAGAUUUCAUUGUGUUUGAUAUUGAUUGCAAUCCUAAUUGUCCAAUUGUACUUGGAAGGCCCUUCCUACGAACUAUAGGUGCAACCAUUGACAUGAAAGAGGGAAACAUAAGGUUCCAAUUUCCACUAAAGAAAGGAAUGGAACACUUCCAUAUAAAGAGAACUAUAUCACCUUAUGAAUCAAUCAUGAGAGACACUUAUGGGUGGAGUGUCAAAGGUGACAACAUUUCAAACUAUGCAAUAUGCCUAGCUGGGGGCGUAAAACAAUAGCGCUUGUUAGGAGGCAACCAAAUAAUUAUCUUUAUUUUUGUAUUUUUUACUUUCUGUUUGUUUCUAUUAACAUGAUUAUUUUCUCUGUAAUUAUUAUGUUUUCAUGUUUUAAUUAAUGUUUAUGUCAAGUAAAGCCUUUGGGAUGAUUUGUAUGAUGAGUAGAAUUGAUACGGUGCAAAAAUAGAAACUUUGAUGCUCAGUGCAAAAUUUCUUUGAUUUUACUGAAAUGACUAUUUAAGCUGAAUAUUUUACAUAGUAUUCUAAUUCCAAAUUCCUCGGGUCUUCCUAAUUGUUCAGAUUGUUUGGAGUUAUAGAAGUAUAGGUUCAUUAUAGAUUACUACACACUAUUCUAUUUGAGUCAGAUCCUUUUUUUCCUUGCAUAGUUUGCUUGUUUUGAUGAUGCUAUGGAUUGUAUGAGGGGUAUAAGCCAUGGAUAAGUUAGAAUACAUUACCUUAUGCUAAAAUAAAAUAAGUAUCAACUUACAACUAUACCUGAAAGUAUUUCAUAUGUUUCUUGUACUAGUGAAUCUCAUGGAGUUUUGUUGAGUUUGAUGUGAUUGAAGAUUUCAAGUUUUGGGUAUUAUCCCGAUGGACUAAGAAAUGAGGAGAAGCAAAAUCCUAAGCUUGAUGAUGCCCAAGGCACCUCAAUGUAAUAUUCUAGAAAGACUCGAGCGUUAUAGCUUGUGGAUGCCCCGGAAGGAAUCCCCUCUUUUUGUCUCAAUCCAUCGGUAUGUCACUUGGAGCUACAUUUUUAUUUAUCACAUGGUAUGAGUUUUGUUUGGAGCGUCAUUUUAUUUUACUUUCAGUUUUCAACAAUCAUUGUUUCAGGUACACACCUAUUUCAGAGAGAUAUCACAUCAUUAUAAUUUGUUAGGAUACUCUAUGUGCCUCACUUAUAUAUUUUGAGCUUAGUAGUUGCUCUAGUAGUCACUUAUAUAUUUUUGAGCAUGGUCAAGUGUAGAUUUUAUAGAAGUAUUAUGCUAUCAUUAUUCACUUACGUUUGUUUGAGAAUUAAAUAAAUAGUGAUGGUAAUAUUCUUGGGUCAUAAGACUAGAUAAAAAUAAUAGGUCUUCAAUGAGUGAUAAUUAAAACCACCAUGUAGCACAUAUAGAGAAAUUGUGGGUUAAUGAUAUUGAUGUGAUGAUAUGAAAAAGGUGUGAGUGCAUUAUUAUUAAUUUAGAGAGGUGUCGAUACUAAGAGAUGUUAAACUUCUUGUUCAUCUAAAAAUCAAAAGCGCAUGCUGAUGAUGUGUAAGCAUUUCUAUUCCUUGUGGAAAUCCUAGUGCUGUUUUGAGUUGGAGUCGUGCGAUGGUUAAUUCCUAACAACCAUCUCCCUCGAGGCAUGUGAGUAGUACUUUGAUUUGUGAUAAAACUAAUAAAACUUUGCAAUAAUUACAUGUGUUCUUCAUGACUAAUGUGACACAAUCUCACCUCCUCAUAUUUCUUAACCUCGUCGGUAUCGUGCAUCGCCCGUUCUCCCCUUGAGGAUCGGUGCAACUUUCGUCGGUGCAUCCAAACCUCGUGACAUGGCACGCUCUAUUGCACAUAAGCCUUUUUAUAUCCUCCUCAAAACUGCCACCAUACCUACAUAUCAUGGCAUUUCCCUGUCCAUUCCAAGAUAUAUUGCCAUGCAAAUGCCAUCGUCACUUCACACGACUAGUUCGUUCAUCAUCAUAGUGCUUUGCAUGAUCAUAUAGAGCUGACAUAGUAUAUGUGGAAAACCUACCAUUCAUCAUAUUUUUGAUACAUGUCAGCCUAGAUCUUUGCACAUCCUGGUUCACUACCAGAGUCAUUCAUACAGAGUCAUAUCGUCCUAUCAUUUUUCAUAUUGAGUUGUAAGUAAAUAAAAAUUAUAUGAUCAGCAUUAUUAAAGCAUUGUCUGAGUGAGGAAAUAAAAAUGGGGGAGGCAAAAUGAUCCCACAAUAAAAAAAUGAAAACAGAAAAAAAUGAAUGAGAGAAAGAGAGAGAAGGGGCUUUGCUACUAUCCUUUACCACACUUGUGCCUAAAGUGGCACCUUGUUCUUCAUAUAGUGUCUCAUGUUAUGUCAUUCAUAUGCUAGUCGGAAUCACUUUUUCAUAAACUUGGCAUGUAUAUUGCAAUGACGGGCUUCCUCAAAUUCCCGAGGUCUUCAUGAUCAAGCAAGUUGGAUGCACACCCCACUUAGCUUUAGUGGAGCUUUCACACACUUAUAGAUCUAGAGCAUCAUUUGCAUGGAAAUCCCUACUCCUUGCAUCGAUAUCUAUCAACAGACAUCUCCAUAGCCCGUUGGUACGCCUAGUUGAUGUGAGACUAUCUACUCCACCUUUUACCCCCUUUGACACCUACCACCAUAUUAUGUUCCACCUAUAUGCUAUGUCCAUUGAUUCAAGCUCAUGUAUUGCAUGAAGAAUAAAAUGUUGAUGCAUAUUGAAAAAGUACGACCCAAUUGCCUGACUUGGACAUUGUGGUGCUUCACAUUUGUAUUGAUGUGGUGAAGAUGGAGCCAUGCCUUGGUAAUAUAAUAAUACGAAUGGGGUAAAACAAUCUUUGAUGAUCAUAAACUCUGAUGGAUUAAUGAUUUUGCUGCUUAUACCUAUAAGUACUACUAUGUUAAUGUUGGUUAAUUCAUUGUUUCUCUAUAAGCAUACAUGCAUGUCACAUAAUUGUUUUAUCAUUUACCUACUCGAGCGCGAGGAGGUAUUGAUCUUGGAAUGCUUGAUACGUCUCCAACGUAUCUAUAAUUGUUUAUUAUUGCAUGCCGAUAUAAUAUCAUUCUAUAAUAUUUUGUGGUACUUAUUUGCCAAUUUAUAUUAUUUUUGAGUACUAACAUAUUGACCCAGUACUCACUGCGAGUUGAUGUUUUCUGUAUGUUUUUCGCUUUCUAGGUUUUCCAUACCAAACGAAUUCCAAUUGACGUAAAACUUUUUGGUGAUUUUUCUCGACUAAAAUAAGACCAACAAACAUCAGAGGAAGGUUGGGGGCCACAUGAGGGCCCUACAAGCCAACUCGGCGCAACUUGGGGCGCGACGUGUUGGAUUGUGGCCCCUCGUGGCCCUCUCAACUGUGUUAUGUGUCUUACAAAUUCUCUCAUAGCCUAAAAACACCAAGAAGUGUCCCGAAACACUUUUUACUAUGCUGCAAGUCUCAGUACCUACGGGUGGCCAUCUGGAGUUUCGUUCUGGCACACUGUUGAAGGGGGGUCGAUCUCGGAGGUCCUCUUCAUCAACCUUGCAGCCCUCACAAUGAUGCAUGAGUUGUUCACCACAAACCUGCGGGCCCAUAGCAAGUACCUAGAUGGCAAUCUCUCUUUCUUGUCUUCAAUACAAUGAUCAUGCCAUAUUCUCUUUGAUCCAAAUGAUGUAAUUCAUUUUGUGCGGUGCAUUUGUUGGGAUCCGAUGAAUUGUGGUUUUAUGUACAUAUUAUUCAUGAUAAAUAUUUGAGUCUUCUCUGAAUACUUAUAUGAUUCUUAUGUUCAUGAUUAUUAUAGCUUUUGUAAUUCCCUCUGAUCUAUUGAAAUAGUUUGGCCAACUCGAUUGAUAUUUCUUCGAUGAGAGAGCUGCGUUGUAGUAGGUUCAACAUGGCGAAUUUUAUAUCCCAGUGACUGAAGGGGACAAGACGCGUCUUUGUGUUGCUGCUACUAAGGACAAAAUGACAGGGGUUCAUUCAUAUUGCUUGAGUUUACUUUGUCUACAUCAUGUUAUUGUUCUCCAUGCAUUACUUUGUUUUAGUUAAUACUCUGGAUGUAUGCUAGAAAGCGGUUGAUGAGUGGCGUAAUAGUAAUAGGUGCAAGCAGGAGUCAGCCUAUUUGUUUAUGGACAUGAUGCCUAUAUACACAUGAUCAAUGUCGUGAAUGUCAAAUAACUAUCCGCUUUUCUAACAAUUCCCAACAAUAAUUUGUUUACCCACUUAUAUGUCUCCAAUGUAUCGAUAAUUUAUGAAGUAUUCAUGCCAUGUUUGCCUAUGUUUACAACAAUUUUAUAUGGUUUUGCUGCACUUUAUAUGAUUUAUUUAUAACUAACCCGGACUGAUGAUGUUUUCAACAGAACUACCGCGGUGUUGUUUUUGUGCAGAAAUAAAAGUUUUCAGAAUUGGACAAAACUUUUUGAUGAUUUUUCUCAGAAGACAUCGAGACGAGCAAAGAACCACCAGAGAGUAGGCCUAAGGUGCCCAUAGCGCACGAGGGCACGCCAGCCCCCUUAGUGCGGCCUGGUAGCUAGUGGGCACCUCGUGGCCCACCUUAGUGUGAUUCCAAGGCCGAAAAACCCUAAUAAAUAUAGAAACCUCCAGAAAUUACCAUACACGAGAAGUUCCACCGCCGCAAGUCUCUAUAGGCACGAAAAACCAAUCGGAGGCCUAUUCCGGUACCCUAUCGGAGGGGGAGAUCAUCUUGGGUAGCCAUAUUCAUUAUGCUGGCGUGGGCCAUGAUGAGGAGGGAGUAGUCCACCCUCCGGGCUGAGGGUUUGUACCAGUAGCUAUCCGUUUAAUCUCUCUCUCUCGUGUUCUUGAGAUGUCAUGAUCUUGAUACAUCACGAGCCUUGUUAAUAUAGUUGGAUCAUAUGGUGUUUAUCCCAUACUAUUAUUGUGAUGAAUUGAGUCUUUUCCUUUAAGAUGUCGUCAUGUUGGAUUGAAUAUUCAGGUUUGAGAGCACAUGAUAUAUGUCUUGCAUGUGAAUACCCGUAGUGCCAUUGGGGUAUUCAAGUGAUUCACUUGAUAUUUGUUGUGGCAUCAACUUCCGGAUUCCGGUGAACUUGGAGGUCUAGUCAUAGGGGUUGAUGGCAUGUUUUCCAUACUAUGUUCUCCGAUAGAAAUCUUGGGGUGCUCCUUGAAGUUCUCUGUGUUGGAUUAAAUAUGAAUAAUGUGAAACUAUUUAUGCAUUUCAUAUAAUUAGCCCACAGAUACUUGAGAUGACAUUGGAGUAUCUAUUUGACAUUAGGGUUGAUUGUAUGCAUAAACGGUGUUAUUUUAGUAUGAACUCUUGGAUAGAUUGAUCAGAAAGGCUAACUUGUUAUCUUAGUACGAACUCUUGGAAAGAUUGAUCGGAAAUAAUAAUUUUGGGGUGGUUUCGUACCCUACAAAUAAUUUCUUCUUAUGUUCUCCGCUAGAUAGGGACUUUGGAAUUAUUCUUCAUCGCAUGUUGAGUGAUUGUUAUGUGAUCCAAUUAUAUUAGUAUUGUUCAGAGAUUGCACUAGCGAAAGUACGGACCUUAGGCCAUAUUUUCAAGCAUUGCAAUACCUUUUGUGCUCACUAUUGUUACUCAUUACCUUGUUGUUUUUUAUUGUUCCUAUUACAAAAAUCAAUAUCUACUAUCAUUACUACACUUGUAUGACCAUCUCUUCGUCGAACUAGUGCACCUAUACAAUUUACCAUUGGAUGUACAAACCCUAGUACAUGGGGACACAAGAGAAUUUUUAUUAUUUGGUUGUAGGGUUGUUUGAGAGGGACCAUCUUCAUCGUACGCCUCCCAUGUAUUGAUGAACCUUAGCUCAUCUACUUGAUGGAAAUUUGCUACUCUCCUACAAAACUCUUCGCUUGGAGGCCCAACACGACUCUACAAGAACAAUUUGUGUAGUAGACAUCAAGCUCUUCUCUCGUGCCAUUGCCGGGGAGGUGAGUGCUUGAAGGUAUAUCUUUACAUCUUGUAAUUGAAUCUUUUAGUUUCUUGUUUUAUCACUAGUUUGAUUUUUAAAAAGAAAAUUACAAUAAAUGGAAUUGAGGUGGCCUCAUAUUGUUCAUCUUUAUAUUGUCUUUCUUGAAAAUGAUGGAAAUGAAAAUUGUGCUUAAUUGUUAGAGGAAGAAUUUAUGAAAAUGAUUAAUGUGAAAUCCUUGAAUGAUGCGCAUGAUAGUAGUAUUGUUCAUAUGGAUUCUUUGAAUAUCCAUGAUGCUAAUGAUAUGCAAAGCCACAAGCUUGGGGAUGCUAUGUUUGAUAAAUAUGAUAUUUUUAGUCCCCCAUGUUUUGAUGAGCAAAUUUAUUAUGAUGAAAGUAUGCCUCCUAUUUAUGAUUAUUAUAUUGAUGAAAGUGGGUUUGGAAGAGUGACAAUUGUUGGGGAACAUUGCAUGGGAAACAAAAAAUUUCCUACGCACACGCAAGACCUGUCCAUGGUGUUGAUCAUCUACGAGAAGGGAGAUCAGAUCCACAUACCUUUGUAGAUCACUAAGCGGUAAGCGUUAAUAAACAUGGUUGAUGUAGUCAAACGUCUUUGCGAUCCUAAUCGCAAGUGUCGCACGAACUCUGAUCCUAAUCGCAAGUGUCCCACGAACUCUGUCCCAAUCUAGCGCUAAACGGACGACUCCCCCAUGUUCGGCACGGGUGCAACUCGAUAACGAUCUCCGCCUUCUUUAUCCAGUAAGAGAGAUGAAGAGGUAGCUGAAUUCUCCGACAGCAUGAUGGCGUGGCGGUGAGGAUGGUGGAGCUACUCCGGCUGGGGUUCGUCAUACCGUACUGAAUUAGCUACAGGGUGUCCCGAAGUGGUGGAGGGAGAGAGGGUUGCGCCUUGGCUUGAGAUGCCAAAAGCCUCUCUCAGCUCCACUAUAUAUAGGAGGGAGGGGAGGGGUUGCGCCCUAGGGCAAAGUCCUAGGGUUUUGCCAGUGCAAGAGGAGGAGGAGGAGGAGUCCUCCAAUACAAUUUGGAAGGAGGAGUCCUCCUUCCCCAAUUCGGUUUGGCCCACCCUCCUUUCCUUUUCUCCCUUGGCCGAAAUAGGCCUCUUUGGGCUGGCCACCAGCCCAAUAGGGGCUGGUGCCCCACCCUUGGGCCUCUUAGGUUCUCUCGUGGGUGGGUGGCCCCUCCCGUUGGAACUUCGGAACCCAUUUCUAACUCCCGGUACUUUAUUGGUAAUGCCCGAAAACCUUCCAGAAGCAAAAUUGAUAAUUCCUAUAUAAUAAUCUUCGUCUCUGGACCAUUUCGGAAACCCUCGUGACAUCCAGGAUCUCAUCCGGGACUUCGAACAACAUUCGGUUACCAACAUCAAUAAUGCAACUAUACUGAAACAUCAGUGGACCUUUAGUGUGCAGACCCUGAGGCACUCUUCGGUCAAUAUCCAAUAGCGGUAGCUAGAUGCCAAUAUUGAAUCCUACAUAUUCUACGAAGAUCUUUAAUGGUUGAACCUCUAUGUCUAGGAUUCAUUUAAUCCCAUAUAAAAUUUCCUUUGUCCUUCAGUAUGUGAUACGUCUCAAUGUAUAUAUAAUUUUUGAUUCUUCCAUGCUAUUAUAUUAUCUGUUUUGGAUGUUUUAUAUGCAUUAGUAUGCUAUUUUAUUUUAUUUUUGGGACCAACCUUUUAAUCUAGAGCCUAGUGCUAGUUUCUGUUUUCCAUGUUUUUGAGUAUUGCACGUAAGGAAUAUUAAUUGGAGUCCAAACGGAAUAAAAUCUUUGGAAUGAUUUUUCUUGGACCAGAAGACAUCUGCCAGACUUGUAGAAGGGGACAACAGACCUGCCGGGAGGUGAUAAGCCUGCAGGACGCGCCCUGGGGGGGGUCGCGUCCCCUAGCUUUUAGGUCCCCUUCAGCUCUCCUAACACUAAUCCUUCACCUAUAAAUUCCCAAAUAUUCCCCUAUUACCGAAGGGAGCCACAAAAAUACUUUUCCGCCGCCGGGAGCCUCUGUUCUUGUGAGAUCCAAUCUAGGAGCCCUUUCUGGUAAUCUGCCAGAGAGGGAAUUGAUCACGGAGGUGAGAGGGAAUUGAUCACGGAGGUCAUCUACAUCAACUCCAUUUCCCCUACGAUGAUGUGUGAAUACUUCACCACAAACCUACGGGUCCAUAGCUAGUAGCUAGAUGGCUUGUUCUCUCUCUUUGUUCUGCAUGAUCUUCAUGAAGAUCUAUCCGAUGUUAUAAUCUUUUGCGGUGUGUUUGUCGAGAUCCUAUGAAUUGUGUGUUUAUGUUCAGAUUAUCUAUGAAAAUUAUAUGAAUCUUCUCUGAAUUCUUAUAUGCUUGAUUUCAUAUCUUACCAAGUCUCUUCGAGUUAUUGGUUUGGUUUGGCCAACUAGAUUGGUAAUUCUUGCAAUGGGAGAAGUGCUUAGGUUUGGGUUCAAUCUUGCGGUGUCCUUCCCCAGUGACAAAGUACGGGUAGCGAGGCACAUAUUGCAUUGUUGCCAUCGAGGGUAAAAAGAUGUAGUUUUCAUCGUAUUGCUUGAGUUUAUCCCUCUACAUCAUGUCAUAUUACUUAAUGGACUACUCUGUUCUUCAUGAACUUAAUAUUGUAGAUGCAGGAAGGAGUCGGUCGAUGUGUGGAGUAAUAGUACUAGAUGCAGAAUCAUUUCGGUCUACCUGACACGAACAUGAUGCCUAUAUGCAUAAUCAUUGCCUUGGAUAUCUUAUUCGCUUUUCUAUCAAUUCCUCGACAGUAAUUUGUUCACCCACCGUAUUAUUUUCCUUCAUGAGAGAAUCCUCUAGUAAAACCUAUGGCCCGCGGGUCUAUUUUCCAUAUUGUAAUUUCAGAUCUAUAGACCAAAAAUACCAGAAAUAUGUUGCUGCUAUUUACUUACUUUUGUUUUGUUUUAGUUCUAGCAAUCUUUUAUCUAUCUCUAUCAGAUAUCAUCCUUGCAAAUAACUCUGAAGGGGUUGACAACCCCUUUUUAGUGUUGGGUGCAAGUGUUUUAUUGUUUGUUUAGGUACUACAAUUGGGGCCUUGCUUGUUCCUCCUACUGGAUUGAUACCUUGGUUCUCAGCAAACUGUGGGAAAUACAUAUCUACUUUGUUGCAUCACCCUUUCCUCUUUAAGGGAAAACCAACGCAAUCUCAAGAGGUAGCAAGAAGGAUUUCUGGCGCCUUUGCCGGGGAGGAUCCAUAGCAAGAUCAAUCUUACCAAGUACCCAUCACAAACUAAUCUCUUGCAUCUACUUUAUUUGCCAUUUUCCUGUCGAUUUCCUCUCCCCCACUUCACCAAUUUGCCAUUUUAUUCGCCUUUUUCUCACCGGAUAUCUUUUUUUCUACUUUUUUUUCCAUGUACCUUCCAUUUGCUUGCAUCUUUUAUUGCUAAAAAUCUGUUGAUAUGGAUCCUGAUCCACUUGCUGAUCUUUUUAAACGGCCAAAUUAUGAUGAACCAAUUGCGAGUGAGUUGAGUGCAGUUUAUUAUCUCUAUGAAGUUUCAUUUAAAAAUCAUGAAUGUGAAAUUUUUGAUGAAGUGUGGAAAGAAGAAAUUUAUAAAAUGAUUCAUGAUAGCUCCUUGAUUGAAAAGCAUGAUUGCAAUGACGUACCUAUAAAUUCUAUUAAUGUCAAUUAUGUGAAAUAUAUGCAAAACUACAAGCUUGCGGAUGAUAAUUUUGUCAUGUCCAUUACUCAUUGUAAUGAUCAUGAUUGGGAUGACGCUUCUUAUGAUCUUGAAAAUUUAUUUAAUCCUCAUGAUGAAUAUGUUAUUGAUAAUAAGGUUUGCAAUAGUAUCAAAAGUGGGUUCGGAAUAGUGUCAAAUUUAGGUAAAAAUAAACCCACAUAUUUGGACAGUGUUCAAUCUUAUGAAUUUUUUAAUAAAAGUGGGUUUGGAGAGGUCAUGACUUUAGUUAAUGUUAAUCUCACUACCGUGCAAGAUUGUUGGACUUCUAUGCAUGUGGAUCAUGAAAAUAAUGCUUUAUGUGAUAGUUAUAUUAUUGAAUUUAUUCAUUAUGCUACUGAAAAUUACUAUGAGAGAGGAACAUAUGCUUUUACAUAUUGCAAUACUAUCAAGUUUCUUGUCCAUGUGUUUGAAAUUUUGAAGUUAUACUUGUUUUCCCUUCAUAUGCUAAUUGAUUCUUGUUCUCAUAAUUUGUUUGCUCACAAAAUACCUAUGCAUAGGAAGUGGGUUAGAAUUAAAUAUGCUUGCCAUGUGAUUCAUGAUGCUCAGAUUAUGUUUCAGUUCUUUAUCUUUAUGCGAGCAUCAUUGAAAUCGUUAUGCCUAGCUAGGGGCGUUAAACAAUAGCGCUUGUUGGGAGGCAACCCAAUUUUAUUUUUAUUAUUUUGUGUUUGCUUCUGUCUUUUAGUGUUGCACACGUUAUUACCUCUGUAGUAAUUUUGUUUUCUUGUUUUAAUUAGUGUUUGAGCCAAGUAAGACCUUUGGGAUGGUGUAGAAUGUUUGCAAGUUGAUUUUGCUGAAAAACAAAAACUUUCGCUGUCAGUCUAGGAAUUUUGUAAAUUCAGUGGAACGUUAUUUUCAUCUAUUUUUUUACAAAAUGUUGAUAUAAAAUGUUUCCAGAGUUUCCUAAAUUUUCAGAAUUUUUCGUGGUACAUAAGUAUUCAAAGUUUAUAGAUUGCUACAAGACGUUCUGUUUUUGACAGAUUAUGUUUUCUUUGUGUUGGUUGCUUAUUUUUAUAAAUCUAUGGGUUGUAUCAGGGGGUAUGAACCAUGGAGGAGUUGGAAUACAGUAAAUAUUAUAUAAACAUAAAUAAAUAAUGAGUUCACAACAAUACCUAAAGUGGUGAUUUAUUUUUCUUAUACUAAGGAUCUCAUGAGUUUUCUGUUGAGUUUUGUGUUGUGAAGUUUUCAAAUUUUGGGUACAUAUUUGUUGGACUAUGGAAUAAGGAGUGGCAAGAGCCUAAGCUUGGGGAUUACCAAGGCACCCGAAGCCAUAUUCAAGGAUACCAAAAAGCCUAAGCUUGGGGAUGCCCCGGAAAGCAUUCCAUCUCUCGUCUUCAAUCCAUCGGUAAAUUUACUUGAGGCUAUAUUUUUAUUCACCACAUGAUAUGUGUUUUGCUUGGAGCAUCUUGUAUGAUAUGAGUCUUUACUUUUUGGAUUGCCACAAUCAUCCUUUCUGCACACAUAUUUUGAGAGAGACACGCUGAAUAGUGAAUUUAUUAGAAUACUCUAUGUUCUUCACUUACAUCUUUUGAGCUAGGCAAAGUUGCUCUAGUGCUUCACUUAUAUAGGCGGUGAUUUAUUUUAUAUAAUUAUUAAACUCACAUACCUCACUUAUAUUAUUUUGAGAGUCUUUAAACAGCAUGGUCAUUGGUUUAGGUUAUGAAUUUAGUCCUAAUAUAAUGGGCAUCCAAGAGGGAUAUAAUAAAAACUUACAUACUAGUGCAUUGAAUAUGAUGAGAAGUUUGAUUCCUUGCAUAUAGUUUUGAGAUAUGAAAAUGGUAAUAUGUGAUUCAUGCUACUAAGUAAUUAUGAAUUGGAAGAAAUACUUGUGUUAAAGUUUGUGAUUCCCAUAGCAUGCACGUAUGGUGAACCUUUGUGUGAUGAAGUCCGAGCAUGAUUUUUAUUAUUGAUUGUCAACCUUUGUGUGGAGGUCGGGAUCGCGCGAUGUUUAACUCCUACCAACCCUUCUCAUAGGAGCAUGCAUCUAAUACUUUGCUUCGAUAACUAAUAGGCUUUUUCGAUAAGUAUGUGAGUUCUUUAUGUCUAAUCUUGACUUCAUGGAUUAUACGCACUCUCACCCUUCCAUCUUUGCUAGCCUCUCUAAUACUGCGCAACUUUCGCUGGCACAUUAAACCCACCUUCCCCAAAAUGGCCACCGUACCUACCUAUUAUGACAUUUUCAUAGCCAUUUCGAGAUAUAUUUCCAUGCAACGCCAUUGUCCCGUUUUUUGUGACAUGCACCAUCACUUCCAUAUUGCUUAUAGAGUCAUAUUUCGUUCUAGAUAUCGAGUUGUAAUCUUUGAGUUGUCAGUAAAUAAAACUGUGAUGAUUUGCAUUAUGAGAGCAUUGUCUCAUGUGAGAAAAAGAUGAUGGAAGCUAUGAUUCCCUCACAAGUUGGGAUGAGUAUCCAGACUUUAAAAAAUAAAGGAGGCCAGCUAAGCCCAUAAAAAAAGAGGCCAAAGAGGCCCACCAAAAAAAUGAGAGAAAGAGAGAAGGGACAAUGCUACUAUCUUUUUACCACACUUGUGGUUCAAAGUAGUAGCAUGUUCUUCAUAGAGAGUCUCUAUUUUGUCACUUUCAUAUAACUAGUGGAAUUUCAUCUUUUGCACAACCACUUAGUUUUCUUUUGGAGCUUUCAUACACUUAUAGCUCUAGUGCAUUUGUUGCAUGGCAAUCCCUCCUCAAUCACAUUAAUAUCUAUUGAUGGGCAUCUCCAUAGCCUGUUGAUAUGCCUAGUUGAUGUCAGACUAUCUUCUCCUCUUUCUUUUUGCAACCUCCAUCAUAUUCUAUUCCACCUAUAGUGAUAUGUCCAUGGCCUACGCUCAUGUAUUGAAUGAGAGUUGAAAAGGUUUGAGAACAUAAAAAGUGUGAAACAAUUUCUUGACUUUCAUCGAGGAUGUAAAUGAUUUAGAUACUUUAUAUGGUGAAGAUGGAGCAUAUCCAAACCAUAUGGUUUUGUAGGGGUAACUUUCUAAGACCAUGUUAUUUCGAAAGGAAGCAGUUGCCUUGUUAGUAUGCUUGAAGUAUUAUUGUUUUUAUGUCAAUAUUAUACUUUUGUUUUUAAUUUUAUGGAUAUGAAUAUUCAUGCCACAAUAAAGAAUAUUACAUGGAUAAAUAUGUUAGGUAGCAUUCCACAUCAAAAAUUCUGUUUUUAUCAUUUACCUACUCGAGGCUGAGCAGGAAUUAAGCUUGGGGAUUCUUGAUACGUCCCCAACGUGUCUAUAAUUUUUUAUUGUUCCAUGCUAUUCUAUUAUGUGUUUUGUAUGUUUUAUAUGCAUUAAUAUCCUAUUUUAUAUUAUUUUUGGGUCUAACCUAUUAAUCUAGACCCUAGUGCCAGUUUCUGUUUUUUCCAUGCUUUUGAGUAUUGAAGAUAAGGAAUAUUAAACGGAGUCCAAACAGAAUAAUAUCUCCGGAAUGAUUUUUCUUGGAAUAGAAGAUAUCUGCGAGACUUGGAGAACGGGGCAGGAGACCUCGCAGGGGAUUGCGCCCCCUGGCUUGUGGGUCCCGUGCAGCUCUCCUAACCCUAAUACUUUGCCUAUAAAUUCCCAAAUAUUCCCCCAUUAGCGAAGGGAGCCACAAAAAUACUUUUGCGCUGUCGAGAGCCUCUGUUCCCGUGAGAUCCAAUAUGGAAACCUUUUCCUGUAAUCUGCCGGAGAGGAAAUUGAUCACGGAGGGCAUCUACAUCAACUCGAUUGCCCCUCUAAUGAUGCGUGAGUAGUUCACCACAAACCUACGGGUCCAUAGCGAGUAGCUAGAUGGACUCUUCUCUCUCUUUGUUCUUCAAUACCAUGUUCUUCAUGAUCUUAAUGGAGAUCUAUCCGAUGUAUUACUCUUUUGUGGUGUGUUUGUCGAGAUCCGAUGAAUUGUGGGUUUAUGUUUAAAUUAUCUAAGAAUAUUAUAUGAAUCUUUUCUGAAUUCUUAUAUGCAUGAUUUCAUAUCUUAGCAAGUCUCUUCGAGUUAUUGGUUUUGUUUGGACAACUAGAUUGGUAAUUCUUGCAAUGGGAGAAGUGCUUAGUUUUGGGUUCAAUCUUGUGGCCUCCUGACCCAGUGAAAAUGUAGGGAUAGAGAGGCACUUAUUGCAUUGUUGUCAUCGACGAUAAAAAGAUGGGGUUUAUAUCAUAUUGCUUAAGUUUAUCCCUCUACAUCAUGACAUCUUACUUAAUGUUUUACCCUGUUCUUCAUGAACUUAAUACUCUAGAUGCAGGCAGGACUCGGUCGAUGUGUGGAGUAAUAGUAGUUGAUGCCGAAUCGUUUCGUCCUACUUGACACGGGCGUGAUUACUAUAUGCAUAAUCAUUGCCUUGGAUAUCUUCAUAAUUAUUCGCUUUUCUAUCAACAGCUCGACAGUAAUUUUAUCACCCACCGUAUUAUUUUCCUUCAUGGGAGAAGUCUCCAGUGAAACCUAUGGCCCCGGGUCUAUUUUCCAUAUUAUACUUUAAGAUAUGUAAACCAAAAAUACCAAAAAUAUAUUGCUGCUAUUUAUUUACUUUUGUUGAACCUUUAGUUCUAGCAAUCUUUUAUCUAUCUCUAUCAGAUCUCAUCCUUGCAAAUAACUCUGAAGGGAUUGACAACGCCUUUUUAGCGUUGGGUGCAAGUGUUUGACUGUUUGUGUAGGUACUACAAUUGGGGCCUUGCUUGUUCCUCCUACUGGAUUGAUACCUUGUUUCUCAACAAACUGAUGGCAAUACUUAUCUACUUCGCUACAUCACCCUUUCUUGUUCAAGGGAAAACUAACGCAAGAUCAAGAGGUAGCAGAAUGUUACUUGCUCGAGAUUCGAUCGUCGGUAUCUCCAUACCUAUUUCAAUCUCGUUACCGGCAAGUCUUUUUACUCGUUCCGUAAUACAAGAUCCCGUGACUAACUCCUUAGUCAAAUUGCUUGCAUGGCUUGUUGUGAUGUUGUAUUACCGAGUGGGCCCCAAGAUAUCUAUCCUUCAUACAGAGUGACAAAUCCCAGCCUUGAUCCAUGCUAACUCAACGGACACUUUCGGAGAUACCUAUAGAGCGCCUUUAUAGUCACCCAGUUACAUUGCGACCUUUGAUACACACAGGGUAUUCCUCUCGCGUUAGUGAGUUACAUGAUCCCAUGGUCAUAGGAAUGUAUACUUGACAUGCAGAAAAUAGCAGCAAUAAAAUAACACGAUCACAUGCUAUGUUCAUAGUUUGGGUCUUGUCCAUCACAUCCUCCUCCUAAUGAUGUGAUCCCGUUAGGAAACCUUAACCAUCUUUGAUCAAGGAGCUUGUCAAGUAGAGGCUUACUAAGGAAGUGUUUUGUCUAUGUAUCCACACAUGUAUUUGCAUUUCCAUUCAAUACAAUACUAGCAUGGAUAAUAAACGAUUAUCUUGAAAUAUAAAUAUAAUAAUAACUAUUUUAUUAUUGCUUCUAGGGAAUAUUUCCAACAACAACUCUAGGUACUAACGAUCCAAUUAUUUCCGAGGGUCUUUAAUCUUUUCAUAGUGGUAAAAGUGGAUUUGGAGAUCUCAUGACUUUAUUUAGUGAAGAGUCCACUAUGUUGGAAAAGGCUUCAAUUGACUAUGCCAACAAAUUUUCUAUCUAUGAUGAUUAUGGUGAUGACAUUUAUGUUAUAAUGAAUAAGGAUAACCAUGAAACUUGUUAUCAUAAUUUUAAUUUUUCUCAUGGAUUAUAUCGAUCAAGUAUCUCAUGAUUCUUAUUUUGUUGAGUUUGCUCCCACUACUAUGAAUGAUAAGAAUUUUGCUUGUGUGGUUAGUAAUAAAAAAUCUAUGUUUGUGCAUCAUGAAAAUAAUGUUGUAGGUGAUAGUUAUAUUAUUGAAUUCCUUCAUGAUGCUACUGAAAAUUAUUAGGAGGGAGGAAAAUAUGCUUGUAGGAAUUGCAAUAAUAUCAAGUUUCCUCCCUAUGUGUUCAAAGUUAUGAAACAUGAUUCUUGCUCCCAUAAAUUCUUUGCUUGUUGAAUCCCUAUGCAUAGAAAGUGGGUUAUAUUUAAAUGUGCUUGUCAUGUUAUUCAUUAUGCUCUCUUGCAUGUUUCAAAUAUUAUUCCUAUAUGAGGAUCAUUGAAAUCAUCAUGCCUUGCUAAAAGGCAUUAAAGAAAAGCAUUUGUUGGGAGACAACCCAAUAUUUAUACUUUAUGUUUUUGUGUGUUCACAUGAUUAAUAUACUGUAAUAAUCAUGUUUUGUGUAUUUUAUUUCAAUACAGUUCCAAGUAAAAUCUUUGGGAUAGUGCGGAUACUUCCUUGUUUCAUUUUGUGUAAAAACACAAACAUUUACAUCGAGUGCAGAAUUUCUAUGAUUUUACUGGAGCAUCAAAAAAUUCUGAAUUUUUACACAGUUUUUGUAUGCACAUUCUCAACGUUUUCCUUAUAUUUCAGAAUGUUUAGACUAGGGGAAGUAUGGUUUUCAUUCAGAUAUUCACAGACUGUUCUGUUUUUGUCAGAUUUUGUUUUGUGUGCAUAGUUUCUUAUUUUAGUGUUUCCAUAGCUUAUAUUGAGUGAUAUAAAUUAUGGGAAUGAUAUAAUACAAUAGGAAUUAUGUGAGAACAAUUAUGAAUCUUGUCUUUGCAUUACCUAUGUGAAUGAUCUAAAUUUAUCACACUAACCCAUCUCACGAAGUUCUAUUAAGUUCUGUGUGAUUGAAGUUUUUCAAGUUUUGGGUGAGAUACCAAUAUGAGGAGAAUAAGGAGCAGCAAUAACCUAAUCUUGUGGAUGCCCAAGGCACCCCAAGGUAAUAUCCAAGGAAUACUCAAUCGUCUAAGCUUGGGCAUGCCCCGGAAGGCAUCCCCUCUUUCGCCUCCAACAUUACCGGUAUAUCUUACUUGGAGCUAUACUUUUAUUCGUCAAAUGAUAUGUGUUUUCCUUGGAGCGUAAUUUUUUUUGUUCUCUGUUAGAUGUUAUUUAUAAUAUUAUUUUUCAAGAAAGUUCCAAGAGUUGCCUUCAAAAUGCUUGAAUUACAUGUGUCAUGUGUGUUGCACAAAAACAGAAACUUUUGCUGCAGUAUUUGAAUUAUCAUAUUUUACUAGAACGUGGAAAGUUUCUAAAAGUUUUACACACUGAUGUCAUAUAAAGUUUUUAUCACUUCCUAAUUUUUCAGAAGUUUUGGACAUACAUAAGUAUACUGUUUAUAUAAAUUGCUACAGAAUGUUCUUUUUGGACAAAUUGUUGUCAUAGUUUUGUUAUCUACUUAUGCUAUAGUUUCCCACAAUGUUUAUAAAUAUAUUGUUUACAGUAUUUGAAUUGUCAUAUUGGUAGAUCAAAAUUGUGGAAAUGAUAGUAUACAAUACCUUAUGUUUGAGAAUUAUUAUGCAACUUGUCUUGUGAGUACAUGAAGUGUUGAUUUAUUUCUGUGUGUACUAACCUAUCUCACGAGUUAUUUUCAAGUUUUGUGUGGAUGAUGUUUUUGAGACUUAGGUGAAACCGACAUAGGAGAGGAUUGAAAGAGAUACAAAAGAUCAAGCUUUGGGAUGCCCAAGGAACCCCAAGUAAAUAUUUCAAGAAGUCUCAACCAUCUAAGCUUGGGGAUGCUACGCAUCCCACCACUCUUCAUCAAUAACUAACGGUUGGCCUAUGUUGAGCCAAAAACAUUAUUUGUCCAAAUGAUAUGUGCUAUUCUUGAAAUCCAUUUUUGUUUAGUUUUCUGUUUGAAUAAAAUUAUCAGAUCUAAAAAUCUUUUUUGAGAGAAAGUCCUUACUUGAUUCUUUAACUACUCAUUGAUUUUCACUUAUAUCUUUUGAGAGCAGUUUCAUUGUUUGCUCUUGUGCUUCACUUAUAUCCUAUGAGUAAAUUGUUGAAUAAAUUGAAUGCCAUGAAGUUUAAAUUAUAUGUUCGUUUCAUGCCUAGUAGUAGCUUCACAUUGGGUUUAGAAAGUGAAAUCUUUUGAAGCUUGACAAUCAUAAUAUUGGUCAUACAAGCAAUUCACGCAUGAUUGGUAUAAGCAAGAGAACUUUCACAUAUAAAUAUAUUACCUUGGACAUAUUCUAUGAUUUUGAAUUCUCAUUAAUUAUUUUCUAAUUUGAGCAAAUUAGUUGAAGUUGGACAAGGAAGACAAUGUAAUGACUUAUGGUUGUGUUUAUUUGCAUAGAAGUUAUAUUGUUAUGGAUCAUCCAACAUGUGGUGUUUGCUAAGAAUCUUUUUCUAAACAAAAAUUCGUAUUAAGUAGAGAUACCACUUGUGCAUCCAAUAACCCUUAAACCCAGUUUAUUGACAUGAGUGUCAGCAAUACAUACCUAUGGAUUGAAUAAGAUCCUUCAUGUAAGUUGUCAUCGGUGCAAAAAUGCAAUAAAAAUUGCUUCUAAAUAUGUUUGAUCAUUUAGUGUAAGAAAAAAUUGAGCGUUUUACGAACUUGUGAUGGCAAAGUAAUAAAAGUGAUGGACUACAUAAUAAAGGUUGUUAUCAUAAGGGGCAAUAUAACGUGAUGUUCUUUUGCAUUAACGGAUUGUGCCUACAAAAUAAAAAAGUGCAUGACAACCUCUACUUCCCUCUACGAAGAGCCUAUCUUUUACCUUUCAGUAUUUAAUUUUAUGCAAGAGUCAAUAGUAUGCAUUCUCAUUUCAACCUAAAUUAUUCUCUAGUUAGCAAGAAUCAUGUGGUGGGGAAAUAUCUAGGCACAUAUAGCUAGUCAAAUAUAUUUGAUCAUGACGUAUUACUGUUGACAAUUAUCUCUAUGAUAAAUGAGUUGGGAGGCGAAACAUUAAGCCCCUAUCUUUCUCUGUGUUUGAUGGAUGCCAUUUAUUCUAAAAAUAUGUUUUGAGUACUAGCAAUCAUAGAAGGCUAUAUGAUGACUGAGUAUGUGGAGCUCUUACCUAGACUUUGUUGAGAUUAAGUUGAAUUGCAAUUGUUUGGUGACUAAGAACAUAAGUUGUUAAGUUUCAAGAGAGUUCAUUGUUUGAACCAUAACAUGUCAAUUGCUUGCUACUUUAUCAUGAUGAGUUUUAUGAGAAAUAGUUUCUGUUAUGAUGCUAGGAAAAGUGGUUGAAAUUACCAUGAUUAAACUUAUGCACUAUGCUAGCAUUCACACUUCAUAACUUAUUUCUUUUAUCAUUUACCUACUCGGGACAAGAAGUAAUUAAGCUUGGGGAGGCGGAUACAUCUCCAAUGUAUUGAUAAUUUAUGAAGUAUUCAUGCCAUGUUUGCCUAUGUUUACAAUACUUUUAUAUGGUUUUGCUGCACUUUAUAUGAUUUAAUUUGAAAUAACCCAGACUCACGCUUUUUCAGCAGAACUACUGUCGUGUUGUUUUUUGUGUAGAAAUAAAAGUUCUCAUAAUUGGACGAAACUUUUUGACGAUUUUUUUCUGAACAGAAGACAUCCAAAGGAGCAAACAACAACCAGAGAGGAGGCACAGGCUGCCCAGUAGGUACCAGGGUGCACCAGCCCCACUGGCGCGGCCUUGUACCUAGUGGGCACCUCGUGGCCCAUCUUAGCGUGAUUCCAACGACCAAAAAUCCUAUAAUUAUAGAAACCUCCAGAAAUUACCCUAAACGAGAAGUUCCACCACUGCAAGUCUCUAUAGCCAUGAAAAAACAAUCGGGAGCCCAUUCCAGCACCCUACCGGAGGGGGAGAUCAUCUCCGGUGGCCAUCUUCAUCAUCUCGGCGGAGGCCAUGACGAGGACGGAGUAGUCCACCCUCGGGGCUGAGGGUUUGUACCAGUAGUUAUGUGUUAAAUCUCUGUGUGUGUGUGUGUUGUGUUGUUGAUAUGUCAUGAUCUUGAUACAUCACGGUCAUUGUUAAUAUAGUUGGAUCAUAUGGUGUUUGUCCCAUGCUAUUGUUGGAUUGAGUGUUUCACUUUAAGCUCUCGUUAUGUUGGAUUGAAUAUUCAGUUUUGAGAGCACGUGAUAUACGUCUUGCAUGCGGAUACCCAUAAUGACAUCGAGGUAUUCAAGUGAUUCACUUGAUACAUAUUGUGGCAUCAACUUGCGGAUUCCGGUGACCUUGGGAUCUAGGCAUAGGGGUUGAUUGCAUGUAUUCAUACUAUGUUCUCCUGUAGAAAUCUUGGGGUCCUCCUUGAAGUUAUUUGUGUUGGAUUGAAUAUCUGAAUUGAUUGAUGUAUGUUGUAUAAUUAGCCCAUGGAUACUUGAGGUGACAUUGGAGUAUCUAGGUGACAUUAGGAUUGAUUGAUAAGUAUCAAUGGUGUUAUUUUAGUACGAACUCUUGGAUAGAUCGAUCGGAAAGGAUAACUUGUUAUCUUAGAACGAACUCUACAAACAAUUUCUUCUCAUGUUGAGGUGGUUUCGUACGCUACAAACAAUUUCUUCUCAUGUUCUCCGCUAGAUAGGAACUUUGGAGUGAUUCUUCAUUGCAUGCUAAUGGAUUGUUAUGUGAUCCAAUUAUAUUAGCAUUGUUGAGAGAUUGCACUAGCAAAAGUACGGACCCUAGGGCUCAUUUUGAAGCAUUGCAAUAUCAUUUGUGCUCACUUUUGUUACUCAUUACCUUGUUUUUUUAUUGUUCCUACUACAAAAAUCAAUAUCGACUAUCAUUACUACACUUGUAUCACCAUCUCUUCGCCAAACUAGUGCACCUAUACAAUUUACCUUUGUAUUUGGUGUGUUGUCGACACAAGUGACUUUUUAUUAUUUGGUUACAGGGUUGUUUGAGAGAGACCUUCUUCAUCCAACGGCUCCCAUGGAUUGAUAAACCUUAGGUAAUCCACUUGAGGGAAAUUUGCUACUGUCCUACAAAACUCUGUGCUUGGAGGCCCAACACGAGUCUACAAGAACAAGUUUUGUAGUAGACAUCACCCACCGUAUGAUAUUUCUCAUGAGGGAUGCCAUUAGGGAAAACUAUGGCCCCCGGGUCUAUUCACAACUCAUUUACAAAACCUUAAAUACCUUGCUGCCAUUUACUUGUUUUUGUUUGAUUUUGCAAUUAACAAUUAUCUACACACCUCACACGCUUGCAAGUAACAAGUACAAGAGGAUUGACAACCCUCUUGCCCGUGUUGGGUGCAAGUUGCUUGUUCUUUUGGGUGCACCCAGUGAAGAUGGUUGUGGUUGAUAUUCCUAUUGGUUCAAUAAACCUUAUUUUCAUAACUGAUAGAAAUAUUUAAUCACAUUAUGUCGCGAUAACCUAUUCCUCUUCAUGGAAAACCCAACGUAGAUCACAAGUAUCAUUCAUCCAGUACAUUGUCAUAGUUUGCUCAUCCAUGAACAAGGUGGAGUAAAACUGCAUGAUCGCCUCCUCGCACUGAUCCUUCCUGAAAGUGGUCAGCCCAAGCACACCUCUGCUAUGGUCUCACAUGAUCCCAGUCGAUGGUCUUCCUUUGUACCACCCGGUUCUUCAACCCCAUCACAAUGAUUUCAUGAUAGUCCGAAUGUUUAAUGGAUUGGAAUCUAGCAUCCGUCGCACUCCUCCCCUAAUUAUAAGGCUUGGACAUGCAUCAGAUCCGACGAAGUACAUGGCAACUCUUGUUCUUCAUGUUUGUGGGUUGCCGGUCUACUAUGCCUCGUGCUGGAGUGCAGGGCAUCAGAUCAACUGUCUUCGGUUUGUCGUGAAGACGCUCAUGGACGACGAGCGCCUUUUCACUGUUAGAUGGAUUUGGGACCAGAUAAUAUUUCGUCUUGAUCUGCAUCCUCACAACAGGUGCAGAUGCUGGUUGGUUCUUUGCUUUAACCCUAGCCAUGUUCACUGAAUUUGUAGCAGUACCGACUGGGCGAGGUGCAAGUCUGAGGCAAGUUGAUGUCGCAGCACUUGGUGCAUGAGGUGAAAGGAGCAGCACAUUUGAUGUUGAAGGUGUGGUUGACACACUGUGUAUGCAAAUUGUGGACUGAGGCAAUUGUUUCUUGAGAGACAGUAGGCUUGCCUUCGACGACUGUGGAGGACUACCUUGGAAGGUUUUGAUUGCCUUAGUCUUCCACCUAAAUGUCUUAUUACUGCUACCUAACACUGAUUGUUCCAUGCACUUUCUCCUCUCUGCCUCUUGGUCUGCCUUUCUGUUCUCCGACUCAUGGAUGGACUGUAUUCGUGGACGCUUCAAACUACGUGCUUUGUAUCGAGGUGACGGAUUGGUGUUGAUGGCUUACUUCCCUUUCUACUAUGCCUGUGAAGGUUCAGUGAAAUCAUCAGUGACAAACUACGAAACAAAAUGGACAACUAUAUGCAACUCCAAAGCAGUUGCGCGAUCCAUGUUAUGUUCACCAUCACUCGUACUAAUGUUCACCGAUACAUGACUUGGAUGAACUCCUUCAUUGCCAGAAUCUAGGCGAGGUACGGAUUUCUCCUUGGUGUACAUGAUCGUCUCUGACCCAACAAAUUGGAAAACCACAGGGUUGAAAAAAUCAUCCAUCAUCAAGGUUGUGCUCGUGUUUCCAUCCACUACUUCUAGUGCCGAUUGGUCAUCACUUCUUAGUUCCUCUGUUGCUCUACGAGUGGACUAUUGCAGAGUCGUAUCAGCACAGUUGAUUAGUCUAGUUGUCCCCCUAGUCUGGUUGUGAGCUACAUUCGUUAUGGCCAACUGCAAUGCACAUGAUCUGGCAACUCCCCCGCCGCGCAUACCGUAAACCUUUUCACAAAUCAGACCUUAACACUUAUGAACAAUACGUACAAUGCAACCUUUUAGAUCAAUGCUACUGCAAAAAAAGACCUUCCAACGGCGCCAAAAACAAGCGUGCUGACGGGAGACUAUUCCUGUCUUGAUUCUCCUCAGCAACGGGACCAGGAAUCCUUCUGCUACGGCUACGCCUUUAGGGACUUCCUAGGAAAAUAUGCAAAGGAUUCCCUCGUGGCCUUGGAGCCUUGCGUUGGUGUUCCCUCGAAGCGGAAAGGGUGAUGUAGCACAGCGGAAUUAAGUAUUUCCCUCAGUUUUGAGAACCAAGGUAUCGAUCCAGUGAAGGAGUAUCACAAGUGCCUGCACAAACACAAAGAGCUUGCUCCCAACGCGAUUAAGGGGUUGUCAAUCCCUUAUAGAUUGUUUUCCAAGUGAGAACUGAAAGCAACAAAGUAACAAAGCAAAGUAAAAGCCAAGGUGGAAACGAUAGGUGUGAAUAGACCGGGGGGCCGUAGUGUUCACUAGUGGCUUCUCUCAUGAAAGCAAGUAGACGGUGGGUGAACGAAUUACUGUCGAGCAAUUGAUAGAACCGCGCAAAGUUGUGACGAUAUCUAUGACAAUGAUUAUAUCCAUAGGCAUCACGUCCAAAACAAGUAGACCGAUACUUUCUUCAUCUACUACUAUUACUCCACACAUCGACCACUAUCCAGCAUGCAUUUAGUGUAUUAAGUCCAAAAGAACAGAGUAACGCCUUAAGCAAGAUGACAUGAUGUAGAUGGACAAUCUCAUAUCUACGACAAAGCCCAUCUUGUUACCCUUGAUGGAAACUACAGGAUGUGUGCCUUGCUGCCCCUAUUGUCACUGGGAAAGGUCACCACACGGUUAGAACCCAAAACCAAGCACUUCUCCCAUUGCAAGAAUCGUAGACCUAGUUGGCCAAACAAGACCGAAGACUCGGAGAGACUUACAAGGAUAUGAAAUCAUGCAUAUAAGAAAUCAGCAAAGACUCAAAUAUAUAUCAUAGAUAAUUUGAUCUCAAAUCCACAAUUCAGCGGCUCUCGACAAACAUACCACCAAAGAGGAUUACAUCGGAUAGAUCUCCAUGAAGAUCAUGGAGAACUUUGUAUUGAAGAUCCAAGAGAGAGAAGAAGCCAUCUAGCUACUAACUAUGGACCCGUAGGUCUGAAGUGAACUACUCACAAGUCAUUGGAGGGGCGAUGAUGUUGAUGAAGAAGCCCUCCAACUCCAAAGUCCCCUCCGACAGGGCACCGGGAAGGGUCUCCGGAUGAGAUCUCGCAGAAACGGAAGCUUGCGGUGGCGGAAAAGUGUUUUCAUGGACGCCCUGAUUUUUUCUGGAUUUUUAGGGAAUUUAUAGACCAAAGACCUAGGGCAGGGGAGCGCCAGGGAUUCCACAAGCUUGGUUGUCGCUGCAAGGGCUUGUGGGCUCCCCGUGGGCCCACUUUCUUGGCCCUCAAGCCUCCCGAUCUUCUUUCGUUCUGGAAAAAAUCAUUUUGGGGUUUUAUUCCAUUUGGACUCCGUUCCAAAAUCAGAUCUGAAAAGAGUCAAAAACACAGAAAAAACAGGAACUCGCACUUGGUCCUAAGUUGACAAGAUAACAGCGUGAAACCAUCAAAAGUUAUAGAUACGUUUGAGACGUAUCAAUCAACAACCUAGUCAAACAUAACAAUGUACGGAGUUGGCUGUAAUGGGGCUGUGACAUCCCCGGAUUAGGCUACAGUAAUCCCGGUAAGUGAACUACAGUACACCUAUGCAAAGGAUGCCAUGUCACCGUGUUUCCUAUCAUUGAUCUCGCGAUUGUUUGAAUCAGUUCGAAUUUAAGACUUAAGUUUAAAAUCAAACGAUAAAAGUUAUAGGGUUGAAAUAAAAAUUUCGGGGGAGUUAUACAAAAAUUCCCUAAUGAAUUAUAUAACUGAACCGGGCUUCUUAAGAUUUAUUGCAAUAACCAUAUAAUUAAAACAGAAAGCUAUAUAUAUUUAUAUAUAUAUAAUAGAAUAAAAGAAAGUAUUAAAAAAUAUAAUAAAUGGUAAUAGAAUAAUAAUAAUAAUAAAAGAAAAAUAAUAAAAGAAAAAGGAACAGCAACAAACAAAAAACAAAACAAAAAANNNNNNNNNNNNNNNNNNNNNNNNNNNNNNNNNNNNNNNNNNNNNNNNNNNNNNNNNNNNNNNNNNNNNNNNNNNNNNNNNNNNNNNNNNNNNNNNNNNNUUUUGGGCGGUCCCACCAGCCCACUAAGGGCUAGUGCGCCACCCUCAUGACCAAUGGGCUUCCCCGGGGUGGGUUGCCCCCCCCCCCCGGUGAACUCCCGGAACCCAUUCGUCAUUCCCGGUACAUUCCCGGUAACUCCGAAAACCUUCCGGUAAUCAAAUGAGGUCAUCCUAUAUAUCAAUCUUCCUUUCCUGACCAUUCCGAAAACCCUCAUGACGUCCGUGAUCUCAUCCGGGACUCCGAACAACAUUCGGUAACCAACCAUAUAACUCAAAUACGCAUAAAACAACGUCGAACGUUAAGUGUGCAGACCCUGCGGGUUCGAGAACUAUGUAGACAUGACCCGAGAGACUCCUCGGUCAAUAUCCAAUAGUGGGACCUGGAUGCCUAUAUUGGAUCCUACAUAUUCUACGAAGAACUUAUCGUUUGAACCUCGGUGCCAAGGAUUCAUACAAUCCCGUAUGUCAUUCCCUUUGUCCUUCGGUAUGUUACUUGCCCGAGAUUCGAUCGUCAGUAUCCGCAUACCUAUUUCAAUCUCGUUUACCGGCAAGUCUCUUUACUCGUUCCGUAAUACNNNNNNNNNNNNNNNNNNNNNNNNNNNNNNNNNNNNNNNNNNNNNNNNNNNNNNNNNNNNNNNNNNNNNNNNNNNNNNNNNNNNNNNNNNNNNNNNNNNNGUAAUCAAAUGAGGUCAUCAUAUAUAUAAAUCUUCGUUUCCAGACCAUUUCGGAAACCCUCGUGACGUCCAUGAUCUCAUCCGGGACUCCGAACAACAUUCGGUAACCAACCAUAUAACUCAAAUACGCAUAAAACAACGUCGAACCUUAAGUGUGCAGACCCUGCGGGUUCGAGAACUAUGUAGACAUGACCCGAGUGACUCCUCGGUCAAUAUCCAAUAGCGGGACCUGGAUGCCCAUAUUGGAUCCUACAUAUUCUACGAAGAUCUUAUCGUUUGAACCUUAGUGCCAAGGAUUCACAGAAUCCCGUAUGUCAUUCCCUUUGUCCUUCGGUAUGUUACUUGCCCGAGAUUCGAUCGUCAGUAUCCGCAUACCUAUUUCAAUCUCGUUUACCGGCAAGUCUCUUUACUCGUUCCGUAAUACAAGAUCCCGCAACUUACACUAAGUCACUUUGCUUGCAAGGCUUGUGUGUGAUGUUGUAUUACCGAGUGGGCCCCGAGAUACCUCUCCGUCACACGGAGUGACAAAUCCCAGUCUCGAUCCAUACUAACUCAACUAACACCUUCGGAGAUACCUGUAGAGCAUCUUUAUAGUCACCCAGUUACGUUGCGACGUUUGAUACACACAAAGCAUUCCUCCGGUGUCAGUGAGUUAUAUGAUCUCAUGGUCAUAGGAACAAAUACUUGACACGCAGAAAACAGUAGCAACAAAAUGACACGAUCAACAUGCUACGUCUAUUAGUUUGGGUCUAGUCCAUCACGUGAUUCUCCUAAUGACGUGAUCCAGUUAUCAAGCAACAACACCUUGUUCAUAAUCAGAAGACCCUAACUAUCUUUGAUCAACUGGCUAGUCAACUAGAGGCUUGCUAGGGACAGUGUUUUGUCUAUGUAUCCACACAUGUAUAUAAGUCUUCAUUCGAUACAAUUAUAGCAUGGAUAAUAAACGAUUAUAUUGAUACAGGAAUUAUAAUAAUAACUAUAUUUCUUAUUGCCUCUAGGGCAUAUUCCAACAGUCUCCCACUUGCACUAGAGUCAAUAAUCUAGCCCUCACAUCAUCAUAUGAAUUACAUUGUAAUAAAUCUAACACCCAUACAGUUCUGGUGUUGAUCAUGCUUUGCCCGUGGAAGAGGUUUAGUCAGCGGGUCUGCUACAUUCAGAUCCGUGUGCACUUUGCAUAUAUUUACGUCCUCCCCUUCGACGUAGUCGCGGAUGAGGCUGAAGCGUCGUUUGAUGUGUCUGGACUUCUUGUGAAACUGUGGUUCCUUUGCUAGGGCAAUGGCACCCGUGUUGUCACAGAACAAGGUUAUUGGAUUCAGUGCGCUUGGCACCACUCCAAGAUCCGUCAUGAACUGCUUCAUCCAGACACCCUCCUUAGCCGCCUCCGAGGCAGCCAUGUACUCCGCUUCACAUGUAGAAUCUGCUACGACGCUUUGCUUGGAACUGCACCAGCUUACCGCACACCUAUUAAGAAUAAAUACGUAUCCGGUUUGCGACUUAGAGUCGUCCGGAUCAGUGUCAAAGCUUGCAUCGACGUAACCUUUUACGGCGAGCUCUUCGUCACCUCCAUACACGAGAAACAUCUCCUUAGUCCUUUUCAGGUACUUCAGGAUAUUCUUGACCGCUGUCCAGUGAUCCACUCAUGGAUUACUCUGGAACCUGCCUGCCAUACUUAUGGCCAGGCUAACAUCCGGUCUAGUGCACAGCAUUGCAUACAUGAUAGAACCUAUGGCUGAAGCAUAGGGGACGGUGCUCAUAUGCUCUCUAUCCUCAUCAGUUGCUGGGCACUGAGUCUUACUCAAUCUCGUACCUUGUAAAACUGGCAAGAACCCUUUCUUGGACUGUUCCAUUUUGAGCCUCUUCAAAACUUUAUCAAGGUAUGUGCUUUGUGAAAGUCCUAUCAGGCGUUUUGAUCUAUCCCUAUAGAUCUUAAUGCCUAGAAUGUAAGCAGCUUCUCCUAGGUCCUUCAUAGAGAAACUUUUAUUCAAGUAAUCAUUUAUGCUCUCCAAAAACUCUACGUUGUUUCCAAUCAGCAAUAUGUCAUCCACAUAUAAUAUUAGAAAUGCCACAGAGCUCCCACACACUUUCUUGUAAAUACAAGAUUCUCCAACCACUUGUAUAAACCCAAAUGCUUUGAUCACCUCAUGAAAGCGUUUGUUCCAACUCCGAGAUGCUUGCACCAGUCCAUAAAUGGAUCGCUGGAGCUUGCACACCUUGUUAGCAUUCUUAGGAUCGACAAAACCUUCGGGCUGCAUCAUAUACAACUCUUCCUUAAGGAAACCGUUAAGGAACGCCGUUUUGACAUCCAUCUGCGAGAUUUCAUAAUCGAAAAAUGCAGCUAUUGCUAACAUGAUUCUGACGGACUUAAGCAUCGCUACGGGUGAGAAUGUCUCAUCGUAGUCAACUCCUUGAACUUGUGAAAAACUCUUUGGCACAAGUCGAGCUUUAUAAACGGUCACAUUGCCGUCAGCGUCCGCCUUCCUCUUAAAGAUCCAUUUGUUCUGAAUAGCCUUGCGGCCCUUAGGUAGUACUUCCAAAGUCCACACUUUGUUCUCAUACACGGAUCCUAUCUCGGACUUCAUGGCUUCUAGCCAUUUGUUGGAAUCUGGGCCCACCAUUGCUUCUUCAUAAUUUGCAGGUUCAUUGUUGUCUAACAACAUGAUUGACAAAACGGGAUUACCGUACCACUCUGGAGCAGCACAUGGUCUCGUCGACCUGCGUGGUUCGACGGGAACUUGAACCGGAGUUUCAUGAUCAUCAUCAUUAACUUCCUCCUCAACUGGCGUCGCAACGACACAGGUUUCCCCUUGCCCUGUGCCACCAUCUAGAGGGAUGAGAGGUUCGACAACCUCAUCAAGUUCUAUCUUCCUCCCACUCAAUUCUCUCGAGAGAAACUCCUUCUCGAGAAAAGCUCCGUUUUUAGCAACAAACACUUUGCCCUCGGAUUUGAGAUAGAAGGUGUACCCAACUGUCUCUUUUGGGUAACCUAUGAAGAUGCACUUUUCCGCUUUGGGUUCCAGCUUUUCAGGCUGAAGCUUUUUGACAUAAGCAUCACAUCCCCAAACUAUAAGAAACGACAACUUUGGCCUUUUGCCAUACCACAGUUCGUAUGGUGUCGUCUCAACAGAUUUUGAUGGUGCCCUAUUUAAAGUGAAUGCAGCUGUAUCUAAUGCAUAACCCCAAAACAAUAACGGCAAAUCAGUAAGAGACAUCAUAGAUCACACCAUCUCUAAUAAAGUACGAUUACGACGUUCGGACACACCAUUACGUUGUGGUGUUCCAGGCGGUGUCAACUGUGAAACAAUUCCACAUUGUCUUAAGUGAGUACCAAACUCGAAACUCAGAUAUUCACCCCCACGAUCAGACCGUAGGAACUUGAUCUUCUUGUUACGAUGAUUCUCAACUUCACUCUGAAAUUGCUUGAAGUUUUCAAAUGUUUCAGACUUGUGCUUCAUUAAGUAGACAUAACCAUAUCUACUCAAAUCGUCAGUGAAGGUGAGAAAAUAACGAUAUCCGCCGCGUGCCUCUACGCUCAUCGGACCGCACACAUCGGUAUGUAUGAUUUCCAACAAGUCACUGGCACGCUCCGUUGUUCCGGAGAACGGAGUUUUAGUCAUCUUGCCCAUGAGGCAUGGUUCGCACGUGUCAAGUGAAUCAAAGUCAAGUGACUCCAAAAGUCCAUCGGCAUGGAGUUUCUUCAUGCGCUUUACACCAAUAUGAGCUAAGCGGCAGUGCCACAAAAAUAUGGCGCUAUCAUUGUUAACACUAACUCUUUUGGUCUCAAUGUUAUGUAUGUGUGUAUCACUAUCAAGAUUCCAUAUGACCAAUCCUCUCACAUUGGGUGCAUGACCAUAAAAGAUGUUACUCAUAGAAAUAGAACAACCAUUAUUCUCUGACUUAAAAGAGUAACCGUCUCGCAAUAAACAAGAUCCAGAUAUAAUGUUCAUGCUCAACGCAGGCACUAAAUAACAAUGAUUCAAGUUCAUAACUAAUCCUGAUGGUAACUGAAGUGAAACUGUGCCGACGGCGAUUGCAUCAACCUUGGAACCAUUUCCUACGCGCAUCGUCACUUCAUCUUUCGCCAGCCUUCAUCUAUUCCGCAGUUCCUGUUUCGAGUUGCAAAUAUGAGCAACAGAACCGGUAUCGAAUACCCAGGCACUACUACGAGAGCCGGUUAAGUAUAUAUCAAUAACAUGUAUAUCAAAUAUACCUGAUUUUUCUUUGGCCGCCUUCUUAUCAGCCAGAUACUUGGGGCAGUUGCGCUUCCAGUGACCCAUACCCUUGCAAUAGUAACACUCUGUUUCAGGCUUAGGUCCAGCUUUGGGUUUCUUCGUUGGAUUGGCAACAGACUUGCCACUCUUCUUUGGAUUACCCUUCUUGCCUUUGCCGUUUCUCUUGAAACUAGUGGUCUUAUUCACCAUCAACACUUGAUGCUCUUUAUGGAGUUCAGACUCUGUGACUUUCAGCAUCGCAAACAACUCGCCGGGUGACUUGUUCAUCCCUUGCAUGUUGUAGUUCAACACAAAGCCUUUAUAGCUUGGCGGCAGUGAUUGAAGGAUUCUGUCAGUGAUAGCCUCUUGCGGGAGUUCAAUCCCCAACUCAGCUAGACGGUUUGAGUACCAAGACAUUUUGAGCACAUGUUCACUGACAGACAAAUUCUCCUCCAUCUUGCAAGCAUAGAAUUUAUCGGAGGUCUCAUACCUCUCGAUCCGGGCGUUCUUAUGAAAGAUGAACUUCAACUCCUGGAACAUCUCAAAUGCUCCAUGACGCUCAAAGCGAUGUUGAAGUCCCGGUUCUAAGCCAUAGAAGACUGCACAUUGAACUACUGAGUAGUCCUCCUUACGUGUUAACCAAGGGUUCUUAACAUCCUGGUCAGCCGUAGCGGGUGGUUCAUCUCCUAGCGCAGCAUUAAGGACAUAAUCCUUCUUCCCAGCUUGUAAGAUUAGCUUAAGAUUACGAGCCCAGUCUACAAAGUUGCUUCCAUCAUCUUUCAACUUAGCUUUCUCUAGGAACGUAUUAAAAUUCAGGGUGACUGUUGCGUGAGCCAUGAUCUACAACACAAAUAUAUUCAAAGUGGACUUAGACUAUGUUCAAGAUAAUUAGAGUUUAACUUAAUCAAAUUGUUCACUAAACUCCCACUCAAAAAGUACAUCUCUCUAGUCAUUUGAGUGGUUCAUGAUCCACUUACACUAGCUCAAGUCCGAUCAUCACGUGAGUUGAGUAUAGUUUCAGUGGUAAGCAUCCCUAUGCUAAUCAUAUCAUCUAUAUGAUUCAUGAUCGACCUUUCGGUCUCAUGUGUUCCGAGGCCAUGUCUGCACAUGCUAGGCUCGUCAAUUUUAACCGAGUGUUCCGCGUGCGCAACUGUUUUGCACCCGUUGUAUGUGAACGUUGAGUCUAUCACACCCGAUCAUCAUGUGGUGUCUCGAAACGACGAACUGUAGCAACGGUGCACAGUCGGGGAGAACACAAUUUCGUCUUGAAAUUUUAGUGAGAGAUCACCUCAUAAUGCUACCGUCGUUCUAAGCAAAAUAAGGUGCAUAAAAGGAUUAACAUCACAUGCAAUUCAUAAGUGACAUGAUAUGGCCAUCAUCACGUGCUCCUUGAUCUCCAUCACCAAAGCACCGGCACGAUCUUCUUGUCACCGGCGCCACACCAUGAUCUCCAUCAACGUGUCGCCAUCGGGGUUGUCGUGCUACUCAUGCUAUUACUACUAAAGCUACUUCCUAGCAAAAUAGUAAACGCAUCUGCAAGCACAAACGUUAGUAUAAAGACAACCCUAUGGCUCCUGCCGGUUGCCAUACCAUCGACGUGCAAGUCGAUAUUAUCUAUUACAAUAUGAUCAUCUCAUACAUCCAAUAUAUCACAUCACAUCAUUGGCCAUAUCACAUCAUAAGCAUACCCUGCAAAAACAAGUUAGACGUCCUCUAAUUUUGUUGUUGCAUGUUUUACGUGGUGACCAUGGGUAUCUAGUAGGAUCGCAUCUUACUUACGCAAACACCACAACGGAGAUAUAUGAAUUGCUAUUUAACCUCAUCCAAGGACCUCCUCAGUCAAAUCCGAUUCAACUAAAGUUGGAGAAACUGACACUUGCCAGUCAUCUUUGAGCAACGGGGUUACUCGUAGCGAUGAAACCAGUCUCUCGUAAGCGUACGAGUAAUGUCGGUCCAAGCCGCUUCAAUCCAACAAUACCGCGGAAUCAAGAAAAGACUAAGGAGGGCAGCAAAACGCACAUCACCACCCAAAAAACUUUUUUGUUCUACUCGGGAAGACAUCUACGCAUGAACCUAGCUCCUAAUGCCACUGUUGGAAAACGUCGCAUGGGAAACAAAAAUUUUCCUACGCGCACGAAGACUUAUCAUGGUGGUGUCCAUCUACGAGAGGGGAUUUCCGAUCUAUGUACCCUUGUAGAUCGCACAGCAGAAGCGUUAAGAAACGCGGUUGAUGUAGUGGAACGUCCUCACGUCCCUCGAUCCGCCCCGCGAACCGUCCCGCGAUCAGUCCCACGAUCUAGURCCGAACGGACGGCACCUCCGCGUUCAGCACACGUACAGCUCGACGAUGAUCUCGGCCUUCUUGAUCCAGCAAGAGAGACGGAGAGGUAGAAGAGUUCUCCGGCAGCGUGACGGCGCUCCGGAGGUUGGUGAUGACCUUGUCUCAGCAGGGCUCCGCCCGAGCUCCGCAGAAACGUGAUCUAGAGGUAAAAACCGUGGAGGUAUGUGGUCGGGCUGCCGGGGAAAAGUCGUCUCAAAUCAGCCCUAAAACCUCCGUAUAUAUAGGUGGGAGRCAGGGGAGCCUUGCCUUGGGGCUCAAGGAGCCCCAAGGGGGUCGGCCGRGUCCAAGGGGGGGAAGGCUCCCCCCCCCCGAAMCCGAGUUGGACUUGGUUUGGUGGGUGGGAGUCCUUCCUUCCCUUCCCACCUCCCUUUUUUCUCUUUGAUUUUUCUUUCUAUUGCGCAUAGGGCCCUUUUGGGCGGUCCCACCAGCCCACUAAGGGCUAGUGCGCCACCCUCAUGACCAAUGGGCUUCCCCGGGGNNNNNNNNNNNNNNNNNNNNNNNNNNNNNNNNNNNNNNNNNNNNNNNNNNNNNNNNNNNNNNNNNNNNNNNNNNNNNNNNNNNNNNNNNNNNNNNNNNNNUCCGAGACGUCGGAUCGUGAUCGUUACCGACUCGGACUCUUCCACCCAGCCGUCUUUAUAAGCACGCGAUCGCCUACCCUAGCCGUCACGAAAUCAGAUCACAUCUGCCUCACGCGUUCGUUCCUUGAACUGCUGCUGCCGCCGGCGACUCCGUCCCGUUUACCGCGUACACGGUCGACGGGAGAGCAGGCCUCCGAAACCUCGCCUCUCCGGUUCCUGUACGGGAGAGGGGCGAUUAGGUUUUUGGGGAGCGAUCACGCGACUGCUCGCCUCCGUCCGUCUGCUUCGUCUACGUCCGCGUCGCCCUCGUCAUCGCCAUGUCUUCACCAAGCGAAGCUGAUCGUCUCCGCGAGGAAGCCGAAAAGAAGACGGCAGAGGAUACUGCCGCCGCCGCCGCUGCUGCUGCUACGGCCAACUGGCCGAUUGGAGGGUAUGACUCGUUUAUCCUCUUGUUCGUAUUUAUUCUAGCAGUACUACUUGUUUGCAUAGAUGUAUCCACUAUAUGCGUAGUAUGUGCUAGGUUAGCUCAACAUCAGUAUGUCAUUAGUCUAGUCAAUGCCAUGCUAGUUAUUAUUUUGUGGAUUAAUCUACUCGGAAAAUUGCCUAUUUACUCAACACUUCAUUCACGCAUUUCCGUUGGACGUGUGACUUGCACGUCUGCAUAAUUUCCAAUUAGACGGCGUCGAUGGUCGUCGGUCACGUCGUCACCGUGACACCGCCCUAAAGAGCCGGAUAAAACAACGCUAUGCGAGUUUUUAUGUCACACCUUGUAGUUAGGCAUUGUUGAUCCUUGAAACACCUUUUUCUAAGCGUUGUUGAGUCUCAACACACAUGUUCUCCACGCAUUGAUAAAAACGUAACCGGAUCAUCUGGUUUUCUAUCUGUGGCUUCAUUAUCUCGAUUACCCGUCGUACAUACUGACGCUUUUUAAUUGCGAGAGCAUUUGACAUAUUUAACAUGCGUUAGAUCAUCUGAUAUUGUGUAGGGGUAUCAUUACUCACAGAGUAGUCAAAUGAAUCGGUGUCUUUCGUCUGUUUAAAUAUUGUUGCAUUUCACUAGUGGAAAACACACCUUUCGUAUGGAGCUUUAGUCCCGGUCUGGUUUGGGCCCGGGACUAAUGUGAGCAUUAGUCCCGGUUCCAAUGGCUAGGAACGGACGGGGGGCACAACCACCUUUAGUCCCCAUGGAAAUGGGACCUUUAGUUCCGGUUGGUGAUAUCAACCCCGAACUAAAGGGGUUGCGGCAGGCUGGGGCCACUGCGAGCCCCUUUAAUCCUGGUUGGUAUCAUCAACCUAGACUGAAUAUAGACCUUUAGUCCUGGUUGGUGAUACCAACCGAGACUAGAGUCUUCCCUAUGUAAAGCUCUGCUUCUUCCAGCCUGAAUCCAAGCUUUCUUUCCUCUUUGUUUCAUUCCUUCCCCAAGCUCGAGUUCAUCCUCCAUUUUCUCGAGAUUUGUCAAGAUUGACGGCUCCCCAUCUAUCCAAGUGUUCUAAAAGGUUAGCAACUUCAUCCUUUCAUCUAUCAUUGCUAUUUUAGCUUGUUUCAUACUCUAUAAGUAUAGUGAUUUGCUGGUUUUAGUUUCAUGUUGCUCGUAUCGUUCUGCUGAUCAACUUUCAUGUUGAAAAUAUUUUGAUCUGACUUACGGUUUAUUUAUUAUCAAUUAUUUUAAAGUUUUAUUCAAUAUUUAGGAAUUAACAGAUUUAAUUAUAUUAGAUAAUUAAAUAUGACAUCACGCUGAUGUCAGCACGACAACAGCAGUCAACAGGGGUUGACUGGUCAGAUAUGGCCAGCGGGACCCAUCUGUCAUAGACAUAGGGUUAACAAAUGUUUAUUAUUAACUAAAAUAGGUUAUUUUAGCAGGGAAGGCCCACAUGUCAUACCCAACAUAAAUAAUUUAACUCAUAGAUUUGAUUUAAUUAAAUUAGGUUUAGUUAACCAAAUCAGUUAUCCAAUUUAAUUAUUCUAUUUAAUUAAGCACGUUAAGCACACAUUUGAUUAGACUAACUAAUUAACUUACUAAUUAGUCACUUUAAAAUAAUUUAAUAAAUAAUUUCAUUAAUUAAUUAAAUUAUAAUUCACAUAUUGUUUUAUUAAUUUAUAUUGUUGUCCUAACAUAUUUUUGGAUGGGGGGGGUCCCCACUUGUCAUUGUGUGAGUGAGAGGGGGAUUAGCCCCUAGCUUAAUCAAGGCCGGCCCUAGCCGUGGUUGUGCCCGCGAGCGCCAUGGGAGGCCACAGCAAGAAGGUCCCGCCCGUAUGCAGGAGCCCGGGAAGGCGCCCACAAGGACGAAGCGGGACUGCGGCGGGAGGCAACAGUGAGUCGGGCAUGGGAGCAGAUUCAGCUGGGCGUGCGCGACAAAAGGGGGGCAAUGCACGGUGCGGCUAGCGGGGCACAGGGCAUCGGAGGAGCUCGCCGGAGUGGCGAGGCACUGCAGUGCCAAGUUGGCCGAGCCGAAGGGGGAGAGGAGGAGUGACAGGAGGAGCCCAAGGAUCACCAGCAUUGUAGUGGUAGCAGAGGCGCGAGGAGGCGCGAGGUGGUGGUCCAGUGAUGGCCGGCGCGAGUGGGGCGAGGGAGAGGCGCCAGGGGAGAGGAUCUGGUGCGGGGUGGCCCAGGGCAGGGCGCCGCAGCGUCGUCGGCGUGGCCUUGGUGGGUGGAGGCGGCGAGGUCGGUCGGUGGCGAUGGGAGGACCCGGCCGGCAUGGGGCUGAAGGAGGCUGUAGGAGGAUGGGGUCGCCGAAGGGCCGGUCAUGCCCGGAGGGCGACAUACCCGACGUGGGGCUGGCCCUAGCGCGGCAGGGAGCGGGGCAGGGCCAGAGCUAGGAUGUGAUAACCUACAAGUAUAGGGGAUCACAACAGUUUUCCAGGGUAGAGUAUUCAACCCAAAUUUCUUGAUUUGACACAAGGGGAAGCCAAAGAAUAUUCUCAAGUAUUAGCAGUUGAGUUGUCAAUUCAUCCACACCUGAAAGAUUUAGUAUCUGCAGCAGAGUAUCAGUAGCAGAGUAGUGUGAUAGCAAGAGUAGCAACAGUAACCAAUAGCAAUAGUGACAGCAGUAGUGACAGAGUACCAGUAGCAGCAGCAGCAAAGUAACGGAGCAAGGAUCAGUAGGAAAAGACUCGUAGGCAUUGGAUCGGUGAUGGAUGAUUAUGCCGUAUGAUAUUCAUCAUGCAGCUGUUAUAACACGGAGAGAUAUGUAACUAGCACCAGUUCGUCAAUGUAAUGUAGGCAUGCAUUCCGUAUAUAGUCAUACGUGCUUAGGGAAAAGAACUUGCAUGACAUCUAUUGUCCAUCCCUCCCGUGGCAGCGGGGUCCUAAUGGAAAAUACGAGAUAUUAAGGUUCUCCUUUUAAUAGAGAACCGGAAGAAAGCAUUAGCACUUAGUGAAUACAUGAACUCUUCAUACUAUGGUCAUCUCCGGGAGUGGUUCCGCCUAUUGUCACUUUGGGGUGAUCGGGUCAUAACAUAUUGUAGGUGACUACAACUUGCAAGAUAGGAUCAAGAACACACAUAUAUUGACGAGAACAUAAUAGGUUCAGAUCUGAAGUCAUGGCACUCGGGCCCUAGUGACAAGCAUUAAGCAUAGCAAAUUAGUAGCAACAUCAAUCUCAGAACAUAGUGGAUACUAGGGAUCAAUCCCCAUCAAAACUAACUCGAUUACAUGAUAGAUCUUAUCCAACCCAUCACCGUUCAGCAAGCCUACAAUGAGAUUACUCACGAACGAUGAAGAGCAUCAUGGAAUUGGCGAUGAAGGAAGGUUGGUGAUGAUGAUGGCGACGAUCUCCCCUCUCCGGAGCCCAGAACGGACUCCAGGUCUGCCCUCCAGAGGAAGAACAGGAGGUGGCGGCGCCUCCGUAUCGUCAAACGCAAUGAAUUAUUCUCCUUUAUUUUUUUCCGGACGAAAGGGACUAAAUAAAUCUGGAGUUGGAGGCGGUGGAGCUCCGUGGGCCCCACAAGCCUGCCAGGCGAGGCCAGGGGGCCCGCGCCUGGUGGGCUUGUGGGCUCCACGCUCCACCUCUUCGGUUGAUUCUUGCGCCAGUAUUUUUUAUAUAUUCCACAAAAAAUCCUCGUAAAUUUCUAGGUCAUUCCGAGAACUUUUAUUUCUGCGCAAAAACAACACCAUGGCAAUUCUGUUGAAAACAUUGUUAGUCCGGGUUAGUUCCAUUCAAAUCGUGCAAAUUAGAGUCCAAAACAAGGGCAAAAGAGUUUGGCAAAGUAGAUACGACGGAGACGUAUCGGAGUGGUAGCGAAGAGCGGAGCCGAGGGAAGAUGGGGGUCUGGCGCGUGAGGCUCGCGUUGGGAACGACGAGGGGAGGGAGAGUGGCGGCGCUAGUGGGGGAAGUGGGGAGGGCUGUGGGUGGUUAGGGUUAGGAGGGGGGGGUUAAAUACCCCCCGGUUAGGUGGGUUGGCUGGGCCGGUUGGCCCAGUUUGGCCGGGGAGGCAUUCCCCCUUUUUUUUAUUUCUCUUUUAYUUUUUUUCUAUUUGUUUUAGUUUUAUUUACUUUACUUUUUUGUUUUUUUAAACAAGAGUAUUUUAGUCUUAUAAAACAUGGAACUUGCGUCAUUUACUAUAAUGCAUUAUUAGGAACUAUCACAAAAAGGUUUGUGAUUUAAUUGAUGCGGUUUGGAAUUGAUAUAGUUUAUAAGCACAUUAGAAUAUUGUUUAGACCUCUGUUUUAAUUAUUUUGAGGCACUUAGACACUCAAAAAAAUGUUGGCUUCAGUUUUAUAAUUACUAGGAGAACAUUUCUAACCUAAACAUGAUUUUUAUUUUAUAGUUUGAAGAAAUAAUUUAUUUGACUUAAAUUUUAAUUUUAAUUUAGUUUUGGCUUUCCAAUUGGAAAUUUGGCUUAGUUAAUCUUGAUGACACGGCACCAUUAGCGUGUAAUUACUGUAGCCUAACUACAUUAACUACUGUAGCUUAAUCCGAGGAUGUCAGAACUCUCCCCUACUAACAAGAAUUCUCGUCUCGAGAAUUAAGAGGUAGAAGGAAUGAGCUCGGGGUAUUCAUCAUGAAGAUGAUCCCCGCGUUCCCAAGUGGCUUCAUCUUUAGAAUGAUUUGACUACUGCACUUUAAGGAACUUGGUGACUUUGCGACGAGUCUGACGUUCAACCUGGUCGAGAAUGCGAACCAGAUGCUCUUUAAACGAGAGGUCUUGUUGCAGCUCAAGCAUAUCAUGAUCCACUGCUCGAAUAGGAUCCUCGAAGCAGCGGUGGAGCUGAGACACAUGGAAUACAUCGUGUACCUGAGAAAGGUUUGCUAGCAGUUCCAGUUGAUAAGCUACUUUUCCAUGCCUUUCGAGAACAAUGAAAGGAUCAAUAUAGCGAGGAGCUAACUUGCCCUUGAUCCCAAAAUGGUGUGCACCUCUCAUUGGUGUGACACGAAGAUAAGCCUUUUCGAUAGGUUGAUAGACGGUAUCUUGAUGACGACAGUCAUACUGACUCUUCUGACGAGACUGAGCAGCCUUCAGAUUCUCAUGAAUAAUGCGGACUUGAUCUUUGGCAUGUUGAAUAAUAUCUGGACCGAAGUGUGAUCGGUUCAAUGAACGGUGGCUUUGGAAUUUCAUACGAAGCCAAGUGUACGGGAUACCUUGGAGUCAAAGAUGUACAAGAGAGUCAGGUUUCAAUCCUGUGGAACUUUGCGUUAUGGGUCCACCAUGUGAACCGAGAGUAGGCAGAGCGGUGGCAUCUUAUACGGCCUUGGUAGCAAUACAUGUCAGAGGAUAACCUGUCAGUUAUGUUGGCAACAACGUCGGUACCAAGGGCGGGGAACGACUAGAACCAUUUUCCUGCUCGUUGCAACGAGGCGGACCAAUAUGCAAGGCUCUCGUCCACUGGCGGCUACCGGAAUGUUAUCCAUUAUAGUAACAGGGUCUUAUUGACAGAGUUGUAUACCGAGAUUUUUUUACCUAAGCAGGGAAUUAACACUUCUUUGAUAAGUAAUGCCACAAGAAAGGUCAAACAGACCAAUGGGAAAGAAAAUGUGUUACCACACAUGUAUUAAAGUAUACCAUUCCCGAGGAAAAAUAGGGUAUGGUAUACAUGAUUAGUCAUCAAGUACGUAACCUUUUAGAUAAAGAUGCAAGAAAAAUCAUGAUGUUCACCCGUACCAUACGGUUUGGAUAAUUGAUCAAGAACAAUUUAGCAUUACGUUUCCAAUGUUCUUGUUGAGAUUUGAAGUACCGCAUCCGUGCUUCGGGGUAAUAUCGACAUGGUCAUCAGCUAAAGGCCGGACCAAUGGGUACACAAAGAGGAUCCAUGAUGAACAACUUAUGAAAUAAGUCAUAUAGUUUCUGCAUGGUAGAAUGGCUAACCUUAUGUAUGAAGAAUUUAUAACAAUAGGUCCUUCGGCCCGGUGUGUUGGAAAGAGAGCACCGUACCGGUUUACCUAAGGACCAAAGUUAUAAUUAUUGGGAAAUGUUCCAACCAUCAUAUAUGUCCGAGAUUCAGAUCUAAUUGGUGUCGGGACACCUCAGACUCAAGAUGCCUAAGAAGAAAGAUGAAGAUGCAAGAUUCUCAUGAUAUGAGCUACACAAGCAAUUCUUGAAUCAUGAGUUCGACUGUAAGACAUAUGAACACAAUGUCAAGACAUUCAUGCCCACAUAGAAUUCCUACGUCAAAAUGCCAUUGAGUUGUCAUUUGGAAAACAUCAUCGAGGAUAACAAGGUUCCAUGUGUAAGCCUGGAUUGGAUCUUAUGAAAGAACUUCUUUUCCUUGAUCAAAUCAGUCAAUAGCUUGGCAUGCUAAGAGAAGUUAUAUGAAGUGAAGAUAACAAAUCUUCAAAACAUAUAACACUUCGCACAUGCGUGAAUGAUUUGGUAUUUCCCGAGAAGAAGCGAAACAAAACUUUCACAUAUUCACGGCGGCAAGAGUUCAUGUGAACUUUGGGAAAUACACUUCUUCUAUCCAACAUAUUCUUCAUGAGCUGGGCACAAGGAUAAUGCUUUCAAGAGCUUCAUCAUGGAACAUGGAGAAGUUGAGGGUGUGGCUGAUGGGCUCAGCAACAAUCCCUCAAGAUUUUGACAGGGAUGAAUUUCCAAAAUUAUAACAUCAAGGAGAUAACAUUUGUCAAGUCAAAUGGUAUAAUGUUGUAUGCUUGAGGGAACAACAACAAUUAAACAUUGGUCGAAGGGUGCACUCGGAAAUACGGGCAGAGUAGCACAACCAAUGUCCAAAAUGAUGAGUCAACACCCAACACAUUAAGAAUGAAACAAUCAGUUGUUAACCUCAAGGCAAUAGGGUUGCCAGAAGUAUUGGGAUCACACAUCAGAGUUCAUUUGUUGGUAUUCCGGUUUGAAAUAACACUGGACCAAGAAAUGAAUGGUGAUGACGAGAAGUAUUACUAUAUCAAGAAUUCUUAAGAGGGACAAUGAUCCUCACAACAUUCUUGACAUAAAGAUGGUAAUACUCCAAGGUAGAAGAUAACAUAAUUUGCAUAGCAAGGAACUUAAGGGACAACACAAAACAUGAACAAGUUUGUGUUGGAGGGAAGUCAAUAAGGUUGACGAUGAUUUCACAAAUCAUCGAGGGGCAAGGAUGGUAUUCCUCAACAUGUAUUCGAUUGAUACCCUGCAAGAGAUCGGGAUGCUGAUGAUGAUCACGACACCUUUGUCGAGAAGCUUCACAAAGAUGUCAUCGUUCAGCGACGACAUCAAGGAAGGGAAUGAUGAAGCAAGGGGUUGCCGAAAUCACAAAUAAGUCUACUAGCUCCGAAUUAAAAUUGCUUUUCAAAACAACCAACAUGGUAUUGAAAACCCGAUGUAAGCUUAUCGCAUAGUCGGAAAUGUGCUCGAGGGAUGGAGGACAUAGAUAGCAUGGUCAAGCUUUCACAUGACGAUGAUGUUGUAGCUUAAUGCUACGGCAACAAAAGUCCUUCCUUGGCGCUAGGAAUUCUUCUUGUUACUUCUCUGGUUUGCGUCGGUUUUUCCCUUGAAGAGGAAAGGGUGAUGCAACACAGGAGCAGUAAGUAUUUACCUCAGUUUGAGAACCAAGGUAUCGAUCCAGAAGGAGGGCCUCGUCAAGUCCAGAGUACCUGCGCAUACACAAACAAGCUUGCACCCAACGCUUCAAAGGGGUUGUCAAUCCCUUCAAUAUUGUUUGCAAAGUGAGAUCUGAAGGCGGAAAGUGCAACGAAAUAAAAAGUGUAAGGCUGAAAAUGUGAUGUGCAGUAGACCCUGGGGGCCAUAGUGUUCACUAGAGGCUUCUCUCAUAAUAGCAAAUAUCACGGUGGCUGAACAAAUUACUGUUGAGCAAUUGAUAGAACCGUGCAAAGUCAUGAUGAUAUCUAAGGCAAUGAUCAUGCAUAUAGGCAUCACGUCCGAGACAAGUAGACCGUUACUUUCUGCAUCUACUACUAUUAGUCCACACAUCGACCGCUAUCCAGCAUGCAUCUAGUGUAUUGAGUUCAUGACGAACAUAGUAACGCUUUAAGCAAGAUGACAUGAUGUAGAGGGAUAAUCUCAAACCAAUGAUGAAAACCCCAUCUUUUUACCCUUGAUGGCAACAACACGAUGCGUGCCUCGCUACCGCUUCUGUCACUGGGUGAGGUCACCGCACGGUAUGAACCCAAAACCAAGCACUUCUCCUAUUGCAAGAAUCAUAGAUCUAGUUGGCCAGACCAAACCCACAAGUCGAAGAGAAUUACAAGAAUAUUAAAUCAUGCAUAAGAGAGAUCAGAAGAAACUCAAAUAAGAUUCAUAGAUAAUCUGAUCAUAAAUCCACAAUUCAUCGGAUCUCGACAAACACACCGCAAAAGAAGAUUACAUCGGAUAGAUCUCCAUGAAGAUCAUGGAGAACUUUGUAUUGAAGAUCCAAGAGAGAGAAGAAGCCAUCUAGCUACUAGCUAUGGACCCGUAGGUCUAUGGUGAACUACUCACGCAUCAUCGGAGAGGUCAUGGUGUUGAUGAAGAAGCCCUCCAUAUCCGAAUCCCCCCUCCGGCAGGGCACCAGGAUGUGCCCCAGAUGGGAUCUUGCGGAGACAGAAGCUUGCGGCGGCGAAAAAGCGAUUGCGAUGAUCUCUUGAUUUUUUUUGGGAAUAUUUGGGAAUAUAUAGACGCAAGACCUAGGUCAGGGGACCUCCAGGGGGCCCACAAGCUUGGAUGGCGCGCCCCCUGGCCACGGGGUGGGGUCUUGUGGGGCCCCUGGAGCUCCUGGAGCUCCUGGUUUGGCUCCCAAGUUCUCCGAUCUUCUUCCGUUCCAGAAAAAAUCUUUUUGGGGAUUUUCUUCCGUUUGGACUCCGUUUCAAAAUCUCCUCCGAAAGGGGUCAAAAACAUGGAAAAAACAGGAACUGGCACUUGGCACUGAGUUAAUAAGUUAGUCCCAGAAAAUAAAUAAAAAGCAUGCAAAACAUCCAAAGUUUGACAAGAUAAUAGCAUGAAACCAUCAAAAAUUAUAGAUAUGUUGGAGACGUAUCAAGCAUCCCCAAGCUUAACUCAUGCUCGUCCUCGAGUAGGCAAGUAAUAAAGAAUGAAUUUUUGAUGUGGAAUGCUACCUAGCAUAUUUGUCCUUUGCAACUUCUUUCACGUGGCAUGAAUGUUCAGAUCCGUAAGAUUCAAAACAAUAGUUUGCUAUUGACAUGAAAACAAUAAUACUUCAAGCAAACUAGCAAAGUAAUCAUGAACUUUCAAAAUAACAAGGCCAAAGAAUGUUAUCCCUACAAAAUCAUAUAGUCUGGCUAUGCUCCAUCAUCCUCACACAACUAAUGUAAAUCAAGCACAACCCCGAAAUUGGCCAAGUAAUUGUUUUCACACUCUUACUUUCUCAAACUUUUUAUAACUAUCACGCAAUACAUGAGCGCGAGCCGUGGAUAUAGCACUAUAGGUGGAAUAGAGUGUGGUGGUGGUUGUGAGACAAAAAGGAGGAGAUGGUCACAUUGACUCGGCAUAUCAAUUGGCUAUGGAGAUGCCCAUUAAUAGAUAUAAAUAUGAAUGAGUAGGGAUUGCCACACAAGAGAUGCACUAGAGCUAUUAGUAUGUGAAAGCUCAAGAGGAGAACUAGUGGGUGUGCAUCCAACUUGCUUGCUCACAAAGACCUAGGGAAAUUUUGAGGAAGCCCAUCAUUGAAAUAUACAAGACAAGUUAUAUAACGAAGAUUCCCACUAGCAUAUGGUAGUGACAAAGCAAGAAGCUCUCAAUCAUGAAGAACAUGGUGCUAUCAUGAAGCACAAGUUUGGAAAAAGAUAGUAGCAUUGUCCCUUCUCUCUUUUUCUCUUUUUUUAUUUUGGAUCUUAGGCCUCUUUUUUAUUUUAUUUUAUUUUCUCUUUUUUUGGGCUCUUUGGCCUCUUUUCUUUUUAAUUUCCUCACAUGGGACAAUGUUGUAAUAAUGAUGAUCAUCACACUUUUAUUUACUCACAGCUCAAAGAUCACAAUGAUGACGACUCCAUAGGAAAUGCCUCCGGCAGUGUACCGGGAUGUGCAACGAUCUACCAUGGCGUAUGACGUUGAAACAUCUCGCUAGCUAUCUUACGAUCAUGCAAUGGCAAUAUGAGAGUGACGCCACAAGUCAUGAGACGGACGGUGGGAGUUGCAUGGCAAUAUAUCUCAGAAUGGCUAUGAAAAUGCCAUAGUAGGUAGGUAUGGUGGCUGUUUUGAGGUAGGAAUUUGGUGGGUUUGUGCACCGGCGAGAAUUGCGCGGCACUAGAGAGGCUAGCAAUGGUGGAAGGUGAAAGUGCAUCUAUACCAUGCCCUAACAUUACUCAUGAAGAACUCACAUACUUAUUGCGAAAGUUUUUAUUAGUAAUCGAAACAAAGUGCUAAACACAUACUCCGAGGGGAAGGGUUGGUAGGUGUAAACCAUCGCACGAUCCCGACCUCAACACAAAGGAUGACAAUCAAUAGAUCAAUUAUGCUCCGACUUCCUAACAUAGUGGUUCACCAUACGUGCAUGCUACGGGAAUCACUAACUUCAACACAAGUAUUUCGAGAUUCACAACACCCUACUAACAUAACUCUCAAUAUUACUGAAUCCAUGUCUCAAAACUAAUUGAGAGGAAUAAAAACUUCUCUUACUACUCAAUGCACAUGAAGAUGGAGGUUUUUGCAUCCUCUUUGGGUACCUAGCACAUUUGGGACUACUUUCAUAGCAUAAGCCAACUACCAAAUCAUGCACCGCCGUGCUCUAAAGAUAUAAGUGAAGCACAAGAGCAAAAUUAUCUAGCUCAAAAUAUAUAAGUGAAGCACUAGAGCAAAAGUAUCUAGCUCAAAAGAUAUAAGUGAAGCACUAGAGCAAAAUUAUCUAGCUCAAAAGAUAUAAGUGAAGCACUAUGAGCAUUCUACCAAAAUCACGAUGAGUGCAUGUCUCUCUCUCUCAAAAAGGUGUGCAGCAAGGAUGAUUGUGACACAAAAAAAAGAAAAGACUCCUAAGAUAAAAGAGACUCCAAGCAAAACACAUAUCAUGUGGUGAAUAAAAAUAUAGCUCCAAGUAAUGUUACCGAUGGAUUGAAGACGAAAGAGGGGAUCCCUUCCCGGGGCAUCCCCAAGCUUAGGCUUUUUGGUGUCCUUGAAUUUGGCUUGGGAUUCCUUGGGCAUCCACAAGCUUGAGCUCUUUCCACUCCUUAUAUCUUUGUCCAUGAGAACAUCACCCAAAACUUGAAAUCUUCACAACACAAAACUUAAAUAGAAACUUGUGAUAACAUUAGUACAAGAAAACAAACUACCACUUCUUUUGGUACUGUAGAAAACUUGAAUUCCAUCCAUAUUGAUGAUGGGCUACUGUAUUCUGACUUUUACAUGGCUAGUACCCCCAUAUACUAACCAUAGUUUCAUCAAAACAAGCAACCAACUCAACAACAACAGAAUUUGUCAAAAACAGACUAGUCUGUAGCAAUCUGUAUACUUCGUAUACUUCUGGUACCUCACAAAAUCUGAAAAAUUUCGACGGCCUGGGGAGAAAGCAUAUAAAUCAGCAUAAAAAAGAAUCAACUCAAAAUCUAUUUGUGAACAAAAAUGAAAAAUCAUCUCGUGAGCGAAAAGUUUCUGUCUUUUUCCAGGAGGAUCAAACAACCAUUACCGAGACUAGUCAUAAAGGUUUUGCUUGGCUCAAACACAAAAAGAAACAUAUAAAACACAAUCACAACAGAAUUAUGAAAGUGUGGACGCAUAAAACAGAAAGAAAAAGGUUCAUUGGGUUGCCUCCCAACAAGCGCUAUUGUUUAAUGCCCUUAGCUAGGCAUAGGAGCGAUAGAAUCACAUAUCGUCGUCUUUGGUGCUCAUACCAUAAGUGUCCCUCAUCAUGGAUUCAUAAGGCAAUCUUAUUUUAUUUCUAGGAAAGUAGUCCAUGCCCUUCCUUAAAGGAAAUUGAAAUCUAAUAUUUCCUUCCUUCAUAUCGAUUAUAGCACCAAUAGUCCUUAGGAAAGGUCUACCAAGAAUAAUAGGGCAUGUAGGAUUGCAAUCAACGUCAAGCACAAUGAAAUCCACGGGUACAUAGUUCCUAUUUGCAAUAAUAAGAACAUCAUUGAUCCUUCUCAUGGGUUUCUUGAUAGUCGAAUUAGCAACAUGCAAAUUAAGAGAACACUCUUCAAUCACAUUGAAACCCAGAACAUCACAUAAAGACUUUGGAAUCGCAGAAACACUAGCACCCAAAUCACAUAAAGCAUUGCACUCAUCGUUUUUUAUUUUGAUAUUGAUGGUAGGUUCCCACUCAUCAUGAAGCUUUCUAGGAAUAGAGACCUCCAAUUCAAGUUUCUCUUCAAGAGCUUUUAUCAUAGCUUCGACGAUAUGAUCGGUAAAGGCUUUUUUUGGCUAUAAGCGUGUGGAGAGUUCAACAUGGAUUGCAUAAAAGAAAUGCAUUCAAUAAAUGAGAAACUAUCAUAAUUGAAUUUCUUGAAAUCCAUGGUAGUGAUUUCAUUACUACUCAAAGUUUUAACGUCUUCUACUCCACUUUUAAUGCUUUUAGCAUCAAGAUAGAUGGACUCCGAAUCCUUGGGGCACUUUUCAACCAAAGUGGAUUCAUAUCCAGCCCCAUAAUCAUUAGGUUUGACACAAGAAAACAAAGAUUCAAUGGGAGUCACACCAAGCACUUUAAGAUCUUCGUGACUCUCAUCACGAGAACACGCCUUUUUAAGCCAUUCAUGUCUAGCACGAAUUUGGGCGGUUCUUUCUUGGCUCUCAAUCAUGGAAACACGCAUAGCUUUCAAAGUUUCAUCCAUGUUGAUUUUUGGAGGAGCACAUCUCACUUUCAAAGCAUCAACAUCACAAGAAAUCCUAUCCACGCUCUUAGCCAAAUUGUCAAUUUUGAGUAGUUUUUCCUCUAGGGACGCAUUGAAAAUCUUUUGAGAGUUGAUGAACUCUUUGAUAUUACUCUCUAGAUCAGAGGGUAAUCUAUUGUAAUUUCCAUGAAUAUUGUUGUAGGAGUUGCCAAAGUUAUUAGAGGAGUUCCUAGGAAAAGGCCUAGGAAUAUAGUUUGCUCUAAAGGCAUUGUUGUUGCCAAAGUUAUUCCUACCAACAAAAUUAACGUCCAAGCUAGCAUUGCUACUCUCAAUCAAAGAAGACAAAGGCAUAUCAUUAGGAUCCAAAGGAGCACUUCUACUAGCAACCAAAUUCAUUAACUCAUCCAUCUUAGCACUCAACGAGUUAAUUUCUUCUAUAGCGUGUACCUUCUUACUAGUAGGUGACCUUUCCUAACGUGAUUUCCACUGAGAGUAGUUUGUCAUGAUGUUGUCUAAGAGCUUUGUGACUUCUCCUAACGUGAUUUCCAUGAACGUUCCACCUGAGGCGGAGUCCAAGAUAUUCCUAGAAGCGAAAUUCAAGCCAGCAUAAAAGAUUUGAAUAAUCAUCCAAAGAGUCAAGCCAUGAGCGGGACAAUUUCUAAUCAUUAAUUUCAUUUUCUCCCAAGCUUGUGCAACAUGUUCAUGAUCAAGUUGCUUGAAAUUCAUGAUAUCAUUACGAAGAGAGAUGAUCUUAGCCAGCAUAAAGUACUUGGAUAUAUAAGCAUCUUUGCACUUAUCCCAAGAAUCGAUAGUAUUUUUGGGCAAAGAGGAAAACCAAGUUUUUGCGCGAUCUCGCAACGAGAAAGGAAAAAAGCUUCAAUUUAAUCACGUCAUUAUCCACAUCUUUUUUCUUUUGAAUAUCGCAAAGCUCAAUGAAGGUAUUGAGAUGGGAUGCGACAUCUUCACUAGGAAGGCCAGAGAAUUUCUCUUUCAUAACAAGAUUCACCAAAGCAGCAUUGAUUUCGUAUGACUCCGCACUAGUGGCAGGAGCAAUCAGAGUACUAAUAAAAUCAUUAUUAUUAGUAUUCGAGAAGUCACAAAGUUUGGUGUUUUCGUUCAUGGUGACUUCUGCAAGCAAGCAAGCACACAAGCAAACAAAGAGGAGGCGAGAAAAAGGGAGAACGAAAGGGCGAACGAAAAGGCGAACGAAAAGGCGAACGAAAAAGGAAAAUUGGUGAAGUGGGGGAGAGGAAACGAGAGGCAACUGGCAAACAAAGUAAAUGCAAGAGAUGAGUUUGCGACACCUACUUGGAUGAGUUCUUUACUUGAUCUUCCUCCCCGGCAACGGUGCCAGAAAUUAUUGUGCUACAGCAACAAAAGUCCUUCCUUGGCGCUAGGAAUUCUUGUUCUUACUUCUCUGGUUUGCGUCGGUUUUUCCCUUGAAGAGGAAAGGGUGAUGCAGCACAGGAGCAGUAAAUAUUUCCCUCAGUUUGAGAACCAAGGUAUCGAUCCAGAAGGAGGGCCUCGUCAAGUCCAGAGUACCUGCGCAAACACAAACACGCUUGCACCUAAUGCUUCAAAGGGGUUGUCAAUCCCUUCAAGAUUGUUUGCAAAGUGAGAUCUGAAGGCGGAAAGUACAACGAAGUAAAAAUUGUAAGGCUGAAAAUAUGGUGUGGAGUAGACCCUGGGGGCCAUAGUGUUCACUAGAGGCUUCUCUCAUAAUAGCAGAUAUCAUGGUGGGUGAACAAAUUACUGUCGAGCAAUUGAUAGAAUCGCCCAAAGUCAUGACGAUAUGUAAGGCAAUGAUCAUGCAUAUAGGCAUCACGUUCGAGACAAGUAGACCGAUACUUUAUGCAUCUACUACUAUUACUCCACACAUCGACCGCUAUCCAGCAUGCAUCUAGUGUAUUGAGUUCAUGACGAACAGAUUAACGCUUUAAGCAAGAUGACAUGAUGUAGAGGGAUAAUCUAAAACCAAUGAUGAAAACCCCAUCUUUUUACCCUUGAUGGCAACAACACAAUUCGUGCCUCGCUACCCAUUCUGUCAUUGGGUGAGGUCACCGCAUGGUAUGAACCCAAAACCAAGCACUUCUCCCAUUGCAAGAAUCAUAGAUCUAGUUGGCUAGACAAAACCCACAACUCGAAGAGAAUUACAAGGAUAUGAAAUCAUGCAUAAGAGAGAUCAGAAGAAACUCAAAUAAGAUUCAUAGAUAAUCUGAUCAUAAAUCCACAAUUCAUUGGAUCUCGACAAACACACCGCAAAAGAAGAUUACAUCGGAUAGAUCUCCAUAAAGAUCAUGGAAAACUUUGUAUUGAAGAUCCAAGAGAGAGAAGAAACCAUCUAGCUACUAGCUAUGGACCCGUAGGUCUAUGGUGAACUACUCACGCAUCAUCGGUGAGGUCACGGUGUUGAUGAAGAAGCCCUCUGUAUCCGAAUCCCCCCUCCGGCAGGGCACCAGGACGUGCCCCAGAUGGGAUCUUGCGGAGACAGAAGUUUGCGGCGGCGGAAAAGCAAUUGCGAUGAUCUCUUGAUUUUUUUGGGAAUAUUUGGGAAUAUAUAGGCGCAAGACCUAGGCCAGGGGACCUCCAGGGGGCCCACAAGCUUGGAUGGCGCAGCCCCCUGGCCAUGGGGUGGGGGCUUGUGGGGCCCCUGGAGCUCCUCUCGCUUGGCUCCCAAGUUCUUCGAUCUUCUUCCGUUCUAGAAAAAAUCUUUUCGAGGAUUUCUUCCGUUUGGACUCCGUUUCAAAAUCUCCUGUGAAAGGGGUCAAAAACGUGGACAAAACAGGAACUAGCACUUGGAACUGAGUUAAUAAGUUAGUCCCAGAAAAUAAAUAAAAAGCAUGCAAAACAUCCAAAGUUUGACAAGAUAAUAGCAUGAAACCAUCAAAAAUUAUAGAUACGUUGGAGACGUAUCACUUAACAGCUUGGAAAGACAUGAUCGAGUACAAACUUAUAAGCAAGGAAUAUUACUAAGAUUUGUUGAAUCGUAGUGCAUACCCGAUUCAGUUAUCGAUGUCCUUGAGUAUCCAACAACUCAAACAUGAGGAAAUUGGAAUUAAUGAAAAUAUCAUAGUUGAUGAGGUGCUCACAAGAACUUAUGUAGCUCCGUGAUAUUCUCGGGAUACGAGGCAUAAUACUCGGAGGUAGAUCAACAUUAAAGCUUGGACCGAUGUAUUGAUCUGAAGAAGACAAGUACUUUAACUAUAAAAAUGAAAUCAAGGUAGGACAACAUGGCCGGAACCAUGGUUGCAAAGUACCAAACCACAGAUACGAGAUAAAAUCAUAGAAAGGAUGAUUAUUGAUACGAGAAGCUUAUAUGAUAGGAUCAACAUCGUUUCCAUGGGCAUGAACACAAAGUUCAAGGUUCACUCCCACUUCAUCAAUACAUCACAUGCCAUUUACUCCUUGACUUUGAUGAGGUUGUAUCUUGGGAAGAUUAUCUGGCAAAACACCAGAAGAGCAAGACUCGUGAAAACUCGUCGGAUCAUAUUGUUUCAUGCAGGCGUAGGUUCAACCCGUCGGGGCAUCUUAGGAACAUAUACCAAAAACUUCAAGAGUAAUUAACAUAUGCUUGAAGGGCAUGGCUGACAAAAGCAAAGUAUAGAACUUAUUAGAGGAAGAAGACACAAUUUACCAAUGACAUUAUGUAUAAGGGGAACAAUAUCCCAAGAAUUUAUGAAUGCAAAGGUUCCCAUCGGAUAAUAACCCAGAAUGAGUCUCGCAGUCCACAACAGAUUUGAUGUGAGUAUCGGUACUCAAUCAGAGGGGGUAAAACGCAAGGCAUGAGAUUAUAGAACAUCUGAAAAAUAUUGAUACUUAAUUAGCCAAGGAAUUAGGAUUUCGAGGUUGGUGUAUCUUAAUCAGAUGCUCCGAUGAAGUACAAGUAAGUUGAAUGGACUUAGAUGGACAACCAACCAAAGUUGAUUUGGCGAGAACCAGCUCUGUUUGAAAGGACGUCUAAGCCAGAAAAUAAUACAUGAGUAUCUGCAGAUGAUUGAGUGCAUUCACACAAAGGUAGAAUCAAUAAGAUCACAGGAAAUCACAAAGGAUUUUAAUGAAUGCUGCUAGACAUAUGGAUUUAACCAUAACACAAGCAGGUGAGAAAGGUCAAGAGGAAUAGGUUACCGGGAAUUCCGAAAGAUCGAAUAGUAAUUCGAAGAACUUUCGAAACCCAUGACAACUGAUGACGGACGACUCCCCGAUAAGAUAAUUCGUUGCAUCUCGUAAAACAAGAGCAAUCGGAAAGAAAGUAUGGACGGCAUUUGUAUGUCGUCAUCCAUAGGGGUUUAUGGAGGAAAAUAAUUCGCAGAAGCGAUGAGCAACAGCUCUUGAGGGAACAUGGGAGAGUAUCAGCAGUUCUUCUGACGGAUAAAGCAACCGUCUGGAAUACGGGGCUCUCCGGGAGGAAGUAUUUACGAGAACCUAAUGUUAGAGUCCGAAACAGAAGAGAGAGUAGAGCCCAGAGUAUAGGAAAGGAGUAAAAGAUACUAAUACCACCCGAUUGAGAUCUGGGCCCGUAACCCACAACAUGAGUGUUAGUAAAGUUUUUCAAGCACUAGACUCAACUUCGGCCAAGGAGUUGGAAAGGGGGCUAACUAUAGGCAGUCGGCUCUGAUAUCAACUUGUGACGCCCUCAAUUUAAUCAUACGCUAAUCAUACACGCAAAUGCAUACGAUCAAACUCAAGGACUCACGGGAAGAUAUCACAACACAACUCUAGUCACAAAUCAAACAAUACAAGCUUCAUAUUACAAGCUAGGGGCCUCGAGGGCUAGAAUACAGAAGCUCGAUAAACACACGAGUCAGCGGGAGCAACAAUAUCUGAGUAUAGACAUAAAACAAGGGGGUGCCUUAGAGAAGGCUAGCACAAAACAAACUCGAUCGAACGAGGCGAGGCCUCCUGCCUGGGAACCUCCUAACUACUCCUGGUCUUCAGGGGCCUCCAUGAAGAAGACACCAUUGGGGGGCAGACGUUGGCAGGAAAUCUCCUGGGCUUCAUUAUCUUGUCGCAACAACGGAUCAAGGGGAGAAAGGGGAGCAAAGCAACGGUGAGUACUCAUCCAAAGUACUCACAAGACUUAUAUCAGAACUAUGCUAAGUAUGCAUCAGUAUCAAAGAAAGGGGUUUAAUAUGUGGACUGAUUGCAGCAAUGCAAGAAUAGGCCUAGAGAAUGCCUAGUCCUAGCGAAGACUAGCAUCUUCACGGGUCUUGCAGCAAUAGACGAGAGUAGAAGAAGGUAACACAAGUAAUAGUCAUAUUGUUGCAGCAAUAUUAAUAUGAGGUUACGCCUAGAGAUCCUUCCUCGACUCCCUGCCAGGAAGCAAUCCCAGGGCAACUAAAUCCAGUUAAGUAACAGUUGUAGUUGUAUAAGAUUAGGGCACAACUCUAAGUUGUCGAAUAACCUUGGACACGGCUAUCCGAAUAGUUAAUUUUCAUCCCUGCAGGGGUGCACCAAGUUUCCCGUCAAGCUCCAUAACACUCUGGCCGGACACACUUUUGGGUCAUGCCCGACCUCGAAAAAUCCACACGUCGCAACCCCACCUAAGCUCAGUAGAGAGGCCAUCCCGCCAGUAUAACUCCUAAGCACAAAGGGUUCAUGGGCCCACUUGCCCUCCGCGCUCCUGCAUGAUGCGUGGGCGGCUGAUGUCAAUCCUAGAACCCCUUAAUACAAGAGGAUGCAUCUCGGGACCGCACGGGCGUGCGCCGCUCCAUCGCUGACGUCUGAAGAGCUUCGGCUCAUACCACGACGUGGAGUACCCAUAAUUCUUCCCGCGUAGCCGGUUAGUGCGAAAAGGUCUCCGACCAACCCAGAUCAAAAACCCAAAUCCAUUAUCAAUUUAAUUAAGUCCUCGACACAAACACGCGGGAAAUCACCCGCCUAACAUAUAUUCAUCAAAGAUCCCAGUAACAUGGUCAAGUAACUGUGUGGUAGAAACAUCAGGGGGAAUCCGAGGUAUCACCCUCGUUGGAUUCUGAACGAUGUAUCCAUCAAGGUGGACCUAGAGGAAUCACCCUCGAGGGUCCCACACUUAAGUGGUUGCACGACAAAGACAUCGUCGGGAAUGGUGAAAGAGGAAUCACUCUCGAUAACCACGACCGACUAGCUACAAUACAGAGGAUUCAUCAUGAGUAGUUCGCGAGGUGUUACCCUCGGUACCCGAUAGUAUCUCUGUAGCGUCGUACAACUAAGGGGGGUGUAAGUGUUGUGUCGGGUCUGGCUCAUCGAUCAUGUUGGAAUUAUACCCUAGAGGCAAUGAUAAAAUAGUUAUUAUUAUAUUUCAUGUUACAAGAUAAUCGUUAAUUAUCCAUGCAGUAAUUGUAUUGAAUGAAAACAUAGAUACAUGUGUGGAUACAUAUACAAAACAAUGUCCCUAGAAAUCCUCUAGUUGGCUAGCCAGUUGAUCAAUGAUAGUCAAGGUUUUCCGACUAUAUGCAAGUGUUGUCACUUGAUAACUGGAUCGCAUCAUUAGGAGAAUCAUGUGAUGGAUUAGAACCAAACUAUGAACGUUGCAUAUUGAUCGUGUCAUUUUGUUGCUAUUAUUUUCUGCGUGUCAAGUAUUUAUUCCUAUGACCAUGAGAUCAUGUAACUCACUGGCACCGGAGGAAUACCAUGUGUGUAUCAAACGUCGCAACGUAACUGAGUGACUAUAAAGGUGCUCUACAGGUAUCUCCGAAGGUGUCCGUUGAGUUAGUAUGGAUCAAGACUGGGAUUUGUCACUCCGUGUGACGGAGAGGUAUAUCGGGCCCACUCGGUAAAACAACAUCACACACAAGCCUUGCAAGCAAUGUGACUAAGUGUAAGUCACGGGAUCUUGUAUUACGGAACGAGUAAAGAGACUUGCCGGUAACGAGAUUGAAAUAGGUAUGCAGAUACCGACGAUCGAAUCUCGGGCAAGUAACAUACUGAAGGACAAAGGGAAUGACAUACGGGAUUAUAUGAAUCCUUGACACCAGGUUCAACCGAUAAGAUCUUAGGAGAAUAUGUAGGACCCAAUAUGGGCAUCCAGGUCGCUCUAUUGGAUAUUGACCGAGGAGUAUCUCGGGUCAUGUCUACAUAGUUCUCGAACCCGCAUGGUCUGCACACUUAAGGUUCGAUGAUGUUUUAGUAUAGUUGAGUUAUAUGUGUGGUUAACGAAUGUUGUUCGGAGUCCCAAAUGAGAUCAUAGACGUCACGAGGGUUUCUAGAAUGGUCUGGAAUGAGGAUUGAUAUAUAGGAUGGUUUCAUUUGGUCACCGGAAAGUGUCGGGCAAUUCUGGCAGUGUACGGGAGUGACGAAUGGGUUCCGGGUGUUUACCGGGACAGGCCCACCCACCCGAGAUUGAGCCCAAGGCCCUAGGGUGGCGCACCAAGUCUUUAGUGGGCUGGUGGAGUCAGCCCAAGAGAGCUAUGUUGCCACAAGCAAAAAUACCAAAGGAAAGAAGAAGAAGAAAAGGAGGAAAGAGGGAGGUGGGAAGGAAGAGGAGGACUCCUCCUUCCCAAACCAAAUUGGAGGAGGAGUCCUCCUUCACCCUUGCGGCCGGCGCACCCUUCGGGCCCUUGUGCCCCAAGGCUAGCCCCUCCCCUGCUCCUAUAUAUAUUGGUCGUUUAGGGCUUUUUGAGAUACAACUUUGCCACGUGCAACUCAAGCCUAUUCCACAUAGUUUUACCUCUAGAUUGGAUUUCUGCGAAUCUCGGGUGAAGCCCUACAGGAGUAGAUCAUCACCACCACUAGAGCACCAUCAAGCUGCUGGAGAACUCAUCUACUUCUCCGUCUUGCUUGCUGGAUCAAGAAGGCCGAGAUCAUCGUCGAGCUGUACGUGUGCUGAACGCGGAGGUGCCGUCCGUUCGGUGCUAGAUCGGAACAGAUCGUGAGACGACAGUGAUUUGAAUCACGAAGUUGUACCACUACAUCAACCGCGUUUCUCAAUUCUUCCCUCUUAGCGAUCUACAACGUAGAUCUAAUCUCCUCUCGUAGAUGGACAUCACCAAGAUAGGUCUUCGUGGCGUAGGAAAAGUUUUGUUUUGCAUGCAACAUUCCCCAAUAGUGGCAUCAUGAGCUAGGUUCAUGCGUAGAUGUUAUCUCGAGUAGAACACAAAAGGUUUUGUGGACGGUGAUGUUCAAUUUGUUGCCCUCCUUAGUCUUUUCUCGAUUUGGCUGUAUUGUUGGAUUGAAGCGGCUCGGACCGACAUAACUCGUACGCUUACGAGAGACUGGUUUCAUCGACUGACAUGCAACCUCGUUGCAUAAAGAUGACUGGCGGGUGUCGGUUUCUUCAACUUUAGUUGAAUUGGUUUUGACCGAGGAGGUCCUUGGAGAGAGGUUAAAUAGCAAUUUGCACAUCUCCGUUGUGGUUUUUGCGGAAGUAAGAUGCGAUCAUACUAGUUACCCAUAGCAGCCACGUAAAACAUGCAACAAUAAAUUAGAGGACGUCUAACUUGUUUUUGCAGGGUAUGCUUGUGAUAUGAUAUGGCCAAUGACGUGAUGUGAUAUAUUGGAUGUAUGAGUUGAUCAUGUUGUAAUAGUUAAUAUUGACUUGCACGUGGAUGCUACGGCAACCGGUAGGAGCCAUAGGGUUGUCUUUAAACUAACGUUUGUGUUUGCAGAUGCGUUUACUAUAUUGCUAGGUCGUAGCUUUAGUAGUAAUAGCAUAUAUAGGACGACAACCUCCAUGGCGACACAUUGAUGUAGAUCAUGAUGAUGGAGAUCAUGGUGUCGCGCCGGUGAUAAAAAGAUCAUGCCGGUGCUUAAGUGAUGGAGAUCAAGAAGCACAAGAUGAUGGCCAUAUCAUGUCACUUAUGAAUUGCAUGUGAUGUUAAUCCUUUUUUGGACUGGUGCAAGCAUCUCGGAGUUGGAAUAAGCGCUUUGAUGAGGUGAUCAAAGCAUUUGGGUUUAUACAAGUGGUUGGAGAAUCUUGUAUUUACAAGAAAGUGAGUGGGAGCUCUGUGGCAUUUCUAAUAUUAUAUGUGGAUGACAUAUUGCUAAUUGGAAACAACCUGGAGUUUUUGGAGAGCGUAAAGGAUUACUUGAAUAAAAGUUUCUCUAUGAAGGACCUAGGAGAAGCUGCUUACAUUCUAGGCAUUAAGAUCUAUAGGGACAGAUCGAGACGCCUGAUAGGACUUUCACAAAGCACAUACCUUGAUAAAGUUUUGAAGAAGUUCAAAAUGGAUCAGUCCAAGAAGGGGUUCUUGCCAGUGUUACAAGGUAUAAAAUUGAGUAAGACUCAAUGCCCAACAACUGCGGAAGAUAGAGAACAAAUGAGUUCCGUCCCCUAUGCUUCAGCCAUAAGUUCUAUCAUGUAUGCAAUGUUGUGCACUAGACCAUACGGCGGUCAAGAAUAUUCUGAAGUACCUGAAAAGGACUAAGGAAAUGUUUCUCGUUUAUGUAGGUGACGAAGAGCUCAUCGUAAAGGGUUACAUCGACGCAAGCUUUGACACUGAUCCGGGUGACUCUAAGUCUCAAACGGAUACGUAUUUAUUCUUAAUGGGGGUGCGGUAAGCUGGUGCAGUGCCAAGCAAAGCGUCGUAGCAGAUUCUACAUGUGAAGAGGAGUACAUGGCUGCCUCGGAGGCAGCUAAGGAGGGUGUCUGGAUGAAGCAGUUCAUGACGGAUCUUGGAGUUGUGCUGAGCACACUAAAUCCAAUAACUCUAUUCUGUGACAACACUCGUGCCAUUGCCUUAGCAAAGGAACCAAGGUUUCACAAGAAGACCAGACAUAUCAAACGACGCUUCAACGUCAUGCGCGACUACGUCGAAGGAGAGGACGUAAAUAUUUGCAAAGUGCACACGGAUCUAAAUGUAGCACGCCCGCUGACUAAACCUCUUCCACGGGCAAAACAUGAUCAACACCAGAACUGUAUGGGUGUUAGAUUUAUUACAAUGUAAAUCCCAUGACGAUGUGAGGAUUAGAUUAUUGACUCUAGUGCAAGUGGGAGACUGUUGAAUUAUGCCCUAGAAGCAAUGAUAAAUUAGUUAUUAUUAUAUUUCUGUUACAAGAUAAUCAUUUAUUGUCGAUGCUAUAAUUGUAUUGAAUGGAAACAUAGAUACAUGUGUGGAUACAUAGACAAUACAAUGUCCCUAGCAAGCCUCUAGUUGGCUAGCCAGUUGAUCAAUGAUAGUCAAGGUUUUCUGACUAAAUGCAAGUGUUGUUACUUGAUAACUAGAUCACAUCAUUACGAGAAUCAUGUGAUGGAUUGGACCCAAACUAUGAACGUAGCAUAUUGAUCGUGUCAUUUUGUUGCUAUUGUUUUCUGCGUGUCAAGUAUUUAUUCCUAUGACCAUGAGAUCAUAUAACUCACUGGCACCGAAGGAAUGCCUUGUGUGUAUCAAACGUCACAACGUAACUGAGUGACUAUAAAGGUGCUCUACAGGUAUCUCCAAAGGUGUCCGUUGAGUUAGUACGGAUCAAGACUGGGAUUUGUCACUCCGUGUGACGGAGAGGUAUCUCGGGGCCCACUCGGUAAUACAACAUCACACACAAGCCUUGCAAGCAAUGUGACUAAGUGUAAGUCAUGGGAUCUUGUAUUACGGAACGAGUAAAGAGACUUGUCGGUAACGAGAUUGAAAUAGGUAUGCGGAUACCAACGAUCGCAUCUCGGGCAAGUAACAUACCAAGGACAAAGGGAAUGACAUACGGGAUUAUAUGAAUCCUUGAGACCAAGGUUCAACCGAUAAGAUCUUCGAAGAAUAUGUAGGAUCCAAUAUGGGAAUCCAGGUCCCGCUAUUGGAUAUUGACCGAGGAGUAUCUCGGGUCAUGUCUACAUAGUUCUCGAACCCGCAGGGUCUGCACACUUAAGGUUUGAUGACGUUUUAGUAUAGUUGAGUUAUAUGUGUGGUUAACGAAUGUUGUUCGGAGUCCCGGAUGAGAUCACGGACGUCAUGAGGGUUUCCGUAAUGGUCCGGAAAGGAAGAUUGAUAUGUAGGAUGGUUUCAUUUGGUCACUAGAAUGUUUCGGGCAAUUCCGGCAGUGUACCGAGAGUGACGAAUGGGUUCCGGGUGUUUACCGGGAGGGGCCCACCCACCCGGGAGUGAGCCCAAGGCCCUAUGGUGGCACAGCAAGUCCUUAGUGGGCUGGUGGAUUCAUCCCAAGAGGGCUAUGGCGCCACAAGAAAAAAUACCAAAGGAAAGAAGAAAAAAAAGGAGGAAAGAGGGGGUGGGAAGGAAGAGGAGGAUUCCUCCUUCCCAAACCGAAUUGGAGGAGGAGUCCUCCUCCACCCUUGCGGCCGGCGCACCCUUGGGGCCCUUGUGCCCCAAGGCUAGCCCCUCCCCUCCUCCUAUAUAUAUUGGUGGUUGAGGGCUUUUUGAGAUACAACUUUGCCACGUGCAACUCAAGCCUAUUCCACAUAGUUUUACCUCUAGAUCAGAUUUUUGCGUAGCUCCGACGGAGCCCUGCAGGAAUAGAUCAUUACCACCACCGGAGCACCGUCACGCUGCCGGAGAACUCAUCUACUUCUCUGUCUUGCUUGCCGGAUCAAGAAGGCCGAGAUCAUCGUCGAGCUGUACGUGUGCUGAACGCGGAGAUGACGUCCAUUCGGCGCUAGAUCAGAACGAAUCAUGGGACGGAUCAUGGGACGACGGUGAUUUGAAUCACGAAGCUGUGCUACUACAUCAACCGCGUUUCUCAAUGCUUCCCUCUUAGCGAUCUAGAAGGUACGUAGAUCUAAUCACCUCUCGUAGAUGGAGAUCACCAUGAUAGGUCUUCGUGCGCAUAGGAAUUUUUUUGUUUCCCAUGCAACGUUCCCCAAUAGAUCAGGGAUCGAGACUUGACAAUAAAGCAAGGCAACUGUACUACGGGGUCAGAGGGGAUGACUACUCCACCUAUACUAAAUAGAUUAAAAGUACAGUACUGAAAGUAGCAGUUCAUGAAAAAUAGACUAUGCAUUAGAUAUAGGAGCUAACUACAACAGUAGCAAAAUUCUAAUGCAAGCACGAGGAAGAAAGAAUAGGCGAUAUAGGGAAGAUCAAGGGGGUUUUCUUGCCUUGUUUCUCUGUGGCAAAGGGCUGAUCGGCAGGGUCGUAGAUGUACCCAGCGGCAACGUCAGUCUCAAGGUCUACUGGUAAGAAAGGGGGGGGGGAAACAAUAAAUAACAGCAAUAGGUGCAACACUAAGCAUGACAUUACAAUAUGCAGGCUAGACAUGAUCUAACGCAGUAACAUACAUCAUAGACGGGUCGGGAAAAUAUCAGAUGAUAUUUUCCGGGUCUGUGGCUACUACGGGUCAGACUGAAAACGAUGGAAAAGUUCCACAUUAUAUUUGCUAUGCUAGGGACACGUGACACACGAAUGGACCGCGUAACCGGGUUCGUCUCGUUCUGCUGAUCAACUUUCAUGUUGAAAAUAUUUUGAUCUGACUUACGGUUUAUUUAAUAUUAAAAUUUUAAAGUUUUAUUCAAUAUUUAGGAAUUAACAAAUUUAAUUGUAUUAGAUAAUUAAAUAUGACAUCGCGGUGUUAUCAGCACGACAUCAGUAGUCAACCGGGGUUGACUGGUUAGAUAUGACUAGUGGGACCCAUUUGUCAUAGACACAGGGUUAACAAAUGUUUAUUCUUAAUUAAAAUAGGUUAAUUUAGCAGGGGAGGCCCACAUGUCAUACCCAACACAAAUAAUUUAACUCAUAGAUUUGAUUUAAUUAAAUUAGGUUUAGUUAACCAAAUAAGUUAUCCAAUUUAAUUAUUCUAUUUAAUUAAGCACGUUAAACACACAUUGAUUAGACUAACUAAUUAACUUACUAAUUAGUCACUUAAAAUUAUUUUAAUGAAAAUUUCAUUAAUUAAUUAAAUUAUAAUUCACAUAUUAUUUUAUUAAUUUAUAUUAUUUUCUUAACAUGUUUUUGGAUGGGGGUCCCCACUUGUCGUUGUGUGAGUGCGAGAGGGAUUAGCCCCUAGCUUAAUCAAGGCCGACCCUCACCUCGUAGUGGCACAACCGACUCUGGCCGUGGUUGUGCCCGCGAGCGCCAUGUGAGGCCACAAUGAGCAGUUCCCGCGCGUAUGCGGGAGCUAGGGAAGGCGCCGACAAGGGCGCAGCGGGACUACGGUGGGAGGCAACGACGAGUCGGGCAUGGUAGCAGAUUCGGCUGGGCGUGCGCGACAAAAGGGGGGCAACACGUGGUGCGGCUAGCGGGGCACCGGGCGUCGGAGGAGCUCGCCGUAUCAGCGAGGCAUUGCAGUGCCAAGUUGGCCGAGCCUAAGGCGGAGAGGAGGAGUGACGUGACGAGGACAAGGCUCACCACCGUUGUAGUGGUAGCAGAGGUGCGACGUGGUGGUCCGGUGAUGGCCGACAUGAGUGGGGCGAGGGAGAGACGCCAGGGGCGAGGAUCCGGUGCAGGGGUGGCCCAGGGCGGGGUGCCACGACGUCGCCGGCACGGCCUUGGUGGGUGGUGGCGAUGGGAGGGCCCGACCGGCAUGGGGCUGAAGGAGGUCGUAGGAGGAUGGGGCCGCCGGAGGGCCGGUCUUGCUCGGAGGGCGACAGGUCCGGUGCGGGGGUGGCCCUAGCGCGGUGGGGAGAGGGGUAGGGCCGAAGCCAGGGUGGCAGGGAGGAGCGGAGCCGAGGGAAGAUGGGGGUCUGCCGCGUGACGCUCGCGAUGGGAGCGACGAGGGGAGGGAGAGUGGCGGCGUUAGUGGGGGAAGUGGGGAGGGCUCUGGGUGGUUAGGGUUAGGAGGGGGGGGUUAAAUACCCCCGGUUAGGUGGGCUGGCUGGGACGGUUGGCCCAGUUUGGCCAGGGAGACAUUCCCCUUUUUUUUAUUUCUCUGUUUCUUUUUUCCUAUUUGGUUUAGUUUUAUUUACUUUCUUUUCUAUUUUUUAAACAAGAGUAUUUUAGUCUUAUAAAACAUGUAACUUGCAUCAAUAACUAUAAUGUAUUAUUAGGCACUGUCACAAAAAGGUUUAUGAUUUAAUUGAUGCAGUUUCGAAUUGAUAUAAUUUAUAAGGACAUUAGAAUAUUGUUUAGACCUCUGUUUUAAUUAUUUUGAUGCACUUAGACACUCACAAAAAUGUUGGUUUCAGUUUUAUAAUUACUAGGAGAAUAUUUGUAACCGAAACAUGAUUUUUAUUUUACAGUUUGAAGAAAUAAUUUAUUUGACUUAAAUUUAAUUUUAAUUUAGUUUUGGCUUUCCAAUUGGCAAUUUGGCUUAGUUAAUCUUGAUGACAUGGCACCAUUACUGUAGCCUAACUACAUUAACUACUGUAGCUUAAUCCGAGGAUGUCACAACUCAACUCCUUCAUGUUGAUCAUUUUUUGCGAUUCCUCGCGGUUUGAGAACAGUUUCGAAAAAGGUGGGCCCAUGACGGGACGCAGAGAUCGUAUUUUUGCAUUUUUUUAAACCGCCCGUCGUAAUGAAGCAAGCGAUACGGCAUUGAAAAUAUAUCGUCGAGCCGCAUAUUUUUCAUGUAGAUUGAUCUCUCUAAAUCCUCACGGUUUGAGUGUAAUUUCAAAUUUACAAAAAAAUAGAAUUCUGUUUUAGGAUUUUUUCCUUUUUUGGACUGUUUUCGCCACGGUUUUUAAAUAGUUCAUCGGAACAAGGCAUGUGAUACCGAGUUGAAAAGCUGGGGAAUAGGCGCACCUUUCAUAUGUUGGUCAUUUGUCGAGAUUCCUCGCGCUUUUAAAUGAAUUUUGAAAACGGUGUGACUGGCUACGAGUGGCAGCAAGCGUAUUUUCGUCCAUUUUUCGAAACUGCUUGUUGGAAUGACCUAAAUUAUACAUCGCUGGAAAGAUAUCGAAGAGGCUCAACAUUUUCAUGUAGAACACCCUAUCUAAUUCCUUACGUUUUUUAAAUUACCAAAAUGUGGACACUUUGUUUUUCGCAACACACAAAUCAACGUGCGAACAACAUCGGAUAGAAGAGCGCAGUGAUUUUUGAUGGAAAAUUGCACUGCACCGUACGGGAAAGCGAAAUACAUCAUUUUCUUUUUUUGUUUGUUUUUACUAUACUUUUCAUGGCACCAAAUCAAUGAAAUGAACUACAUCACACAGAACCGUACUAUUUAACACAAAAAACCACACGCAUCCAACGGGAAAACGAACUUCAUAUUUUUAAUCAGUUUUUGUUUUAAAUGGAAUGUACUAAAGAGUCCUUCAUAUUGGAAUUUUUAAGACCAGAGUGCGCUGCAUUUGCUUCAAGAUUUCUUUACUAGUGAACUACAUUCAAAACGAAGCAAACUUCUUGCGAUAUUUUUCUUCUUUAUACAAAGAGAACCACAUUUGCGCAUUAUGGUUUUGAAACCAUGCAAUAUAUACAUCUUGUACAACAUAACCAAACCGCUACUUUCAUUUUGACUAAUCUGCAGUGCACCAAAGACCAAACUAUAUUCACAGAAGUGAACUACAUUUUUUUGCAUGACUACUAAAUCAAAAAAAAUCCGCUUUUUAGAUCUUCAGAUAGGUCCAACCAGCUACACAAUUUAGCUACAGUGAGCUGCACAUCUCACUCGUGCAAGCUACAACUCGAGGUACAGGGAGACGCAAACCAAUCCACAAAUUGGUCACCAGCGCACUGCAUGUCCACCCUUGCAAAUUGGCUACUUUAAGAAAUAAAUCAAAAAAUUCCAUGAAACGCAAGUCAAUCGCUGGUGCACUCAUGUCCACCUCCACAACACUGCACCUGUCGUGCCCAUGGGACUGCAACCAAGUUUAUUGAAGAUUCCCGAAAAAGAAAAUACAAAGCAAUCGGAGUUCUUGUUGACCCCUGCACGAGAGCUAGCAAACUUUGCUUGGCAAACCAAACUGCAUGCCAUGCUGCAGCUGCACACGCCAAGGAGCUGCACUGAAUCACGAUGGCGAGCGAACUACAUCGAGAACAAAGAGGAGGGGCUCGAUCCCAUUUUUUGGAACAGGCUUCGAAAGGGGAGUGUGAGCCAGAUCGGAACUGGCACGGACAUGCGGUGUCGCGCGAGAGGGAGGUUUCGUGGUGCCUCAUCGAGCCUCUAGAAGAAGGCCUGUCAGGAGGACGGCGCGAGCCUGGGGGCUUGGUUGCCGGUCUGGAGAGGUCGGGCCGUGGUAGAAGAUGGCGGAUCUGCCGAUGUGUAAGAGGGUUGGGGUGGGCUGCGACGCUAGGAUCCUUCGCGUGGAGGGGGUGAGGUGGGCGGGGGAGCUAGGAUCCCGCGCGAAUGAAGUGGGUGGGCUGCCGUGAUGGUCGGAGCCAUCCCUGUGGUGGCUGGCUACCGACGAGGGAAGAAGGUGGGUUGAGGGGGCGGGGGUCGUCGCCUGACAGGGAAAGAAGGUGGGUUGAGGGCGCGGGGGUUCCUUUCUUGGCCAACAGAUGGAGGAGGGAGAGGGUGGAGGUGGCAUUUGGUAGCUGGGGAAGCUGAUCUGGGUCCAGGGGUCGCCAGGCAUGGUUAUCACGCGAGAGGGAGGGGCCAGAGGCCAGAUCCGUUAAUGUGGGGGGAGGAGGCCCGCGGAUGAACCAUGCGGGGUGAUGUGGAGGAGGCCCUCGUGGCCUGGGCAGAUCUCGGCGGGGGUAGGUGCCGACGGGGAAGACCGGUGCCGUGUGGGCUGCUGGCGCAGCAAUGGUGGAAGAAGAUGAGGGGGAUUGGGGGCAGGGUGGUGCGGGAGUUGGGAGGAGAGAGAGGAAGGUGGGAUAGGGAGGGGGAAGUUCAUUUUUGUUUCUUUGGGUGUUUUAUCUAUAUGCUGGCGCGGGACGGGAGGUGGCGCGGAUAGAGGGGCACGGGGUGGGAGGUGUAUUUAGAAUAAGUGUGUGUAUAUAUAUAUAUAGAAAGACUAUUCAUCACCGAGGAUGCAGAAUAAGUUAUUCUUCACACGAGGUAAUCUUACGAUCGUUUCAUAAUUAUAUUACAUUCAAAAUGCAAAUAGGUACAUUUAUACUGAUUCACUACCUAAAGUUUUACAUAAGAAAAAAAUAGGUCAUAAGACCAGAAGAACGCAUUUAAUGUAUAUUUUACAUGACAUAAAAUAUUUUUAUGGUGUCUAUAUAUUUUCUUAUGGUCUCUUUUUACNNNNNNNNNNNNNNNNNNNNNNNNNNNNNNNNNNNNNNNNNNNNNNNNNNNNNNNNNNNNNNNNNNNNNNNNNNNNNNNNNNNNNNNNNNNNNNNNNNNNUACGACUCGUCUACGUUCGUUGAUGACCGACACCGGCUUUGUUGGGUCAUGUAUGCUUGUCCUUGUGCGGAACUGCCACUUUGGUUUAUGACUAGACAUGUCGAUCCGGGUUCUUUGACAUUGGAAUGCUAGCGACACUAUCGCAUACGUGAGUCAAAACACACAAACGGUCCCGGCUAAGGUAAGGCUGCAACCGUGGAGUUAACCGUGCGUGAGACCACAAAGGGAUGCGAUGUGUUACAGGCUGGAUUCCUAUGGCUUAAGAUCGGGGUCCCGACAGCGUUGGUAUCAGAGCCUGACUGACUGUAGGAUUACUAAGCCAAACUGGUCGAAGUUGAGUCUAGAAUUGCUUUAGUUAUAUAUAAGGGAAUUGUUUGUGGAAGGGAACGUAACACUCUUGUUCUCUUCUCAAGAUAUUCUAUUCUGGUCAUCCUCGUCUUUUCUGCGGGAAUUAAGGACUAGGUUACUCAUCUUCUCCUAGGCUCGGAUUUUUGAUCGGUAGAUUAUAGGACUAAGGGUCGAGAGAUAUUGGGUUUCUUUUAUUCCUGGGAAGAAGGAAGUAAGUUUGAUGAUCAGGGAGUUGAACUUGAUAGUUGAGUGGUGACGCUAUUUCAUUUUGGGUUGUCUCAAAAUUUGUUUUGAACAUUUACAGCUGUUAUGCUGCCCAAUUUUUCAUUCAGAGCUCUAAUGCUUUUUUGCAUUACUCUCUAUUUACAGAUGCCUGGCCGUCCUUCUCGUCAGGUGGUACGUUUGACCAGGUGCAUUGAUGUACCGGGUCAUACGGCCAUGCUGGUCAGGGUGAUGUCGGUGUGCGGUUACCGCUGGUACCCCGAGUACACGGUAGAGGAACAGUACCGAGACUUCAACCAGAGCCAGUACAUCUGCACUGUUAGGGUAUUUCCAGAUUACCCUGGAGCGGAGAAGCCAAUCCAUUGGUCCUAUGGGUUGGGAGUCACUGUUGACAUGGCAGUACAAGAUGCUGCCUAUUCAAUGCUGACUAUCAUGAGAGAGAGACAUGCAUUGCUGCAGAAUUCAGAGUUCUGCUAUGUUCCGGCCUCUCAGUCUGGCGAAGAGGGAUACCUCAGUGGAGUCUAUUUUGAUUCCUCUAUGGAGGACCCACUUCUGCAGUCCACUGUUGAGAUGCUAGAGAACAGAGACAAGGAUGCUCGUGCUCUCCGCAUGGAGCUUUAUGCUACCCGUGCCCGUCUGUGGACAGCUUUGACGCAGCUGGCACCGGUAGUCCAGACAGGGUAUGGAGAGAUGGAGAUGCUGAACCCUGUUAGGACCCAUCUUCCGGCUCAUGUUGACUGGCCAGCUAUAGGAGGAGUCACACCUCUUCGGGGACCCCUCUUACCACCAGUCAGGGGACCAAGGCCACAUCUGUGUCCUUAUGGAUCCCAGGGAUCUCAGGCUAGAGUGUUUCCUGAUCCGCAGGUUGAGCUUCCAGGUCAUGGAGGUAAUCUCUAUGAGAUGUUCUAUGCGGAUGCGUGAGCUAUGAGCGGAAGGAUAGUAUGGUGGUAGCCGUAUGUUCACAGUCCUGCGUGACUUGUGUAGUAUGGUUGUAAUGUGAAACGAAUUCCGGAGGCCUAGAUAAAUAAUGUAUAGGAAGCUUGUACGCCUCUGAUGAGUAGUUCCACCAUUUCGGUAGUUUGCUCUUCGAGUAAGUUUGUACUGAACUAUGUAAGGGUGUGUAUGAACCAUGGUGUAUAUAUAGCAGUUGCUUGUUACCAUGUUGUUCGGAUAUUCAUUUCCGCAUUCCGUGUGUUCAGUACAUUCUUAAUCCAUAGAUAGUUUUGAUAUGAUUUUGGUUUAAGCUAUGAGUUUGUUUGUUAGGAUGGUGUUCACCAGGUUGAACCGUGCCCCUGCUCAUGAGCAAGGUGAGGGUAGUCAAGCGUCGCAGGAAGACCUGCCUCACCCACCUUCUCUGGUAGAAGUGAUGCUUGAGGCAGAAAGAAUCAAAAGGGAGACCAACCGACUGCUAGAGCGUAUUGAGCAGAAUACGGCUCGAGAGCCUAGGAAUGCUGCAGUGUCCCUCAAUGACUUUGUGAAGCUGAAUCCUCCAAAGUUUCAUCAUUCCGUCGAUCCCCUCGACGCUGAUGACUGGCUGUGCAGCAUUUCAUGCAAGAUUCGCUCUGCGAAUGUGUCUGAGGCCGACAAGGUGACCUUUGCGGCGUAUUUCCUGGAGGGACCCGCCAAUCUAUGGUGGGAGAAUUUUGAAGCUAUGCGUCCCGCUGAACCAGUGGCCACAUGGGCAGACUUCAGUGCAGCUUUUCGUCUGCACCAUAUUCCAGAGGGCCUGAUGGACAGAAAGAGAGAGGAGUUAUGUGCCUUCACUCAGGGCAAGUUGUCUGUGGAUGCCUAUAGCCGCGAGUUCGGUAACCUCGCCCGCUAUGCAACAGAGGAGGUGUCUACUGACGCCAAGAAGCCAGCAAGAUUCCGUAAGGGUCUGAGCCCUGAGCUCCGUCGAGACCUGCGCCUCCAUGAGUGUGCAAGCUUUCAAGCCCUGGUCAACAAAGCGAUCAGUGCGGAGACUGGUCAUACUGACUUCGAAGCCACAAGGAAGCACUCCCGUGACUUUGGCUCGUCUUCUGGUUCCGCGUUUCCAAAACGCAGGCUGUGGGUUCCAAACAGUUCUCUGCCGCCAAGAUACACUCCGAGGCCAUCCUACGUGGCGCCUCAGACGAAUCAGGCCAACCCUCCAGCAAAAGCUUAUGGUGGUCCAGCUAGCAAUGCUGCACCACGUGCCAACCAGGUGAUAUGCUACAAGUGUGGAGAACCAGCGCAUUAUUCCCGUGAGUGUCCUCAGAAUGUGGGUGCCAAGCAACCCGGAAAGUGUGUCGGGCAGGCCAAGUCGGGCAAAGCGUUUUAUGUGAAACCAACUCCUGCACGUGGCCGUGUGAACUAUGUGUCAGCAGAAGAAGCUGCAGAGGAUCCCGACGUCAUGCUGGGUACGCUUCUUGUUAAUCAUCACCCAGCGUCCGUUCUCUUUGACACUGCGUCUUCUCAUUCCUUCAUUUCAAAAAGUUAUGCACAGUUGCAUAACAUGUCAUUUUGUGAUAUGCCAAUCCCAUUGGUUGGCCAAACCCCUAGUAGUAAAUGGCAAACCUCUAGGAUUACCUAUGACAAUGAAAUUCUAGUAGACACGCUAGUUUUUCUAGCCUCAUUGAUAGCGUUGAAAUCUUCGGAUAUUAAUAUCAUCUUGGGCAUGGACUGGAUGUCAGCUCACUAUGCCAAGAUUGAUACUCGCUCUAGAAAUGUCCAGCUUACCCAUCCCUCGGGUGAGAUAGUAAAUGUCUCUACUCGAGUUGCCAAAUGCCAGCUCUAUUCCCUAAAUGCCAACCCUCUUCCGGAACUUGAAGACAUUCCGGUAGUCCGUGACUUCCCGGAUGUUUUUCCAGAGGAACUGCCAGGAAUUCCACCUGACAGAGAUGUAGAGUUUGUGAUAGAUCUUGUUCCGGGAACUGUCCCAAUAGCUAGAAGACCUUAUAAGAUGGCACCCCUGGAGCUAGCCGAACUUAAGAAGCAAUUAGAUGAGGCCUUGAACAAGGGUUUCAUUCGUCCUAGCUCUUCUCCUUGGGCUUGUCCCGUCCUCUUCGUCAAGAAGAAAGACGGAAUGGAUCGGAUGGUUGUAGAUUACCAACCAGUUAACCUGGUCACCAUAAAGAACAAGUAUCCGCUCCCCAGGAUCAACGAUCUGUACGAUCAGCUCGCUGGAUCCUCAGUCUUCUCCAAAAUGGAUUUGAGGUUGGGAUACCAUCAAAUCAAGAUUAAGAACGGGGACAUUCCAAAAACGGCUUUUGUUACUCGUUAUGGCCAAUAUGAGUACACCGUUAUGUCCUUCGGUUUAACCAAUGCCCCAGCCAGCUUCUCUCGACUGAUGAAUUCAAUCUUUAUGGAGUAUUUGGAUAAAUUCGUCGUAGUAUUCCUCGAUGAUAUUCUCAUCUACUCCAAGAAUGAACAAGAACAUGCCGAGCAUCUAAGGCUGGUAUUGAUGAAACUUCGAGAGCAUCGCCUUUAUGCCAAAUUUUCAAAAUGUGAAUUCUGGUUACCAGAAGUGACCUAUCUAGGCCACGUAAUCUCUGGUAAGGGUAUUGUUGUCAAUCCCGAGAGAGUUCAAGCUGUCCUUGAUUGGACUCAACCUGAAUCGGUUAAGCAAGUUAGGAGUUUUCUUGGUCUAGCGAGCUAUUGUCGCCGCUUCGUCGAGAAUUUCUCCAAGGUUGCAAAGCCUCUAACUGAACUCCUCAAGAAGGAUAAAAAGUUCGAGUGGACACCACAGUGUGAGCAUAGUUUUCAGGAACUGAAAAGACGCCUGACUUCCGCACCUGUGUUGCUACCACCAGAUUUUUCUAAGGACUUUGUUAUCUAUUGCGACGCCUCGCGACAAGGAUUAGGUUGCAUUCUCAUGCAAGAUCGUCAUGUGAUCGCAUACGCAUCUCGCCAGUUGCGUCCACAUGAGGAUAAUUAUCCCACACAAGACCUUGAGCUUGCAGCUGUGGUCCAUGCACUAAAAACCUGGCGACAUUACCUUCUGGGUAAUCGUUGCGAAAUAUUCACUGAUCACCAAAGUCUGAAAUAUAUCUUCACCCAGCCGGAUUUGAAUCUCAGGCAAAGACGAUGGGUUGAGUUGAUCUCGGAUUACGACUUAGGGAUAACUUACACCCCGGGGAAGGCCAAUGUUAUGGCCGAUGCACUAAGUCGUAAAUCUUAUUGUAACAAUCUGAUGCUACAACAAGGACAACCACUUCUCCAUGAGGACUUUCGGAAGUCGAAUCUUCAUAUUGUUCCUCAAGGAUUCCUUUCUACCCUGGUGGCGAAGCCUACUCUUAAGGAUCAAAUUAUAGCUGGCCAAAAGCGUGACAAGGGUAUAUCACGGAUCAAGGAGAAUAUUUUUAGCGGAAACGCUAAAGAAUUUUCCAUGAAUGAUCAAGGUGUGGUAUUCUUCCAGAAUCGUUUAGUGGUUCCUAAGAACCCACAUCUAAGGCAGUUAAUCCUUAAGGAGGCUCAUGAUUCCCCUCUCACCAUUCAUCCUGGUAGUACUAAGAUGUAUAAAGACCUACGCCAGAGGUUCUGGUGGACUAGGAUGAAGAGAGAAAUUGCUGAGUUCGUUGCUAACUGCGAUGUUUGUCGUCGAGUUAAGGCAGAACAUCAAAGGCCUGCUGGCACCCUUCAACCUUUAGCUAUUCCUGAAUGGAAAUGGGAUAAAGUUAGCAUGGAUUUCAUUACCGGAUUUCCCAAGACCAAGAAAGGAAAUAAUGCUAUCUUUGUGGUCAUUGACCAUUUUUCCAAAGUGGCUCAUUUUCUUCCUGUUCGUGAGAGUUUAACAGCUAGCCAGCUAGCAGAGUUAUAUAUCUCUCUAAUAGUGUCUCUUCAUGGUGUUCCCCUGGAAAUUAACUCGGACCGUGGAAGUAUCUUCACUUCUCGUUUCUGGGAAAGUUUUCAGAAUGCCAUGGGGACUCACUUAUCUUUUAGCACUGCUUUCCAUCCCCAAUCAAGUGGUCAAGUAGAAAGAGUGAAUCAAAUCCUAGAAGAUAUGCUCCGAGCUUGUGUUAUUUCGUUCGGUAUGAAUUGGGAGAAGUGCCUUCCAUUCGCCGAUUUCGCUUAUAACAACAGUUAUCAAUCAAGCUUGGGCAAAGCCCCUUUUGAAGUUCUCUAUGGACGAAGAUGUCGAACACCUCUUAAUUGGUCAGAAACCGGAGAGAGGCAACUCUUUGGUCCGGACAUGAUCCAGGAUGCAGAAGAGCAGGUUCGCAUUAUUCGUGAAAAGUUGAAAACAGCCCAAUCUCGUCAAAAGAGCCAAUAUGAUCGUCAUCAUAAGGCUGUGACCUUUGAAGUUGACGAGAAGGCUUACCUUCGGGUUACACCUUUGAAGGGUACCCAUCGUUUCGGUAUCAAGGGCAAGUUGGCUCCUCGUUACAUUGGUCCUUUUCGCAUUCUUGCCAAACGAGGAGAAGUUGCCUACCAGUUGGAACUUCCUCCGCAUCUUUCCAAGGUUCAUGAUGUUUUCCACGUCUCGCAACUCAGGCGUUGCUUUUCGGAUCCUAUCCGUGAAGUGGACCACGAAACGCUUGAUCUCCAAGAUAACCUUUCUUACCGAGAAUAUCCCGUGCGUAUUCUUGAUCAAGCUGAGCGUACCACUCGACGUCGAAACCUCAAGUUUCUUAAAGUUCAAUGGUCAAAUCAUUCUGAAAAGGAGGCAACUUGGGAAAGAGAGGAUCGUCUCCGACUCGAAUAUCCUGCGUUAUUCCCGACGACUUCUAAAUCUCGGGACGAGAUUCUUUUGAGUGGGGGUGAGUUGUCACAUCCCUAACCCUUAAGCAAGAUAGCAUUGUGCUCAUGUCUUCUUUGCAUUUGCAUCUAAGAAGUUUCAACAAAAACAACAAAGUGGCAAAGGAGAAACUCAAAACCCUAGCCACCAUUUCAAUUAAAGGAAAUUUCAACUAGUUCAAAAUCAAUGAACCCAAAAUGGCCUCAAGAAAUGUUCAAACUUUCUGAUAAAUCACGAAAGUAAAUGAGCAUUGGAGAAAACUAUUUUCUUGACACUUUAAGCAUUUUAAAUAAAUGCAAAAGCCACUGGUUUCAAAUUUAAAAAUUUGAAAUCAGAAACUAUAAUUUUCCAAAAAUGUUGAAAGUCUUGGAAAUGAGUGGGGAUAUUAUAACAAAUAUUUCAGGAGGUCAAAAUCAGUUUUUACCUUUUGUUUUGGAGCUGAAAUAAUUAGCAAAGCAAUAAACAGCAAAACAGAAAAAACCAAAAAAAGAGAAAAUGGGAAAAGCUUACCUCACGCCCAAGCCAGGCCCAGCCCAUCUCGCCGCUCGUCCCCUUCCCCGCGCCAGUAGGCAGCAGGAGGUGGCCGCCGCCUCCUCCGGCGCGGCCACGCACCUGCGUGCCUGCCUGGUCGCCGGUUCGCGCUGGCGACGACGGGGAUAAGCUCCCCAGAGCCUCCCCUAUCCAUUCCCCGCCUCGGUUCUCCUCCUCCGCCCGGAUCCCCUCCUUCUCCCUGCUGCCGCCAUUAGAGCCGAGCUCGAGCUCGAGCUGGCCGUGCCCCUGGCCAUAGGAUCCCCUCCGCGAGCACGCCAUUAGCUCCGCCUCGUCGCCCUGGUCAUUCCUGCAGAAGGCGAAGCUUCCUCGCGCCCUGCAACGCCCGCAACGCCGUCGUCUUCUUCCUCCGGCCGCCGGACAUCUCCCGUCGAUUCGUCGCCCCCAGGCCUUCCCCGAGCCGUCUGAGCUCUUCUCUGCACUCCCUGUGAGCAUGCGGUGGUUUUCCCUAAGUUUUCCCCGUCGAUCCCCUCCUCUAGCCCUAGUUUCACCGGAGCCCGACGAGCACCGCCGCUGCCGCUCGUCGCCGGUAGCCCUCCGAUGUCCAGCUCGUCCUCCCGAGAGCACCAGCAGCUCCAGGACGACGCGUAGAUGCCGUAGCAGCUAAGAACUAAGCGCGGAUCCCCCUGUUUCAAAGCCCCCGACGACGCCCGAGCUUCGUCCGCCGCUCCGGCUCGUCGCCGACGCCUCUUCCGGCGAACCUAGCCUCCCAAGUUGGUCCUGCCAGAUCGGCCACUUCGCGGGCUUGCUGUAGCUGCCAACCGCGUGCGUUUUCGUGCUGUGCAACGCCGUCUAGAUCGCCUCCGGCGAGCCCUCCGCCGCGGGUUUGGUCGCCGGCGACACCCUCCGGUGGCCGUCGACGUGGCCGACCAUUAGGGCCUAAUCUCCCUCCCCUGAGUCGCUGCCAGAGGGCCCCACGCCUGGACAAACCCCAAUUAGGGGUUGGUCAGUGCGGGAUUAGUCCCAGAGAGGCUGACCAGGGGGACCCCCCUGUCAGGUUUGACCUGCACAGGUCGGCUGACCUGCUGACGUCAGCCUGAUGCAAUAAAUGAAAUUUCCAGUAUAAAAAUAAUUCAGGAAAUUGCUAAAAAUUGCAAAAUUCAUAGAAAUUAAUCUAUAACUCCAAUGAAAAUAAUUUAUAUAUGAAAAAGUAUCAGAAAAAUUCAAGGAUUCUGAUUAUGCUAUUUUCAACUAUGUUUGAAAAAGUUGCAGAACCCUAAAUUGUGAAAUAAGGAAUAAUUCAAUUCUUUUAAUCACUUUAUAAAUGGAAUUUGCAAAAUAUCCAAAUUUCAUUAUAAAUACAAUGAUCACACACUGCCCUAGAUGUAAAUCAGUACCAUAACAUGACAUUUCAUGCAUGUUAACAUUAGGUUGAUCUGAGCAUCAGGUCGAAUCAAUUAAACCGGUAUGCGGGAAUACCCGUUUGAAUUGCUUUUCGAAUGUGAUUCAAAUCAACUCUAAACCUAAAACAUCUUGAUUAUAAUAACUUAUCACCUGCAUUCUCAUGCCUUGCUCAUGCAUCAUUUUGAUUGCAUAUGAUUGUUAUUGAAUGUUGCCAUUCCUUUCGGUAGGCUCCGCACCCCCGGAUUCCACCGAAUAUCCGUCUGACGGAUAUCAUUCCUCCUCUCAGCAACAAGGCAAGCAACCCUUUUGAUCAUCCCGAUAACACCUAUGUUCUUGCUCCUGCACCUAUUUAUUGCAUUAGGAUCAAAUGCUUCAAUUGCUUUUGCCACGAUAGUUGGACCCACUUCCUUUGCAUGACUUAACCUUGUCACAGUAAAUAGCCGAACCUUGCAACCUAGCAUACCUGGUAGUUCCUUGAGCUCUAAUGUGCCUUAUCCUGCCAUGCAUGCUAUGCUUAGAGUUGUGUAUGGUCUGUCAUCUGGGAGAUGAACAGAAAUGUGGAAUGUGUUCGGUGAGCAAAGGUCGUGUGUUGAAUUUGAUUUGGUAAAGGUACCGGUGAAAGGCUGUGUAGGAGUACAUGGCGGGUUGUUUCAUUGGAACCGUCCUUAGGAACUGAGUUCCGUGUAUGUAAUCCAAGACUAGAUACUACCACAUGCUGGGCCCUGAAAUAUGACCCCGCUCGGCCUAUUAAUCGCUUAGUACUCGGUCCAGGAGUUGCAAGUAGUUUCUGGUGUUUAUAGUAAUGCUGGAGGCCGUGCAUGGUGCUGACCUGAGAGGUGGACCGUGAUGCGGUAGGUAGUGGCACCCGGAUGGUGGGCUUGGGAACCCUGCGCACAACGUUUGAGGCCGUGGCGGAAACCUCGGCCGGACUUCCGUACGGGUUACUCUCAGAUAGGCGAUAAACCUGGACUAGGUACUAGUGUGGUUAACGGUCGUGGCCGACUCCGUCGCUGGGCUUCCGCUUGAAGGUUGCCGAGGUGCAUGACGUGCACAUGUCGAUAAGUGGCGGAAGCGUGUGUGACGAAGUACACCCUUGCAGGGUUAUGAUCUAUUCGAAUAGCCGCGCCCACGGAUAUGGACUACUUGGAGACAUAUGUUGUUCAUAGAUAACUUCAAUGGCUACUCACAAAAUUGUCAAGAUAAGCUUGAGUGUCGUGGACGGUAUUUCCGUAUGGAGACGGAAUGAUUCCACGAUAGUGUAUUGUUGUGGUGUUAGUGGACUCGUGUGCGAGAAAUCAAGUUGUCAAAACUAAUUUCAAAAAGCAAGUUGUCUAGCCACGAGUCAAAUGCUGGCUUUCCGCAUGAAAUCCCACAAUACCUUCUUGAUACCUUGCAUGAGUAGUUAGUCAUCCUAAAGUCUUGCUGAGUACCUUCGUACUCAUGUUUUCUUAAUAAAUGUUGCAGAGAUUGUUAAUGACCCUAAUGGAGGGUUCUUCGUAGACAUCGACGACGACGAGUAGCUGGUGUCCCAGCUACGAUCUGGCCCUACGUCGACUCUGUAGUAUAGUCAGGCCAUGUGCCUUCUAGUUGCUCUGUCGGUACCCAGACAGUUUAUAACUCUUCCGCUAGCUUGUAUUGUAUGACUGCUAUUAUGGGUCGUGAGACCCUUAAUGUGUAAUAAUAUGUGUGUGGCUCUUCCGAGCCUCUUAAAUAAAGCUUGUAUGUUUAUGGUUAUGUUGUGAUGCCAUCGAUGUAUCUAUACAUAUCGGUAUGCCAUGCAUACGUGUGUCUUACUUGAUAUGUAUGGGGUUCGAAUACCUAGUCGUGAACUUUAGUAGCACUCCUUACAAGGAAAUGCCCCUUUGUGAUCCAACGAGCCUUGGUAGUUCGCUACUGCUCCGGACACAUUGGUUGACCGGCAUGUGUCCUUCUUAGAUGCUGUGUCUGUCCCCUUUGGGGAAAUGUCACGCGACGUAAUGGAGUCCUUGUAGCUUGCUACGACUCGUCUACGUUCGUUGAUGACCGACACCGGCUUUGUUGGGUCAUGUAUGCCUGUCCUUGUGUGGAACUGCCACUUUGGUUUAUGACUAGACAUGUCGAUCCGGGUUCUUUGACAUUGGAAUGCUUGCGACACUAUCGCAUACGUGAGUCAAAAGACGCAAACGGUCCCGGCUAAGGUAAGGCUGCAACCGUGGAGUUAACCGUGCGUGAGACCACAAAGGGAUGCGAUGUGUUACAGGCUGGAUUCCUAUGGCUUAAGAUCGGGGUCCCGACAGCGUUGGUAUCAGAGCCUGACUGACUGUAGGAUUACUAAGCCAAACUGGUCGAAGUUGAGUCUAGAAUUGCUUUAGUUAUAUAUAAGGGAAUUGUUUGUGGAAGGGAACGUAACACUCUUGUUCUCUUCUCAAGAUAUUCUAUUCUGGUCAUCCUCGUCUUUUCUGCGGGAAUUAAGGACUAGGUUACUCAUCUUCUCCUAGGCUCAGAUUUUUGAUCGGUAGAUUAUAGGACUAAGGGUCGAGAGAUGUUGGGUUUCUUUUAUUCCUGGGAAGCAGGAAGUAAGUUUGAUGAUCAGAGAGUUGAACUUGAUAGUUGAGUGGUGACGCUAUUUCAUUUUGGGUUGUCUCAAAAUUUGUUUUGAACAUUUACAGCUGUUAUGCUGCCCAAUUUUUCAUUCAGAGCUCUAAUGCUUUUUGCAUUACUCUCUAUUUACAGAUGCCUGGCCGUCCUUCUCGUCAGGUGGUACGUUUGACCAGGUGCAUUGAUGUACCGGGUCAUAUGGCCAUGCUGGUCAGGGUGAUGUCGGUGUGCGGUUACCGCUGGUACCCCGAGUACACGGUAGAGGAACAGUACCGAGACUUCAACCAGAGCCAGUACAUCUGCACUGUUAGGGUAUUUCCAGAUUACCCUGGAGCGGAGAAGCCAAUCCAUUGGUCAUAUGGGUUGGGAGUCACUGUUGACAUGGCAGUACAAGAUGAUGCCUAUUCAAUGCUGACUAUCAUGAGAGCGAGACAUGCAUUGCUGCAGAAUUCAGAGUUCUGCUAUGUUCCGGCCUCUCAGUCUGGCGAAGAGGGAUACCUCAGUGGAGUCUAUUUUGAUUCCUCUAUGGAGGACCCACUUCUGCAGUCCACUGUUGAGAUGCUAGAGAACAGAGACAAGGAUGCUCGUGCUCUCCGCAUGGAGCUUUAUGCUACCCAUGCCCGUCUGUGGACAGCUUUGACGCAGCUGGCACCGGUAGUCCAGACAGGGUAUGGAGAGAUGGAGAUGCUGAACCCUGUUAGGACCCAUCUUCCGACUCAUGUUGACUGGCCAGCUAUAGGAGGAGUCACACCUCUUCGGGGACCCCUCUUACCACAAGUCAGGGGACCAAGGCCACAUCCGUGUCCUUAUGGAUCCCAGGGAUCUCAGGCUAGAGUGUUUCCUCAUCCGCAGGUUGAGCUUCCAGGUCAUGGAGGUAAUCUCUAUGAGAUGUUCUAUGCGGAUGCCUGAGCUAUGAGCGGAAGGAUAGUAUGGUAGUAGCCCUAUGUUCAAGUCCUGCGUGACUUGUGUAGUAUGGUUGUAAUGUGAAACGAAUUCCGGAGGCCUAGAUAAAUAAUGUAUAGGAAGCUUGUACGCCUCUGAUGAGUAGUUCCACCAUUUCGGUAGUUUGCUCUUCGAGUAAGUUUGUACUGAACUAUGUAAGGGUGUGUAUGAACCAUGGUGUAUAUAUAGCAGUUGCUUGUUACCAUGUUGUUCGGAUAUUCAUUUCCGCAUUCCGUGUGUUCAGUACAUUCUUAAUCCAUAGAUAGUUUUGAUAUGAUUUUGGUCUAAGCUAUGAGUUUGUUUGUCAGGAUGGUGUUCACCAGGUUGAACCGUGCCCCUGCUCAUGAGCAAGGUGAGGGUAGUCAAGCGUCGCAGGAAGACCUGCCUCACCCACCUUCUCUGGUAGAAGUGAUGCUUGAGGCAGAAAGAAACAAAAGGGAGACCAACCGACUGCUAGAGCGUAUUGAGCAGAAUACGGCUCGACAGCCUAGGAAUGCUGCAGUGUCCCUCGAUGACUUUCUGAAGCUGAAUCCUCCAAAGUUUCAUCAUUCCAUCGAUCCCCUCGACGCUGAUGACUGGCUGUGCAGCAUUUCACACAAGAUUCGCUCUGCGAAUGUGUUUGAGGCCGACAAGGUGACCUUUGCGGCGUAUUUCCUGGAGGGACCCGCCAAUCUAUGGUGGGAGAAUUUUGAAGCUAUGCGUCCCGCUGAACCAGUGGCCACAUGGGCAGACUUCAGCGCAGCUUUUCGUCUGCACCAUAUUCCAGAGGGCCUGAUGGACAGAAAGAGAGAGGAGUUAUGUGCCUUCACUCAGGGCAAGUUGUCUGUGGAUGCCUAUAGCCGCGAGUUCGGUAACCUCGCCCGCUAUGCAACAGAGGAGGUGUCUACUAACGCAGAGAAGCAAGAAAGAUUCCGUAAGGGUCUGAGCCCUGAGCUCCGUCGAGACCUGCGCAUCCAUGAGUGUGCAAGCUUUCAAGCCCUGGUCAACAAAGCGAUCAGUGCGGAGACUGGUCAUACUGACUUCGAAGCCACAAGGAAGCACUCCCGUGACUUUGGCUCGUCUUCUGGUUCCGCGUUUCCAAAACGCAGGCUGUGGGUUCCAAACAGUUCUCUGCCGCCAAGAUACACUCCGAGGCCAUCCUACGUGGCGCCUCAGACGAAUCAGGCCAACCCUCCAGCAAAAGCUUAUGGUGGUCCAGCUAGCAAUGCUGCACCACGUGCCAACCAGGUGAUAUGCAACAAGUGUGGAGAACCAGGGCAUUAUUCCCGUGAGUGUCCUCAGAAUGUGGGUGCCAAGCAACCCGGAAAGUCUGUCGGGCAGGCCAAGUCGGGCAAAGCGUUUUAUGUGAAGCCAACUCCUGCACGUGGCCGUGUGAACUAUGUGUCAGCAGAAGAAGCUGCAGAGGAUCCCGACGUCAUGCUGGGUACGCUUCUUGUUAAUCAUCACCCAGCGUCCGUUCUCUUUGACACUGGGUCUUCUCAUUCCUUCAUUUCAGAAAGUUAUGCACAGUUGCAUAACAUGUCAUUUUGUGAUAUGCCAAUCCCAUUGGUUGUCCAAACCCCUAGUAGUAAAUGGCAAACCUCUAGGAUAACCUAUGACAAUGAAAUUCUAGUAGACAUGCUAGUUUUUCUAGCCUCAUUGAUAGCGUUGAAAUCUUCGGAUAUUAAUAUCAUCUUGGGCAUGGACUGGAUGUCAGCUCACUAUGCCAAGAUUGAUACUUGCUCUAGAAAUGUCCAGCUUACCCAUCCCUCGGGUGAGAUAGUAAAUGUCUCUACUCGAGUUGCCAAAUGCCAGCUCUAUUCCCUAAAUGCCAACCCUCUUCCGGAACUUGAAGACAUUCCGGUAGUCCGUGACUUCCCGGAUGUUUUUCCAGAGGAACUGCCAGGAAUUCCACCUGACAGAGAUGUAGAGUUUGUGAUAGAUCUUGUUCCGGGAACUGUCCCAAUAGCUAGAAGACCUUAUAAGAUGGCACCCCUGGAGCUAGCCGAACAUAAGAAGCAAUUAGAUGAGGCCUUGAACAAGGGUUUCAUUCGUCCUAGCUCUUCUCCUUGGGCUUGUCCCGUCCUCUUCGUCAAGAAGAAAGACAGAACGGAUCGGAUGGUUGUAGAUUACCGACCAGUUAACCUGGUCACCAUAAAGAACAAGUAUCCGCUCCCCAGGAUCAACGAUCUGUACGAUCAGCUCGCUGGAUCCUCAGUCUUCUCCAAAAUGGAUUUUAGGUUGGGAUACCAUCAAAUCAAGAUUAAGAACGGGGACAUUCCAAAAACGGCUUUUGUUACUCGUUAUGGCCAAUAUGAGUACACCGUUAUGUCCUUCGGUUUAACCAAUGCCCCAGCCACCUUCUCUCGGCUGAUGAAUUCAAUCUUUAUGGAGUAUUUGGAUAAAUUCGUCGUAGUAUACCUCGAUGAUAUUCUCAUCUACUCCAAGAAUGAACAUGAACAUGCCGAGCAUCUAAGGCUGGUAUUUUCAAAAUGUGAAUUCUGGUUACCAGAAGUGACCUAUCUAGGCCACGUAAUCUCUGGUAAGGGUAUUGCUGUCAAUCCCGAGAGAGUUCAAGCUGUCCUUGAUUGGACUCAACCUGAAUCGGUUAAGCAAGUUAGGAGUUUUCUUGGUCUAGCGAGCUAUUGUCGCCGCUUCGUCGAGAAUUUCUCUAAGGUUGCAAAGCCUCUAACUGAACUCCUCAAGAAGGAUAAAAAGUUCGAGUGGACACCACAGUGUGAGCAUAGUUUUCAGGAACUGAAAAGACGCCUGACUUCCGCACCUGUGUUGCUACCACCAGAUUUUUCUAAGGACUUUGUUAUCUAUUGCGACGCCUCGCGACAAGGAUUAGGUUGCAUUCUCAUGCAAGAUCGUCAUGUGAUCGCAUACGCAUCUCGCCAGUUGCGUCCACAUGAGGAUAAUUAUCCCACACAUGACCUUGAGCUUGCAGCUGUGGUCCAUGCACUAAAAACCUGGCGAGAUUACCUUUUGGGUAAUCGUUGCGAAAUAUUCACUGAUCACCAAAGUCUGAAAUAUAUCUUCACCCAGCCGGAUUUGAAUCUCAGGCAAAGACGGUGGGUUGAGUUGAUCUCGGAUUACGACUUAGGGAUAACUUACACCCCGGGGAAGGCCAAUGUUAUGGCCGAUGCACUAAGUCGUAAAUCUUAUUGUAACAAUCUGAUGCUACAACAAGGACAACCACUUCUCCAUGAGGACUUUCGGAAGUUGAAUCUUCAUAUUGUUCCUCAAGGAUUCCUUUCUACCCUGGUGGCGAAGCCUACUCUUAAGGAUCAAAUUAUAGCUGGCCAAAAGCGUGACAAGGGUAUAUCACGGAUCAAGGAGAAUAUUUUUAGCGGAAACGCUAAAGAAUUUUCCAUGAAUGAUCAAGGUGUGGUAUUCUUCCAGAAUCGUUUAGUGGUUCCUAAGAACCCACAUCUAAGGCAGUUAAUCCUUAAGGAGGCACAUGAUUCCCCUCUCACCAUUCAUCCUGGUAGUACUAAGAUGUAUCAGGACCUACGCCAGAGGUUCUGGUGGACUAGGAAGAAGAGAGAAAUUGCUGAGUUCGUUGCUAACUGCGAUGUUUGUCGUCGAGUUAAGGCAGAACAUCAAAGGCCUGUGGGCACCCUUCAACCUUUAGCUAUUCCUGAAUGGAAAUGGGAUAAAGUUAGCAUGGAUUUCAUUACCGGAUUUCCCAAGACCAAGAAAGGAAAUAAUGCUAUCUUUGUGGUCAUUGACCGUUUUUCCAAAGUGGCUCAUUUUCUUCCUAUUCGUGAGAGUAUAACAGCUAGCCAGCUAGCAGAGUUAUAUAUCUCUCGAAUAGUGUCUCUUCAUGGUGUUCCCCUGGAAAUUAACUCGGACCGUGGAAGUAUCUUUACUUCUCGUUUCUGGGAAAGUUUUCAGAAUGCCAUGGGGACUCACUUAUCUUUUAGCACUGCUUUCCAACCCCAAUCAAGUGAUCAAGUAGAAAGAGUGAACCAAAUCCUAGAAGAUAUGCUCCGAGCUUGUGUUAUUUCGUUCGGUAUGAAUUGGGAGAAGUGCUUUCCAUUCGCCGAAUUCGCUUAUAACAACAGUUAUCAAUCAAGCUUGGGCAAAGCCCCUUUUGAAGUUCUCUAUGGACGAAGAUGUCGAACACCUCUUAAUUGGUCAGAAACCGGAGAGAGGCAACUCUUUGGUCCGGACAUGAUCCAGGAUGCAGAAGAGCAGGUUCGCAUUAUUCGUGAAAAGUUGAAAACAGCCCAAUCUCGUCAAAAGAGCCAAUAUGAUCGUCAUCAUAAGGCUGUGACCUUUGAAGUUGACGAGAAGGCUUACCUUCGGGUUACACCUUUGAAGGGUACCCAUCGUUUCGGUAUCAAGGGCAAGUUGGCUCCUCGUUACAUUGGUCCUUUUCGCAUUCUUGCCAAACGAGGAGAAGUUGCCUACCAGUUGGAACUUCCUCCGCAUCUUUCCAAGGUUCAUGAUGUUUUUUUACGUCUCGCAACUCAGGCGUUGCUUUUCGGAUCCUAUCCGUGAAGUGGACCACGAAACGCUUGAUCUCCAAGAUAACCUUUCUUACCGAGAAUAUCCCGUGCGUAUUCUUGAUCAAGCUGAGCGUACCACUCGACGUCGAAACCUCAAGUUUCUUAAAGUUCAAUGGUCAAAUCAUUCUGAAAAGGAGGCAACUUGGGAAAGAGAGGAUCGUCUCCGACUCGAAUAUCCUGCGUUAUUCCCGACGACUUCUAAAUCUCGAGACAAGAUUCUUUUGAGUGGGGGUGAGUUGUCACAUCCCUAACCCUUAAGCAAGAUAGCAUUGUGCUCAUGUAUUCUUUGCAUUUGCAUCUAAGAAGUUUCAACAAAAACAACAAAGUGGCAAAGGAGAAACUCAAAACCCUAGCCACCAUUUCAAUUAAAGGAAAUUUCAACUAGUUCAAAAUCAAUGAACACAAAAUGGCCUCAAGAAAUGUUCAAACUUUCUGAUAAAUCAUGAAAGUAAAUGAGCAUUGGAGAAAACUAUUUUCUUGACACUUUAAGCAUUUUAAAUAAAUGCAAAAGCCACUGGUUUCAAAUUUAAAAAUUUGAAAUCAGAAACUAUAAUUUUCCAAAAAUGUUGGAAGUCUUGGAAAUGAGUGGGGAUAUUAUAACAAAUAUUUCAGGAGGUCAAAAUUAGUUUUUACCUUUUGUUUUGGAGCUGAAAUAAUUAGCAAAGCAAUAAACAGCAAAACAGAAAAAACCAAAAAAAGAGAAAAUGGGAAAAGCUUACCUGACGCCCAAGUCAGGCCCAGCCCAUCUCGCCGCUCGUCCCCUUCCCCGCGCCAGUAGGCAGCAGGAGGUGGCCGCCGCCUCCUCCGGCGCGGCCACGCACCUGCGUGCCUGCCUGGCCGCCGGUUCGAGCUGGCGACGACGGGGAUAAGCUCCCCAGAGCCUCCCCUAUCCAUUCCCUGCCUCGGUUCUCCUCCUCCGCCCGGAUCCCCUCCUUCUCCCUGCUGUCGCCAUUAGAGCCGAGCUCGAGCUCGAGCUGGCCGUGCCCCUGGCCAUAGGAUCCCCUCCGCAAGCACGCCAUUAGCUCCGCCUCGUCGCCCUGGUCAUUCCUGCAGAAGUCGAAGCUUCCUCGCGCCCUGCAACGCCCGCAACGCCGUCGUCUUCUUCCUCCGGCCGCCGGACAUCUCCCGUCGAUUCGUAGCCCCCAGGCCUUCCCCGAGCCGUCUGAGCUCUUCUCUGCACUCCCUGUGAGCAUGCGGUGGUUUUCCCUAAGUUUUCCCCGUCGAUCCCCUCCUCUAGCCCUAGUUUCACCGGAGCCCGACGAGCACCGCCGCUUCCGCUCGUCGCCGGUAGCCCUCCGAUGUCCAGCUCGUCCUCCCGAGAGCACCAGCAGCUCCAGGACGACGCGUAGAUGCCGUAGCAGCUAAGAACUAAGCGCGGAUCCCCCUGUUUCAAAGCCCCCGACGACGCCCGAGCUUCGGCCGCCGCUCCGGCUCGUCGCCGACGCCUCUUCCGGCGACCCUAGCCUCCCAAGUUGGUCCUGCCAGAUCGGCCACUUCGCGGGCUUGCUGUAGCUGCCAACCGCGUGCGUUUUCGUGCUGUGCAGCGCCGUCUAGAUCGCCUCCGGCGAGCCCUCCGCCGCGGGUUUGGUCGCCGGCGACCACCCUCCGGUGGCCGUCGACGUGGCCGACCAUUAGGGCCUAAUCGCCCUCCCCUGAGUCGCUGCCAGAGGGCCCCACGCCUGGUCCAACCCCAAUUAGGGGCUGGUCAGCGCGGGAUUAGUCCCAUAGAGGCUGACCAGUGGGGCCCCCCUGUCAGGUUUGACCUGCACAGGUCGGCUGACCUACUGACGUCAGCCUUAUGCAAUAAAUAAAAUUUCCAGUAUAAAAAUAAUUCAGGAAAUUGCUAAAAAUUGCAAAAUUCAUAGAAAUUAAUCUGUAACUCCAAUGAAAAUAAUUUAUAUAUGAAAAAGUAUCAGAAAAAUUCAAGGAUUCUGAUUAUGCUAUUUUCAACUAUGUUUGAAAAAGUUACAGAACCCUAAAUUGUGAAAUAAGGAAUAAUUCAAUUCUUUUAAUCACUUUAUAAAUGGAAUUUGCAAAAUAUCCAAAUUUCAUUAUAAAUACAAUGAUCACACACUGCCCUAGAUGUAAAUCAGUACCAUAACAUGACAUUUCAUGCAUGUUAACAUUAGGUUGAUCUGAGCAUCAGGUCGAAUCAAUUAAACCGGUAUCCGGGAAUACCCGUUUGAAUUGCUUCUCGAAUGUGAUUCAAAUCAACUCUAAACCUAAAACAUCUUGAUUAUAAUAACUUAUCACCUGCAUUCUCAUGCCUUGCUCAUGCAUCAUUUUGAUUGCAUAUGAUUGUUAUUGAAUGUUGCCAUUCCUUUCGGUAGGCUCCGCACCCCCGGAUUCCACCGAAUAUCCGUCUGACGGAUAUCGUUCCUCCUCUGAGCAACAAGGCAAGCAACCCUUUUGAUCAUCCCGAUAACACCUAUGUUCUUGCUCCUGCACCUAUUUAUUGCAUUAGGAUCAAAUGCUUCAAUUGCUUUUGCCACGAUAGUUGGACCCACUUCCUUUGCAUGUCUUAACCUUGUCACAGUAAAUAGCCGAACCUUGCAACCUAGCAUACCUGGUAGUUGCUUGAGCUAUAAUGUGCCUUAUCCUGCCAUGCAUGCUAUGCUUAGAGUUGUGUAUGGUCUGUCAUCUGGGAGAUGAACAGAAAUGUGGAAUGUGUUCGGUGAGCAAAGGUCGUGUGUUGAACUUGAUUUGGUAAAGGUACCGGUGAAAGGCUGUGUAGGAGUACAUGGCGGGUUGUUUCAUUGGAACCGUCCUUAGGAACUGAGUUCCGUGUAUGUAAUCCAAGACUGGAUACUACCACAUGCUGGGCCCUGAAAUAUGACCCCGCUCGGCCUAUUAAUCGCUUAGUACUCGGUCCAGGAGUUGCAAGUAGUUUCUGGUGUUUAUAGUAAUGCUGGAGGCCGUGCAUGGUGCUGACCUGAGAGGUGGACCGUGAUGCGGUAGGCAGUGGCACCCGGAUGGUGGGCUUGGGAACCCUGCGCACAUCGUUUGAGGCCGUGGCGGAAACCUCGGCCGGACUUCCGUACGGGUUACUCUCAGAUAGGCGAUAAACCUGGACUAGGUACUAGUGUGGUUAACGGUCGUGGCCGACUCCCUCGCUGGGCUUCCGCUUGAAGGUUGCCGAGGUGCAUGACGUGCACAUGGCGAUAAGUGGCGGAAGCGUGUGUGACGAAGUACACCCCUGCAGGGUUAUGAUCUAUUCGAAUAGCCGCGUCCGCGGAUAUGGACUACUUGGAGACAUAUGUUGUUCAUAGAUAACUUCAAUGGCUACUCACAAAAUUGUCAAGAUAAGCUUGAGUGUCGUGGACGGCAUUUCCAUAUGGAGACGGAAUGAUUCCACGAUAGUGUAUUGUUGUGGUGUUAGUGGACUCGUGUGCGAGAAAUCAAGUUGUCAAAACUAAUUUCAAAAAGCAAGUUGUCUAGCCACGAGUCAAAUGCUGGCUUUCCGCAUGAAAUCCCACAAUACCUUCUUGAUACCUUGCAUGAGUAGUUAGUCAUCCUAAAGUCUUGCUGAGUACCUUCGUACUCAUGUUUGCUUAAUAAAUGUUGCAGAGAUUGUUAAUGACCCUAAUGGAGGGUUCUUCGUAGACAUCGACGACGACGAGUAGCUGGUGUCCCAGCUACGAUCUGGCCCUACGUCGGCUCUGUAGUAUAGUCAGGCCAUGUGCCUUCUAGUUGCUCUGUCUGUACCCAGACAGUUUAUAACUCUUCCUCUGGCUUGUAUUGUAUGACUGCUAUUCUGGGUCGUGAGACCCUUAAUGUGUAAUAAUAUGUGUGUGGCUCUUCCGAGCCUCUUAAAUAAAGCUUGUAUGUUUAUGGUUAUGUUGUGAUGCCAUCGAUGUAUCUAUACAUAUCGGUAUGCCAUGCGUACGUGUGUCUUACUUGAUAUGUAUGGGGUUCGAAUACCUAGUCGUGAACUUUAGUAGCACUCCUUACAAGGAAAUGCCCCUUUGUGAUCCAACGAGCCUUGGUAGUUCGCUACUGCUCCGGACACAUUGGUUGACCGGCAUGUGUCCUUCUUAGCUGCUGUGUCUGUCCCCUUUGGGGAAAUGUCACGCGACGUAAUGGAGUCCUUGUAGCUUGCUACGACUCAUCUACGUUCGUUGAUGACCGACACCGGCUUUGUUGGGUCAUGUAUGCUUGUCCUUGUGCGGAACUGCCACUUUGGUUUAUGACUAGACAUGUCGAUCCGGGUUCUUUGACAUUCGAAUGGUAGCGACACUAUCGCAUACGUGAGUCAAAAUACGCAAACGGUCCAGGCUAAGGUAAGGCUGCAGCCGUGGAGUUAACCGUGUGUGAGACCACAAAGGGAUGCGAUGUGUUACAGGCUGGAUUCCUAUGGCUUAAGAUCGGGGUCCCGACAAAACGGGGCUCCGAUCCGUCGACGUUUGACUCCGGUAGGAGGAGAUGAAGUUGGCUCUCUUCUAUGUUGAGGAGGUUAACAGAGACUCUCUGUUGUGUUCUCUGUUGUGUGUUAACAGAGAGAGAUGAGAGUGUGGGAGUUAAAUACAAUAAAAACAAAUGAUGUAUUCCAUAUAUAUGAAUGUAUGUAUGUAUGAGAUGCGAUGUAUGUAUUGCGUAUAUAGGUAUUUGGAGGAAUACGAUAUUUGCAUGUUUAUAUCUAUGAAUAAAAUCGAGUAUUUGGCCUAAGGUCACUUACCGGUGGGGCCAACGCACCCGCUGUCUAUGACAGGGAGGCCCCACGCGAUAAUUAAAAAAAUAAAGAUAAUGUUAAUGUUUUUAUUAAAUAAAUAAAUAGAUAUAUAUUAGUUAAAUUAAUUAAUUGGAUCUUUAGGAUAAUUGGAGUAUGACACGUGGGUCACCCACUAAAUUAAUCUGAUUAAUUAAUAUUUAAUCUAUAUUAAAACUUGUGGCUGUGACGUUCGGGACCCGUUGGUCAGUUGACCAGUCAACUGUUGAUGUCAGCAUGCCAUCAUGCUGAUGUCAUAAUAGAUUUUUAUUAAAUUAUUCAAAUUUGUUUUUAAUUCCUAAUUAUUGAAUAAAACAUUAAAAAUUAAUAUUAAAUAAUCCGUAAGUCAGAUCAAAAUAUUUUCAACAUGAAAGUUGAUGAGCAGAACGAGACGAACCCGGAUACACGGUCCAUUCAUCUGUGACGCGUCCCUAGCAUAGCAAACAUGGAACUUUUCUAUCGUUUCCAAUCUGACCGGUAGUAGCCCGAGACCUGGAAAAUAUCGUCAGAUAAUCUUCUGACCCGUCUAUGACGGAUGUUGCUGCAUUAGCUCAUGUCUAGCCUGCAUCUUGCCAUGUCAUGCUUUGUGUUGCACCGUUGCUAUUAUUUAUUGUUUCUUCCCCCUCUUCUUAUGGGUAGACCCCGAGACUGACGCUGCUGCUGGGAACAUCUACGACCCUGCCGAUCAGUCCUUUGCCGCAGAGCAGCAAGGCAAGCAAACCCCCCUUGAUCAUUCCUAUAUCGCUUAUGUCUUUCUUCCUACUGCUUGCAUUAGUAUUUUGCUACUGUUGUAGUUAGCUCCUAUAUCUGAUGCAUAGCCUAUUUUUUAUGAACUGCUACUUUCAGUCCUGUACCUUUAAUAUGCCUAGUAUAGGUGGAGCAGUCAUCCCCUAUUACCCCGUAGUUCAGUUGCCCCGCUUGUUUUCAAAUCUCGAUCUCUAAUCGACGAGCCAGACCCGACACAGCACAUUCACCCCCUUCGUUGUACGACGCUACACAGAUACUAUCGGGUACCGAGGGUGACACCUCGCUAAGUACUCGUGAUGAUAUCUCUGUAGUAUAGCUAGUCGGUCGUGGUUAUCGAGGGUGAUUCCUCUUUCACCAUUCCCGAUGAAGCCUCUGUCGUGCAACCCCUCAAGUGUGGGACCCUCGAGGGUGAUUCCUCUAAGUCCACCUUUAAAUUCCCGGGUACAUCGUUCGGAGUCCAACGAGGGUGAUACCUCGGAUUCCCCCUGAUGUUACAGCCACACAGUUACUCGACCAUGUUACUGGGAUCAUUGGUGAUUAGUUGUAAGACGGGUGGAUUCCCGUGAGACUAUGUUGGCCUAUUUAAAAUGUUAAUGGAUUUGGGUAUUUGAUCUGGGUUGGUCGGAGACCUUUUCGCACUAACCGGCUACGCGGGAAGAAUUAUGGGUACUCGGCGUCGCGGUAUCAGCCGAAGCUUUUCAGAUGCCAGCAAUGUAGCGGCGCACGCCCGAGUGGUCCCGAGAUGCAUCGCUCUUGUGAUUAAGGGAUGCUAAGACUGACGUCGGCCGCCCACGCCACGUGCAGGAGCGCGAAGGGGAACUGGGCCCACGAACCCUUUGUGCUUAGGAGUUAGACCGGCGGGCUGGCCUCUCUGAUUAGUCUUAGGUGGGGCUGCGACGUGUCUAUAUUCCGAGGCCGGGCAGGACCCAGAAAAGUAUGUCCGGCCAGAGUGUUAUCGGGCAUGACGGGACAUGUGGUGCACCCCUGCAGGGAUGAAAGUUAACUAUUCGGAUAGCCGUGUCCACGGUUAUAGGACGACUUGGAGUCGUGCCCCGAUCUUUGACAACUACAAUUGUUACAUAACAAGAUCAUUAGUUUGCCUCGUGAUUGCUUCCUCGCAGCGAGUCCAGGGAGGAUCUUUAGGCGUGACCUCACUUCAAUAUUGCUGCAACAAUAUGACUAUUAAUGUGUUACCCCUGUUCUACUCUCGUGUAUUGCUGCAAGACCCUGAAGAUGCUAGUCUUCGAUAGGACUAGGCCUUCUCUCUCUAUUCUCGCAUUGCUGCAGUCAGUCCACAUAUAACCCCCCCUUCUUUGAUACUGAUGCAUAAUUAGAAUAGUUAUGAUGUAAGACUUGCGAGUACUUUGGAUGAGUACUCACCGCUGCUUUGCUCUCCCCUUGUCCCCUUGAUCCGUUUGCUGCGACCAGAUGAUGGAGCCCAGGAGAUGGAGUUUUUCCUGCCGACGCCUGUCGUCCCGAUGGUGUCUUCUACGUGGAGGCCGCUCAAGAUAGGAGUAGUUUAGGAGGUUCCCAGGCAGGAGGCCUCGCCUCGUUCGAUCGUGUUUCUUUUGUGCUAGCCUUCUCUAAGGCACCCCUUGUUUUAUAUCUGUACUCAGAUAUUGUUGCUUCCGCUGACUCGUGUGUUUAUCGAGCUUUCGUAUUCUAGCCCUCGAGGCCCCUGGCUUGUAAUAUGAAUCUGAUGUUAUUUUAUUUGUGUCUAGAGUUGUGUUGUGAUAUCUUCCCGUGAGUCCUUGGGUUUGAUCGUACGCAUUUGCGUGUAUGGUUAGCGUACGAUUAAAUUGAGGGCGUCACAAGUUGGUAUCAGAGCCGACUGCCUCUAGGUAGUCCCCUUUCCAACUCCUUGGCCGAAGUUGAGUCUAGUGUUUGAAAAACUUUACUAACACUUAUGUUGUGGCUUACGGGCCCACAUCUCAAUUGGGUGGUAUUAGUAUCUUUUACUCCUUUCCUAUACUCUGGGAUCUACUCUCUCUUCUCUUUCGGGAUAAAGAUUUUGCUAACUCUAACAUUAGGUUCUCGUAAAUACUUCCUCCCGAAGAGCCCCGUAUUCCAGACGCUGGCUUUAUCCCUCAGAAGAACUGCAGUUACUCUUCGAUGUUCUCUUGAGCUGUUGUGCUCAUUGUUUCUGCAAUUUUCCCUUCCUUCGUCAACCACUAUGGAUGACUACAUGCAAAUGUCGUUCAUACUUUCUUCUCCAAUUGCUCUUGUUUACGAGAUGCAAUGAAUUAUUUUAUCGGGGAUUCGUCCAUCAUCAGUUGUCAUGGGUUUAGAAAGUUCUUCGACUUACUAUUCGGUCUUCGGAAAUCCUCCGUAGCCUAACGUUCAUGACCUUUCUCACCUGCUUGCAUUAUAGUUAAAUCCACAUGUCUAGCAGCAUUCAUUAAAAUCCUUUGUGAUUUUCCUGUGAUCUUAUUGAUUCUACCUUUCUGUGAAUGCACACGAUCAUCUGUUGUGGCUCGUAAAUUAUCUAUCGGCUCAGACGUCCUUCCAGACCGAGUUGGUUCUCGACAAAUCAAUUUUUAUUGAUUGUCCAUCUAAAUCUAUUCAACUUACUUGUAUUUGAUCGGAGGAUCUGAUUAUGAUACACCAACCUAGAAAUCAUAAUUCCUUUGGUGAUUAAGUAUCGAUAUUUUUCAGAUGUUCUAUAAUCCGAUGCCUUGCGUUUUACCCCCUAUGAUUGAGUACCGGUACUCACAUCAAAUCAUUUGUGGAUUGCCACACUCAUUUGGGUUAUUAUCCGACGUCAUCCUUUGCUUUAGAAAAUUCUUGUGAUUGCUUCCCAUGACACAUGAUGCCAUUGGUAAAUUGUGUCUUCUCCCUUUGAUAAGUUGUACCAUAUGAUUUGUCAGCCAUGCCCUUCAAGCAUGUGUUAAUUACUCAUGGAGUUUGUGGUAUAUGUUCCUAAGAUGCCCCGAUGUGUUGAACCUAUGCCUUCCUAAAUCAAUAUGACCCGAAGAGUUUUCUCGAGUCUUACUCUUCUGGUGUUAUGCCGGUUAUUCUUUCAAAGCUACAACUGAUCAAAGGCGAGGAAUAAAUGGCAGGUGAUGCAUUGAUGAAGUGGGAGUCGACCUUGAACUCUGUGUUCAUGACCAUGGAAACGACGUUGAUCCUACGAUAGAAACUUCUCGUAUCAAUAAUCAUUCAUUAUAUGAUUUGAUCUGGUAUCUGUGAUCUUGUACUUUACAACCGUGGUUCCGACCAUGUUGUCCUACCUUGAUUUCAUUCUUAGAUGAGUUAAAGUACUUGUCUUCUUCAGAUCAAUACAUCGGUCCAAGCCUUAAUGUUGAUCUACCUCCGAAUAUUAUUCCUUGUAGCUUGAGGAUAUCACGAAGCUAUAUAACUUCUUGUGAGCUCCUCAUCAACUAUGAUGUUUUCAUUAAUUCCAGUUUCCUCAUGUUUGAGUUGUUGGACAUGCGAGUACAUCGAUAACUAAAUCGAGUACGCAUUGCGAUUCAACCAUCUUUUAGUAAUCUUCCUUGUUUACGAGUUUAUACUCGAUCCUGUCAUUCCAAGCUGUUAAGCUACAUCAUCAUUGUCAUGUUGUAGCUCGACCAUGCUAUCUAUACCCUUCAUCCCUGGAACACAAUUCCAACCGUGCGUUAAGCUUCCAUCGAGCUUUCCACAUCAUGUUGGUUGUCUUGAAAGGCAAUCUCAAUUCUAAGCUAGCAGUCUUAUCUGUGUUUCCGACAACCUCUUGCUUCAUCAUUCCCUUGCUUGAUGUCGUCGCUAAACGAUUACAUCUUCAUGACAUUUCUCGACAAAUGUGUCGUGAUCAUCAUCAGCAUUCUGAGCUCUUGCAGGGUAUCAAUCAAAUGCAUGUUUACAAAUACCAUCCUUGUCCCUCGAUGAUUGUAUUAUCAUCGGCAUCAUUAUUUACCUUCCCUCCAACACAAAUGUGUUCAUGUUUUGUGUUGUCCCUUAAGUCCCUUGCUAGUUCAGCUUAUGUUAUCUUCUACCUUGGAGUAUUACUAUCUUUUUUAUCAAGAAUGUUGUGAGCAUCAUUACACCUCUUAAGAAUUCUUGAUAUAGUGAUGCUUCUCGGCAACGCCAGUCAUUUCUUGGUCCCGUGUUGUUUCAAACCGGAAUACCAACAAGUGAACUCUGAUGUGUGAUUCCAAUACUUCUGGCAACCCUGUUGCCUUGAGGUUAACAACUGAUUGUUUCAUUCUUAGUGUGUUGGGUGUUGACUAAUAAUUUUAGCAUUUGUCGUGCUACUCACUCAGUAAUUCCGAGUGCACCCUUUUACCAAUGUUUAAUUGUUGUUGUUCCCUCGAGCAUACGACAUUAUACCAUUUGAUUUGACAAAUGCUAUCUCUUUGAUAUUAUAAUUUUGGCUGUCAAAAUUUUGACGGAUUGUUGUUGAGCCCAUCAGCCACACCCUCAACUUCUCUAUGUUCCACGAUGAAGCUCUUGAAAUCAUUAUCCUUGUGCCUAGAUCAUGAAGAAUAUGUGGAUAGUAGAAGUGUAUUUCCCAAAGUUCACGUGCACUCUUUCCGCCGUGAAUAUGGAAAGUUUUGUUUCACUUCCUCUCGUGAAAUACCAAAUCAUUCACGCAUGUGCGAAGUGUUAUAUGUUUGGAAGAUUUGCUAUACUCACUCCAUAUAAUUUCUCUUAGCACGUCAAGCUACUGACUGAUUUGAUCAAGGAAAAGAAGUUCUUUCAUAAGAGCUAAUCCAAACUUACACAUGGAGCCUUGUUAUCCUCGAUGAUGGUGCCCAAAUGAGAACCCAGUUGCAUUUUGAUGUACGAAUUCUAUGUGGGCACGAAUGUCUUGACAUUGUGUUCAUAUGUAUUAAAUCAAACUCUUGAUUCAAGAAUUGCUUGUGUAGCUCACCUCAUGAGAAUCUUGCAUUUUCAUCCUUCUUCUUAGGUAUCUUGAGCCUGAGGUGUCCUGGCACCAAUCAGAUUUGAAUAUCGGGCACGUAUCCCAAUAAUUAUAACUUUGGUCUUUAGGAACACCGGUACAGUGAUGUCUUGUCUGGCACACUGGGUCGGAGGACCUAUUGUUAUAAAUCCUUCCAUAUGUAAGGUUCGCCAUUCUACCAUGGGGAAAUUGUAUGACUUAGCUUUGUAAGUUGUCCCUCCUAGUUCCUCUUUGUAUACCCAUAAGUCCAACAUUUAUCUGAUGACCAUGUCGAUGCUACCCCAAAGCACGGAUGUGGUACUUUAAAUUCCAACAGGAACAUUGGAAGCGCGAUGCUAAAUUGUUCCUGAUCAAUUAUCCAAACUACAUGGUAUGGAUAAACAUGAUGAUUCUUCUUGUCUCUUUACCAAGAUGGUUAUGUACUGGAUGACCUAUCAUGUAUACCAUACUCUAUGAUUUCCUCGGGAAUGGUAUACUCUAAUACUUGUGUGUGUGAACACAUUUUCCCUUCCCAUUGGUCUGUUUGAUUUUUAUUGUGGCAUAACUUAUCUAAGCAGUGUUAAUUCCCUGCUUAGGUAAAAUUCUCGGUAUAUAACUCUGUCAGUAAGACCCUGUUACUAUUAUGGAUAACAUCCCGGUAGCCGCCGGUGAACGAGAACCUUGCCUAUUGGUCCGCCUCGUUUCAACGAGCAGGAAAAUGGUUCUAUUCGUCCCCCGCCCUUUGUACCGACGUUGUUCCAACAUAACUGACAUGCUAUCCUCUGACAUGUCUUGAUACCAAGACCAUGUAAUAUGUCACCCCUCUGUCUACUCUCGGCCCACAUGGUGGACCCAUAACCCAAAGUUCCUCAGGAUUGAAACCAGACUCUCUUGUACAUCUUUGACUCCAAAGUAUCCUUUACACUUGGCUUCGUAUGAAAUUCUCGAGCCACCGUUCAAUGUACCAAUCACUCUUCGGUCCGGAUAUUAUCCAACAUACUAAAGAUCAAGUCCACAUUUUUCAUGACAAUCUGAAGGUUGCUCAGUCUCGUCAGAUGAGUCGGUAUGACCGUCAUCAUCAAGAUAUGGUAUAUCAACCUGGCAUAAAGGCUGAUCUUCACGUCACACCAAUGAGAGGUGCACAUUGUUUUAAGAUCAAGAGCAAGUUAGCUUCUCGCUAUAUUGGUCCUUUCAUUUUUUUCGAAAGGCGAGGAAAAGUGGCUUAUCAAUUUGGAACUGCCGGCGAACCUUUCUCAGGUUCACGAAGUCUUCCAUGCUUCUCAGCUCCGUCGCUGCUUCAAGAAUCCUAUCCGAGCAGUGGAUCAUGGUAUGCUUGAGCUGCAACAAGACCUCUAUUAUAAAGAGCAUCCGGUCCGCAUUCUCGACCAAGCUGAACGUAAAACUCGUCGCAAAGUCACCAAGUUCCUUAAGGUGUCGUGGUCAAAUCAUUCUGAAGAUGAAGCCACUUGGGAACGCAGGAUCAUCUUCGUGAUGAAUACCAGGGGCUCUUUCCUUCUACCUCUUAAUUCUCGGAACGAGAAUUCUUGUUAGUAGGGAAGAGUUGUGACAUCCCCGGAUUAGGCUACAGUGAUCCCGGUAAUUGAACUACAGUACACCUAUGCAAAGGAUGCCAUGUCACCGUGUUUCCUAUCAUUGAUCUCGCGAUUGUUUGAGUCAGUCCGAAUUUAAGACUUAAGUUUAAAAUCAAACGAGAAAAGUUANNNNNNNNNNNNNNNNNNNNNNNNNNNNNNNNNNNNNNNNNNNNNNNNNNNNNNNNNNNNNNNNNNNNNNNNNNNNNNNNNNNNNNNNNNNNNNNNNNNNAUAUCUUUUAUAACUAUUUGUUUCAUUUCGUGUUUACGAUUAUGCCCAUCAAGUUGAUAUAUAUAUUUUUAUCUAGGAGGUAUGUGAACCAGAAAUUGCAAUCGACCCUCUUAUCGAGAAGUUAAAUUUAGUUGAAAAAGAAAAUGGUUAUUUGAAAGAAAAAUUGAAAAGAAUUGAAGAAGAGAAAAUGAAAUUGGAGUUGUAUGUUGCCCAUGUCGUUGAUGAUCAUAAGAUCAAGAUGGAUGCAAUGCGCUUGACGGUUAGAAAGAUUAGAAAAUAUGAUAUUAAUAAAGAGGCUUGUUAUCAUUAUGUUGUUGGAUCAAUUAUUACCUUAGCUGCGAUUUUGAUUGAAUAUGUUGUUGCAUUUAAAUUCUUUAGAUAGUUGUAUGUUGUUUUAUGAGAAGUAUAUAUAUAUAUUUUUGCAGUAAUAACAUUUGGUCACUACUCUACUUUAGUUUUAGUGUGGUGAAAUUGUAUUAAUUUGGUCACUUCAAUGGUGUGUAGUGAAGAUGAGCCGGCAAUGUAUGUACAAUGAUCGACGCUCUCCCGAGUUCAUUAAUGGCCUGCACAAUUUUAUGCGUGUGGCUGAGGCGAACAAGCAGAAUGGUUUUAUGUGUUUUCCAUGUGGUGUCUGUAAGAAUAAUAAGAUUUAUUGUACCUCAAAGAUCCUUCACAACCAACUGCUUCAGUCCGGUUUCACGUCCGACUAUAAUUGUUGGGCCAAGCACGGAGAAAGAGGGGUUAUGAUGGAAGACAAUGAAGAAUAAGAAGAUGAUGACAACUAUCCUAUGUUUCCUGAAUACGGUGAUACUUAAAAGGGGGAAGAUGAAGAUCAAGAGGCGCCAGUGUUGAUGCAUAGAGAAAAUGCGAAAGUAAAAGGAGAGGUUGAAGUUGGAGCGCAAGUUAUAGGAUAAAAAAAAAUUUGUACCCAAAUUGCGAAGAUGACAAGAAAAAGUUGGGUACCACACUGGAAUUGUUGUAAUGGAAGGCAAAAAAUGGUGUAUCUCACAAGGGAUUUGAAAAGUUGCCGAAUAUUACAAAUAAGAUGCUACGAAAAGAUAAAGAAUUGCCCACCAGUAUGUACAAAGCAAAGAAGGUUGUCUUCCCUCUAGGAUUAGAGGUGCAGAAGAUACAUGCAUGCCCUAAUGACUGCAUCCUAUACCGCAAUGAGGAGUAGGGGAAUUUGAAUGCAUGCCUGGUAUGUGAUGCAUUGCGGUAUAAGAACAACCACGAUGACUCUAAUGAUGUUGAGGGAGAGCGCCCUAGGAAGAGGGUUCCUGUGAAGGUGAUGUGGUAUGAUCCUAGAAUACCAUAGUUGAAACGUUUGUUCCAAAACAAAGAGCAUGCCAAGUUGUUGUGACGGCACAAAGAAGACCGUAAGAAAGAUGCGAUGUUUUGAGUACCUGUUGAUGGGUCGCUAUGGAGAAAAAUCGAGAGAGAAUUCCCGGAAUUUGCAGUUGACACAAGGAAUUUAUGGUUUUCUCUAAGUACAUAUGGCAUGAAUCCUUUUGGGGAGCAGAGCUGCAGUCAUAGCACGUGGCAUGUGACUCUCUGUAUCGACAACCUUCCUCCUUGGUUGUCCAUGAAGUGAAAGUUCAUUAUGAUGUCAGUCCUCAUCCAAGGCCCUAAGUAACUCGACAACAACAUUGAUGUGUACCUAAGGCCAUUAGUUGAAGAAGUUUUAAAGUUGUGGGAUAAAAAAGGUGUAUGUGUGUGGGAUGAGCACAAACCGGAGGAAUUUGACAUGCGAGUGCUGUUGUUUGUAACCAUCAAUUAUUCGCCCGCUCUUAAUAACCUUUCAGGACCAACAAGCAAGGGAUACAAUGCAUACAUAUACCGUUUAGAUGAGACUAAAAGUAUAUAUUUUGAUAAAUGUAAGAAGAAUGUGUACCCGGGACAUCGUCAGUUUCUUCCGACCAGACAUCUCUUAAGAAAGAAAGUCAAGCAUUUCAAAGUUGAGGAAGAUCACCGUAAGAAGCCUCGCCACCGUACUGGUGAUGAUAUAUUUGAUAUGACCAAGCAUUUAUAAGUAAUCUUUGGAAAGGGUCCUGGCGGACAAUCUGUUCUAAGUGACGCGAACGGACACACACCCAUGUGGAAGAAGAAAAUUAUAUUUUCGGAGCUACACUAUUGGAAAGUCCUAGAGGUCCGCAAUGCAAUCGAUGUGCUGCACGUGACAAAGAAUCUUUGCGUGAACCUGAUAGGCUUCUUUGUGUGUGUGUGUGUGAAUACAAAAGAUAGACCGUAGGCAUGGGAGGACCAUCAAAGUAUCAACGAAAAAGAUGGCAUGCAUCCAAAGUCGUAUCAAGGUCCUGCUAGGUAUGCUCUUGCUAAAGAAGAGAAGGAAAUCUUUUUUGAAUGCCUUAGCAGUAUGAAGGUCCCGUCUGGCUUCUCAUCGAACAUAAAGGGAAUAAUAAAUAUGGAAAAGAAAAAAAAAUCCAAAACCUAAAGUCUCAUGACCGCCACGUGAUUAUGAUGCAAGUACUUCCGGUUGCAUUGAGGGGGAUUCUAUCGGAAAAUGUUUGAGUACCCAUUGUGAAGCUAUGUGCAUUCCUCAAUGCAAUUUCUCACAAGGUAAUCGAUCCAGAAAUCCUGCCAAGGUUACAUAAUGAUUUUCUCCAAUGUCUUGUUAGUUUUGAGGUUGUGUUCCCACCAUCCUUCUUCAAUAUUAUGACACACGUCAGAGUUCACCUAGUCCAAGAGAUUACCAUUCUAGGUCCUGUAUUUCUACACAAUAUGUUCCUCUUUGAUAGGUUCAUGGGAGUCUUAAAGAAAUAUGUUCAUAAUCGUGGUAGGCCAGAAGGAAGCAUGUCCAAGAUGUAUGGAACAGAGGAGGUUAUUGAGUUUUGUGUUGACUUUAUUCCUAACCUUAAGCCGAUUGGUGUUCCUCCGUCUUGGCAUAUGGGGAGAUUGAGUGCAAAAGACAUGCUAGGAAAUCAAGCAGUAAUAUGUAUGGACGAGCAUUCUUUCACUCAAUCACACUACAUAGUUCUACAAAAUUCCACAUUGGUGGCUCCAUAUAUCGGGGAACACAUGGAUAUUAUACACUCCAAGAACCUGGAGCAGUCUAACUCCUGGAUUAAACGUACACACAUGGCGACUUUCGGUGAUUGGUUGCAAACACAACUCAUGAAUAAGACCAUCGUUGAAGAUGAGUUGUACUUGUUGGUUAAGUCACCAUCUUCGACUAUAUUGACUUACCAAGGGUAUGAGAUAAAUGGGAAUACAUUUUACAUGAUCACCCAAGAUAAAAAGAGCACCAACCAAAACAAUGGUCUACGCUUUGAUGAAACAUACAACGAUGGGAAAAGGAACACAUAUUAUGGUUACAUAGAGGAGAUACGGGAACUUGACUAUGGAAGUUCUUUUAAGGUCCCUUUGUUUUGGUGCAAAUGGGUCAAUCUGACAGGAGGUGGGCUAGAGGCAGACCAAUAGUACGGAAUGACAACAGUGAAUCUGAACAAUCUUGGGUACACAGUCGAACCAUUCGUCCUAGACAAUGAUGUGCUCGGAUUUUCUAUGUGAAUGACAUGUCAAUCAUACCGAGAAAAAGAAAAGAUAAGGAAAUGAGUACAUCAUACGAUGAGCCAAAGUGCCACAUAGUUCUUUCAUGGAAAAUAAACAUCAUGGGCGUGGAGGACAAGACACACAUGUCUGAAGCUUAUGACAAGUUUUAUGAAAUUCCUCCCUUCAAAGUGAACACUGACCCAAGCAUCCUUUUCCAUGAUGAAAAUUCUCCAUGGUUACGGCACAACAUAAGGAAGGGACAUACACGAAUAAAAAGUCUUAUAGCCAAGAUCCAACUCACGUAUGUGACAGGCUUCAUCGUCAUCACUUUCUCUCAAGUGAGUUUCUGGACUUAUAGCUGGAAAAUCCCACUCCAAACUUUGCUACCCCUUUGUGAUGCCAGAAUCUUUGUAAGAGCUAGGGCAUUUUGUUUUUGGAAUAUUUUGGUGAAUCAAAUUAAUUUGGAUUGAUAUGAAAUUUGAAAAGUCACCGUAUAUAUCAUUUGUGACCUGCUAGAACUUUCCUAGAAUUAUCUGAGGAUAUUUCUUAUAGAAAUAUUUCAAAUACUUGAAAUGAACAAAAAGGGUUUUGGAGGGAUUUGUCCAAUAUUUUGAAACAUACUCAUAAAACACCUAUUGAAAAUAUCCUACAAAUUUUGAAUCAACUCUUUUGGUUUAUUUUCAAAUUGUUAUGCAUUUUACAAUGGAUUUUGAGAUCAAGGGGAAUAAUAAAAGGGGUUAAAACAAGUUUUUUUACUAAAUCUCCAGAAGGUGUAUAUGGAAAUGAGGUUGAUCACCCAUAGUGGGAUUGUAUGACGAAAGUUGCCAAUGUAAACUUUAUAAACCCUAGAAAAGGGCAGAAAUAUAUUUUCCUAGAUCUGGUUUUGCAAACUUGUCCCCCCUAAUGCACCACUUGGUGUUGUGGCAUUAUUUGAGGAUUAGAGCAUAUGACCAAAAAGUUUGGGGUCAAUUGAGGAAACUUGACAAUGCAAAUUUUUCAAUUCUAGAAAUCAGCAGAAAUGGGUUUAGGGAAUUUGGACAAGUGGAUCUGUUCUCCUUGAUGCACCACUUGGUGUGGAUGCAUUAUUAGGUUAUUAGAACAUGUCCACAAUGUUUGAGAAUAAUUGGAGAAAGUUGUCAAUGUAAACUUGUCCAAGUUUGGACCUGGACAAAGAUGGUUUUGGAAUAUUUUGGUGACUCAAAUCAAUUUGGAUUGAGAUGAAACUUGGCAAGGUCACCAUAUAUAUAUCAUGUGUGACUUGCUAGAAUUUUACAAGAAUUAUUUGAUAAUAUUUAUUAUUAAAUAUUUUAAAUACUUGAAAUGACCACAAAUGGUUUCGGAGGGAUUUCUCCAAUAUUUUGAAAUGUACUGAUAAAAAACUAUUUAAAAUAUCCUACAAAUUUCCAAAUUGAACAUACUCAUAAAUCACACUAAUAUUAAACAACGAGGAAAUUAAUCAUUCAAAAAUCUAUUUUUGGACUAAAGUUAUUCACAAACUAGUGAUUCACACAAAUUUCAAAGAAUUCAAAUUUAAACAAUUCAAAUUUGAAAGCUACUACCAUUAACCGUGAGUUUAAAAUUUUCUGACCUAAAGACAAAAGAUUCACUAAAAAACUCUAAAUAUUCUAAAAGUUAUUAAAAAUCUAAAAGCAAAAACAAUUCUGUUUAAAAAGGAACCUUUACUCCCGGUUGGCGAUAUCAACCAUGACUAAAGGUCGACCUUUAGUCCCGCCUCCCGGUUGGGGAUACGAACCGGGAUUAAAGGGGCUUUAAUCCCAUAUGGUAAUACCAAGAGGGACUAAUGGUCCCGUCUAUAUAAGUGCAUGUUCUCCCGAUGCCAGUUACCACGCGGGAGAACACAACAACGCCGCCAGGCCGCCGAACCUCGACGCCGAACUGCUCGUCACCAUCGCCGCUCGUCGUCCGUGCUCCAUCGACGAAGGGUUCCCUAUGAUGUCGGUCGUUUCAUGCUAUCCAACGCCAUCCCUAAUCCACUCCUCCCCACGCGCUGGUGAGCUCCCCUCACCAUCCCGACCCCCUCUGCUCCCCACGCGUCCAUUCCCCAUCAUCGCCAUAUUCUUCGGCGAAGGACCCCCGUUCCCCCUCCACUCCUCCCUGUCCGGCGCAAGACCCCUGACCACCUGAUCCUAUGUAUUUAUUUUUGCCAAAAAUUGCAUGAGGAGUCUGGUUCUCUCCCAUGCUUUGUUCAAAUGGUGGUGGCAAUGUCAGUACCGAUAAUUUCUCUUCCUAAGGGUUUCUUCCUGAAUUGAUUGUCUAUUGGUGAAUGGAGACAUGUUUGAAGUGUUGAUCCUCUAAGAAUGUCAUUGUAGUUGUACACUACUCAAAGUUCUGUCCAUUUAGUGGCAGACUAAAAAUUGCAUUUUUUAUUUAUCCAUUGAUGUGGAAGAGCAUAGCUAAAAAAUUCUCAGGAGUGGAGUAGGGUUAUCAUAAAAUAGAAACCACUAUAUAACUUCUAUUACGGGAGGAGUCCCCGAUGAUCGCGGGAGAGGAAUCCCAUACGAUCGCCGGUGAGGAGUCCCCGGCGACCGCUAGUGGGGAGUACGACGAUCACCGAUGAGGAUCGAGUCCACGAUGACCGCCAAUGAGGAGUCCCCGAUGAUCACCAGUGAAGAGUCCUCGACGAUCGCCGGAGGAGUCCACGACGAUCGCUAGUGAGGAGUCCUCGACAAUUGCUGGUAAGGGUCAAGUCCCCGAUGGGCAGCUAGAGCAACCAGAUCCAGCAUUGGAUGAUAGUGCCGUCCCAUCUAUGCGGAAAAGUAGCAUGUGACACAAGGGGCUUCGGUCCGAUGAUGCACUGCUGGCUCUCUACCCCUGGAUGAUAUCAAAGAGAGGACAGAUUGUGAGCUACACCAAAAAAUGAAGAACAUAUCCACGAAGGUGUCGGUCGGCUUUGCUUUACCGAAUGCACCUGAAGCAACUAUCCAUUGCAAUCCGAUUCCAGCUAGCUAGGAUAAAGUCGGGGUGGGUGAAAUUCUGCCGAGAUAUGAGACACUACAGCUUGACAUUCCUAGAGGUGAAGUGAGUGAGACGUUGGGAGAACUCAUACAUUGUGUCAUUUUAUGGAGUAAGGAAUGCAUCAUGUUUCGAUACUCGGCACCAAGGAAACCGACUUCUCCGAGCAACAAUACACCUCGAAGUACACCCAACGUUGCGAUCCCUAGUGCGAGUCCAGGUCGAUCGCUGCCGCAUCAGCCGACUCCACCCCGUAUGUCCCAGAUGGGCCAAAAGCGGAAGACCACUCCUCCGUCGACAAUUAAUCCUAUUGAGAAGAGAUCUACAAAGAAGAAAGCUUAAUGCAAGCCUCCUACCAAAAAUAAGUUAGCGUAUGAUAUGACUGACGAGGAACUCAACGAGAUCGUGGUUUCUGAAGUAAAGUCCCAUUUUGCACCGAAACGGCUCCAGCCGCCAAAGGAGAUAAUACUUGAGAAAACCAUAGUCCACUUUGUGGAAUUUCAUCAGCGACCCCCCAUCACAUGUGGACAAUAGGCCAUCAGACUGUGACCGCUCUAUUAGGAUGUUAUAUGAAAAACAAAUGCAGUAGUCGAAACCUACAAAUAGUUAAAAAAGAGGGAAAACAGUUCCCCAGUUCGGAGAAAAUGCAAUGAAAUUGACCCCCCCUCGCUCAAGGUGACGACUGAUGCUACUAAAAACAUCGGUCUAAGUGUUAAUUAACUCCUAGGCACCGAGGAAGUCCCCGUAGAUGAAGUAGCAUGCGAUAUAUCGCCAAGCAAUCUCUGGUGAGACCUGAGCAGGUCCCGCAACUAUCAACGCAAAUGUGAAUAUUGCAUGGGUGGUACAUGAAAGAAGUUUCCCUCGGGCGAUUGUAGAUCAUGAUGAAAGUCAAGAAAGAGCAGUACUUCUAUGAAAACGAGCUAUACAUUGAGUUUGAUGUAUUAUUUCAGUUAUACAAUCAAGACGCACUCGACAAAUCUAUCGUGAGUUUCUAUUGUCUAUAAGUGAUUUCUUUCUGUAAUUUAAGUCUCGAACUCGGCUCGUUCAUUGACUGUAAUUAUCCUCACUAUAUUAUUUUGUACGCUAUUAUGCAGAAUGAAGAUUACCAAUGCAAAAGAAAGGGAAUCUAUGCCAUUGGGUACAUUGACCCAUACAUUCUUACUAAAAAAUUGAUAGAAGACCGCCCCGAAGACUCAGAGAUGAACUUGCUAAGGUUUUUAAAGGCAUAAAAUACCAAAAAAAUACUAUGGCCUUACAAGUUCAGGUGAGUGUUACUAUCUUGUACUACAAAUUCUGUUUUGCUUACUUGAUGUUAAGUGUAGUUGAUGAGUUAUGCAUACUUUCUUAUAUAAACGUGUGUCGGGUUCCACUGGAUGCUGCUAAUCAUUAGAGUUGAUGCUGGAAUGGUUGAAGUCCUAGACUCACUAGGUAAAAACACUCAAGAAUACACCAGCAUGGUUAAAAUGUACCAUAGGUAAUUUCAAUCAUUAUCGCACUAUAUCACCCUCUUUCGUUCAUUUCCUGAUAUCAAGUACUCCCUCCGCCCGGAAAUACUUGUCGGAGGAAUGAAUGUAUUUAGAUGUAUUUAUUUCUAGAUACAUCCAUUAUUAUUCACUUUUGUGACAAGUAAUUCCAGACGGAGGGAUUAAUUAAUAACUCUUUUAUUCAUUUAAUUUGCCGGGCAGGGUUUGGAAGCGAUUCAUUAGAGAGGUUGUUAGUGAAUGGAAACUGGAGCUCCGUUGGAAAAUGGUCAAGGUAAUUAAAUAAGAACUACUAGCUAGGUUCGUGCAUCUUUUUAAUUUUAUACCAAAUUGUAAAUAUAUAUGUAUGUAUGAGAAAUUAUAUUAUAUAUGCACCAACAUGUACAAUAUGUAGUAGCGUAAACUAUGUUUCAAAUGAAAAAGAAUUGAAUGAAAAACACAAAAUGAAAAGGAAAAUAAACUAUAAACCCUAAACCCUAAAACCCUAAACUCCAAACAAAAAACAAAAUCUUUAGUCUCGGUUUGUGACACCAACCGGGACUAAAUGUCCUCCAGCCCCCGGCGCACGCCCGUGGCCACGUGGAGGGACUUUAGUCCCGAGGUGUGGCCAACCGGGACUAAAGGUCGGACCCUUUAGCCCCAACCCUUUAGUCCCGGUUGGUGACCUAGGACUAAAGGUAGUUCCCAACUCGGACUGAAUCCCCGUGUUCUACUAGUGUUUGCAUCCACCCAUCUGCAGUACCUCGCAAAUCCGACAUUUUUUGCUCGCCUCAUAUUCUUCCACUCUCAGUCCGUCCAUCAAGGAAGGAUAUCGUCGUUGUUAACCAUCAAGGACGUCGUGAGUCCCUGUGUCCGUCGGAGCUUGUUCGCAUCCUCAUCCACGAAGGAGGUAUUUGCCCAUGUUCUCUUCGUCAACUCAUUUUUUCAUAUCUGCAGCAUGAACUUCUUUUGUAGGAUUUAGUCGAUGUUGUAAAUAUUGUAAAAAAUCGUUAAAUGUGAAGAUAGAUAAGUUGUGGAUGGUCUGGUUCAUUGUGCAUAAACCAUCUUUACGUUAACCACCACCUGAGGCAUGGCUAGAAGACUCGAUGACCAUUUAUAAUUUGAGACAAAAGCUUGUGGAUCAUGGUUUACUCUAUAAUGAUUUCAUUUACUAUUGAAGCUGGGUUUACCCAAGUGACAAGAUCAAGUGGAACUUCAGCAACAAGAAUAAGUUUAGCUCAGGUUACAAGAGGAUGUUGAAGUCAAGCAACGAGGUGGUGAUGAGGAACCCCAGGUGCAGGACCAGGUUCAGCUCAAGUGAGUGGCUGCCGAGCUUCAACUCGAGUUGGUGUUUGAGGUUAAACAUUGGUGGAAGGAUUAGUUUGACUGAACUCACAAACGAUAGCACAGUCGGGAAGAUGAUUGAAGAAUACAAACCAUUUCACAUGGUUGAAUUGCAUUGUUACAGUAGACCAGAUUGGUUUGCAGACCCUCCUCCAAUUACAAAAGCAGAUGUUGUUAACAACUCUUAACAUCAUGUUUGAAGUUGUUUCGUUAUGAUUUGCCACUGAUUGAGAACAUGUACCAUCUCUUGUGUGAAAACUCUAAAUUUGCCAUCGCGGUGGCAUACGGUUAUGAUUUGCUCUAUUCAUGUUCAUUUUAUCUUCAAUGUGUUUUUAAUUACACUACGGUAGCAUUGAAAUAACAGUACAUAGUGCAAUAAAUUUAGAGAAACCAACUUUAGAGCAACCCAGUUUAUUCCCUCUCUUCAAACUUAACAAAGCAUAUUGUUACAUGAAUCUGAAUCCAGUCUCACUCACUAGGUCUUUGCUGGCCUUUUUCCGAGCGCAACACUCUUUGACUUGCUUUUGAUACUUCACUUUGUGUUUACUCUUUUGCUUCUCCACCAACAUAUUCUUAUCUUUUCUCUCCACGUACCCGACACCGAACCAAUACUGCUCAUAUCGUUUCUUGUUUUCAAGCUAGCAUUUGCUUGGCCACCUAGCACCUUCCUGCAACGAGUUCAUAGGUGUUUUUCAAAAACUCGAGCAAGAAUUCGGAUUUGAGAGGAUAUGGACAGUUUGACUUACAAAGUAUGCCGCGGGCCCCUGGGUGUGUUUGGAGACAAAUCCCGACUAACCCGUUUCUCCUUUUGUUCGUACCUGGAAUAACUCUAUGAUGUAGCAGGCUAGAACACCGCAAUGAAAGUGUACUACAUGUGGCACAAAGGAAUCUAGUUCGUCGAGGGAUGGCAUAUCUGCUGGUAGGAAGGUGCCGCUGUGGGGUCCUACAAGUUCAUUCAAACUCCCUUUUUCUUUCAUGCAAAGAGUAUCCCAUGGUUACGAUGCAGAUAUGCAAAAACAAUGUCGGUGCGUGAGAGUUAAAGAUGGUCCGAGUGUCUGUAUUCAAAAGUCAAUACGUCUGAUAUUAUAGAUGGAUGGUCUCAACCUCACGGGCUCUCUUUAACAGUUUGGCGGCCUCGCUCACUAUGUGGGCUUUGGUGGGCUAGCCUUUGUCCUCAUUAUCCUUGUGUUUUCUUCACCCGGGGCGACAACCUAGCUCCUCCACAUUCUCCUUUCCCCAAAUCUUUCUCAUUGAUAUGCUACCACCGCUUGACCUUGGUUCUGAAGGAAGUUACGGCCGGUUGGCCGGCGUUACGCCUAUACACACACCCUAAGCUGGCCCUGACCCGUCGUACACAUCGUCAAGACUCCAUACGACAUGAAAUGUCUACCGGUGUUGUUGUUUCAGGGCAGAUUCAACCGUGGUAGGAAGUAAGUUACCGUAGUUGUCAAAGUUUUUCCCUUUUGUCCGGUGUACUAUCGAAUUAGUUGGGUAGGGCGUUGUCAAAGCUUGUUGUCUUUCAAGUUAUCUUAGAUCUAGUUCCCUUCUUAUUCCGCGGCUCCUGUGUGGAACACUUACAAUAGUUUGCCGUGUUCUUGCACAGAGUACAAACGUGAAUAGGUUUGGUGCUUCUUGUGCUAGCCAAUAUUUGGAUUUGGUCCCUCAUUUGUACCAUACAACAACAAAUGAUUCGCUCGAAGAUGGUAACACUACUACCUUUGAGAUAGUUGUUUUCAACUUUAUGUUACAAAUGAUUCAUCACCACUUGGUGAUAAUGGUAAUAAUCUUUGAUUUCCAGACGAUAGCGAUAAGGUUGCAAUUCCCGAGUAGUAUGGAAGUGCAUCAAGCAUAACUUCCACCUUUUAACACGGGAGUCGGGCACAUGAGGAAGCUACCGUGGCCUCAACUAAUGUUCAAUAGUCUAAAUCAAUCCAGCAACAACAGGUACUACCUUGUUGUAGGACAAGACUAGCACUGUUUGACUGUUGAUGCCGCUCUGGUAUGUACAUUUAUUUUUACAUCCUUUUAUCUGUGAUUUGAUCAGUCAUAGUUAAUGCAGGUGGUUCCAGCGUUGAACCAACUUCACAUAUAGAAGCACCAGGUGAAUGCACCCCAAUAUUGAACUUUCUGUCGAUCAUAAUGCACAUGGUAAUGACCAGAUCUAUGAUGGUCCCAGUACCGAUUACCCGGUAUCUGAACAAAUACACGAAACAAAUGUAGCAGAGGAUGUUGGUGGCUGCAUCGACAACCCGUUAUCCCACAAUCAAUUCGGGCCAUUGGAAUGCAAUGUAGCGGAGUAUGUUGACGUAGGAUAGGAUGUUGAUGUAGCUUUAUUAUUAGCGGCCAUGCCUAGAUAUGCAGUAACACAAGAUUCCACAAACGCAUCUGAAGGAUGUACUCAGAAGCAUCGUACGAUUUCAUCGCCCCUGUGACGCCCUCGAUUUAAUCGUACGCUAACCAUACACGCAAAUGCAUACGAUCAAACCCAAGGACUCACGGGAAGUAUCACAACACAACUCUAGACACAAAUAAAAUAACAUCAGCUUCAUAUUACAAGCCAGGGGCCUCGAGGGCUAGAAUACGAAAGCUCGAUAAACACACGAGUCAGCGGAAGCAACAAUAUCUGAGUACAGACAUAAAACAAGGGGUGCCUUAGAGAAGGCUAGCACAAAAGAAACACGAUCCAACGAGGCGAGGCCUCCUGCCUGGGAACCUCCUAAACUACUCAUAUCUUCAGCGGCCUCCAUGUAGAAGACACCAUCGGGACGGCAAGCGUCGGCAGGAAGAACUCCAUCUCCUGGGCUCCAUCAUCUGGUCGCAGCAAACGGAUCAAGGGGACAAGGGGAGAGCAAAGCAGCGGUGAGUACUCAUCCAAAGUACUCGCAAGUCUUACAUCAGAACUAUUCUAAUUAUGCAUCAGUAUAAAAGAAGGGGGGGUUAUAUGUGGACAGACUGCAGCAAUGCAAGAAUAGAGAGAGAAGGCCUAGUCCUAUUGAAGACUAGCAUCUUCAAGGUCUUGCAGCAAUAGACGAGAGUAGAACAGGGGUAACACAUUAAUAGUCAUAUUGUUGCAGCAAUAUUAAAGCGAGGUCAUGCCUAAAGAUCCUCCCUCGACUCCCUGCGAGGAAGUAAUCCCGAGGCAAACUAAUGAUCCAGUUAAGUAACAAUUGUAGUUGUAAAAGAUCGGGGCACAACUCCAAGUCGUCCUGUAACAGUGGACACGACUAUCCGAAUAGUUAAUUUUCAUCCCUGCAGGGGUGCACCACAUGUCCCGUCACGCUCGAUAACACUCUGGCCGGACAUACUUUUCUGGGUCCUGCCCGGCCUCGGAAUAUCGACACGUCGUAGUCCCACCUAAGACUAAUCAGAGAGGCCAGCCCGCCGGUCUAACUCCUAAGCACAAAGGGUUCGUGGGCACAGUUCCCCUUCGCGCUCCUGCACGUGGCGUGGGCGGCCGACAUCAGUCCUAGCAUCCCUUAAUCACAAGAGCGACGCAUCUCGGGACCACUCGGGCGCGCGCCGCUACAUUGCUGGCAUCUGAAAAGCUUCGGCUGAUACCGCGAUGCUGAGUACGCAUAAUUCUUCCCGCGUAGCCGGUUAGUGCAAAAAGGUCUCCGACCAACCCAGAUCAAAUACCCAAAUCCAUUAACAUUUUAAAUAGGCCAACAACACAGUCUCACGGGAAUCCACCCGUCUUACAACUAAUCACCAAUGAUCCCAGUAAAAUGGUCGAGUAACUGUAUGGCUGUAACAUCAGGGGGAAUCCGAGGUAUCACCCUCGUUGGACUCCGAACGAUGUACCCGUCAAGGUGGACUUAGAGGAAUCACCCUCGAGGGUCCCACACUUGAGGGGUUGCACGACAGAGGCGUCAUCGGGAAUGGUGAAAGAGGAAUCACCCUCGAUAACCAGGACCAACUAGCUAUACUACAGAGAUAUCAUCAGGAGUACUUAGCGAGGUGUCACCCUCGGUACUCGAUAGUAUGUGUGUAGCGUCGUACAACAAAGGGGGUGAAUGUGCUGUGUCGGGUCUAGCUCGUUGAUCAGGGAUCGAGAUUUGAAAACAAGCGGGGCAACUGAACUACGGGGUCAUAGGGGAUGACUGCUCCACCUAUACUAGGCAUAUUAAAGGUACAGGACUGAAAGUAGCAGUUCAUCAAAAACAUGCUAUGCAUCAGAUAUAGGAGCUAACUACAACAGUAGCAAAAUACUAAUGCAAUCAGUAGGAAGAAAGACAUAGGCGAUAUAGGAAUGAUCAAGGGGGUUUGCUUGCCUUGCUGCUCCGCGGCAAAGGACUGAUCGACAGGGUCGUAGAUGUACCCGGAAGCAGCGUCAGUCUCGGGGUCUACCGGUAAGAAGAGGGGGAAGAAACAAUAAAUAAUAGCAACGGUGCAACACAAAGCAUGACAUGGCAAGAUGCAGGAUAGACAUGAGCUAACGCAGCAACAUCCGUCAUAGACGGGUCGGAAGAAUAUCUGACGAUAUUUUCCGGGUCUCGUGCUACUACCGGUCAGAUUGGAAACGAUGGAAAAGUUCCAUGUUUGCUAUGCUAGGGACGCGCGACAAACGAAUGGACCGUGUAUUCGGGUUCGUCUCGUUCUGCUGACCAACUUUCAUGUUGAAAAUAUUUUGAUCUGACUUACAGAUUAUUUAAUAUUAAUUUUUAAUGUUUUAUUCAAUAAUUAGGAAUUAAAAACAAAUUUGAAUAAUUUAAUAAAAAGCUAUUAUGACAUCAGCAUGAUGGCAUGGUGACAUCAACAGUUGACUGGUCAACUGACCAGCGGGUCCCGAACGUCAUAGGCACAAGUUUUAAUAUAGAUUAAAUAUUAAUUACUCAGAUUAAUUUAGUGGGGGACCCACGUGUCAUACUAUAAUUAUCCUAAAUAUCCAAUUAAUUAAUUUAACUAAUAUAUAUCUAUUUAUUUAUUUAAUAAAAACAUUAACAUUAUCUUUAUUUUUUUAAUUAUCGCGUGGGGCCUCCCUGUCAUAGACAGCGGGUGCGUUGGCCCCACCGGUAAGUGACCUUAGGACAAAUACUCGAUUUUAUUCAUUGAUAUAAACAUGCAAAUAUCGUAUUCCUCCAAAUACCUAUAUACGCAAUACAUACAUCGCAUCUCAUACAUACAUACAUUCAUAUAUAGGAAUACAUCAUUUGUUUUUAUUUUAUUUAACUCCCACACUCUCAUCUCUCUCUGUUAACAGACAACAGAGAACACAACAAAGAGUCUGUGUUAACCUCCUAAACAUAGAAGAGAGCUAACUUCAUCUCCUCCUACCGGAGUCAAACGUCGACGGAUCGGAGCCCCGUUUGCCGGAACGGAACCGGGACGGUGAGGGGAACGCGAUGGUGGGAGGAGCCCGAGGAGGGGCUCACCAACGUUGAUGAGACGGCCCGGUGAAGCUGGAGUUCUAGUGAGGCGGAGGUGACGGCGGUGAUGGCGCGGUUCCGGUGGUAAAGGUGACGGUGAGGACGGUGGUGACGGCGGUGACGGUCGUCGGAGAGGGCCUCCCGGAUUCGUGGCCGGAGAGGAGAGCCCUCCGGUGAAGAAGGGGCCAGCCGGAUCCGGCGAGGGUUGCCCCGGCCUCAAGGGGAGGGAGGCCGGCCGGGUGGGAGGCAGGGGAGGCCCGGUGGGGGAGGGGGGCUUGCCGGCGGGGUGGAGAUGUWGGGGAGGGGCUCGACCGGCGGUUAAAGGGGCCGAGAUGGGGAGGCUCGCCGGCCGGUGAGGGAACCGGCGGUGGAGGGUGAUGCGUGGGGAGGGACUGGGAGGCCGACGGGGGGAGUGGAGCUCGCCGACCGGGGUGGGGGCCGAGGUGGAGAGGAGGGCCUCGGUGGGGGAGAACGAGAGGUGGGGAGGAGGGGUUACCGAGAGAGACAGGGGAUCGUGGGGUGUUGGUGGGGGGGUCUGGUGACCGAGUAGGUGGGGGGGCCUCGAGGGGUGAUGUUGGCGGGAUGGGAGGCGAGCGGGAGGGGGGCUGGCGGCGGCCACUAGGAAACGGGAGGAGUGGUUUGGUCGCUUAGGGUUUUCCCCNNNNNNNNNNNNNNNNNNNNNNNNNNNNNNNNNNNNNNNNNNNNNNNNNNNNNNNNNNNNNNNNNNNNNNNNNNNNNNNNNNNNNNNNNNNNNNNNNNNNGCUGGUUCCCUUCCCCACUUGGCCCAAUUUACCUCCCGGGGUCGUUGACCCCCCUUCGGUGGACCCCCGGGGCCACCUCCGGUGGUCCCGGUGGUCCCGGUACAUUACCGGUGAUGCCCGAAACACUUCCGGUAUCCGAAACCAUCCGUCCUAUAUAUCAAUCUUUACCUCCGAACCAUUCCGGAGCUCCUCGUGACGUCCGGGAUCUCAUCUGAGACUCCGAACAACUUUCGGUAACCUCGUAUAACAAUUCCCUAUAACCAUAGCGUCAUCGAACCUUAAGUGUGUAGACCCUACGGGUCCGGGAGACAGGCAGACAUGACCGAGACGCCUCUCCGGCCAAUAACCAUCAGCGGGGUCUGGAUACCCAUGGUGGCUCCCACUUGCUCGACGAUGAUCUCAUCGGAUGAUCCACGAUGUCAAGGAUUCAAUCAAUCCCGUAUACGAUUCCCUUUGUUUGUCGGUAUAGAACUUUGCCCGAGAUUCCAUCGUCGGUAUACCUAUACCUUGUUCAAUCUCGUUACCGGUAAGUCUCUUUACUCGUUCCGUAGCACGUCAUCGUGUGACUAACUCCUUAGUCACAUUGAGCUCAUGAUGAUGUUCUACCGAGUGGGCCCAGAGAUACCUCUCCGUCACACGGAGUGACAAAUCCCGAUCUCGAUUCGUACCAACCCAACAGACACUUUCGGAGGUACCCGUAGUGCACCUUUAUAGUCACCCAGUUACGUUGUGACGUUUGAUACACCCAAAGAACUCCUACGGUAUCCUGGAGUUGCACAAUCUCACGGUCGAAGGAAAAGAUACUUGACAUUAGAAAAGCUUUAGCAUACGAACAAUACGAUCUAGUGCUAUGCUUAGGAUUGGGUCUUGUCCAUCACAUCAUUCUCCUAAUGAUGUGAUCCCGUUAUCAAUGACAUCUAAUGCCCAUGAUCAGGAAACCAUGAUCAUCUAUUGACUAACGAGCUAGCCAACUAGAGGCUUGCUAGGGACACUUUGUGAUCUAUUUAUUCACACAUGUAUUACUGUUUCCUGUUAAUACAAUUAUAGCAUGAACAAUAGACGAUUAUCAUGAACAAGGAAAUAUGAUAAUAACCAUUUUAUUAUCGCCUCUAGGGCAUAUUUCCAACAGCGCGUGGCAAAGUUGUGUCUCAAAAACCCUAAAACCUCUAGUACAUAUAGGAGGAGGGGAGGGGCUAGCCUCGGGGCUCAAGGGAGCCCCUAGGCUGCCGGCCGAGAGAGGAGGAGGAGACCCCAACUCCAAUUCGGUUUGGGAAGGAGGAGCCCCCUCCUUCCUUCACACCUCCCUCUCCUUUUUUUUCUUUUCUCUUUGGUUUUUUUCCUUAGCCGACAUAGCCCACUUGGCCUGGCCUCACCAGCCCACUAAAGGCUGGUGCGCCACCCUUGGGCUAUUAGGCUCACUCCCGGGUGGGUGGGCCUCUCCCGGUAAAAACUCGGAACCCAUUCGUCACUUGUGUUACACUGCCGGUAAUGUCUGAAAUCCUUCCGAGACCAAAUGAAACAAUCCUAUAUAUCAAUCUUCGUUUCCGGACCAUUCCGUAAACCCUCAUGACGUCCGUGAUCUCAUCCGGGACUCCGAACAACCUUCGGUUACCAACACCUAUAACUCAACUAUACCGAAACGUCACCGAACCUUAAGUGUGCAGACCCUGCGGGUUCGAGAACUAUGCAGACAUGACCUGAGACACUCCCCGGUCAAUAUCCAACAGCGGGACCUGGAUGUCCAUAUUGGAUCCUACAUAUUCUACGAAGAUCUUAUCGGUUGAACCUCUGUGCCAAGGAUUCAUAUAAUCCCGUAUACCAUUCCCUUUGUCCUUCGGUAUGUUACUUGCCCGAGAUUUGAUCGUCGGUAUCUCUAUACCUAUUUCAAUCUCGUUACCGGCAAGUCUCUUUACUCAUUCCGUAAUAAAAGAUCUCGUGACUAACACAUUAGCCACAUUGCUUGCAAGGCUUAUAUGUGAUGUUGUAUUACCGAGUGGGCCCCGAGAUACCUCUCUGUCACACGGUGUGACAAAUCCCAGUAUUAAUCCAUGCUAACUCAACGGACACCUUCGGAGAUACCUGUAGAGCACCUUUAUAGUCACCCAGUAAAGUUGCCCUUUGGAGAUACCUGUAGAGCACCUUUACAUGAUCUCAUGGUCAUAGGAAUGAAUACUUGACACUCAGAAAACAAUAGCAACAAAAUGACACGAUCACAUGCUACGUUCAUAGUUUGGGUCUUGUCCAUCACAUGAUUUUCCUAAUGACGUGAUCGAGUCAUCAAGUGACGACACUUGCCUAUGGUCAGAAAACCUUAACCAUCCUUGAUCAACUGGCUAGUCAACUAGAGGCUUACUAGGGACAUUGUUUUGUCUAUAUAUCCACACAUGUAUCUAUGCUUUCAUUCAAUGCAAUUUUAGCAUGGAUAAUAAACGAUUAUAUUGAAACAGGAAACAUAAUAAUAACUAUUUUAUCAUUGCCUCUAGGGCAUAUUUCGUACAGUCUCGCACUUGCACUAGAGUCAAUAAUCUAGUCUCACAUCGCUAUGUGAUUUACAUUGGAAUGAAUCUAACACACAUACAGUUCUGGUGUUGAUCAUGCUUAGCUCGUGGAAGAGGUUUAGUUAGCGGAUCUGCAACAUUCAGAUCUGUAUGCACUUUGCAAAUAUUUACGUCCUCUCCUUUGACAUAGUAGCGGAUGAGGUUGAAGCGUCGUUUGAUGUGUCUGGUCUUCUUGUGAAACCGUGGUUCCUUUGCUAGAGCAAUGGCAACAAUGUUGUCACAGAACAGAGUUAUUGGAUUUAGUGCACUCGGCACAACUCCAAGAUCUGUCAUGAACUGCUUCAUCCAGACACCCUGCUUAGCUGCCUUCGAGGCAGCCAUGUACUCCGCUUCACAUGUAGAAUCUUCUACGACGCUUUGCUUGGAACUGCACAAGCUUACCGCACCCCCAUUGAGAAUAAACACGUAUCCGGUUUGAGAAUUAGAGUCAUCCGGAUCAGUGUUAAAGCUUGCAUCAACGUAACCCUUUACGACGAGCUCUUCGUCACCUCCAUAUACGAAAAACAUUUCCUUAGUCCUUUUCAGGUACUUCAGAAUAUUCUUCACCGCCGCCCAGUGUUCCACUCCUGGAUCACUUUGAAACCUGCGUGCCAUACUUAUGGCCAGGCCGAUGUCCGGUCUUGUGCACAACAUUGCAUACAUGAUACACCCUAUGGCUGAAGCACAGGGGAUGGUACUCAUCUUUUCUCUAUCUUCCGCAGUUCCUGGACACUGAGUCUUACUCAACUUUAUACCUUGUAACACUGGUAAGAACCCCUUCUUGGACUGCUCCAUUUUGAAAUUCUUAAAAACUUUAUCAAGGUAUAUGCUUUGUGAAAGUCCUAUUUGGCGCCUCGAUCUAUCCCUAUAGAUCUUAAUGCCUAAUAUGUAAGCAACUUCUCCUAGGUCUUUCAUUGAAAAACAUUUGUUCAAGUAAUGCUUUACGCUCUCUAAAAACUCCACAUUGUUUCCAAUCAGCAAUAUGUCAUCCACAUAUAAUAUUAGAAACACUAAAGAGCUCCCAAUCACUUUCUUGUAAAUACAAGAUUCUCCAACAACUUGUAUAAACCCAAAUGCCUUGAUCACCUCAUCAAAGCGCUUAUUCCAACUCCGAGAUGCUUGCACCAGUCCAUAAAUGGAUCGCUGGAGCUUGCAUACUUUGUUAGAAUUAUUUGGAUUGACAAAACCUUCAGGUUGCAUCAUAUACAACUCUUCCUUAAGAAAACUAUUAAGUAACGCCAUUUUGACAUCCAUCUGCCAGAUUUCAUAAUCGAAAAAUGCAGCUAUUGCUAACAUGAUUCGGACGGACUUAAUCAUCGCUACCGGUGAGAAUGUCUCAUCGUAGUCAACUCCUUGAACUUGUGAAAAAUUCUUUGCCACAAGUUGAGCCUUAUAAACAGUCACAUUAUCGUCCGGGUCCGUCUUCUUCUUAAAGAUCCAUUUGUUCUGAAUAUCCUUGCGACCUUCAGGUAAUACUUCUGAAGUCCACACUUUGUUUUCAUACAUAGAUCCUAUCUCGGACUUCAUGGCCUCUAACCAUUUGUUGGAAUCCGGACCCACCAUUGCUUCUUCAUAAUUCAGAGGCUCAAUGUUGUCUAACAACAUGAUAGAUAAGACAGGAUUCCCGUACCACUCGGGAUCAGUAUGUGAUCUUGUCGACCUCCGAGGUCCGACAGUAACUUGAUCCAAAGCUUCAUGAUCAUCAUCAUUAGCUUCCUCCUCAACAGGUGUUGCCUCGACAGAGAUUUCUCUCUGCCCUGCGCCAUCAUCUAGAGGGAGCAGAGGUUCCACAACCUCAUCAAGUUCUAUCUUCCUCCCACUCAAUUCUUUCGAGAGAAACUUCUUCUCAAGAAAAGCUACGUUCUUAGCAACAAACACUUUGCCCUCGGAUCUGAGAUAGAAGGUGUACCCAACUGUCUCUUUUGGGUAACCUAUGAAGACGCUUUUUUCCGCUUUGGGUUCCAGCUUUUCAGGCUGAAGCUUUUUGACAUAAGCAUCGCAUCCCCAAACUUUAAGAAAUGACAACUUUGGCCUCUUGCCAUGCCAUAGCUCAUAUGGUGUCCUCUUAACGGAUUUUGAUGGUGCCCUAUUUAAAGUGAAUGCAGCUGUCUCUAAUGCAUAACCCCAAAACGAUAAUGGCAAAUCGCUAAGAGACAUCAUAGAUCGCACCAUAUCUAACAAAGUACGAUUACGAUAUUCGGACACACCAUUAUGCUGUGGUGUUCCAGGCGGUGUCAACUGUGAAACGAUUCCACAUUGUCUUAAGUGAGCACCAAACUCGAAACUCAGAUAUUCACCCCCUCAGUCAGAUCGUAGGAACUUGAUCUUCUUGUUACGAUGAUUUUCAACUUCACUCUGAAAUUGCUUGAUAUUUUCAAAUAUUUCAGACUUGUUCUUCAUCAAGUAGAUAUAUCCAUACCUACUCAAAUCAUCAGUGAAGGUGAGAAAAUAACGAUAUCCGCUGCGCACCUCCACACUCAUUGGACCGCACACAUCAGUAUGUAUGAUCUCCAAUAAGUCACUUGCACGCUCCAUUGUUUCGGAGAACGGAGUCUUAGUCAUCUUGCCCAUGAGGCAUGGUUUGCAUGUGUCAAGUGAUUCUAAAUCAAGUGACUCCAAAAGCCCAUCAGCAUGGAGUAUCUUCAUGCACUUUACACCAAUAUGACCUAAGCGGUAGUGCCACAAGAAGGUGGUGCUAUCAUUGUUAACUCUACAUCUUUUGGUCUCAAUGUUAUGUAUAUGUGUGUCAUCACAAUCAAGAUUCAAUAUGAACAAACCCCUCACAUUGGGUGCAUGACCAUAAAAGAUAUUACUCAUAAAAAUAGAACAACCAUUAUUCUCUGACUUAAAUGAGUAACCGUCUCGCAAUAAACAAGAUCCAGAUAUAAUGUUCAUGCUUAACGCAUGCACUAAAUAACAAUUAUUUAAGUUCAUAACUAAUCGUGAUGGUAACUAAAGUGAGACUGUGCCGACGGCGAUUGCAUCAUCCUUGGAACCAUUUCCUACGCGCAUCGUCACUUCAUCCUUCGCCAACCUUCGUUUAUUCUGCAGUUCCUGCUUCGAGUUGCAAAUAUGAGCAACAGAACCGGUAUCAAAUACCCAGGCACUACUACGAGAGUUGGUUAGGUACACAUGAAUAACAUGUAUAUCACAUAUACCUGGUUUGGCGUUGGUGGCCUUCUUAUCAGCCAAAUACUUGGGGCAGUUGCGCUUCCAGUGACCCAUCCCCUUGCAAUAAUAUCACUCUGUUUCUGGCUUAGGUCCAGCCUUGGUUUCUUCGUCGGAUUGGCAACAAUUUUGCUGCUCUUCUUAGAGUUACCCUUCUUGCGUUUGUCGUUUCUCUUAAAACCAGUGGUCUUAUUGACCAUCAACACUUGAUGUUCUUUCCGGAGUUCUAACUCUACAACUUUCAGCAUCGCGAAUAACUCGCCCGGUGACUUGUUCAUCCCUUGGAUGUUAUAGUUCAACACAAAGAUCUUAUAGCUAGGUGGGAGUGAUUGCAAAAUUCUGUCAGUGAUAGCCUCUUGCAGGAGUUCAAUCCCCAGCUCAGCUAGACAGUUUGAGUACCCAGACAUUUUUAGCACAUGUUCACUAACAAACAAAUUCUCCUUCAUUUUGCAAGCAUAGAAUUUAUCGGAGGUCUCAUACCUCUGGAUCCGGGCGUUCUUCUAAAGGAUAAACUUCAACUCCUGGAACAUCUCAUAUGCUCCAUGAAAUUCAAAGCGUCGUUGAAGUCCCGGUUCCAAGCCAUACAAGACUGCACAUUGAACUACUGAGCAGUCCUCCUUACGUGAUUGCCUAGCGUUCAAAACAUCUUGGUCAAACGUAGCGGGUGGUUCAUCUCCUAGCGCUGCAUCAAGGACAUAAGUCUUUUUCCUAGCUUGUAGGAUGAACCUUAGAUUAUGAGCCCAGUCUACAAAGUUGCUACCAUCAUCUUUCAGCUUAGCUUUCUCUAGGAACGUAUUGAAAUUCAGGGUUGCUACUGCGUGAGCCAUUGAUCUACAACAUAAAAUAUUGCAAAGUGGACUUAGACUAUGUUCAAGAUAAUUUAGAGUUUAACUAAUCAAAUUACUAAUAAAAUCCCACUCAAAUAGACAUCCCUCUAGUUAAUUGAGUGUUAUGUGAUCCAAAUUCACUAACUCAAGUCCGAUCAUCACGUGAGUUGAGUAUAGUUUCAAUGGUAAAAAUCUCUAUGCUAAUCAUAUCAACUAUACAAUUCAUGCUCGACCUUUCGGUAUCUUGUGUUCGAGGCCAUGCCUGUACAUGCUAGGCUCUUCAAGUUUAACCCGAGUGUUCCACGUGUGCAACUGUUUUGCACCCGUUGUAUGUCUACCUUGAGUCUAUCACACCCGAUCAUCACGUGGUGUCUCGAAACGACGAACUAUCGCAACGGUGCACAGUCGGGGAGAACUCAAUUUUAUCUUGAAAUUUAGCGAGGGAUCACCUUAUAAUGCUACCGUCGUUCUGAGRAAGAUAAGGUGCAUAAAAGKAUUAACAUCACAUGCAAUUCAUAAGUGACAUGAUAUGGCCAUGAUCCUGUGCUUCUGGAUCUCUAGCACCAAGCACCGGCAUGAUCUUCAUCGUCACCAGCGGCACCCCAUGAUCUCCAUCAUCAUGAUCUCUAUCAUCGUGCCGCCAUCGAGGUUGUCGUGCUAUCUAUGCUAUUAGUACUAAAGCUACAACCUAGCAAUAUAGUAACCGCAUCUGCAAGCACAAACGUUAGUUCAAGGACAACCCUAUGGCUCCUGCCGGUUGUCGUAGCAUCGACGUGCAAGUCGAUAUUUAACUAUUACAACAUGAUCAUUUCAUACAUCCAAUAUAUCACAUCAUGUCUUUGGCCAUAUCACAUCACAUGCAUACCCUGCAAAAGCAAGUUAGACGUCCUCUAAUUUGUUGUUGCAUGUUUUACGUGGCUGCUACGAGUAUCUAGUAUGACCGCAACUUACUUAAGCAAAGACACAACGGUGAUAUGCAAAUUGCUAUUUAACCUUUCUCCAAGGACCGUCUCGGUAAAAUCUGAUUCAACUAAAGUUGAUGAAACAUACACCCGCGAGUCAUGUUUAUGCAACAAGUUGCAUGUUAGUCGAUGAAACCAGUCUCUUGUAAGCGUACGAGUAAGGUUGGUCCGGGCCGCUUUAAUCCAACAAUACCGCCGAAUCGAGAAAAGACUAAGGAGGGCAGCAAAUCGUACAUCAACGCCCACAAAAACUUUUGUGUUCUACUCGAGAUUACAUCUACGCAUGAACCUAGCUCAUGAUGCCACUGUUGGGGAACGUUGCAUGGGAAAAAAAAAUUCCUACGCACACGAAGACCUAUCAUGGUGAUGAUCAUCUACUGGAGGGAUAUCGGAUCCACAUACACUUGUAGAUCACUAAGCGGAAGCGUUAAUAAACGAGGUUGAUGUAGUGGUACGGCUUCACGAUCCGUCCCACGAACCGUCCCACGAUCCCUCCAUGAACGUUCUCAAGAUCCCUCCCACGAUCCGUCCCGAUCAAGUGCCGAACCGACGGCACCUCCGCGUUCCGCACACGUAUAUCUCGAUGACGAUCUCCACCUUCUUGAUCCAGCAAGAAAGGCGGGGAUGUAGAUGAGUUCCCCGACAGCGUGACGGCGCUCUGGUAGUGGUGGUGAUCUAUUCCUGCAGGGCUCCGCCCGAGCUCCGCAGAAAACCGAUCUAGAGGAAGAACUACGAUCUAUAUGAGAGGGCAGCACGUGGCAAAGUUGUGUCUCAAACAGCCCUAAACCUCUAGUAUACAUAGGAGGAGGGAGGGGCAGGCCUUCCGCCACAAGGGAGGAGCCCUUGGGCCGGCCGAAGUGGAGGAGGGAGGAGUCCUCCUCCAACUCCACUUGGAUUAGGACUCCUUCCUUAAUUUCCCACCUCUUUUGGAUUUCUCACUUUUUCCUCAUGGGCUUUCCUUGGAUGACUUUGUCAGCCCAUUGUGCCUUAUUAGGCAUCCAAUAAACCCACGUGGACCCCUUGGGGCGUGGUGGGCUCACCCAGUGGGACCCCGGAACCCAUUCGUCACUCCCGGUACACUGCCGGCAAUGCCCGAAAACCUUCCGGAAUCCAAAUACCAACUUCCUAUAUAUCAAUCUUCGUUUCCAGACCAUUCCGGAACUCCUCGUAACGUCUGGGAUAUCAUCCGGGACUCCGAACAAAAUUCGGUCACCAACACAUAUAACUCAACUAUACUGAAAUGUCACCGAACCUUAAGUGUGCAGACCCUCCGGGUUCGAGAACUAUGCAAACAUGACCUGAGACACUCUCUGGUCAAUAACCAAUAGCAGGACCUGGAUGUCCAUAUUGCCUCCUACAUAUUCUACGAAGAUCUCUAUCGGUUGAACCUCUUUGUCAAGGAUUCAUAUAAUCCCGUAUACUAUUCCCUUUGUCCUUCGGUAUGUUACUUGCCCGAGAUUCGAUCGUCGGUAUCUCUAUACCUAGUUCAAUCUCAUUACCGGCAAGACUCUUUACUCGUUCCGUAAUACAAGAUCCCGUAACUAACUCCAUAGUCACAUUGCUUGCAAGGCUUAUUGUGAUGUUGUAUUACCGAGUGGGCCCCGAGAUACCUCUCCGUCACACGGAGUGACAAAUCCCAGUCUUGAUCCAUGCCAACCCAACAGACACCUUUGGAUAUACCUGUAGAGCACCUUUAUAGUCACCCAGUUACGUUGCGACGUUCGAUAACCCACAAGGUAUUCCUCCGGUUUCCAGGAGUUGCAUGAUCUCAUGGUAAUACGAACAGAUACAUUGACAUGCAGAAAACAGUAGCAAUAAACUGACACGAUCAUACGCUACGUUUAUAGUUUAGGUCUUGUCCAUCACAUUAUUCUCCUAAUGAUGUGAUCCCGUUAUCAAGUGACAACACUUGUCUAUGGUUAGGAAACCUUAACCAUCUUUGAUCAACGAGCUAGUAAACUAGAGACUUACUAGGGACAGUGUUUUGUCUAUGUAUCCACACAUGUAUUUGUGUUUCCAAUCAAUACAAUUAUAGCAUGGAUAAUAAAUGAUUAUCAUAAAAAAUAUAUAAUAAUAACUAAUUUAUUAUUGUCUUUAGGGCAUACUUCCAACAUCGGCUAACCGAUCCAAGUCCAAGGCGCCACCACCGACCACCAUUGGCCUUGUGAUCUGCCGGCAACAACAACGGUGAGCGUUUUUGGUCAUCCUGGGAUGCAGUGCACCAAAGAACGGAGAUGACCCUUAUCACUCUAGCCAUCCUCCGGUGAACGUCCCUAUACACAUCUAUCCGUGCGCACAAAUCAUUCUAGCCUUACACCGAUGCAUGAAGAUCUCUGUUGAAUUGUUUUUCGUCUCACACACUCUUCCGCGCCUUUCGUCGAAGCCGUUGCCCACAGCCUGGCUACCGCCGUCAGCCAAACAGGCUUUGCUUGGCUUGUUUUUUAAGAGAUGAGAUAUAGGCUUGUUUUUUUUCUUUUUUCCGGGGUAGAUAUAGGCUUGUUGAUGUGCCUAGGGGCUCCUUUUCCUUUCCUUCGAACGUUGAUCAACCUUUUUUCUUUAAACGCGGUCCCUUAAGGACCUAUUCACUAAAAUAGGUUGAAGAGAAUUGCCGAGUUAAUUAACGAAAAACCGGGUGAAAUCGGAUACAACACGCCCGAAAAAACAAGGCCCACUGGGUGACUUGGCAACCCACACAUGUUUUCGAAGAGACAAGCAUCGAAGCCUGCGCCGGCGAAAGCCAAACAGUACACCGCACACACGGACAACCAGGCAGCUCCGACUCCAACCACGAGCAUUACAGGAAAAAAGCAUUAGACCCGCGACGAGCCGGUACCACAACCGACCAUCCGUCUCAUGUCAUCGUCACCGCGGAGACACCUCCUCUGCAGCUCCGACUUCAGGAAGACAAGUGAGGCACAGAAAUCCCUCGAACACGCCGGAAGAGAUCGACUACCAAAGCCCAACAGCAAACCAACUCCCCCGCAGCCACCAUCGUUGCCACCGAAUAAGCUGCACUGUAUCACCAUUGCCGGACGAACACCUGUCGAACGCAAUGUCGCGCGCGUCCAGCCCAAGGAGCGCGCAAACGAGAUCCAAAGCUCUUCAGGAUGAUGCCCCAAAGAAGGAAGCGACGAUGUCGACACCGUCGCCCGACCCGACUGGGCCUUAGGCUUUCACCCGAAGAGCUAGAACCGAGGGCGUGUACGGGGUGGACUCCACAAUGACUCCUCCAUGGAGGUAUCACAACAUCCACGGACGUCGACGCCGCCGGCCGGUAAGACCGGCGAACUUUCGCGCCGAGCACCGCCAAACACCACACCCACACGCAAAGCACCGCACCGCUAACCCGCACACCUCCCACGAAGUCAUCACGACAUGACAAGAGAAGCUAGUAGAAACCUCAUCGAUGACCAGAGACACCAUCGAGCCCGAGCCAGCCGAAAACGACCAGAUCCGGUAUCCCACCGCUGGUGCAACACCCGGAAGUCCACCAAAGACUGACACGUCGUUGGACAACGCAAAAAUGAGCCCUAUAUAGCAGGAAGGGGAGGGCCGCACACGCCCCGACUCGUCGGAGAUGUGCGUCCGGGCCUAAGAACCGAAGCCCGCGGACGAAGCAAAAGUGGCUGCCACCCACGAGAGACGCUGCUCGGAGCCGAAGGAGCCAUAGGGACGAGUCCGAGAGGCCAACCUGCACUGUUGCCGAGGCCACUGGCCCGCCUGGAGCCGCCUAGCCGCGCAACCGGAAGGGGAUCGAACCACCGCUACGUCGAGCUCCCACCGCCAGACAAGGAGAGAUGACCCCGUCGCACGCCGCGCCCUGCCCUCCCCCGUCGCGACGACCCCGACCGCGACGACCCACGCCGGAGAAGCCUACGCGAGCGCCGCGUCGAACUCCCGAAGGAGCGGACGGCCCACGCUGUCCAAGUCCGAUCUGGAGGAGGGGAGGGCCCUGCUGCCGCCGAGCCACGCGGGCUUUGCCCGGCGACCCCGCCGGCGACGGCAAGGAGAGGAGGGGACAUGCGGGACGGCGCUGGCGACGGCUAGGGUUCACUCCCUGGCCGCCGGUGGGAGCGACCUGGAGGUGGGUGGGUGUGUUUCGUCGUUGAUCAACAUUAUUUUCCUGCUUCCAUAAAUCAAUGAACGCGAGCAAGUCUGGAUCUUUCAAAAAUAAAAACCGGGCCCAUUUUUAUCAAAUUCGGCAGAUACAUCUCUCAGGCCGAUCAUAAAGAAAAGUUUUAGCUUUCAGUAAACGUUUGCUUCCCGUUUGAGCUGACGCUUAGCUGCAUGUUUAGUUGUGAUAUGGGAUCACGCCAUGUUGAAUGUGAACAGAUUUUGUCGAACCAAGUUUAUAUAUGAACGAAUACAUUCGGGGAUGAGCUGUCUCUCUUACUGAUUGCUCAACUAUACAUAAACACAAUCAAUAUUUUAUUUUGUAUUAUCACAAUGAUAAGGGAAACAAUAACACACAACCAUCGAUCAUUCUUAACAACCCGUACGAUCGAUGCACUAAACGUAAGCAACUAUUGUGCGCACGCAAAUUUAAAAACCUCUACCGGCAAGCCGGCAUCGGUCAAGCCGUCGGGUAGAAGGGCGAGGUGGCGAGGGCACAUGUGCCCGUCGGCCCGACAACGUCCUUGGCGAGGUAGAUGUAUCCCUGGUCGCCCCAAUCGUUGCUCCACGAGUUCUUGGCUAUCCAAAACUUCUCACCGAACUCCUCGCAGUAGCCGACAAUGGUGACGGCGUGGUUGACCCUCGCGGCGUCGGAGGAGCAGGGGCCCCGGAAGAUGCCGCCGGAGUAGAACUGGAACUCCCACGUGCUGGCGUCGAUGUACACCGUCACGGGCUGCCGCGCCACUGCCACGCGCCGAGCGUGCCGCUCGUUGUUGGGCGGCACGGCCUUGAAUCCCUUGACGGACGCCUGGUGGUCGAACAACAGCUUGUCCACGUCGCACGGUGCCCGUUCGAAGCCGCUGUACGGGUACCGUCUCCUCUGACGUGAUGCCGCCGCGGGCAGCCACGAGGCCCAGGGCAGUGUCUGUGCGGCCGCCGCUGCAGCCACUGCUACCGGUGUCGCAGUCCACAAGCUGCUGCUCCGACAGAGACACCAGUUCGCCGGUCCUGAUCUUGUUCAUGCCCUCGAUGGCCGCCACGGCCGCGAAUGCCCAGCAUGACACUGCCAUAUACAUGUUCGUUAGUCGUUACUCUACGAGAACUGACCAAAAUAUGUAAAGUUAUAAACCUGAGCAGGAGUUUGCUAGCUUGACUUACAGCAAGAACCCUGAAACUUGACGCCGGUGACGGCGCCGCUCGAGCGCCAGUCAACGCAGCACGGUUUCCAUGAGUCGUAGGGGAGCGGGGUUGGAGGCUCUGGGGUGAAGACGGAGUUGUUGAACCCGGUGAACUGCUCGGCGACCUCGCUGGGGUUGAGAUCGCCGAAUCUGUUCAUGCCGACCCUGACCGUCGUGACGGUCUGGGGGCCGAACGAGCCGACGCCGCCGUUGACCGUUGUCUGGCUGGCGAAAGCGCCGAUGGAGUUGGUGUUCGUCUUGAAGAUUCCGAACCGCUUCUCCUGCUCCUCGUGGCUCGGGUAGCGCUUCGAGUACUUGGUUUGCCACCUCGUCCACCUGGACCUCACCUCGGAUUCCGGCAGCUCCCAUGAUGGCCGCUGCGGCGGGUCUGCCGCGGUCAGCGAUGCCUGCAGCAGGCAGGCGAUGCCCAAGAGUAGGACUAGGCAAGGCAUUGAAGAAGCCAUUUUGAUUGAUUAACUUAGGCUGUGUGGAAAUGCAUGCACCGGGUUAAUGUUUAUAUAGGCGCUUUGGUGAUGCGUGGGUUAGCACGUCGCUGUGGCUGCAGGCUGAGUCAUUAGGUGUGGCCAGCGGAGCUAAUCCUUGAAGACGACUAUGGGUCAUGGAGGUGUGUCAGAUGAGUACCCAGUAGGAUGGUUCAAUUAGCUAGUGAAGGGAAAUGCCUUACAUCUGUAAUCUGAUCCCACGUUUUGUUAGGACUCGUUUCUACUCCCUCCGUUCCUAAAUAUAAGUCUUUAAAGAUGUUUCAUUAGUGAACUACAUACGGAUGUAUAUAAACAUACUUUAGAGUGUAGAUUCAUUCAUUUUACUCCGUAUGUAGACUUCUAAUGAAAUAUACUUAAAAGACUUAUAUUUAGGAACGGAGUGAGUACUGAACAAGCGAAACGUUUUCGUUUAUAAAAACAAUAAUUCAUUACACUAAGUUUGUUACGCAAACAUAUGCAAACAUAUAGGGGGCUGCUACACANNNNNNNNNNNNNNNNNNNNNNNNNNNNNNNNNNNNNNNNNNNNNNNNNNNNNNNNNNNNNNNNNNNNNNNNNNNNNNNNNNNNNNNNNNNNNNNNNNNNNNNNNNNNNNNNNNNNNNNNNNNNNNNNNNNNNNNNNNNNNNNNNNNNNNNNNNNNNNNNNNNNNNNNNNNNNNNNNNNNNNNNNNNNNNNNNNNNNNNNNNNNNNNNNNNNNNNNNNNNNNNNNNNNNNNNNNNNNNNNNNNNNNNNNNNNNNNNNNNNNNNNNNNNNNNNNNNNNNNNNNNNNNNNNNNNNNNNNNNNNNNNNNNNNNNNNNNNNNNNNNNNNNNNNNNNNNNNNNNNNNNNNNNNNNNNNNNNNNNNNNNNNNNNNNNNNNNNNNNNNNNNNNNNNNNNNNNNNNNNNNNNNNNNNNNNNNNNNNNNNNNNNNNNNNNNNNNNNNNNNNNNNNNNNNNNNNNNNNNNNNNNNNNNNNNNNNNNNNNNNNNNNNNNNNNNNNNNNNNNNNNNNNNNNNNNNNNNNNNNNNNNNNNNNNNNNNNNNNNNNNNNNNNNNNNNNNNNNNNNNNNNNNNNNNNNNNNNNNNNNNNNNNNNNNNNNNNNNNNNNNNNNNNNNNNNNNNNNNNNNNNNNNNNNNNNNNNUUGUCGAAUAUGCUAGCGAUUGCUCGUCCUUGUUCUUUCUCGAGGAAAAAGUGACUAAAAACAGUAGGGGGACUAAUUAUUGCACAUGCAGUAAGUUCACAAACUGGGUUUUAAUUUUUUAUUUAAUAAAAUUGUUGAAGAGAUAGUGCGCGAUUUGGUCUAAUCGCUUGAACAGUUACGUCACGCCCCCUGCCCCCUUCUCCUUAGUGUAGGGCGUAACACUGACCUGAAAUGCAAUGAUGUGUGUGUAUGUCUUUCGUGGAUCAGAAGGUUGCAUUCUCACAGGGAUCAACCAAUUUGGGGAUACAAGUAGCUAGGGUUCUACAUCAAGAAGGGGGUUAGGAUUAGAGUCGAGGGAUGGGAAGGAAGGUCUCACCCAACGGCACCGUUAGUUCGGUGAUCCAGCGAUGUCCACACACACACACACGUAGAGACUAGCCCUAAAUACACUCACUCUACCCAGUCAUUACCACACACGCGAUGUUGGGGAACGUUGCAUGGAAAAAAAAUUCCUACGCACACGAAGACCUAUCAUGGUGAUGUUCAUCUACGAGAGGGAGAUCGAAUCCACAUACCCUUGUAGAUCGCUAAGCGGGAAGCGUUAAGAAACGCAGUUGAUGUAGUGGAACAACUUCGUGAUUCAAAUCACCGUCGUCCCAUGAUCCAUUCCGAUCAAGCGCCGAACGGACGGCACCUCCGCGUUCAGCACACGUACAGCUCGAUGACGAUCUCCGCCUUCUUGAUCCAACAAGAGAGACGGAGAAGUAGAUGAGUUCUCCGGCAGCGUGACGGCGCGCCGGUGAUGGUGAUGAUCUAUUCCUGCAGGGCUCCGUCCGAGCUCCGCAGAAAACCGAUCUAGAGGAAGAACUACGAAGUAGAGGUUCAGGGUUGUGCGUAGUUGGGUAACGUAGCAUAAAUUCAAAAUUUUCCGACGCAUAUUCAGAUCUUCCUAUGGAGAGACCAGCAACGAGAGAGGGGUAAGAGCAUCUUCAUACCUUUGAAGAUCGCUAAGCGGAAGCGUUGCUAGAACGCGGUUGAUGGAGUCGUACUCGCAGCGAUUCCGAUCUAGUGCCGAACUACGACACCUCCGCGUUCAACACACGUGCAGCCCGGUGACGUCUCCCGCACCUUGAUCCAGCAAGGAGGAGGGAGAGGUUGGGGAAGAACUCCAGCAGCACGACGGCGUGGUGUCGAUGGAAAGACGAGGUCUCCCGGGAGGGCUUCGCCAAGCACCGGCAGAUAGGAGGAGGAAGAAGGGCAGGGCUGCGCCGAGAGAGAGGNNNNNNNNNNNNNNNNNNNNNNNNNNNNNNNNNNNNNNNNNNNNNNNNNNNNNNNNNNNNNNNNNNNNNNNNNNNNNNNNNNNNNNNNNNNNNNNNNNNNCCUCUCUCUCGGCGCAGCCCUGCCCUUCUUGCUCCUCCUCUCUGCCGGUGCUUGGCGACGCCCUGCCGGGAGACCUCGUCUCUCCAUCGACACCACGCCGUCAUGCUACUGGAGUUCUUCCCCAACCUCUCCCUCCUCCCUGCUGGAUCAAGGUGCGGGAGAAGUCACCGGGCUGCAUGUGUGUUGAACAUGGAGGUGUCGUAGUUCGGCACUAGAUCGGAAUCGCUGCGAGUACGACUCCAUCAACCGUGUUCUAGCAAUGCUUACGCUUAGAGAUCUUCAAAGGUAUGAAGAUGCUCUUACCCCUCUCUCGUUGUUGGUCUCUCCAUUGGAAGAUCUUUAUAUGCGUAGGAAAAUUUUGAAUUUAUGCUACGUUACACAAUAGUGGCAUCCGAGCCAGGUUUUCUAUGCGUAGAUUCUAUGCACGAGUAGAACACAAAAGUUGUGGGCGAUGAUUUGUCAAUUUGCUUACUGCUACUAGUCUUAUUAUUUUCCGGCGGUAUUGUGGGAAGAAGCGGCCCGGACCGACUUUACACGUACGCUUACGUGAGACUAGUUCCACCGACAGACAUGCACACCGUGCAUAAAGGUGGCUAGCGGGUGUCUGUCUCUCCUACUCUAGUCGGAUUGGAUUUGAUGAAAAGGGUCCUUAUGAAGGGUAAAUAGCUUUGGCAUAUCAUCGUUGUGGCUGUCACGUAGGUAAGAAGGCGCUCUUGCUAGAAACCCAAAUCAGCCACGUAAAACUUGCAACAACAAUUAGAGGACGUCUAACUUGUUUUUGCAGGGUUUGACAUGUGAUGUGAUAUGGCCAAAGUUGUGAUGUUGCAUGUAUGAUGUAUGAGAUGAUCAUGUUAUUGUAAUAGGUUUCACGACUUGCAUGUCGAUGAGUAUGACAACCGGCAGGAGCCAUAGGAGUUGUCUUAAUUUAUUGUAUGAGAUGCAACGCCAUGUGCUUACUACUUUUACUUCAUUGCUAACGGUUAGCUAUAGUAGUAGUGAUAGUAGUAAUUGGCGUGACGACUUCACGGAGACACGAUGAUGGAGAUCAUGGUGUCACGCCGGUGACGAUGAUGAUCAUGCGAUGCCUGAAGAUGGAGAUCGAAAUGGCGAAGAUGAUAAUGGCCAUAUCAUCUCACUAUAUGAUUGCAUUGUGAUGUUUAUCAUGUUUUACAUCUUAUUGCUUAGAACGACGGUAGCAUAAUAAGAUGAUCCCUCUUAAAAUUUUGAGAACGUAUUCCCCUAAGUGUGCACCAUUGCGAAGGUUCGUUGUCUCGAAGCACCACGUGAUGAUCGGGUGUGAUAGAUUCUAACGUUCGCAUACAACGGGUGUAAGCCAGAUUUACACACGCGAAACACCUAGGUUGACUCGACAAGCUUAGCAUGUACAUACAUGACCUCGAAUACAAGAGACCGAAAGGUCGAACAUGAGUCGUAUGGUUGAAUACGAUCAGCAUGAAGUUUCUCACCAUGGUGACUAGUCCGUCUCACGUGAUGAUCGGACACGGGUUAGUCAACAUGGAUCAUGUAUCACUUAGAUGACUAGAGGGAUGUCGAUUUAAGUGGGAGUUCAUACUUAAUUUGAUUAAAUGAACUUAAUUGUCAUGAACUUAGUCUAAAAGUUGUCUUUAUAAAUAUUGUAGAUGGCCAACGUCAACCUCAAUUUCAACGCAUUCCUAGAGAAAAACAAGCUGAAAGAUGACGGUAGCAACUAUGCGGACUGGGUUCGCAACUUGAAGCUCAUCCUUGAAGCAGCUGAAAAGGCUUAUGUCCUUGAUGCGCCGCUAGGUGACCCUCCCACUCCCGCAGCAGCCUAUGACAUUCUGAAUGUCUAGCAAACGCGGAGUGAUGACUACUCUCUGGUUAGGCGUGGCAUGUUAUACAGUUUAGAAACGGGGCUCCAAAGGCAUUUUGAGCAACACGGGGCAUAUGAGAUGUUCCAGGAGCUGAAGCUAGUUUUUCAAGCUCAUGCCCGUGUCGAGAGAUAUGAAGUCUCCGACAAGUUCUUUAGCUGUAAGAUGGAGGAGAACAGUUCUGUCAGUGAGCACAUACUCAAAAUGUCUGGGUUACACGGUCGUUUGACUUCACUUGGAGUCGAACUUCCGGAUGAUGCUAUAAUUAACAGAAUCCUCGAGUCUCUCCCACCAAGCUACAAAGGCUUUAUGCUUAACUACAACAUGCAAGGGAUGGAGAAUACCAUUCCCGAGUUGUACUCGAUGCUCAAGUCUGCAGAAGUAGAAAUCAAGAAAGAGCAUCAAGUGUUGAUGGUCAACAAGACCACUAGUUUCAAGAAAGGCAAGGGUAAGAAGAACUUCAAGAAAGACGGCAAAGCUGUUGCCGCGCCCGGUAAGCUAGAUGCCGGGAAGAAGAAAAAGAAUAGACCCAAGCCUGAGACUGAGUGCUUCUAUUGCAAAGGAAAAGGUCACUGGAGGCGGAACUGCCCCAAAUACUUAGCGGACAAGAAGGCCGGCAACGUUAAAGGUAUAUGUGAUAUACAUGUUAUUGAUGUGUACCUUACCAGCGCUCGUAGUAGCUCCUGGGUAUUUGAUACCAGUGUUGUUGCUCACAUUUGCAACUCAAAGCAGGAACUGCGGAAUAAGCGGAGACUAGCCAAGGACGAGUGACGAUGCGCGUCGGGAAUGGUUCAAAGGUCGAUGUGAUCGCCGUCGGCACGCUACCUCUACAUCUACCGUCGAGAUUAGUUUUAAACCUUAAUAAUUGUUAUUUAGUACCAGCUUUAAGCAUGAACAUUGUAUCAGGGUCUUGCUUAAUGCGAGACGGCUACUCAUUUAAGUCAGAGAAUAAUGGUUUUUCUAUUUAUAUGAGUGAUAUGUUUUAUGGUCAUGCUCCGCUGGUGAAUGGUUUAUUCUUGAUGAAUCUCGAUCGUGAUGUUACACAUAUUCAUAGUGUGAGUACCAAAAGAUGUAAAGUUGAUAAUGAUAGUCCCACGUACUUGUGGCACUGCCGCCUUGGUCAUAUCGGCGUUAAGCGCAUGAAGAAGCUCCAUACUGAUGGACUAUUAGAGUCUCUUGACUUUGAAUCAUUUGACACAUGCGAACCGUGCCUUAUGGGCAAGAUGACUAAGACUCCAUUCUCAGGAAUAAUGGAGAGAGCAACCGACUUAUUGGAAAUAAUACAUACUGAUGUGUGUGGUCCAAUGAACGUUGAAGCUCGCGGUGGCUAUCGUGAUGUUCUCACUCUCACGAUGAUUUGAGUACGUAUGGGUAUAUCUACUUAAUGAAGCACAAAUCUGAGACGUUUGAAAAGUUCAAGGAAUUUCAGAGUGAGGUCAAGAAUCAACGUGACAGAAAAAUUAAGUGUCUACGAUCUGAUCGUGGAGGAGAAUAUUCGAAUCAUGAGUUUGGCACACACCUAAGGAAGUGUGGAAUCAUUUCACAAUUGAUGCCACUGGCACACCGCAACGCAACGGAGUGUCUGAACGUCGUAAUCGCACUUUAUUAGAUAUGGUACAAUCUAUGAUGUCUCUUACCGACUUACCGCUAUCAUUUUGGGGAUACGCAUUAGAAACUGCAGCAUUCACUUUAAAUAGGGCACCAUCUAAAUCCGUUGAGACGACACCGUAUGAACUAUGGUUUGGCAAGAAAUCUAAGUUGUCGUUUCUUAAAGUUUGGGGCUGCGAUGCUUAUGUGAAGAAACUUCAACCAGAAAAGCUCGAACCCAAAGCGGAGAAAUACGUAUUCAUAGGAUACCCUAAGGAAACUAUUGGGUAUACCUUCUAUCUUAGAUCCGAAGGUAAAACCUUUGUUGCCAAGAAUGGAUCCUUUCAAGAGAAAGAGUUUCUCUCGGAAGAAGUAAGUGGGAGGAAGGUAGAACUUGAUGAGGUAAUUACACCCCCUCUCGAAUAGGAUAGUAGUGCAGGGCAGGAAGUUGUUCCUGUGGCGCCUACACCAACUGAAGAGGAAGUUAAUGAUGAUGAUCAUGAAGCUUCGGAUCAAGUUACUACUGAACCGCGAAGGUCCACAAGGGCACGCUCCGCACCAGAGUGGUACGGCAACCCUGUGAUGGAAAUCAUGUUGUUAGACAACGGUGAACCUUCGAACUAUGAAGAAGUGAUGGCGGGCCCGGAUUCCAACAAAUAGCUUGAGGCUAUGAAAUCCGAGAUAGGAUCCAUGUAUGAGAACAAAGUAUGGACUUUGGUGGACUUGCCCGAUGACCGGCGAGCCAUAGAAAAUAAAUGGAUCUUCAAGCAGAAGACUGAUGCAAACGGUAAUGUAACCGUUUACAAAGCUCGACUUGUCGCAAAGGGUUUUCGACAAAUUCAAGGAGUUGACUACGAAGAGACUUUCUCUCCCGUAGCGAAGCUGAAAUCAGUCCGAAUCAUGUUAGCAAUUGCCGCCUUUUUUGAUUAUGAAAUUUGGCAAAUGGACGUCAAAACAGCGUUCCUUAACGGGAACCUUACACUAGUAGAAAAAGGGCCUUUGGCCUGGACCCUUUAGUCCCGGCCUACCUCUGGGCCGGGACUAAAGGCUCGGCCACGUCGCCCCAAAUCACACGAGGCUUUGGUCCCGGCCCGUAAGGAGCCUUUAGUCCCGGUUUGUGUCUCGAACCGGGACUAAAGGGUUUGGAGGAUUUAGUCCCGGUUCGUGUCUUGGACCUUUAGUCCCGGUUCGUGUCUCGAACCGGGACUAAAGGGUUUGGAGGAUUUAGUCCCGGUUGGUGUCUUGAACCGGGACUAAAGGGUAGACCUUUAGUCCCGGUUCGUGACUAGUCCCAGUUCGUGUCUUGGACCUUUAGUCUCGGUUCGUGUCUCGAACCGGGACUAAAGGGUUUGGAGGAUUUAGUCCCGGUUGGUGUCUUGAACCGGGACUAAAGUGUAGACCUUUAGUCCCGGUUCGUGACACGAACCGGGACUAAAGGUGUUCAGAUUUUUUUUGUGUUUUUAAAUUCUUGUUUGUAGUUUCUAUUUUAAAUUGCUUAUAUCUUUUAGGAUAUUUGAUGUUUUUGAUUGAUUCUUUUUGCAUUAGAUUCAAAAUUUUGUCUAGUUUCUGUUUGUGCCAUUAGUUUUCAAAUUUGAAUGGAUUAAAUUUGAAUUUGUUUAAAUUUGCUUCAAACCCAGUUUUGAAUAACUUGAGUUUACAAAUAGUUUUGAAUUUAAUUCUUUUUGCUCCCACUCAUGUGUUAGAUUGUUGUCACAGUAAUAUUUAUUUGGUUAUUUUUAGAAUAAUUUAAAUUAGGAUUUUAAUUAAAGAAAUAUUGUUUUUCUUAUAUAGUUGUUUUAGUCAUUUAAUUGUUGUUUUUUAUUAUUUUUAGUUAGUUCUUUCUGUAGAUUUUUAACAUGUUGUAGUAUGGUGCAUAUUUAGUGCACAAAAAAAUCUACAGUUCAAUUGAUUGUAAAAAAAAUGCCUUUGUAGCAGAUGGGUUUUCGUCUGAAACCUUGAUACUUUGAGUUUUGUAGAAAAUAAACAAAAAUGAUAAAAUCUUCAAAAAAUAAACAAAAAUGAUAAAAUCUUCAAAAAAUAAAAUCCUUUGAGAUGUUGUUAGGUUUUAGUGUCUAGUCGGUAUAGAAAUUUUGAGAUAUGAAUUUUGACCGUUUUUGCAAAAAAAAGGAAAAAAUAAACGACCAUAACUUUUGCAUACGAUGUCCAAAAAAAAUUAAUAUAUCAAAAAAAACUAGAAAAAAUUGGUACUCGAUUUCACCCGUGCUUGCCCGGUGAAGUUUUCUCACAUGCUCAAAAUUCGAAAUGGAAAAAAAGUUAUUUCAAAAAGAAGUUUUUCCAAAAAAAAGAAAAAUAAUUUUAUUUAAAAAUAUUAGGUUGUUUUCAUUGAAAUUCACUAUUAUUGUUACUUAUUAAGUUUAUUUGAAUAAUUAUUUGUAAUUCAAAAAAUUAAAUCAUGUGACAUGACAUCAAGACCCAAGUUGUUUAGGAUUGAUAGCUUACUAUUGUCAGGAAAACAACAAGUGCACACUUGGCAACUAGGGAAGAUAGAACGAGAAAGUUAAGCGUGCUCGGGCUGAAGUAGUGAAAGGAUGGGUGAUCGGCCGGGAAGUUAGACGAUUUGAAAUGAGUGAUCCACGCUAGAGCAGUGAGGAUGGGUGAUUAGAGAUUAAAUUGUCAAAUAAUUCAAAGAUUAGAAAAUUGGAAUAAAACAUAAAAAAUAUUCAAAAAUAAAAUUUGAAAAAAAGUAAAAAAAAAUCUACCUUUUCGGAUCAAACAAACAAAAAAACAGACGGAUCCUUUAGUCUCGGUUCGUAAGUAGAACCGGGACUAAAGGUACUCCCUCCGAGGCGGCCACGUGGAGCACCUUUGGUCCCGGCUUGGAAUAGGGCCGGGACUAAAGGUUAGGCCUUUAGUCCCGCCCCUUUAGUCCCGGUUGGUGAACCGGGACUAAAGCCCCUUACGGGCCGGGACUAAAGGCCAUGUCCCCACUUAUGUUAAGGAAGAGUUGUAUAUGAUGCAACCAGAAGGUUUUGUCGACCCUAAGGGUGCUAACAAAGUGUGCAAGCUCCAGCGCUCCAUCUAUGGGCUGGUGCAAGCAUCUCCGAGUUGGAACAUUCGCUUUAAUGAGGUGAUUAAAGCGUUUGGGUUCAUACAGGUUUACGGAGAAGCCUGUCUGUACAAGAAAGUGAGUGGGAGCUCUAUAGCUUUCCUCAUACUGUAUGUGGAUGACAUAUUAUUGAUGGGGAAUAAUAUAGAGAUGUUGGAGAGCAUAAAGGCCUAUUUGAACAAGAGUUUUUCAAUGAAGGACCUUGGAGAAGCUGCAUACAUAUUAGGCAUCAAGAUCUAUAGAGAUAGAUCAAGACGCCUCAUAGGUCUUUCGCAAAGUACAUACCUUGACAAGAUAUUGAAGAAGUUCAAUAUGGAAAACUCAAAGAAAGGGUUCUUGACAGUUUUGCAAGGUAUGAGAUUGAGUAAGACUCAGUCGCCGACCACGGCAGCAGAUAGAGAGAAGAUGAGUUCUGUCCCCUAGGCUUCAGCCGUGGGCUCUCUAAUGUAUGCCAUGCUGUGUACGAGACCUGAUCUAAACCUUGCCAUAAGUUUGGUAGGUAUGGAACACUGGACAACGGUCAAGAAUAUCCUUAAGUACCUGAAAACGACAAGGAAAUGUUUCUCGUUUAUGGAGGUGACGAAGAGCUCGUCGUAAAGGGUUACGUCGACGCUAGCUUCGACACAGAUCCGGAUGACUCUAAGUCACAGACCGGAUACGUAUAUGUGUUGAAUGGUGGGGCAGUGAGCUGGUGCAGCAGCAAGCAAGAAGUCGUGGCAGCAUCUACAUGUGAAGCGGAGUACAUAGCUGCCUCAGAAGCACCUCAUGAAGGAAUUUGGAUGAAGGAGCUCAUCACCGACCUUGGAGUGGUUCCAAGCGCGUCGGGUCCAAUGACACUCUUCUGUGAUAACACUGGGCCAUUGCCAUAGCCAAGGAGCCCAGGUUUCACCGGAAAACAAAGCACAUCAAACGCCACUACAACUCCAUCCACGACCAUGUGCAGAGUGGAGUGAUAGAUAUUUGUAAAGUACACAUGGAUCUGAAUAUUGCAGACCCGUUGACUAAACCUCUUCCACGAGCAAAACAUGAUCAACACCAUAAUGCUAUGGGUGUUCGAUACAUCACAAUGUAACUAGAUUAUUGACUCUAGUGCAAGUGGGAGACUGUUGGAAAUAUGCCCUAGAGGCAAUAAUAAAAUGGUUAUUAUCAUAUUUCCUUGUUCAUGAUAAUCGUCUAUUGUUCAUGCUAUAAUUGUAUUAACACGAAACAGUAAUACAUGUGUGAAUAAAUAGAUCACAAAGUGUCCCUAGCAAGCCUCUAGUUGGCUAGCUCGUUAGUCAAUAGAAGAUCAUGGUUUCCUGAUCAUGGGCAUUAGAUGUCAUUGAUAACGGGAUCACAUCAUUAGGAGAAUGAUGUGAUGGACAAGACCCAAUCCUAAGCAUAGCACUAGAUCGUAUUGUUCGUAUGCUAAAGCUUUUCUAAUGUCAAGUAUCUUUUCCUUCGACCAUGAGAUUGUGCAACUCCCGGAUACCGUAGGAGUGCUUUGGGUGUAUCAAACGUCACAACGUAACUGGGUGACUAUAAAGGUGCACUACGGGUACCUCCGAAAGUGUCUGUUGGGUUGGUACGAAUCGAGAUCAGGAUUUGUCACUCCGUGUGACGGAGAGGUAUCUCUGGGCCCACUCAGUAGAACAUCAUCCUGAGCUCAAUGUGACUAAGGAGUUAGUCAAACGAUGACGUGCUACGGAACGAGUAAAGAGACUUACCGGUAACGAGAUUGAACAAGGUAUAGGUAUACCGACGAUCGAAUCUCGGGCAAGUUCUAUACCGAUAGACAAAGGGAAUCGUAUACGGGAUUGAUUGAAUCCUUGACAUCGUGGUUCAUCCGAUGAGAUCAUCGUGGAGCAAGUGGGAGCCACCAUGGGUAUCCAGACCACGCUGAUGGUUAUUGGCCGGAGAGGCGUCUCGGUCAUGUCUGCCUCUCUCCCGAACCCGUAGGGUCUACACACUUAAGGUUCGAUGACGCUAGGGUUAUAGGGAAUUGUUAUACGAGGUUACCGAAAGUUGUUCGGAGUCCCGGAUGAGAUCCCGGACGUCACGAGGAGCUCCGGAAUGGUCCGUAGGUAAAGAUUGAUAUAUAGGACGGAUGGUUUCGGAUACCGGAAGUGUUUUGGGCAUCACCGGUAACGUACCGGGACCACCGGGACCACCGAAGGUGGCCCCGGGGGUCCACCGAAGGGGGGCAGCGACCCCGGGAGGUAAAUUGGGCCAAGUGGGGAAGGGAACCAGCCCCUAGGUUAGCUAGUGCGCCUCCCCACUAAGCCCAAUGCGUGGGGGAGAGAAAAUGGGUGGCAAACCCUAAGCCAGGUGGGCCUAAGGCCCACCAGGGGUGCGCCACACCCCUCCUCCCCCCCUUGGCGCCACACCAGCCCCCAUCUAGGGCUGCCCCCCCCCCCCNNNNNNNNNNNNNNNNNNNNNNNNNNNNNNNNNNNNNNNNNNNNNNNNNNNNNNNNNNNNNNNNNNNNNNNNNNNNNNNNNNNNNNNNNNNNNNNNNNNNGGGAGAGGAUCAUUAAGCUUCGGAUCAAGUUACUACAAACCUCGUAGGUCGACAAGGUCGCGUACUGCUACAGAGUGGUACGGUAACCCUGUCUUGGAGGUCAUGUUGUUGAACAACAAUGAACCUACGAGCUGUGGAGAAGCGAUGGUGAGCUCGGAUUCCGGCAAAUCGCCGGAGGCCAUGAAAUCCGUGAGAGGAUCCGUGUAUGAAAACAAAGUGUAGACUUUGGAAUAACUACUUGAUGGUCGUAAGACUAUUAAGUACAAAUGGAUCUUUAAAAGGAAGACAAACGAUGAUGGUGAAAACUCACCAUUAAGAAAUCUCGACUUGUCGCAAAGAUGUUUCUGACAAGUUCAAAGAGUUUACUAUGAUGAGACUUUCUCACUCGUAGCGAUGCUAAAAGUCUGUUUGAAUUUUGUUAGCAGUUGUUGCAUUAUUUAUGAAAUAUUUCACAUAGGAUGUCAAAACAUUGUUUCCUCGACAGUUUCCUUGAGUAAAGGUUGUAUGUGAUAUAACCAGAAGGUUUUGUCGAUCCUGAGGAUGCUAACAAGUAUGCAAGCUCCAGCGAUCCUUCUAUGGACUGGUGCAAGCCUCUUGGAGUUGGAAUAUACACUUUGAUGAGAUGAUCAAAGCUUUUGGGUUCAUACAAGGUUUAUGAUAAACUUGUGUUUCCACAGAAGUGAGUGGGAGCACUAUAGAAUUUUUGAUAAGUAUAUGUGGUUGACAUAUUGUUGAUCGGAAGUAAUGUAGAAUUUCUGGAAAGCAUAAAGGGUUGUUUGAAAGGAGUUUUUCAAAGGAAACCUGGAUAGAGCUACUUGAUCAUUGAGUGUCAAGAUCUAUAGAGAUAGAUUAAAACACUUAAUAGAACUUUCAAUGAAAUGCAUGCCUUGUCAAGUUUUUGAAGGAGUUCAAAAUAGAUCAACAAAUAAGGAGUUCUUGACUGAGUUGUAAGGUGUGAAUUUGAGUAAGACUCAAAGACCGACCACGACAGAAGAAAUAGAAAGGACGAAGGUCGUCCCCUAUGCCUUAGUCGUAGGCUCUAUAGUAUGCUAUGUUGUGUCCCGCAUCUGAUGUGUGCCUUGCCAUGAAUCUGUCAAGGGGUACAGAGGUGAUCCAGGAAUGGAUUACUGGACAACGGUCAAAAGUUGUCCUUAGUAACUAGUGGACUACGGAAUUUUUCUCGAUUAUGGAGGUUAUUAAAGAGUUCAUCGUAAAGGGUUACGUCGAUGCAAGCUUUGAUACUAAUCCGAAUAACUCUGAGUAGUAAACCGGAUUCGUAUAGUGGAGUAGUCAUUUGGAAUAGUUCCAAAUGGCGGGUAGUAGCAACAUCUAUAGGAUGACAUAGAGAUUUGUAAAGCACACACGGAUCUAAAAGGUUCAGAUCCGUUGACUAAAAACCUCUCUCACAAGCAAGACAUGAUCGAACCCCGGAACUGUGUGGGUGUUAGAUUCAUUACAAUCACACAUUGAUGUGAACUAGAUUAUUGACUCUAGUGCAAGUGGAGAUUGCUGGAAAUAUGCCCUAGAGGCAAUAAUAAAUUGGUUAUUAUUAUAUUUCCUUCUUGGUUAGCUCGUUGACUAGCUCGUUGAUCAAAGAUGGUCAAGGUUUCCUAGCCAUAGGCAAGUGUUGUCACUUGAUAACGGGAUUACAUCAUUAGGAGAAUGAUUUGAUGGACAAGACCCAAACUAUAAACGUAGCGUAUGAUCGUGUCAGUUUGUUGCUACUGUUUUCUGCAUGUCAAUGUAUCUAUUCGUAUUACCAUGAGAUCAUGCAACUCCCGGACACUGGAGGAAUACCUUGUAGCUUAUCAAACGUCGCAACGUAACUGGCUGACUAUAAAGGUGCUCUACAUGUAUCUCCAAAGGUGUCUGUUGGGUUGGAAUGGAUCAAGACUGGGAUUUGUCACUCCGUGUGACGGAGAGGUAUCUCGGGGCUCACUCGGUAAUACAACAUCACAAUAAGCCUUGCAAGCAAUGUGACUAAGGAGUUCGUUAUGGGAUCUUGUAUUACGGAACGAGUAAAAGACUUUCCGGUAACAAGAUUGAACUAGGUAUGGAGAUACCGACGAUCUAAUCUCGGGCAAGUAACAUACCGAAGGACAAAGGGAACAACAUACGAGAUUAACUAAAUCCUUGACAUAGAGGUUCAACCGAUAGAGAUCUUCAUAGAAUAUGUAGGAGCCAAUAUGGACAUCCAGGUCCCGCUAUUGGUUAUUGACCGGAGAAUGUCUUAGGUCAUGUGUGCAUAGUUCUCGAACCCACAGGGUCUGCACACUUAAGGUUUGGUGACGUUUAAGUAUAGUUGAGUUAUAGGUGUUGGUUACCGAAAGUUGUUAGGAGUACCGAAUGAGAUCCCGAACGUCACGAGGAGCUCAGGAAUGGUCCAGAGGUUAAGAUUGAUAUAUAGGAAGUCUUGUUUUGGUCACUGGAAAAGUUUUGGACUCAUCGGUAGUGUAUCGGGAGUGCCAGUAGGGUACCUGGGACCAUCGGGAGGGGUGUGACGCCCCGAGGGGCCUUAUGGGAUGUGGGAGGAUACAAACCAACCCCUAGUGGGCUGUCAUAAGCUCCCACUAAGGCCCAUGAGGUUUGACAGGCUAAAACCCAAAGGUGGAAAAGGUUGAAAGGAUUUCCAAGUGGAAAGGAGGAAUCCUACUCCGAGUAGGAUUGGAGUGGGACUCCUCCACCUCCAAUUUUGGCCAAACCUUGAGGUUUUGAGGAUGCCUACCCCCUCCCUCCCUCCUAUAUAUACUAGAGGUAUUGAUUGCUUUUGAGCACACAAUUUCAGCCAUGUGCUACCCUCUCCUCUAGUUUGUAGUUCUUCCUCUAGAUCGGAUUUUUGCGGUGCUUAGGCGAAGCCCUGCAGGAAUAGAUCACCACCAUGACCAGCGUGCCAUCACGCUGCCAGAGAACUCAUCUACCUCCCUGUCUCUAUUGCUGGAUCGAGAAGGUGUGGGUCGUCAUAGAGCUGUACGUGUGCUGAACGCGGAGGUGCUGUCCGUUCGGCACUAGAUCAGGAUGGAUCGUGUUGGGAUCGUGGGACCGAUCGUGAUGAGAUAGCGGGGCGGGCUGCGAUUUGAAUCGCGAAGAUGUUCCACUACAUCAACCGCGUUAUAUACGUUUCCGCUUAGAGAUCUACAAGGGUAUGUAGAUUCAAUCUCCCCUCUCGUAGAUGAUCAUCACCAUGGAUAGGUAUUGGGUGUGCGUAGGAUUUUUUUGUUUCCCAUGCUACGUUCCCCAAUACACCCCCCUUCGGCCGAAGUGGGAUGGGGAGAGGGGCUGCUCCCAGCCCCUGGUGGGCUGCGGUGCCCCCUCUCCUUAGCCCAUGAGGCUCCCAACAAUUACUGGGGCCUCUUGAAACCCCUUUCGGCACUCCGUGAAUUCCUCGGUACGCCUUGGAACACUUCCGGACUCCGACGACCUUCAUCCUAUAUAUUAAUAUUCUACUCCGGAGUAUUCUAGAGUUCCUCAUCAUAUCUGGGAUCUCAUCCAGGAAUCCAAAGAACCUUCGUUCACCAACACUAUGACUCUAAUAUGCUUAUAUCGUCACUGAACCUUAAGUGUGUAGACCUGCGGGUUUGAGAACUAUGCACACAUGACCGAGACACUCUCCGGUUAAUAACCAAUAGCAGGGCCUGAAUUCCCAUUUUGGUUCCUACAUAUUCUACGAAGAUCUUUCAUCGGUUGAACCUCAAUGUCAAGGAUUCAAUCAAUCCCUUAUGAUAUUCCCUUUGUCCAUUGGUAUGUUACUUGCCCCAGAUUCGAUCGUCGAUAUCUCCAUACCUAGCUCAAUCUCGUUACCGACAAGUCUCUUUACUCGUUCCUUAAUACUAGAUCGCGUGACCAACCCCUUGGUCACAUUGCUUGCAAGCUGAUUGUGAUGUUGUAUUACCUAGUGAGCCCAUAGAUACCUCUCCGUCACACGAAGUGACAAAUCCCAGUCUCGAUUCAUACCGACCCAACAUACACCCUCGGAGAUGCCUGUAGAGCACCUUUAUAGUCACCCAGUUACGCUGUGACGUUUUAUACACACAAGGCAUUCCUCUGUUGUGUAGGAGUUUCAUGAUCUCAUGGUCAUAGGAUACUUGACAUGCAGAAAAUAGUAGCAGUAAACUGACAUGAUCAUAUGCUACAUUUAUAGUUUGGGUCAUGUCCAUCACAUCAUUCUCCUAAUGAUGUGGUCUCGUUGUCAAAUGGCAACUCAUGUCUAUGAUGAGGAAACCUUGACCAUCUUUGAUCAACAAGCUAGUCCAUUAGAGGCUUACUAGGGACAUUGUGUUGUCUAUGUAUCCACACAUGUAUUUGAGUUUCCAAUCAAUACAAUUGUGUUGUCUAUGUAUCCACACAUGUAUUUGUAUUUGAUAAUAAUGGAUAAUAAUGGAUCAUAACAUUCUCCCAAUGCUAUUUGUAAUUCAUGUUGUUCUCCGCAUACUUGUUAUCGUAUUUCAUAGUAUCUCCAUCCUAAGCGUAUAUAUCAAUAGUUCAUCGUCCAUUAACUCUUUUGAUCUCAUUCCUGCACCUUCACUUUACAACACACUUAAACCUAUUUUUUUAUUAAACCUUAGUAUGUUGUUAGUUUGCACAAAGACAUGUUUUGUUCUUAUGUUCUUUUUGUUCUUCCAUUUGGCAUUGAUGUUUAUUGAAUGUUAUUCGUUUAUGAUAGACUGCUCGGAGUGUGACGAGUAGAAUCAUCAGGAUUAUGCGAGCGACUAUCUUCAUCAAGUAAUACCAGACAAGUUCACAUUGAUCAUAUUUUUACCUAUGGUUUUAUUGCAUUACUUUCAACCUUAUUCACCCAUUGCAUGCAAGUAGGUACUUGGAAACUUUGGUUAUUGAGUAGUAUAUUAUGAUAGGCACUCCUAAACCCUUGUUACUUUGGCCAGGACUUUAUUUUGCUAUGCUCGUAGUAGACGGGGUUUGGUUUAGUGUUUAUCAUGAGUGUUGUGAGAAACUUAGUAAUCAAGACCUGAAGACUCCAAGAUUUACAAGACCUCAGAACGAAAUAUACCUCUGGGUGAAGGACGGUUCAGAUGGGCUCCCUCGGAAAACCAGUGCAGGACCCGAGAUGCAUGGAGAAGCGCCAUGACAUCUUGCACAAAGGUUCACCCAGGCUCAAAGAGAUGGAUGGAUAUUUUAAGACCCAAGGCUUACCUGCACAGCCACAAGUCAUUAUGGGAUCUGGCUUGGUUGGACAAUGUGGCGACUCUGGACAGGCGGUGCUACGAGACGUAGGAGAACGGUAGGAUUGGAUGGGCACCGACAGAGGCUCAGAGGAACCUGUUGAAAGACCAUGUUUUGAUCAUCCGGUUCUCAAACACCCUGAAGUGCGAGGACUUCAACGGAGGCGAUCAAGUCUUGUGGGGAACGUGUGCAAAACUCUGCAGAGUACUCAAACCUAAUCGAUUAGCCAUGUCCACGGUCAUGGACAACUUGAGCCAAAGGAACUGAAACUAUCAGGAAUUCUCAACACCAUUAAAUCUUACUGAUGUGGGUAAUAUUGAUAACUUGGGUAUGAGAAAUGGUUGGUGGAACCUUCCUCAUUAAAAACUAAUAAUGUAGUAAAUUUUGCUUUUACCUCUCUCUUGUUGUAGGAAAAAUUUGCUUUACGCAAAACUUAAACUACAGCCCCACCUGCCAUAUAUGCAUAUAGGAUAGAUGAUAUUUUCACCCUCUCUAUUGUGACUUGCCGGCAUAUUCAAUAUGUUGACCUACACGGCUGCAACGUCUUAUGUUGCAGAUAUUUUCUGCGACGAGUAAGAGUAUGAUUCAGGGUUACGGUCUACACUCAACCUGUCGUUGGUGUUUAUUGGGACUCCACUCCCUUUGAGUGUUUCCGCUGAGAUUGUGAGGUAUAUAUCAGUUUUAUGUUAUUUACAUGUGAUUGCACUUUGAUAUAUACAUUGAUGUACUGUGGGUGCGAGCAUACUGAUCGAGGGAUGGCACAGAUACACAGAGGCUUGACUCUUUUUGAGUCGGGUGACUACAAUGUCAAUGAUUGCACCUAUAGUUCGUAGGAAGGGUCUUCCAAGUAAAAUUGGACAAGUAGGAUCGCAAUUAAUAUCAAGCAUAAUGACAUCUACAUGCACAUAAUUUUUAUUUGCAAUUAUCAUCACAUCAUUUAUUAUAACCAAGGGUUUCUUAAUGGUAGAAUCCCCAAGAUGCAAGUUUAGAGAACAUUCUCCAAUAUUAGUGAGACGAAGGACAUCACAUAAUGAUUUGGGUAUAGUUGAAAUACUAUCACACAUGUCACACACGACAUUGCAUUCAUAUUUAUUUAUCUUAAUUUUGAUAUUAGGUUCCCACUCAUCAUGCAACUUUCUAGGAAUAGAAACUUCAAGCUCAAGUUGUUCAUCAUAAGCUUUUACCAUAGUUUCCACUAUGUGUUGAGUAAAAGCAUUGUUUUGUUCAUAAGCAUAGGGUGAGCUAAUGACAGAUUGCAGCAAGAAAAUACAUUAUACUAAAGAGAAAUUAUCAUAAUUAAAUUCCUUGUAAUCCAAAAUAGUGGGCACAUCACUAGUUAAAGUUUAGACCUCUCUAAUCCCACUAUUUUUAGUUUUAGCAUUAAGAUCAUCAUCCUCCAAGCACACGGGGUGCUCCUUUACUAGAGAUUACUCAUGUGAAGCCCCUUCAUCAUUAAUAUUCAGAGAAGUAAACAAAUAUUCUAUAGGAGAAGUACCAAUAUUUUUAAGAUCUUUAUCAUGAUUCUGGUAAAAACAUGGAGGAAGAGCUUUUUCUAGGACUUCCCGCUUAGCUUUCAACUUAGCCGUCCACUCCUCACUUUCAUUAAUAGAAACUUGGAUAUAAAUAAUAGUAUCAUUAAAAUCAUUCUUAGGUGGAAAAUCUUAUUUAAGAGCUUCUACAUCAAGAGCAAUUCUAUCCAUGUUUUAGCCAAAGUAUCAACACCAUGCAAUUUUUCUUCUACCAUAGUAUUGAAAACUUUCUGAUAAUUAAUAAAUUCCUUAAUUUUGUUCUAAAGAUCACAGGGUAUACUAGUAGAAUUAGUAGAAGAAUUUCCAUAAGAAUUAACAUAAUACUUGCCAUAACCAUUAGGAACAUCACUUGGAUAUGGCCUAGUAUUGAAAUUAUCCCUACAAGCAAUGUUGUUGAAAUUAUUUCGUGACACAAAGUUCACAUAAAUAGCAUCAUUAUUUUGCUCAAUCAAGUUAGACAUGGAAAUAUCAAUGGGGUAAACAUGUGUACUUUUAUUAGCAACCAAAUUCAUAAGAGCAUCAACUUUUUCACUCAAAGUAGCAAUUUCCUCAAUAAAAUUUAACUUAUUACCGGUUGGAGCUCUCUCGGUAUGUGUCGUGGUUUUGUCACGACAGAUGUCCUCAUCAAAGGACUUAGUGGUGAGGCCAUCAUUGUUGUGUGGCGACUCGAAGAGGUUCAUCGGCAACGGGAGACGGAUUCACCCAGGUUCGGCCCCUCCGAUGGAGGUAACAGCCCACGUUCGUAUUUGGUGUCUAUAUUGAUGGAGGUCUCGAUUACAAGGAUACGGAAUAGCUAACCUAGCUCUCGAGAUUUUCUACCGUAAUCUUUCUGGCUCGAGGGCUCCCCUUUAUAUAUAGGUGGAGGCCUCGAGUUUACAACAGUGUCUAGGUCAAUAAACACUCUGGCCUACUAUAAUUCUACUUUAUCUUGUUCUCCAAGUUUGGGAAAGCUUUUGGAAUCUUCCACCUUGUGGGCGUUGAGUCGCUAUCUUCGGGUACUCGGCCACGGAGGUUCACUUGGUAAGUAUUUCUGUGGCUUCAUUGAGCAUAGCUUGUUGAGUCGCCUCUAGUCUAACCCGUCCCAAACGGCGGGUUAUACUACGGGGACACAUCCUCGACAUUACGCCCCAGGUUGAUUUCAACUUGUUCAUGUCAAGCUUCCUUCGUUAAAUUAUUACAACAUGGCAUUCUUCCGCCCUUUAACCAUGAAAUAGAACUUGAAUCCGGGAUAAAACUAUGCCGGGUCAUUCCUUCUUCUUUGAGACUUAGCAUCUUUCGAGUCUAUAUUCGUAUGACGUCAUCGUGCUGACUGUUGUCGUCCAAGUCAUCAUUGCGAAUCUUUUAUAUAAACAACACUAUAUCCGGUUUGGCAUGACAAUCUAGGCAUAAACCCAUCCACUAAUUUCCUACGACCGUUAUGUUUCGGUUCCUCCUUUCCUUAUAAACAGGCAGGGCGAACCCAUGCAACAUAUUAUCCUUUCUUCUUCUUCUCCUCCACAUUUUCCCCAUUUCUGCGCGCACCAGAACUUUGAAGGCAACGACCAAACCUUUACAACCGUGCCGCCUGUGUACAGGAUCUUCCUCAUCUUUGUUGGGGUGUACACUGUCACCAACUUUCUCCUUCAACAAUACCGGCUACACAUUCUUCCUUAUGAGGGCUUGUAGAUUUGUUAGUAGGUUCUACCUGUGUUCAUAGUGUGUUCAUCAAGCCACCGAAGAAACGCUUCGUAUAUCCACAAGCUUCUCACCCUUUGUGCAUCCAUAAGUUUGUUGCGGCCCCCGCGUGACACCUUUUGCGCCUAGAUUUAAUAUGAGACUUCUUUUAGAAAACUUUGCACAAAUGUCUUGAACUUUGGUCAUGCCGCUAGUGUUGAAUGUGUAUUUUCAUUUUCCAUGCUUUAUUUAGAUCCAUUGCAAGAGGUGUCACUUAUUGCAACCUGUUUGUGCAGUUUUUCUACUAAGUAUUUUGUACAAGAGUAACAUGCCUUUUAAAAGCACCUUAAUUUUUAUUGCCAACUUAAACACCUCGCUCUCAAAUUUGUUGGCUUAGGACGUCGUUCUGCAGUAGCCACUGGUUUAAGCACCUCCUGAAUAUUGGCCAGAGUCAGCGGCUUGUUUAUCCUUCUUCUUAUUUUCCUUUCUCUUUUUUAUAUCACCCAAUGCCCCCCAAGAACUUAAAGGCUUGUAACUGAGCUAGGUCCAAUAUUCAAACUUACUUUGGAAAACCUUGUGAGUCAAGGAUUUUUAACGCCUCGAAAGGAGAUAAGCUGACGAGCUCCUAAGGAAGAGACCUACCCGAAGCUUCAUCAAGGAGGGUUUGUUAUUUUCACUGAUCAUCUAUGCACAGGUUUUUGACAACCUGGCUCAAAAUUCUUUAGGGACCUUUUGUACUUCUUCAACCUCAUGCUUGAGGAUAUUGGUCCCAAUUCCAUGACCAACAUAUGUCAAUUUCAAGUUUUGUGCGAGGUAUAUCUCUAGAUCGAGCCAUGAGUGACUUUAUUUUGGUGUUCUUCUAUGGAAACUGCUAGACUGAAGUUAGGAAUGGUCCUUCUUGUGAACUUGGGGGAAUCUCCUUCCAGAAAAGGAACAAAUAGUCUGUUCCCUCAGUCAAAAUUGGCGAGUCAUCCAAAGGGAUGGUUUAAGACAUAGUUCUAUUGCAAAAAUACUGCCUAUGUAGAUGAAAAUCCAAUAUUGGGUUACAAAUUGGAGAGGAUUGGCAACAACGUAGAACUCUCAGCCUGGCCAAUGGAUGAAGAGAGGGACACAAUGACCCCAGUUCAAACAACCUUGAGAGCCUUGGUUGCUCAUGGCCUAACCGGUAUAGACCUGAUUCGUUGCUGGCUAAAGUGGCGCAUCCAACCUGUCAGUGCAAGGACUUGCUUGAUGUGCGACUACUCAGCCGACUUAUCCGAUUCUCAACAUUUCUCGCAACAAGAUGUAUCCCAUGAUGCUCUAAAUAAAGAAACAAAGAAGUUUUUCUCUGACUCAAAGGAGAGGUGCAAUGCUAUCGGUUUAGGUCCAUUUUCUCCUCUAAAUCCUCCGCCACCGAUAGUGAUUUCUUCUUAUUAAAUAUACUCUGUUACUUUGUUGAUUUUAAUUUGACCUGCCAUCCUUAUCAUGAUCUUUUGUUCACAGGAGGAUUCUAGCUUUUGAAAAGACACACAGGGAAGUGAUCCGGCUCGAGAUGUACCGACCCUAGCUCAUCAUUAGGAGCACUAUCUGAGGUAGAACCUGACUCACUUGGCCAUUUGUUUAUUGAACUUGCUGACACGCCUUCUUCUCAGGGCGACUCUGGAGCCAUCCAAGCCGGUGAUGUUGAGUAAUUCCAAUUUCUUCCAGUUCAUCAGAAACGCUUUUUGCGAGAAGGACAAGGCAAGCCGUCCGGAAGGUUAAAAUGUCCAACAAAGACGCUCAUUUAGUUCCCAAUUUUCUUUUCAAGAAAAAGAAACUCGUUGGUGAGCCAAAAUGCAAGACCCGAAGUGACCAGGGCAAGUUAGACCCUGGCUUGCCUCAUGUAUCGCCGGCUUGUAAGCCACGCGCUGAGGUACCAUACAAAUCCUUGUCUUAAGGCUGAUUUCUUUAAGAAACCUCUUAACCCUUCAAACUCAUUUACCAUGAAUCUCCUCGAUCUUCGGGAGCCUCAUCUGCAACGCUACUCCCCAAUUUUAAUAUCAAUCAUGGGUAAGUUCCUAAUCAUGACUUGAUUGUAUAUGUUUGCCUUCCUUAGCAUAAUAUUUUAUUUCUGGUCUAUGUAGGGAUAAAGCUACUUUGUCUAGUCGUGCUGCUGGGUCAUGUGCUGAAAACCAAGGAAAUUUGAACCCCCAAUCAUAAUUAGAAGCCACCGAGGCUGACCUUUCUCGAAGGAAAAUUCCACAUGCUACAACUCACACGACAACAGUUGGUGAAGCGCCUAGAUCAACUGAAACGGUUUUAGUGGACACGCUAGUAGAGGUUACAGUCAUUUUAGUUGAUCCUCCUGCUCAUCCACCAAGUCCGGCUCGUCACUCAAGUUCGGAGACUCAUUUCAAUGAUCCUAUUCCACCAGCUGACGAGGACGCUCUGGAUGUUGUUUUUGUAAAGGAACAAUUUCAAGCUCCUACUGUUUCCACUUCUCUUGUUAAGAUUGUGGCCAAGGAAGAGCUGGUGAACUUGGAAAAAGGAAAACCCCAAUUGGAGCUCCCGAAUAUCUCUCUGUUUAGUGUUGAAUAAAUCCACAAGAAUACUUGACCCGGCUGUCUUACAGUCGGGAAAUUGAAGCCAAUAUCAUUUGCGCUCUCAUGGAAAAAAAUGAGGUAAAAACUCAUGCUUACCUACUUUAUCUUCAUAUACUGUCUCCAGCCCCCAAGGGAAAGUUUUUAUGAAUAUGAUAAGCCUACUCUUUUCAAACUAGCUAAAUGGAAACUUGCGUCCAUAGCUCCCAAGGACAGAGUCAUUUUGACGAUAACGAGUCAUUACUUCUCUUAGAACGAAAGUUUAUUUGAUGAAGAUUCGGACUGUAGCCCCCAAGGACCAGCUCGUUAUGUGUAAUGAGGUGGGUCUUCCUCUUUUUCCUUCAUAUCCUUUUUGAAAAGAACUGCUAUGCAUUAUCCCCAAGAUGCCGAGUAUAUUGCAUGCAAUAUGCUGGGGACUUCAAAAACAUAUAUUUCCUUGCCGUUUGUAAUAAGCCACUCUUUGAGGCGUGUCAUGAUCACCUUUUUGACAAUUUUGUGACUUUGACACAGGUAUGUAGGAGAUGCUGAAUCUAUGGCUAGAGACCUGCACAAGCGUCUCAACGAAGAUAUGAAGCUAAGGACCGAGGCUGAAUCGAUGGCAUCUUCUUUUCAAAAUUCCGCUUGACAGGCCCAGGACCGUCUUGAGAAAGCCACGAAAAAAUUGAGAUGGAAAAAACUGCCCUCUUGAACCAUGCCGAAAAGGACGAGGGGAAACUUGGUCCUUUGGAAGAAAAUUAUUCCCUUCUAAUAAAGAAACUCAACGAGAUGGUGACUGCCAUCUUUGGUAAGAUCUUGCGAUUUUAUUCCUUUGAGCCUCUCAGAUUGAUGUGAAAGGAAAAGGGUGACUCAAAGUUUGUUAUUUAUCUUUUGUGUGUAGGCCGAACAGAUCAUUCCCUGGUGCAGUUGCCUAUUAUAAAACUGAAGGCAAUAUUCACUUACGUGGAACAACUAUUCACCGAGUCUGUUUACUCCAUUAUGGCUAUCAAGAACUUGAAAUAUCCACCCCGGACGUCAAGGAUAUGCUAAAGCAAGUCUCCAUUGUGCCACAAUGGUUCUCUGAGACCCAGAAGUUGGCAGCUCACAGUGGGGCGAAGUUGGCUCUUGAUCGUGCUAACGCAUAUUUACCUGAACUAGAUUUGGCAACUUCGAAAGAUGGAUUUCGAGAAUACAAGUUGGACGACUCAGAAUUCACUCAUGAAGACUUUGCUCAUGUGAUAAAGGAGACACGACCGAUGGAAACUCUUCUUGCAGAGCAAGUUGACACAUCUCAGUAUUAUGUUGCGUACACUGUUGGUAAUGAACGCAACCCAAUGCUCAAAGAUGAGCCCUUUGAGCUAGUCCCACCUUGUUACAAGAGAAAAACUGCUCCUGAGGUUGAUGCAUCUACCUAGAUAGAAGGGAAUUCAAAUUUGGAGUCGUUGAGGUCCAUCCCGUUGAUUCAGCCAGACGAGGAGGUCAUUGAUGACGAUGAGCCGGAAGAAACAUACGUUGAAUCAGCCGUUGCGAAAGAUUGAAGGGGAGUCCACAGUAACCCGCCAAUCAAAGAAUUAACUCCCAAGGAUCUUUAGAUCAAAAACUUUGAAUAUUAACAACUCCUGACGUGAGUUUGUAAUAGGGGUAGUAGAAACUCUGAGAAAUUUUGUCGUGCCAUCAUGCAUGUUGGUUCGAACUUUGGCUAGCUAUGGUAAAAACUGCCAUGAGAUUCUGUUAUCCUGAUCCUUUUACCAAUAUGCUUGCCUCUGCUUGUCUCCGAAUAUUUGAUCGAAUUUUGAAAUAGGCAAAAAUAGGUUGUCAAAAAUACUUGCCGUAGAGUCCAUUGAGUUUCUUCCACAAUGUCGUCUGUGCAACCAUAUGAUUUGAACAGGUCAUGACAUGACUCCAGUUGUCAUAACCCGGUAGUUUAUGAUGGUCCGACUAAAAUUGUACUUGUCCCUAGAAAAUUCGGGUGUGAUAUCAUGCAGAAAUAUAAUAAAGCGCUAUUCAUAGGCCGGUUCAGUGAGACACGCAAAAAGAGAUCGGCUUUCGAGGCUCAAGUCCUCCUUCAAUGAAGCGGGUAUGAUAACCCAUGGUUUAUCCUAGCUUUCAUUAUGCCAGCUCUCACGUGACCUAAACCAAUGUUUUAACCUAGCCAGAUUAGGGUCCAUAAUGGAUUGAUCAGUCAAGAGUACAUGGGGUCACCUGAUCGGAGUCGCAUCAAGCAUAAAUGCAAGAUUAACCAUUUUGUGGUGUCUUUGCUAGAUCAAGAGGGUUGGAAAGCUGAACUCGAUGAGUUGGAAUCCCGAAGUGACCUAUGAUCUUGGAAAAGCUCGACAUAGGAUUCCAUAAGACAAUGCUAUUACUACCAUACAAUCUGGGGUGCAAAUAAGUCGGCUUAAUUGCAUUAAUCAUAAUUGGAUAAUCUAACGAUUUUGUUUGAUCCAGAAGCACCCAAGUAACGCAUUUUUUAAAUAAUAAAGUCUCAUGCUUAAUGUAUGGGCUAAAAACGAGCUUUAUUAGAAUAAAUUUUUAUAAAAUUUGGGGGAUUGAUACAGAGAUAAUGAGCCGGUGGCUCUAAUACGAUAGGGCCGCAAAUUGGCCAGGUUGACUUACUCAAUUGUUGGUUUCUUGGGGUGGGGGGGACUUGUGAUCUCGGUCAACUUUGUCUGUGAGGAGCUUUAACUUUUCGGCGGCACAAGCUGACUCAGCAUAAGCCGCCUCUCAUUCCUUGCAUUCUUGGGCUAUUUUCUGCCGCCUCCCACCGUUAUGGUGCCAUUGGGACCCGACAUCAUGAACUUUAGUUAGUUGUAACAAGGACGAGACAUGAACCGAGCUUCCAAAGAGAGCGUGAUAAGGACUUUUUUAUCUUUACCACUUCAAACAUUAGGGGUUCAUAUCUGCAAUUGAAUUCGUCCCCGAAUGCGACGUUCAGCUUGACCUGCCCUACCGGGUGGACUGAUUUACCAGAAUAAUGCCAUGAAAAACCAUGGUGGAAGUCUUCAGAUUUUUUCAUGAAGGUUCAUCCUCUAGAAGGUGUCAUAAUACAAGAUAUUGAUGCUGCUCUCCCCAUCCACGAGGACCUUUGUGAGGGUAUAACCACCAACUUGAGGCAUCACCACCAAAGCUAAAUCUCCUGGAUUGUCAACCCGAGGAGGGUGAUCCUCUCUCCUCGAGAGGAUUCGCUGCUCAGACCAGUUUAGAUUUCUAGGGAUCACAGGCUCGACAAUAUUGAUGGCUCUCUACUUCUGUUUCAUGUUUUGUUUGUAAGUGUUGGCGAUGAAAAUAUGUUAUUGGCCAUUGUUUAGUUGCUUAGGGUAUGUUUGAAAACCAGAUUGAUUGUUAUGCUGAUGAUUGUCCUGAUCAAGACCAGCCCAUUGCUCGUGUUCCCUUGAUGCUGAAAACCUAAUCGCGAGCCGCCUGGUUCAUUAAAGCAUGAUCCUUGGAAACCGCCACAUAAGCCGUCAUGUGAGCUGGGUUGACCAUACUCACUCGGUUGUCCACCAUUAGCCCCCUGGUGGCUCUGGGAAGCUUGAUUUCGUAAGUCCUGCAUAAUAUAGCACUUUUCCCAUGACCGAGUAGAUGGUUUAUCCUGGGUACUAUGCUUUGGGAAGGGUGCCAUGAGUGCUUCCUCAUAAUUUCAUGGCUUAUUCCCAUUAUAAGGUGCACCAGAGUGGUGCUGAUUCUUGAACCGAGUAUUGGUAUUAGCCAUGAACUCUGAACAACCCUCAGGCUGCUUCCUUUUGUUAUUCUGGCCUCCUUAGUUUCCACCUUGCUAUUUUUCCUUGCCACCUUCACUUUUCUUGCUCUUACCCAUUUUCUCCUCAUCCGAGCCGGGAUCCUUCGUGUAGUCUGACUCGGCUUACCUUGUUAGAAUGUCCAUUAAAUCGACCAUAUCUUGAGUCUUCCAUUUUAGGCGACAAGGCUUCAGGACUAGCGGCUGGAAGUGGCAUUUUUUCUCUAGAAUUAGGAUGGCUUGGGAGGCCGUAAUGUUGUCCGAUGAGUGGAUAAUCUCCGCAACCCGGCGAUUCCAAUGAUGACCCAACUCCCCAGUGCGCUCAACACAGUGUUGAAGAUCCACAAUUGUCAUCGGUCGUUUGCAAGUUCCUUGAAAAUUCUUGAUAAACAAUUCCUUUAGCUCAGCCCAAGUAUUAAUGGAAUUGAGAGGAAGAUUUUUUCAGCCGGGUUUGAGCUGGUUCUUCUAGCAUUAUCGUCAAAUAUUUUGUGCAUAUCGCAUCACUAACGUCGAGCAUAUCCAUGGCCAGCUCAAAACUUUCAAUCCAUGCUAGCGGCUCAAGAUCUUCUGUAUAGUUUGGUACCUUGCAAGGUCCUUUAAAGUCCCCAGGCAUAGGCUCGCUGCAAAGAGAUGGAGAUAGACGAGGAAAGACGAUCGUUCUGGUGUGGUUUCUAGCCCUGUUUGUUGCUGACUCGGGUUCCGCCACAUGCGGUUGGACCGCCCGCCUUGCCAAUGCUUCCGCCUCUGCCUACCGGACGGCUCUUGCCGCAUAAACUAGGUCUUGGGCAUUUUGUAAUCCUGGCCAGGUUGGGGAAACCCGGGGCAGUUGUCACCGCCCACUACUGAAAACAACCGGAGAGUCCUAAUGACAGCUGACAUAUGGUGUGGAGUGCAUCCGAUCUCGACUAUAUGAGUAGUGCCUUUGUUGAACUACUGGUGUCUUCAGCAUCUCAAUGCCGUUCCUAGCUUCGAUCUCAACCGCGGAAUUUCCAUGAAUAGGGAGCGCCUCCAAAUUAUGUGUUGCUUCCAUCAUAUUGUCAAUGGGGUUGGAUAAGUGACCCUAUAGUGUGCGAAAAUGUUGUGGCGAUGCCUGAGCUGACAUGGGCUGAACCGACGGGGGCUGAGCUGGCUCUUCCUGCCCACAUGGCGGAUUUUUUGCAUCUCCUGGUGUAUGGACUGGCGAAUAAAUGAGUCGGGCUCACGUUUUGCGGCAAUCGGGACUGGUGCUUCCUAUGGUGAACUACCUUAGAAGCGUUCUAUCAAAGCCCUAGACACCAAGCUUCUGCCCUCAAACGCUUUGACUCACCUAGGAUUCGAGCCUGCAACUCCAGCAUCUGGGUGCUUUCAGCGUAGAUCUCUUGCUGGACCUUGACCAUCUCCAUGCAAAGCCUUACAGUUCUGCAUUACGCUUCUCCUAGUUCGCCAUAGUGAUAGGACCCUCAAAAAGUUUGUCCAUCUGAGCAACCAGAUCGCUCAUGGCCUGCGUCGGCGUUUUGCUUGAUCCACCGGCGCCGUUGGUGGCUUCUUCUGCAAACGGGCCCGGAGCCACCGCGACUCCUACCAUGUAGAUCGUGACCUGACAUGGUGGUUCAUUUGGCUCCCUAGCGGCUUCUACUUUUGGAAAAACCCCUGGUCAAUCACAGAGAGGAAAGAUAGAUCCGGUUUCCCUAUGGAUGACUCGCCGUCAUGGUUGUCCGGGAUAUCCUCUCUAUCCACUAGCUCAUCCAAGAGGCUGAUCCCCGGGCUAAACCCCACAAAGACAUGACAACGACUGGCUUGACAUCGAUCACUUUGGGCGCAUCGAGUCUACUCGAUGAUGCUGGUGUAGAUGCCUGACCCGGGCACCGAUGCGUUGAUUUGGCUGAAGGGGACCUGCUGAUUAGACUUGGCAAAGUCGGCCCGAGGGUCCCAGCCUGGAUUGUUGGUGUAGUGAUCAUCACAGUGGUUCUUGAUCAUCAUAGCAACCGUGUAACUCCUGAACCAUGGGCGUGUUACCUCCGAGAACUCAACUCCACCUCGUGAUAGGCCCAUGGUGGGUGCCAACUAUCGUGGUUUUCUCAUGGCAAAUGUCCUCAUGAAAGGACUUUGUGGUGAGGUCAUUGUUCUUGUGUGGUGACUCGAGGAGGUUCCUCGGGAACGGAAUAUGAAAUUACCCAGGUUCGGCCCCUUCGAUGGAGGUAAAAGCCUAUGUCCUGCUUUGGUGCCUAUAUUGAUGUAGAUUUUGAUUACAAGGAUGGGGAAUAGCUAACCUAGCUCUCGAGAGUUUCUUGUUUAAUCGUUCCGUCUCAAGGGACCCUCUUUAUAUAUAGGUGAAGGCCUCGAGUUUACAAUAGAGUCUGGGUCAAUAAACACCCAUGACCUGUUAUAAUUCUACUUUAUCUUGUUCUCUAAGUUUGGUAAAGAUUUUGGAGACUUCCACCUCGUGGGACUUGAGUCGCUAUCUUCGGCUACUCGGCCAUGGCGGCUCACUUGGUAAGUCUUUCUGUGGCUCCAUCGAGCAUAUUCUUCUUGAGUCUUUGUAGUCUAACCCGACCCAAAUGGCGGGUUAUUGCCGCGGGAUCAUAUCCCCAACAGUAUGCCAUUGAGAAUAAUUGGUCAUUAUGUUCUCGGGAAGUUUUGUGGCCUCUCCUAAGGUCACAUCCAUAAAGGUACCACCUGCAGCAGAAUCUAGAAGAUUUCUAGACACAAAGGUUAUUCCAGCAUAGAAAUUUUGGAUAAUCAUCCACAAGUUGAAACAAUGAGUGGGGCAAUUUCUUAUCAUCAAUUUAUUCUAUACCAUGCUUGUGCAAUAUGUUAUUGAUCAGGUUGUUUAAAAUUCAUUAUUUGAUUUCAAAGGGACAUGACAUUAGCAGGAGGAAAAUACUUGGCAAUAAAAGCAUCUUUACACUUAUCCCAUGUUCCAAUACUAUUACGUGGUAAAGAUGAAAACCAAGGUUUAGCUUUCUCUCUUAGUGAAAAGGAAACAAUUUUAAUUUCACAAUAUCAUUAUCCAUUUCUUUUUUCUUUUGCAUAUCACAAAGUUCAACAAAGGUAUUGAGAUGUGAAGCGGGAUCCUCAUUAGGAAUUCCCAAAAAUUGCUCUUUCAUGACAAGAUUAUGUAAUGUAGCAUUAAUAUCAAAAGCAUUCGCACUACUGGCAGGUUGUAUAGGAUUACUAAUAAAAUCAUUGUUAUUAGUAUUUGAUAAGUCACACAACUUAGUAGUAUGCCUUUUAUAUCUUGUUAGGGACUAACUUAUUAACUGAGUGCCAAGUGCCAGUUCCUGUUUUUCCGUGUUUUUGACCCCUUUCAGAGGAGGAUUUUAAACGGAGUCCAAACGGAAUGAAACUUCCAAAAAGAUUUUUUCCAAAACAGAAGAAGAUCGGGAAGUUUGAGAACCAAGGUAGGGGUCCACUAGGGACCCCACAAGCCCCCUAGCCGCGGCCAGGGGGGUUGCGCCUCCCGGGCUUGUGGGCUCCCUGGGCCACCUCUGCCCUAGGUCUUCCGCCUAUAUAUUCCCUAAAAUCCCAGAAAAAACCAGGAGAUCAUCAAAAGUACUUUUCCGCCGCCGCAAGCUUCUGUCUCCGCAAGAUCCCAUCUGGGGCACGUUCUGGUGCCCUGCCAGAGGGGGGAUUCGGAUAUGGAGGGCUUCUUCAUCAAAACCAUGACCUCUUCAAUGAUGUGUGAGUAGUUCACCAUAGACCUACGGGUCCAUAGCUAGUAGCUAGAUGGCUUCUUCUCUCUCUUGGAUCUUCAAUACAAAGUUCUCCAUGAUCUUCAUGGAGAUCUAUCUGAUGUAAUCUUCUUUGCGGUGUGUUUGUCGAGAUUCGAUGAAUUGUUGGUUUAUGAUCAGAUUAUCUACGAAUCUUAUUUGAGUUUCUUCUGAUCUCUAUUAUCCAUGAUUUCAUAUUCUUGUAAUUCUCUUCGAGUUGUGGGUUUUGUUUGGCCAGCUUGAUCUACGAUUCUUGUAAUGGGAGAAGUGCUUGGUUUUGGGUUCAUACCGUGCGGUGACCUCACCAAGUGACAGAAGGGGUAGCGAGGCACGCAUCGUGUUGUGGCCAUCAAGGGUAAAAAGAUGGGGUUUUCCUCAUUGGUCUGAGAUUAUCCCUCUACAUCAUGUCAUCUUGCUUAAGGCGUUACUCUGUUCAUCAUGAACUCAAUACACUAGAUGCAUGCUGGAUAGCAGUCGAUGUAUGGAGUAAUAGUAGUAGAUGCAGAAAGUAUCGGUCUACUUGUCUCGGACGUGAUGCUUAUAUGUAUGAUCAUUGCCUUAGAUAUCGCCAUGACUUUGUGCGGUUCUAUCAAUUGCUCGACAGUAAUUUGUUCACCCAUCGUAAUAUUUGCUAUCUUGAGAGAAGCCUCUAGUGAACACUAUGGCCCCGGGUCUACUUCACACCAUAUUUUCAGCCUUACUCUUUUUCUUCAUUGCACUUUCCGCCUUGAGAUCUCACUUUGCAAUCAAUCUUGAAGGGAUUGACAACCCCUUUAUAGUGUUGGGUGCAAGCUCGUUUGUGUUUGUGCAGGUACUCUGGACUUGACGAGAUUCUCCUACUGGAUUGAUACCUUGAUUCUCAAACUGAGGGAAAUACUUACUCCUCCUGUGCUGCAUCACCCUUUCCUCUUCAAGGGAAAACCAACGCAAGCCCAGUCUCCGUCAACGUGUCAAUCUCUGGCACUCUUGUCUGUUGUCGUAGCAAGAGGCAAGCAUAUAAGCGCUCUUGAAUUUGAGUAAUAGUAGUAAAUGCGAGAUCAUUUUGGUCUGUGUAUUUAUGGACGUGAUUCCUAUAUACCUGAUCAGUGCCAUGAAUAACAUGUUGUAACUAUGCGCUAUUAUGUCAAUUGACCAACAGUAAUUUGUUUACCAACUGUAUGUUAUGCCUGAGAGAGAAGCCUGUGGCGAUACCUAUGGCCCCCCGGGUCUACUUAAAAAAUUUAUGAAAAACCUAAAAAUACCUUGCUGCUGUUUAUUGAUUGUUUUUUUACUUUUUAUAUUUAUAUAUCUAUCUCUAUCAGAAUUAGUCCUUGCAAGUAACAAGUUCAAGGGGCUUGAUAACCCUCUUGCCCGUGUUGGGUGCAAGUGUUUCAUUUUGUGUGUGUAGGUGUUGACGAUGAGAGUUUGUCUUGAUUCCCCGACUGGUUCGGUAACAUUGGUUCUCACUGAGGAAAGUACUUAUCGCUACUAUAGUGCUUCACCCUUCCUCUUCGGGGGAAAAUCCAACGUGGCUCACAAGUAGCAACCUUUGGUAUCCAUCCCCAUCUUCUCGCCAUCCUCACCAUGUCUAACCUUCUUAAAAUAACAAACUUAUGGGGAAAUGCAACCGACCUAAGGAAAAGAUCGUAAAGGGCAAAAAAAUUGAUCCGUCUUAGUAAAAAUACCACAACGCCCUGACCCGAUGCUCUAAGCCAUUCGACAUGAGUGGGAGGCUUGGACCCUAGCGACCCGACUCAAAUGGAACUUCCUAACUAGCUGGCCCCAUUGGGAGACAACAGUGUGGAUGUGUUGGGGAACGUCGCAUGGGAAACAAAAAUUUUCCUACGCGCACGAAGACCUAUCAUGGUGAUGUCCAUCUACGAGAGGGGAUGAGUGAUCUACGUACCCUUGUAGACCGUACAGCAGAAGCGUUAGAGAACGCGAUUGAUGUAGUGGAACGUCCUCACGUCCCUCGAUCCGCCCCGCGAACAAUCCCGCGAUCAGUCCCACGAUCUAGUACCGAACGGACGGCACCUCCGCGUCAGCACACGUACAGCUCGACGAUGAUCUCGGCCUUCUUGAUCCAGCAAGAGAGACAGAGAGGUAGAAGAGUUCUCCGGCAGCGUGACGGCACUCCGGAGGUUGGUGAUGACCUUGUCUCAGCAGGGCUCCGCCCGAGCUCCGCAGAAACGUGAUCUAGAGGAAAAACCGUGGAGGUAUGUGGUCGGGCUGCCGUGGAAAAGUCGUCUCAAAUCAGCCCUAAAACCUCCGUAUAUAUAGGUGGGAGAGAGGGGACCUUGCCUUGGGGCUCAAGGGGCCCCAAGGGGGUCGGCCGAGUCCAAGGGGGGAAGGCUCCCCCCCCAAACCGAGUUGGACUUGGUUUGGUGGGUGGGAGUCCUUCCUUCCCUUCCCACCUCCCUUUUUUUUUCUUUCUCUUUGAUUUUUCUUUCUAUUGCGCAUAGGGCCCUUUUGGGCUGUCCCACCAGACCACUAAGGGCUAGUGCGCCACCCUCAUGGCCAAUGGGCUUCCCCGGGGUGGGUUGCCCCCCCCCCCCGGUGAACUCCCGGAACCCAUUCGUCAUUCCCGGUACAUUCCCGGUAACUCCGAAAACCUUCCGGUAAUCAAAUGAGGUCAUCCUAUAUAUCAAUCUUCGUUUCCGGACCAUUCUGAAAACCCUCGUGACGUCCGUGAUCUCAUCCGGGACUCCUAACAACAUUCGGUAACCAANNNNNNNNNNNNNNNNNNNNNNNNNNNNNNNNNNNNNNNNNNNNNNNNNNNNNNNNNNNNNNNNNNNNNNNNNNNNNNNNNNNNNNNNNNNNNNNNNNNNNNNNNNNNNNNNNNNNNNNNNNNNNNNNNNNNNNNNNNNNNNNNNNNNNNNNNNNNNNNNNNNNNNNNNNNNNNNNNNNNNNNNNNNNNNNNNNNNNNNNNNNNNNNNNNNNNNNNNNNNNNNNNNNNNNNNNNNNNNNNNNNNNNNNNNNNNNNNNNNNNNNNNNNNNNNNNNNNNNNNNNNNNNNNNNNNNNNNNNNNNNNNNNNNNNNNNNNNNNNNNNNNNNNNNNNNNNNNNNNNNNNNNNNNNNNNNNNNNNNNNNNNNNNNNNNNNNNNNNNNNNNNNNNNNNNNNNNNNNNNNNNNNNNNNNNGUUCCGUAAUACAAGAUCCUGCAACUUACACUAAGUUACUUUGCUUACAAGGCUUGUGUGUGAUGUUGUAUUACCGAGUGGGCCCCGAGAUACCUCUCCGUCGAACGGAGUGACAAAUCCCAGUCUUGAUCCUUACUAACUCAACUAACACCUUCGGAGAUACCUGUAGAGCAUCUUUAUAGUCACCCAGUUACGUUGCGACGUUUGAUACACAGAAAGUAUUCCUCGGGUGUCAGUGAGUUAUAUGAUCUCAUGGUCAUAGGAACAAAUACUUGACACGCAGAAAACAGUAGCAACAAAAUGACACGAUCAACAUGCUACGUCUAUUAGUUUGGGUCUAGUCCAUCACGUGAUUCUCCUAAUGACGUGAUCCAGUUAUCAAGUAACAACACCUUGUUCAUAAUCAGAAGACACUGACUAACUUUGAUCAACUGGCUAGCCAACUAGAGGCUUGCUAGGGACAGUGUUUUGUCCAUGUAUCCACACAUGUAAAUGAGUCUUCAUUCAAUACAAUUAUAUCAUGGAUAAUAAACGAUUAUCUUGAUACAGGAAUUAUAAUAAUAACUAUAUUUAUUAUUGCCUCUAGGGCAUAAUUCCAACAGUCUCCCACUUGCACUAGAGUCAAUAAUCUAGCCCUCACAUCAUCAUGUGAAUUACAUUGUAAUAAAUCUAACACCCAUACAGUUCUGGUGUUGAUCAUGCUUUGGCCGUGGAAGAGGUUUAGUCAGCGGGUCUGCUACAUUCAGAUCCGUGUGCACUUUGCAUAUAUUCACAUCCUCUCCUUCGACGUAGUCGCGGAUGAGGUUGAAGCGUCGUUUGAUGUGUCUGGACUUCUUGUGAAACCGUGGUUCCUUUGCUAAGGCAAUGUAACCCGUGUUGUCACAGAACAAGGUUAUUGGAUUCAGUGCGCUUGGCACCACUCCAAGGUCCAUCAUGAACUGCUUCAUCCAGACACCCUCCUUAGCCGCUUCCGAGGCAGCCAUGUACUCCGCUUGACAUGUAGAAUCUGCUACGACGCUUUGCUUGGAACUGCACCAGCUUACCGCACCCCUAUUAAGAAUAAAUACGUAUCCGGUUUGCGACUUAGAGUCGUCCGGAUCAGUGUCAAAGCUUGCAUCGACGUAACCUUUUACGGCGAGCUCUUCGUCACCUCCAUACACGAGAAACAUCUCCUUAGUCCUUUUCAGGUACUUCAGGAUAUUCUUGACCGCUGUCCAGUGAUCCACUCCUGGAUUACUCUGGAACCUACCUGCCAUACUUAUGGCCAGGCUAACAUCCGGUCUAGUGCACAACAUUGCAUACAUGAUAGAACCUAUGGCUGAAGCAUAGGGGACGGAGCACAUAUGCUCUCUAUCUUCAUCAGUUGCUGGGCACUGAGUCUUACUCAAUCUCGUACCUUGUAAAACUGGCAAGAACCCUUUCUUGGACUGGUCCAUUUUGAACCUCUUCAAAACUUUAUCAAGGCAUGUGCUUUGUGAAAGCCCUAUCAGGCGUUUUGAUCUAUCCCUGUAGAUCUUAAUGCCUAGAAUGUAAGCAGCUUCUCCUAGGUCCUUCAUAGAGAAACUUUUAUCCAAGUAAUCCUUUAUGGUCUCUAAAAACUCCACGUUGUUUCCAAUCAGCAAUAUGUCAUCCACAUAUAAUAUUAGAAACGCCACAGAGCUCCCACUCACUUUCUUGUAAAUACAAGAUUCUCCAACCACUUGUAUAAACCCAAAUGCUUUGAUCACCUCAUCAAAGCGUUUGUUCCAACUCCGAGAUGCUUGCACCAGUCCAUAAAUGGAUCGCUGGAGCUUGCACACCUUGUUAGCAUUCUUAGGAUCGACAAAACCUUCGGGUUGCAUCAUAUACAAUUCUUCCUUAAGGAAACCGUUAAGGAACGCCGUUUUGACAUCCAUCUGCCAGAUUUCAUAAUCAAAAAAUGCAGCUAUUGCUAACAUGAUUCUGAUGGACUUAAGCAUCGCUACGGGUGAGAAAGUCUCAUCGUAGUCAACUCCUUGAACUUGUGAAAAACCCUUUGCCACAAGUCGAGCUUUAUAAACGGUCACAUUGUCGUCAGCGUCCGUCUUCCUCUUAAAAAUCCAUUUGUUCUGAAUAGCCUUGCGGCCCUCAGGUAGUACCUCCAAAGUCCACACUUUGUUCUCAUACAUGGAUCCUAUCUCGGACUUCAUGGCUUCUAGCCAUUUGUUGGAAUCUGGGCCCACCAUUGCUUCUUCAUAAUUUGCAGGUUCAUUGUUGUCCAACAACAUGAUCGAUAAGACGGGAUUACCGUACCACUCCGGAGCAGCACGUGGUCUCGUCGACCUGCGUGGUUCGACAGAAACUUGAACCGGAGUUUCAUGAUCAUCAUCAUUAACUUCCUCCUCACCUGGCGUUGCAAUGACAGAGGUUUCCCCUUGCCCUGCGCCACCAUCCAGAGGGAUGAGAGGUUCGACAACCUCGUCAAGUUCUAUCUUCCUCCCACUCAAUUCUUUCGAGAGAAACUCCUUCUCGAGAAGAGCUCCAUUUUUAGCAACAAACACUUUGCCCUCGGAUUUGAGAUAGAAGGUGUACCCAACUGUCUCUUUUGGGUAACCUAUGAAGACGCACUUUUCCGCUUUGGGUUCCAGGUUUUCAGGCUGAAGCUUUUUGACAUAAGCAUCAAAUCCCCAAAUUUUAAGAAAUGACAAUUUUGGCCUUUUGCCAUACCACAGUUCGUAUGGUGUCGUCUCAACGGAUUUUGAUGGUGCCCUAUUUAAAGUUAAUGCAGCUGUUUCUAAUGCAUAACCCCAAAACGAUAACGGCAAAUCAGUAAGAGACAUCAUAGAUCGCACCAUCUCUAAUAAAGUACGAUUACGACAUUCGGACACACCAUUACGCUGUGGUGUUCCAGGCGGUGUUAACUGUGAAACAAUUCCACAUCGUCUUAAGUGAGCACCAAACUCGAAACUUAGAUAUUCACCCCCACGAUCAGGCCAUAGGAACUUGAUCUUCUUGUUACGAUGAUUUUCCACUUCACUCUGAAUUUGCUUGAACUUUUCAAAUGUUUCAGACUUGUGCUUCAUCAAGUAGACAUAACCAUAUCUACUCAAAUCGUCAGUGAAGGUGAGAAAAUAACGAUAUCCGCCGCGUGCCUCCACGCUCAUCGGACCACACACAUCGGUAUGUAUGAUUUCCAACAAGUCACUUGCAUGGUCCAUUGUUCCGGAGAACGGAGUCUUAGUCAUCUUGCCCAUGAGGCAUGGUUCGCACGUGUCAAGUGAAUCAAAGUCAAGUGACUCCAAAAGAUCACCAUGGAGUAUCUUCAUGCGCUUUACACCCAUAUGACCUAAACGGCAGUGCCACAAAAAUAUGGUGCUAUCAUUGUUAACUCUAACUCUUUUGGUCUCAAUGUUAUGUAUGUGUGUAUCGCUAUCAAGAUUCAAUAUGAACAAUCCUCUCACAUUGGGUGCAUGACCAUAAAAGAUGUUACUCAUAGAAAUAGAACAACCAUUAUUCUCUGACUUAAAAGAGUAACCGUCUCGCAAUAAACGAGAUCCAGAUAUAAUGUUCAUGCUCAACGCAGGCACUAAAUAACAAUGAUUUAAGUUCAUCACUAAUCCUGAUGGUAACUGAAGUGAAACUGUGCCGACGGCGAUUGCAUCAACCUUGGAACCAUUUCCUUCGCGCAUCGUCACUUCAUCUUUCGCCAGCCUUCGUCUAUUCCGCAGUUCCUGUUUCGAGUUGCAAAUAUGAGCAACAGAACCGGUAUCGACUACCCACGCACCACUAGAGAGCUGGUUAAGUACACAUCAAUAACAUGUAUAUCAAAUAUACCUGAUUUUUCUUUGGCCGCCUUCUUAUCUGCCAGAUACUUGGGGCAAUUGCGCUUCUAGUGACCCAUACCCUUUGCAAUAGUAACACUCCGUUUCAGGCUUAGGUCCAGCUUUGGGUUUCUUCGUCGGAUUGGCAACAGGCUUGCCGGUCUUCUUUGAAUUACCCUUCUUGCCUUUGCCGUUUCUCUUGAAACUAGUGGUCUUAUUCACCGUCAACACUUGAUGCUCUUUACAGAGUUCAGACUCUGCGACUUUCAGCAUCGCAAACAACUCACCGAGUGACUUGUUCAUCCCUUGCAUGUUGUAGUUCAACACAAAGCCUUUAUAGCUUGGCGGCAGUGAUUGAAGGAUUCUGUCAGUGAUAGCCUCUUGCGGGAGUUCAAUCCCCAGCUCAGCUAGACGGUUUGAGUACCCAGACAUUUUGAGCACAUGUUCACUGACAGACGAGUUCUCCUCCAUCUUGCAAGCAUAGAAUUUAUCGGAGGUCUCAUACCUCUCGAUCCGGGCAUUCUUCUGAAAGAUAAACUUCAACUCCUGGAACAUCUCAAAUGCUCCAUGACGCUCAAAGCGACGUUGAAGUCCCGGUUCUAAGCCAUACAAGACUGCACAUUGAACUACUGAGUAGUCCUCCUUACGUGCUAACCAAGCGUUCUAAACAUCUUGAUCAGCCGUAGCGGGUGGUUCAUCUCCUAGCGCAGCAUUACGGACAUAAUCCUUCUUCCCNNNNNNNNNNNNNNNNNNNNNNNNNNNNNNNNNNNNNNNNNNNNNNNNNNNNNNNNNNNNNNNNNNNNNNNNNNNNNNNNNNNNNNNNNNNNNNNNNNNNNNNNNNNNNNNNNNNNNNNNNNNNNNNNNNNNNNNNNNNNNNNNNNNNNNNNNNNNNNNNNNNNNNNNNNNNNNNNNNNNNNNNNNNNNNNNNNNNNNNNNNNNNNNNNNNNNNNNNNNNNNNNNNNNNNNNNNNNNNNNNNNNNNNNNNNNNNNNNNNNNNNNNNNNNNNNNNNNNNNNNNNNNNNNNNNNNNNNNNNNNNNNNNNNNNNNNNNNNNNNNNNNNNNNNNNNNNNNNNNNNNNNNNNNNNNNNNNNNNNNNNNNNNNNNNNNNNNNNNNNNNNNNNNNNNNNNNNNNNNNNNNNNNNNNNNNNNNNNNNNNNNNNNNNNNNNNNNNNNNNNNNNNNNNNNNNNNNNNNNNNNNNNNNNNNNNNNNNNNNNNNNNNNNNNNNNNNNNNNNNNNNNNNNNNNNNNNNNNNNNNNNNNNNNNNNNNNNNNNNNNNNNNNNNNNNNNNNNNNNNNNNNNNNNNNNNNNNNNNNNNNNNNNNNNNNNNNNNNNNNNNNNNNNNNNNNNNNNNNNNNNNNNNNNNNNNNNNNNNNNNNNNNNNNNNNNNNNNNNNNNNNNNNNNNNNNNNNNNNNNNNNNNNNNNNNNNNNNNNNNNNNNNNNNNNNNNNNNNNNNNNNNNNNNNNNNNNNNNNNNNNNNNNNNNNNNNNNNNNNNNNNNNNNNNNNNNNNNNNNNNNNNNNNNNNNNNNNNNNNNNNNNNNNNNNNNNNNNNNNNNNNNNNNNNNNNNNNNNNNNNNNNNNNNNNNNNNNNNNNNNNNNNNNNNNNNNNNNNNNNNNNNNNNNNNNNNNNNNNNNNNNNNNNNNNNNNNNNNNNNNNNNNNNNNNNNNNNNNNNNNNNNNNNNNNNNNNNNNNNNNNNNNNNNNNNNNNNNNNNNNNNNNNNNNNNNNNNNNNNNNNNNNNNNNNNNNNNNNNNNNNNNNNNNNNNNNNNNNNNNNNNNNNNNNNNNNNNNNNNNNNNNNNNNNNNNNNNNNNNNNNNNNNNNNNNNNNNNNNNNNNNNNNNNNNNNNNNNNNNNNNNNNNNNNNNNNNNNNNNNNNNNNNNNNNNNNNNNNNNNNNNNNNNNNNNNNNNNNNNNNNNNNNNNNNNNNNNNNNNNNNNNNNNNNNNNNNNNNNNNNNNNNNNNAAGAUCCCGCAACUUACACUAAGUUACUUUGCUUGCAAGGCUUGUGUGUGAUGUUGUAUUACCGAGUGGGCCCCGAGAUACCUCUCCGUCACACGGAGUGACAAAUCCCAGUCUUGAUCCAUACUAACUCAACUAACACCUUCGGAGAUACCUGUAGAGCAUCUUUAUAGUCACCGAGUUACGUUGCGAUGUUUCAUAGACACAGAUUAUUCCUCCGGUGUCAGUGAGUUAUAUGAUCUCAUGGUCAUAGGAACAAAUACUUGACACGCAGAAAACAGUAGCAACAAAAUGACACGAUCAACAUGCUACGUCUAUUAGUUUGGGUCUAGUCCAUCACGUGAUUCUCCUAAUGACGUGAUCCAGUUAUCAUGUAACAACACCUUGUUCAUAAUCAGAAGACACUAACUAUCUUUGAUCAACUGGCUAGCCAACUAGAGGCUUGCUAGGGACAGUGUUUUGUCUAUGUAUCCACACAUGUAAAUGAGUCUUCAUUCAAUACAAUUAUAGCAUGGAUAAUAAACGAUUAUCUUGAUACAGGAAUUAUAAUAAUAACUAUAUUUAUUAUUGCCUCUAGGGCAUAAUUCCAACAGGAUGCAAUGAAGAACAUGACUAGAGCGAGAGGAAUAGGUUGGCACAAGGCCAACUUUCCUGACUAGCUGGACGACCAUCCAUAGAGCCGCCUAAAGGGCCCUCAACACUGCGAGAUGGAGGUGGCAUCAAUGAACGUUAGUGUCUUAGCACACAACCC